UGAACUCGAUAUGUUUUAUUACACAGGAACGUUCUGAAGGCAACAAUAGAAGUGCCCCAUAUUGGGGAAGUGAACUUCCAGUGCACACACCUGGAUCAUCUCGACGAGAACUGGCGGAUGAAGCAAGUCGGCGCCAUCAUCCAGUCGAGCGACUCUCCCCACAUCCUGGCUGGUGGCCUCAACUCUCUCGACGAGACCGAUUACUCGCAAGAGCGGUGGACCGACAUCGUCAAGGUAUGUACAUUUCUGUCAUGUUUAAUGUGAUAUUCGUUAGCACGUCAAACUCGAUUACUAAAUAGCUUAAGCUACGGCGAUUUUGUAAUCAUGGGCACCUGUGUUUGUUACAGUACUAUGAGGAGAUGGGAAAACCGACCCCAAAGGUAGAAGUCAUGAGGUUUCUGAAGAGCAAGCAGUACACAGAUGCUAAGGACUUUGCCGGAGAAUGCGAGUCCGUGGUCGUCAUUGCCAAAGGACAAAGUAAGAACUCACUUGUUUGCUUUCCCAUCUUUCGGUUUUUCUUUUUCGCUUUGUCAAAUGGCUAAUCUAAGGUGCUUUUCAAGCACGAUGCUCCUUUCGCUUGAUGAUCAUAUGAUUGACUUGAAUGGACGGAAAUUCAUAACAAUUGAAGCAUGAUGAUCAUGUUGAAUAUAUACAUCCGUUGUUGUCGUCACUUUGUCGAUAUCAACUUUUGAUGUGAAAAUCCGUAGUAUAAAAAUUGAAGUCCAAAGUCUUUUUUUCGAGUGAUUAUUGUCUGAAUAUGUAAUUUGAAACUGUUUAUUCUAUUGCAGGUGUGCAAGGGACGUGCAAAUAUGGAACGAGGGUAGACUACAUACUGGCGUCACCAGAUUGCCCAUACAAAUUCAUUCCGGGGUCGUAUUCGGUCCUGUCAUCAAAAGGGACAUCAGAUCACCAUAUCGUAAAGGUCGACGUAACGAAAUGCGAAAACAACCCUCCCCAUGAAAGCAAUGGCAACAACAAUAAAAUUACCAAGAAAAGGCGACGACAGUGCAAGCACCAGGCCAUUGUAAAGAUCUCAGGCACAGCUCCUCCUUCAAAGGGUAUAUGGACAACGAACACAUUAAGCAAAGUCGAAUGACAUUACAUUUAUAUCUCCCUUUUCUUUCCACUCUUUUCUCAGCUGCUGCUCCUGUUGCUGCUGUUGAGUGAACUUGGGCAUGCUGGCUUCGUCAAUCUCUGUGUAAAUCUUCGAUUGUUUUGUGCAUCUUGUCUUCUCAGUUUUUUUGUUUGUUUUGUUUUGUUUUGUUUUGUUUUUUUGUUUUCUUUCUUUUUUUCUUUUCAAUUUAGAGUUGAAGAGGGGAGGAUUCUGGUGUAAUGGCUUCCUCACAUCUGUAUAGAUUUCGACACGACAGAAGUGAAUUCUUACGUUUCAACUAGGCAUUGGAGUUGAGCGGUUCUGGCAAGUUCUUUUUCAGUAUUUUAUACCUUUUCUUUUCGCUUGUAAUCGUAACUGCAAGAUUCAGAUUAGUUUUGUCGAGGGCGACAUCUCAAGUUGACUUUGCUGAGGUUGAGGUUAGAGAAUAUGAUCUUGUAUCUUUAGAUUUAACUGAAAGUUGAAACAUUUUAGAUUAAAAGUCCUUGGAAUAAAAUUGCAAAUUUCGAAAAUUGAAUUUUUUUUGUUAAGUUGGACAUCAAGUGAUUGAUAAAAGACCCAAAGAUUUCAAAUGAAAUACCUUUAAAAAGCAAAUAAGGAAAGAAAAAAAAAGCUGCGAAGUCUGGUAAUUAUGAAUUCUAAACAUUUCUGACGGUAGUCAAUGUCUUUAUUCUUUUUUCUCCGGUUUUGAAAUUAGCAUUGGAAAGAAGAAAAAUGGUAAGUUAGGGUAAUCUACUUCGACAUCUUAACAAAUACCUUCUGUGAUCUCUAAAUGGAGCCUUAAUGAGCAUUAUAAGUAAAAGUGUAAUGAAAAGAGAAAGACAUAGAUUUUCUAUAUAAUAGACAUUGAUGGCUGAUGUAUCAUGCUAAUUAGCUUAUGAAUAAAAAACCGCGUCCCCCUUAUAAUGGUUGGCAGACUGCGCCCCUUGCAUCAGCAUAGUAGAGGACGCAAGUAACUCUCAGUUGGCGUAUACUCUUCAAUUGAUCCUCCUUGAUGUAAUUUAUAUUGAUUGAAUUAUUUAUUUCGAUUUUGCUUGGGAUCCCAAUUUAGAAAAUCAUGGGAUCUAAAGCUUAGAUAACAACAAGUGGAAUUAAAAAAAAAAGAAGAAACGGUUAAGAUACCGGUACUUGCGACCUUGCAGCUUUGCUACUCGGGAAAUCACUAACACAUGACAUUAAAAAUAAAAAUAAAUAUUUUUUUUUAAUGAGACAGAAAGACAAAUUAUCAUUAAUACUUGAUACUUCUACCGUUUGUUUAAGGGCUAUGCUAGUAGGUCACAUGACACAUCCAAUGACGUUUUCACUGCACAUGUUCAUUUUUUUUUUUCUAUAGUGAUGUAGUCACUUAUUAAAAAGUUGUAUUUUUUCCCUUUUUGUUGUGAAUUUCCCCUUCUAUAAAUCAUGAACACAAACAUGAGCACAAAUUUUUUUUUUGUCGAAAUAAUUGAUCUAUUCAGCACGUGCUGAUACCUUUAAUUGCUUUCUAUAUCGUGAAUAAAAUAUUAAGUGAUGAUUGGAUAAAUCAUUAAACAGAAAAAUCUCUUGACGAAAAGUAUCCUAGAUUAUCUCGCGCGUGAAUGCCGAAGAUCUAGACAUACAUUAUUGUAUUUUAGGGUACAAGAUUGGCUCUCUCUUUGUCACUGAUUUUGUAAGCGUCCUAUUGCCUUUGGAUGGUAAUUCUUUUUUGUAACUGUUCGACUUUAAAAUCGGCAAUGACCAGGAGUAACCAUCAUCGAUCAAGCCCUCUUAAGUGAACACUUAAAAAGAAUUAGUCUCUUAAUCGCUGGAAUUGUGUUAAAUCAGAGGUAUUGUUUGUAGAUAUCAUGAAUAAUGGGAAAAUUUCCAAAAAAGUCCUAAAUCUAUUGCACUUUAGCCAAUUAAGUCAUAAAUCUUUUAAUUACGUUAAUUGAAUCCUAAACCUUUUCACAUUUUGCCAACUGAGUUUAUUGAGUCAAUUUUAAGAAAAAUCACUGAUGUGAAUGCCAACUGUUUUACGUAGGAUGGUUGAUGCUAAUGUUGGCAAAUUCUUAUAUAUAUUAAAAAAUAGAAUUUUUUAAUUUUUUAAUUUUUUUAAUUUUACCGUGGCUUGUAAGAGUCGUCGGGUCCUUGCAGCUACUAGCGAAGACUCAGUGAUCCUUGCCGGACACGGCGAAAAAAAAGUAAAGGAGGAAAAGAGAAGAAAAGAAAAGAUAGAAAAAGAAGAGAAAAAGAAGAGAAAAAGAAGAGAAAAAGGUUCAUAAAAAUUCAAAAAAAAUGUUUAAAAUAUUUUAAAAAUUCUUCACAUUAGUGCCGGUUGUGCCACGUAAGAUAACCGGUGUCCACAUUAGCGAUUUUCUAAUAAAAUUGGCCAUAUGAACUCAAUUAGCAAAAUAUGAAAAUGUUUAAAAUUCAAUUGGCAUGACUGAAAGAUUAAUGACCGAAUUGGCAAAAGUGCAAUCUCUCUUCCAUCCUGAUUCUAAUCAUAGUUUAAACAGGGCAAAGUCCCAAACUUAUGUAAAGAACUUAAAUAUCCAAAAGUGAUGCAAUAUCUAGUAUAAAGUUCACACUUUAUGACUUUGUCCAAUCACAUAGCGUUGCUGCAACAGAUAGUUUGAAGACAUGUUUCGGCUGGUCUUCUUAUAUGCUAAACGUGAUAUCAUAAACAAACCACUAAGAAGGUUAGUUAGUAACCUUUUUUUUUUAUCGUUUGCCAAGCUUGUCGUUCCAUCAUCUAAUAAAUUCUCAAGUGGCAUUUGUAGAGAAAAGUUUUCAUCUCGGCUCACUGGCAAACUGAAAAUUGUAAUGGUCAAGAGUAAACGGUCAGGAUGAGCAACGAUAUUUAAAAGCACUCGUGUAGUUCUUCGCCUGUUAGUAUGCUAGACAUGGAAAAUGUCGAAUCAACAUCAAUUUAACAGUCUUUACUCGAAUAGCUACAGAACUAUGUAACAAAACACAAGGAAUAAGAAGAGAAUCCUGAAGCUCUAGACACGGCAUGACCAUGAAAAAUCCACCGAGAGCUGGUUUUUGUCCUCGGAGUAGAUGUGAAAAAUGUGGCAGAAUUAAAGAAUAAGCAGAGAUUCUUCGUAUCUAGCACUGUAAGCUUGCUCGAUGUAGAGUGAAACAAAGGGACAUUGCAUAGAAUUUGUACCUAUAUGAAGUUCACGAUGGCCGGGAGCAAUCCGCGCCCCAUGACCUCAACUUAAGUGCAUCACCGUAUCAAUAAUCAGUUCUUCCACAAGUGGAAUUGAUACGCAAUUUAUGCCCGAAUUGUCCUCUAUUCACCUUUCACUUGGGGACGGUUUUCCAUGAAUCUCUUCUAGCUCCUCGAGCCUGUUAUCGAGGGCUCUUCUAAGUGAGGCCAUAUGUAUAUGAUCGUUUGCUUCUGGAAGUCGGUUUAUGGAGACCUUGAAGUUCAGCCUAUGAAUUUUGCUGUACACUAGACGGGUCCUGUAGUCGUACUUCGAACACUUAUGUGAGGUUUCAAUUGUUCUCGCCUUCCUUUCAUGGUGCAGCAGAGCAACAAAUGCCAAAGGAAUUGGAAGGGACAGUUCCACAGCCUCCUGUCACAAUGAAUGGUCUUUCUCAUCAGGAUGAUUCUCCAAUGAGCGUGAUGAACUGCAGGAAUAAGUAAGAAACUCGAUUCUUGAGAUGUUUCUGUCUCAUAUCGUUUACUUUUUCUCAUUGCGUCGAACAUAGUACCUACUCUAGUGAUUAGCUUAACUUUUCAUUUCAAUCUGAAAGCUACUCACCUACAUUUAUAGGAUUCUUAAUAUAAAUUACCUGCUUGUGCACACUAUCUUAAUACAUGCAUCAUCCGAGAGCGCAAGUGCCUUUGAUGGCCUUGUGGCCUGAGGCCACGGCGUAAUUGUUUUUUUGCCUCGUCAAAAGUGUUGCUUCAGUGGACCUGAAUAUUCUUUUGAAAGUGAUGCUUCAGAGGACCUGAAUAUUCUUUUGAUAGGAAUCGUCUGUUUAGAUGAUCAUAAUUGCUACCAUUGGUAGAACACACUACCAAUAACAACAUGAUAGUCACGGUGUGCAUUCUAGUCGAACAACGUAGUUUCAACUUCGAGUUGUGAUGAUAACUGUGCUCGCACUUGUGGUUCUAAAAUGUUGAUGAACAGAGCUGAAUCUGACAAGCUGCUGGCCAUUCCUGUCGGUUUUGUUGGAUCAGAAGAGGCGGUAAGGUCUGCUCCACAUCUUGUACCUGGCGGUACUCUUGCUUGUCCUUCAUUGGAAGAACAAGGCAUGAGAAUAAAUGCUGCAUUAGACGCUGCACAUGCACCAAUUUCUCAUCUCUCGAACCUCAUUGCCGACGGCCACCAGGCUGCAAACUUCAGGGGACCUUUCCAACCAUCAGACUUUUAAUGGCUCGAAGCUUGAGCCACUUGGAUUCAUACCCUAUUCCUUACUUUCUCUGAAGGUAUUUAUGAUAUUUAACGCUUAGCUCGACAUUCAGCGUCGUCGAUCUUACUUGGUUUGGACUACCUACUGGCGAAUCUCUUCAUGUAAAGGUUUGGCUUGGAAUAUUACUUGUCAGCAUAGUUGCAUAGACAUGGCGGUUCUGUUCUUUUACCCAUCAGUGCAUUCGACUCGUGGUGCAACAAAUCUGAAAAAAGCUUUUAAUAUGCUAUUUGAGAGUCAGCUUUCAGCAGUGAUCUCGAACAAUUUCGUGUUCUCCAAACCGAGCCUUGUUCAGAGUCAUUGAAAGCCUUCAAUUUCUGACCUUGUACUAGGAAGGUCCUUCCUGCUUUAUCUGUUUCUAGAUACUUUAAAAACCAUCUACAGUAAUUGGAAAGGCCAUGCAGAAAAAGUUAAUUGCUGUUGUACUUGGCGAGGCGACCCAAGUUUAAGUAGCAGCAUGCGCUUUUGCCACUUCUCUAUGUAUUCUUACUCCUGAUGAAUGGCGUUGUUUGUAGCUUCCAUUCAGGAGUACCUUGCUAAUUCGGCAUCAGGUCAGGGUUCUCUGUCUGCAAUAUCUGAGUGAAGUGGAUAUCGCGAGUUCCUUAUCAACAUCGGUGUCUGGAGGAAUGUUUGCUAAGCAAGAAAACUCGUGCAGGGGAUAACAGUGAGGAAUAUAGUACUUGUUCGGAAGAAUGUAAGGCACCAUCUCAUGAUUUAUCAUUGAGUGAAUGCACAAAUUCUUACUGCAUUGAGAUAUUGUGCUUUUGUAAUACAUCACAUCCUCUAACAUGACAUCACGUGUUCAAUUUUUAUUCAUCGUAAAGGCAAAAACUGAUAGCCACUCUGUCUAUCCUCUUUGACGUGCGCCAAUCGUUCAUCGGUUAGGCUAGGACCCAUCUAGAAACAAGAGGUCGAAGUCAGAGAUUGCUUGAGCAGGUAGCUGACGUCGAGCUGGUUGAUCGAGUGGGGGUUGAAGGGUGGCGGUGAGAGCUUUUGAUGGAAAUGAGAGAGAUUCGUUGCUCAAAAUGCAUACAUUAACAUGAAGAAAAAAUUACAUUGUUAUGCCAAGAGGAUUCAGGACAUAAUGAAUCUAAAUGAAAACACCAAUGCUAUAUGAAAAACAUGUAAAAGCUUCACAGAUUACGUUAUCAAUGAUGGUACAUGCUGAUAGUGUUAAUUAUAUUUUGCAUCUCAUUUCUAGAGGAGAACAAUCACACAAUACAUGAUUUCAUGAACUCAUUGUCGUGGUCAAAUUGGUAACUGCCAGAAAUUAUUGGAGCACUUGACGAAGAUGAGACCAUUUCAAGUUCUAUCUCAUUGUUGUCAUCAUUAGUCAGUGCCUCUAUUGGAUACAAAAGCAAUUUUGGAGGUAGUUGCAGUUUAUUGAUAUCUCCUUCAAGCAUAUCUAGAACUUUCCUCAUUGACGGCCGAUCAUUAGGACUCAGCUAUAUGCACCAUAGCGCAACGAUUAUCAUCUUCCUCGUUUCUCUUUCCUCUUCUAUGACUUCUACCCUUUCAAUCUCCUUUUCUUUGUUGAGUUGAUCAUAAACCCACAAAGGAAAGUAAAUUUGACUUGAAUGCCCUGCAUGGUGCAUUUAUAUUUCUCCUUCUACCGGCCAUUUCCAUCAACAUCAUCCCAAAACUAUAAACAUCGGCUUUAUAAGAAAUGCCACCAAUGUCUUUGUAGAAUAGCUCAGGCGCCAUAUAACCCAAGGUUCCUCUUGCUGUAGUCAACGAUACUAUGCUAUGACCGAUGGGAUAAAGUCUUGCUAGUCCAAAGUCAGAAAUUUUUGGAGUGAAACUUUGGUCUAGGAGAAUGUUGUGAGGCUUGAUAUCAAAGUGUAGAAUUUGCAUAUCACAUCCCCGAUGUAGAUACUCUAUCCCUCUAGCUAUGCCAAGAGAGAUCUCAUGCAUUUUCUUAUAAUCAAGAGGAUCAUCACCAUCCUUAUUCGAAAUGUGUUUAUCCAGGGAGCCAUUUGGCAUGAAAUCGUAGACCAGAGCUUGUUUGGAGUAAUCGAAGCAAAAACCAACAAGUUGCACUACAUUGAUGUGGUGGAUCAUUCCAAUUGUGGCCACUUCACUAAUAAAAUCUUGGCCAUUAGAUUCUGGUUUGUUCAAAAUCUUAACCGCAACUUCAUUGCCACUUCUAAGGAUUCCUCUGUACACAAAACCAUACCCCCCCUCACCUAAUUUGCAUUUGAAAUUUUUUGUAAUCUUCUUAAUAUCCGAAUAGGAGUACCUUAUGGGCAGAAAGUUAUUGUGAGCUUGUAGGAAUACUUCAAUGUUUGUGUCGAUCGCUUGGUGCCUUCUUAUCCACUUAUAGAUUAGAAGUAUCAGCACACAUAGAGCUCCGAGUAUGAAUCUUGCUGCGACGUAAUUGGCUGCGUAGAAAUUUUCCAUAGAUUAGCGUAGUGCAACGAAAGAAUUUUAAACGUAAUUUUUUUUUUUAUCAGAGUGGUGCUUGAGAUCUUCAUAGUUGUGAGGAGAAAAGGGCUAGGAAGUCAUACCCAAGACAAAGGCGAGGCUCCGGCCCACAUAUGGCGCAAAAUAAGGGCUGAACUCCAUUGCAUAAUCUAAGGUGACCGAAAAUGACUGAUUAGAAUCGAUGAUCAAACAAUGAAGAAUUAAAUCUAUCAUUUUAGCAUUUAAACAUAAAAAAUAAUUCACUCUCCCAGAUAAGUGCUCAGAUCGCAGUUUAUUCUAUUCACUUGGGGAAUCCAUGUUAUCGUAACAUGACCAUUUCUCUAAAGAAAACACGAUUUCGCUUUUGUCUUCUCAAGGAGUACCAAAUGAUUCAUAAGUUCACAUCUCACUGCGCCAUAAUUCUAAUUUACAAACAUCAUCCAGGACGCGUGCAAUUUAUUCACCCGCAUAAGAAUAACAGCCAUGCAAGGGACACGAGCAACUAUAAAUCAACCAUUUCCCCCCAAACAAAUAUAAAGUAAUAGUGUCAAAUCCAGAAAAAAAAAGGUCCAUAAAUUGUAAAAUUAAAAAGAUCAAUGCAUGCCAAAUCUACUAAGAAAUCUUAUCCAACUUUUCAACUUAGGUGAUGUGGCAUUUUUUUUUUCUGUUGUGUUUUUAGAGAAAGUAGUGUCUUAAUGUGUGGAUUGUAUUAAAAACACCCAACUAAAACUUGCCACAUCACUUGGUAACUAAAUUUGGUAAGAUCUCGUAGUAAAGCUAGGAUUUAAGAAAAGGAAGAAGAAGAAGAAAGAAAGAACACCUUUAAGGGGAACUCCCUUGCGGAACAGAAAACCACCGCAACCCUCCAUUCGGUAUCCGAAACUUAAGUAGCGACACCAAAAAAUUCUUCCUGACAUGGUCAAGGGUUCUCCCCAAUAGUAGAGAUUGAAUCCCUCGGCCAUCUUGUUGUGGAGGUCCUUGUAUGUUAAGCUCCCAUUCUGAUCCCCUUCCCGCCCCGAGAUUUGAUACAAUGCGAAUGCCGUCAUGGUUACGAUGCAGGAGUCCUUGAUAUCCCCUGCUUUUAAGUUCUCUACAGCGUAUGUGUUGACACCUCAAUUUUAAUUAGGUUAAUUUUAUUAAUUAAGUUUUUAAUUAAUUUUGUCUUUUCGGAUAAACAGAUAAUAAAAAGAUAAAAAAAAAAAAAACAGGAAAAAGAACCAAAGCAAAGCAAAAGCCCAGCCCAUUUUUCUUUUUUCCUUUCUCUUCCCCCUCCGCGUGGCCCCUAUGGCCCAUUUUCCUUCACCCCUGGCUCGGCCCCUUUUCUCUCUUCUUCUUCUUCCUUCCCUCUCCUUCGCCGCUGCAACUCACACGCGCGAGGGAAUCCGACGCGCGAAGGACAGCCUACGGCCGAGGAGAGUAGGCCGACGUCGGCCGGAGAGGAUAAGAUCAGGCGCCAUUAAUGUUGAGCGAGCUUCGCUGGAAAGCUCGAUGGGACACCGGUUUAGCCGAGCGGAACCGGUGGGCAAGUCGGAGGCCAGUGACCGAGCCCCUCCGUCGACCGGAUUUCCUUUGCCUAUAAAUAGGUGGCCGCAAGCAUCGUCGGAGGGUGUGGCGAACUCGGAGAUCCUUCACUGAGAGACAUCGGGAAGGAUCGAAGGGCGAGCGCAGGAGAGAACUCGAGUCGCAAGCUCAGCCCACCCUCCACCGAGAGACUUCGGGGAAGGCCGGCGGCGAGCGACUUCGAGAAAGUCAGAUCCGGCCGGUGGAGGCUCGGAUCUGGCCUGAGUGAGAGAAGAUCGAGACCGAGGAAGGUCCGGCCGAGAUCUACGCCUCAGAUCUGGUUUUUUUGGCUGCUGUUGUUGCCGCCGAACGCCGUGCCGCCGCCGUUCGCCCCGACCGAGAUCCCGACGCCGUUGCUGCGACCGAUUCGCCCAAAGCCGCACCAGAUCUGAGAGCUGAGGGGCGUCGUCUCUGCCCUGUCGUCCCGACCACCACCGUUUGUCGCCACGUCCCGCCGUUGCUACAGCCAGGUAAACGCCGACGCUUGCCAUUCGUCCUUGCCGCCUCAGUCACCACGAGAUCCAGUCCCUGGUCGCGCUCUAUCCAUCGUUCCCCUCUGCAUCUCCACGUAGUCAUCGCCGCCAUGCCGCCACGACGCAUCCUCCUACUGCGGCUGUCCUCUGUAUCGCCACCGUCAUCGACGCCGAUCCGCCGUCUCAGCCCCUCCGUCAGUGCCGCGUCUAAGCGAAAAAAGAGGCGGCGUCGCGUCGGGUCAGGCUUGGGGCAGAAGUGGGUCGCGGCCGGGUAGGGUUCCACGAAUCGGGUCGCGGCUGCGAACCGGGUCAAGCAUGGGUUGCGGAUCGGGUAGGGUUUCGCCUGGGUCGGGUCAUGCGCGUGGGCUAGGCGAUUGUUGGGCUGAAGUUCUUUUGACGAAAAUGGGCUAAAUCGCAUGGGCUUGUGUUUUUUUUAAAGAAAAACCAAAAAAGGGCCUGAGUCGGGCCCGCGUUGUGGGCCUGUCCAGACGACUCGGGUCGGUCCCAACCCGGGAACCCGACCCGGGUCGUUUUUUUAAAUAUAUUAAUAUAAAAUGUUUUAUUUUCUAAAAAAUCGAGAAAAAUAAAAAAUAAUUUAUUUUCCAAAAAUAUUUUCGAAAAAAUAUUAAAAAAUAUUUUAUUUUCCAAAAUAGCCAAAAAUUCAGAAAAAGCCAAAUAGACUUGUAUUUUUCCAAAAAAUACCGAAAAAAUCCCUUUUAUGUCCAAAAAAUGAGAAAAAUACUCAAAAAAUGUUUUUCCUCCCAAAAAUGCAUGGAAAAUCUCUCAAAAAUCCAAAAAGCCUUAGGGUUUAAACAAGAUUAGGUACCGAAAGGGCAUUAGUGAUUAACUAGUGUAAUCAAGUCCCCGAUCCUAAUUUCUCUGGUUGCGCAGGAGCAAGUAUUUCUCCCGAUACUUCGCUUGGGUUUCUAAUCGACCCACCCCAAACCGAUUAGUGGCGACUCCGUUUUAAAAUUAGUUUACAGGUUAAAAAAAAUUAGAUUAUUAAAGUCGUGAAUUGGUGGACUUGGGAGAGUCCGGGCUUAAUAAUUUCAGCCGAGCCAUUAGCCUCCUUAGGCGCUCGUACCCGAUCGCGGGCGUCGCCAAAAAAAAAAGAGGUCGCGACAGCUUGGCGACUCCGCUGGGGAAAAUUUUGAAGACUUAGGCUGUUUUUAUCUUUGUUUAAAUGCUUUGCUGACUUGGAUUUUUUUCUUUUGUGCAGGGUAAUAGCUUAAAGUUUUUUAUUUUUAUUUUGUGAAAAUAAAAUGUUUUGUGAUGAUAAACUGCUGUGCAUCCUUAAAUGUUUUAGCACUACACAUGGCACACACAACCCGGCCGCCAUAGGAUUUCUAGGAUGGUGUUAAGAAAGAUACGACCUCGAACGCGAGACUGCGAUGUAGAGGUUGCCUUUCUUUUCCCCGAAUUUCUUAGCCGAGGUUAGGAGGGUAUGCUGCUAACGCGAGACUGCGACGGGCGGAUAUCCUUUUAAUCUCACCAAUCCUUCUAAGUUAGAAAUUGAGCCGCACGUCCCAUGCGCAUGUCUUUGUGCUUGCCAUUUUUUUAAAAGCAAAGUGAUUUCUUUACUGUUACUCAGUCUUUUUAUUUGGCCCAUGGCAAUUUAGGAUAAGCUUUUCAAGUCUCAGUUUAUAUGCGAUGGGGAAAGACGAUAUCCAGUUCAUUCCUGCUCCUAAGGCGGAACUCUUCAGAUGGUGGGGUCAAUUGGAUCAGCUUGCCCAAGAGCGCGUGAAAGCCAAAAUUGGUCAUCUCCUAUCGUUGAUUCAAAUCACUGUUCGUCCCGAAGUCAUACAGGCCAUGGCACAGUUCUGGUGCUUGAAAACGACUACUUUUAUGUUUGGUGGGUUUGAGCUAACCCCAACUUUGGAAGAAUACAACAUCAUCACUGGAAUGCCUCUCGAGAAAAAGCUUGUUAGGCCAUCGACAAGCUUCCUCCCGUGGCAAGGGUUAGCGCGACUUUUAGGAACUGAAAUCCAUGUCAUGAGACAAAUUCUUGAAGGCAACCAUAAUACCUGCCCACUAGAAUUCAUGAAUGCCUGUUUUCAAAAUCAGCCUAUGACCCAAAAAAGCGAGAUUUUCCUCCUGGGUUUGGGUUUUUUUGGGUUCAUCAUUUUCCCCCAUCAAAGAAAUGUCAUAAGUCCUAAGAUGGCAUGGAUAGUUGAUCAAAUCUUGAGGGGGCAAAAUUAUGUCAAUAUGAUUUUAACUGAAACAUUCUUGUCCUUUAAUCGUUUUAAAGACAACACAGAGAAAAUCAUGCGAGCCUCUCCUGAAAUUUUACAAGUCUGGUUCUUUUCUCACCUAAGCGAAUUCCAAGGCUUCAUGCGAUCAUCUGGAAUGAAUGACUUCGAAAAUCCAUUACAAAAAUUUAUGGUUUUAGGACCAUACAUUCCCAAUCAAAGCUAUUUAAAUUGGAUAAAUUUCCUAAUGGACCCGGCUCCUGAGGCAUUCCAAUGGUGUGCUGGUUGGUUCUAUGAAAAGAGAGCUCGCUUUGCUUUCAAGUGCCGCCAUCCAAUUUCCCUACUCGGCCUCACCGGUGCUUUUUCCUAUUUCCCACAACAGGUGGCACGACAGUAUGGAGCCCUUCAGGAGAUCCCGCCAUCUUUCAAGAAGAGGACCCCUCCACUUCUCUUCACUCAUCAAAAUUUUGAAUACAUGGUUGACAUUUAUGAAGAAGCAUGGAACAAGUGCCAUCGUAAAAGGAUCGUGCUACCUGAAGGGCUUGAGGGAGAAGAAAAAGCCCACCACGCCUCCAUGUAUUACAUCCACAACCAUUGUAUCCCGACAAGAUGGAAGCCAUCGGUCCCUCACUCAAUCAGCGAGAGCAGCCAGCACGAGCAAGCAGAGCUCAUGGAGAGGGAUUUGGGAAUGGACUGGAUGCAUACCUCAGAGCCAGUUCAAGAAAGCAAGCAUCCGUGCAAGCGUAGGACUCCCCGUCGCAUAUAAAUUGGCAAACAUGUGCCCCUUAGUGUUAAUAGUGUGAAAGUUUUGUCCCAUUGUUUAGGGACUUUUGUCUAAUAUCUAGUAUUUCAUCCCGUCAUUUCAAUUUCAAGUCAGGAGUUUGCAGUCUAUAAAUCCUCUUUUGAUAAAUAAAAAAAGCAGUUAGAUCAUUGCCAUGGGUCAAUCUUUGUUUACUUUCGUGCUCAUUCAUUGUUUUCGCAACGAAUAGGUAAUUAUGAAUCGCCGGCCACCAAUUGCUCGUGAAUGGCCUCAUGCAAUAGGACCCGAUCAGAAUGAUGUACAAAAUCGCCUUAUUAACAUUGAAGAUGGCGUAGGACAUAUGUCCAUUGUCCUUCAAGAACUCUCAAGACAAAUGAAAUCCACUCAAGCUAAGCCCAACUCUAUAGUUGCCUCAAACACCGUCAUGAUACUUGCAAAUUUGCCAGAAAAUAGCCAGUACCAUAGACAGUUUGAAAAGAUCAUGAAAAAGUUAAGCCAGCUGCAGGAGCAUAAUCCCAUGGACAUGUCUAAUUACGUCGGCAUUGAGAUUCCUGAAAAACUCAAAGCACCUGAAUGCGAAAGGUAUGCUGAUACUUUCCGCCCAGAGACCUACUUGCAGGCCUACUUGGUCCGAAGGAUGAUUCAAUCGUACCAAUCGAGCUUGACUGGCCCUGCCUUGCGAUGGUACAUUAUCAGGAAGAUUAGUCCCCUUAAAGCCUGGAGGGAACUAAUUCAUGUUUUUCACCAAGAAUAUGAUAUUGACAUCAGCCCUGACAUAGCCUUGCCCUACGAAGAACUGAUGAUCGCGAAGCACGAGGAGCCGUUAGUCACUGGGAUAAGAGAAGAGCAUGUCAAUGAAGCCUUGCAUGAUAAAUGGGCAACUGAGCAACAUCUCGUUACUGGAAAAUUUCUCACUAGGAAAGGCAAGGAGCUUUUGUACGAGAUCAAAAACACAGAGCCUGUUCAAGACCGGGGCACGACUGGACAACUCCCCAAGCUUACUCCAAGAGCUAGGGUCCAAAGAAUACCAACCCCUAUCAACUUGGAAAGCGAAUCAAACAGUGAAACUCUAAUGUCUCUCACUUCCCUUGACAGAAUCAAGCUGGCAAAACGAAGGGCCUUACUCAAAAGGUUUGAACCAGAAGCCAAGAAAAGAAAGCCUAAGCAGAUCAAUGCAGCAUCUGCCGACGAGCCACCGCACCAAAGCUUCGAACAUUCCCAAGAAUACAGCUUUGAAGGCUACCAUCCCCUGGAGGACAACCCUGAAGACUUCCCGGCUCCAGAAUACAAUCCCAAGGACUUCUAGCGUUAUUUCGACAAUGAAACUGACGAUUCAUCGUAUAACUGUUUCCUACUCUCAUCCGGGGAUGAAGGCCCGUAAGAAGAAGAAGAAGCACGCGUCUUUAUCCAUUACGAUCCUAACGAAGUACUAAGCUCGUCCUCUAACCAUGAGGAUAGCUUCAAUACUUUAUUCUCGUUCGGAAAUUUUGACCCAGAAGAAAGCAAUGGGAUAAUCUCGGUAGAAUCCAACUCCCCUGAAACAGAAAAAUUCACCACUACAACGGAUAUGCAGUGGAAAAACCAGUGGCCUAACCAAGAUACAUCAAGCCCGUCUUGCGCUCAUAGGAUCAUGACCCCUGGAGAGAUGUGGAUACCUAAUCUCCGCAAGUAUAAUGGCACGACUUGCCCCGUGGCCCACUUGCAGUACUUCCAUGCUGAAAUGAGUCGAUACUAUGGCCCGAUAUCAUUCACAACUUAGGCCUUCCAAGAGAGUCUUACGGGAUCUGCAUUACAAUGGUUCAUCACAGCAGAUAUAUACCUCAUGAGAGAUUGGGAAUGAGCUGUCUUCUGCAUUCCUGAUUCAGUAUCAAAGCCAGAUUGGAAUUUGAAGUGCCUUGUCAGAACUUGGUUCACUUCAGAGAAGACCAAUGGAGGAUUUCCGAGCAUAUGCAAGGAGGUGGGAGGCUUUUAUGAUGCAAACUUACCCUCGGCUGGCCGAAGAAGAGAUGAUAAAGCUAUUCAUACGGGCUUUACCUCGCAAACAUCGUUGUUGGUUGUAUGGGUUGCAUUUCCAUAGCUUCAAUGAAGUGGUCCUCUCAUGUGAAUACUUCGAGUCUACUGGAGGCGAGGAACUCAAAGGCGCUUGAUUUCAGAACCAACACUAUCAAAGCACUCCUUUACACAGGAGUUUUCAUGGGUUUUACUUGUUUUUAUAAUUUCAUGUUUCUUAUCUUAUCUAGUGUACUACGGUUGUAUUUUCCAUUCCAAGUACUCUAUUGUACAGUUAUAAUAUUUUGUUUUAAGAGCAUGAGGCGGUACUCCAAACCAGCCCGGUGAUGCUAUCCAACCAUGAAAAAAUAUAUCAUCCAAGGAGAAUACUGAGGGCUGGGCUUCCUCAUGCUUUUUCUUCCCCCAAAGACGUAUUUUGAAAAUAAAAAAAUAUAUAUUUCAUCACCCAAAAAGCUUUUGUUAAAACAAGAUGAUAAAUUUAAUCAUGUUUGUCUUUCUGACUCACUCACUUCAUGUCUAAGAAGAUAAUUCCCGUCCCCUUUGACUUAGUGUGACAGGGGGCAUUUGAAGCAAGCGCAUAAGGUGAACUCGCCAAAUUCAAAGACACCAUGCCAAGAAAACAGGGGCAAAUAGAAAGAAUCAUCCUACACCAAAAGAAGGACGUAAUAGGUACAUGCAUACGGUUGGAAUCAAGCCGUUCCCAAGAGCUCUGUACACUCCACCUUGCUCCUGCUCAACUCCUUCACAAGCUAGAGCAAUAUCCUUUCCCCACAAUGUGCCUGAGCAACCAGAUGCUGUGGUUUCAUCAACGGGACUUCCAGCUUUGACAAGCCUAGAAGCACAAGGAGGGGAUCUUUUCUCUUUCUUUGAAUUGGCUACUGUCAACAGGGAAGAAAUCCAGACAGUUGAAUCAGUCUCUAGCCCCUAUUCAAAAUGAAGACCUAGAAACCCGACUUCCUAUUCAGACGCAUGCUCUCGCAAGAAAUAAUUGCCAUCAGAGAAUUUGAGGUUUUGAUUGUCCAUCUCAGAUUCCAUAGAAGCUUGAGGUACAUGACUUUUGCCCAAUGAUGCUAUAGUUAAAGACAGAAAGAGAAAUUCCACAGAAGGAAGGCGUUGAAGAUGAAUCAACGACCAGCAAUCAUGCAUACAUGGUCACAAGUGAGGAAGGCCAAUCGAAAGAAAUGUCAAACUAUGCCAAGACGAAAAGGCUGUCAUCGACAUUCAAACAUCAUCAGGAGUCAGCAAAUACAAACUUUGGAGAAGAGUAAUUUGGUAUCGUUUCUAAUACUCCCCCUUCUUUGAAUUCACUUUUGACAUAUUCCCCCUAUUGACAGGGAGCAUCACAACUCAAGAACCAAACUCAAUGGUUAGGCAAAUCAAUAUUGGCCAAGCUAGUACGUGGAAAUGACCCACAUCAAAUUCACCGGGCUUCGUGUAAAAAGACAUGUCAUCUAGGAGCUAAUUCAGAGAAUAAUUGACCUAAUGAAGCAAGGGACAUAGGACUUCGUGUCCCCCUCUCACUUCAGGUUCACCCAAUCAUCUGCAAACCAGUGAAGGGUAAAAUUGUAUCGAUUCCAGUUAUUCGACUCUUGAGAGAGUUCAUGACUAACACAUUCCCUCUUGUUUGUUGCAGGAUCACCUGACUGUCAAAAGCAAGGAUAAUGAAUCAAUGAGAAGCAUGUCUUGUUUGUUGCAGGAUUAACUGACUAUCAAAAACAAAGAUAAUAAAUCAAUGAGAGGCAUGACAAACUCUCCUAAGCGAAAUGGCGUCCUAAGUAAUCGCCAAAGCAAAUGACAGAAAAUCUUUAGGCCUCAACCCACAUUUGAUUUUGGCCAGACUAAUUGAUCUACUUGUACAUCUUCUCUUCUGCAGGGGCAAAAGCAGAGAGGCCCGAUCAGAUUCCCAACCCCGGCUGAUCCUUCAUGUGUCAUAUCCCUAACCAAUAGGGACAACUAUCGACACCCAUUUGCGAAUAACCCUUUUGAUGUUCAAAAUCUAACAUAUUUGGAAAUACCAUUAUGUUAGCCCAUAAAGUUGUCAAUAGGGUCUUUUUUGAGUCAAAACCAUUCACUUGUUUUGAAGAGUUCAAACUCCAUCAUAUUCGAAAUGUUGCAUGUCGUUUCCAGAUGAAUUCUGCAUGAUGAUUUCGUCUGUCUAAGUCACUGAUUCCACUGAGGAUUAUUAGAAUAGACAGCUAAGUGAAGAAUACAAGAUUAAUUGAGCAUGCUAGAUGAGGCGUGUCAGAAUGAUGACAGGCAAGCCAUAUCCUACACACAGUCCCCCCAUCUAUACACUUGUGAGAUGAGUGCAGAAGAUUCCAUGGCUGCAGGGUAAAGAGUUCUCUCGCGAAUGGUACGAUAACCAAAAUAGUGAGAGGCAUUCCAUCGCUCACCCCAUUGAGCCCUAUACAUUGGUGAAGCUUCUCUCAUUACCCCGUCAAGAACAACCCCUACACCGGNNNNNNNNNNNNNNNNNNNNNNNNNNNNNNNNNNNNNNNNNNNNNNNNNNNNNNNNNNNNNNNNNNNNNNNNNNNNNNNNNNNNNNNNNNNNNNNNNNNNCACUUGCAUCAAUCUUUGGGUGUCUUUAUUGCAUAUGAACACUCACAUUAAUUUAAGUGCCUAGAGUCAUGAAGAGCAAUUCUUUCUUUACGCACUUGUAUCUAUUGUACAACUCAAUUGAGUCUGUAAAUUCACCCUCACAUGGAGGCAAAACAAAAGUUACUACCAUUUAAGCAGCAUGGCCCAGAGCGCGCCUACUGAAGAUGAAGACUCAAGAGUCUAAUAACGGUGCUUCAGUUGAGCUUGCAUAGGCCAGUUCCUCUAACGACAAUAAUGAAAAAACAUGGGCAUAAAAAAAAGCAGUGUACCUGGUAAAAGCAAGGUCAAUGCCCAUAAAAGAAGAACUGGAAUAAAAAUAUGGGCAUGAAAAAAGCAGUGUGCCUGGUAAAAGCAAGGCCAAUGCCCCCUAGUAAAAAAUGCAGCCAAGAAAAUGUUGCUGUUGUGGUCCAUAGAUACUCCAUUUGACAGUGAGAAGAAAGACUGGUGACAAAUGCCAAGGCAAUCACCAGCUCUACCUUUUUACACAUGAAUCAAGCCUACUUUGCAUCCCAUUGUAAAAGUCUCUUCAGACUAGGGGCACUUCAAUUAACGUAGGAUUUCAUAUGUCCAUAAGCAUUGCUCGAAGAAGUACGAGGAAGAUUACUCUAUCACUUUUCGCAGGGUUCUUGACUUGUAAACCCGGAGAUGAUCGUGCAACAUUUUCGUCCAUCAGCUUCAACCUUGAUGGUCCCCUUCGAUGAGCCACUAACCAAGACUUCAUCACAGUUUCAACAAAGACCUCUCACAUUGGUAAAGUCGUACCGUUUGCGAGAAUACUCAGACCCCUGCUGACAUGAUGACAGUGAGAUAGUGUGGUCCUUAUGAAUCCUGCAUCAAUGGUCAGGAUAGCCUUUUCCAUGAGAGUGAGCGAAAAGUCCUUUCAGACUGAAAGUCCCUCAUCUGGCAUGCUCAAGACAUCUACAUUCUAAAUGAAGGUUGUCUUUCAAAAAUCUUCCCCAGUGGAAAUCAAAAGAUGCAGAACUGACAAAAUUAUCAUGCAUGAAUCUCAUUUGAACUCAUGAAUUUAUAGCAUAUACAAUCAUGUGUGCAUAUUGUGCAAAUAGCAGACAUACUCUCAGAGAGCAGAGAUAUUACCAGGUAAGCAUAUCCCUAUCCACAUUUGUCUUAAGGUACCUACCACUGUCUAGGUACUCUCUUCUUGACACUCAACCUAUUCAAGUUGUCCCUUGAGUUUUGAUGCUUACUGCUGUCUUAGCAUCCCAUUGUCUUUGAGUACCGGUCACCGUUCGGAUACUCCCUUUUCUUGACACUCGACCUAUUCGAGUUGUCCCAAGAGUAUUAAUACUUGUGACUGACCAAGUAUCCCUUUAUCGUUGAAUACCUACUGCUGUCUAGGUAUCCCUAUUAUCUUUGAGUACCGGUCACCGUUCGGAUACUCCCUUUUCCUGACACUCGACCUGUUCGAGUUGUCCCCAGAGUAUUGAUACUUGUGACUGACCAAGUAUCUCUUGGAAUACCUACUGCUGUCUAGGUAUUCCCAUAUCGUCAAGUACCCACCGUUGUCUAGGUACUUACUUUUCAUGACACUCAACUUGCCGAAGUUGUCCCCAAAUAAUAGCAGUUGUUCAAGCAUUCCACUGCUUUGUGUGCCUGCGCCUACCCAGGUAUGCUUUCUUACACUUGGACCAACUGAGUGGUCCCAGGUUGUAUCAUUAAAUACUUGUGUUCAUCCAAGUAUCCCAAUACUUUGUACACCUGUGGCUAUCCAAGUGUUCCACCCCUUUUAAGUGCCUGCGGCAAUCCAGGUAAGCCUCGUGCUACAUUCAAAUUCUCUUUACCAGGAGGUGAGAAACCUUCACGAAUAUCUAAGGUACGUCCUCGAUAUUCCAACUACCAGGAGGUGAGAGACCUUCACGAAUAUCCCAGGUACGUCCUCGAUAUUCCCCUUUACCAGGAGGUGAGAGACCUUCACGAAUAUCCCAGGUACGUCCUCGAUAUUCCCCUUUACCAGGAGGUGAGAGACCUUCACGAAUAUCCCAGGUACGUCCUCGAUUUCCCCUUUUCCAGGAGGUGAGAGACCUUCACGAAUAUCUCAGGUACGCCCUCGAUAUUCCAAAUUACCAGGAGGUGAGAAACCUUCACGAAUAUCCCAGGUACAUCCUUGAUAUUCCCCUUUUCCAGGAGGUAAGAGACCUUCACGAAUAUCCCAGGUACAUCCUUGAUAUUCCCAAUUACCAGGAGGUGAGAGACCUUCACAAAUAUCUCAGGUACGCCAUCGAUAUUCCCAACUACCAGGAGGUGAGAGACCUUCAUGAAUAUCCAAGGUACAUCCUUGAUAUUCCCAAUUACCAGGAGGUGAGAGACCUUCACGAAUAUCUCAGGUACGCCCUCGAUAUUCCAAAUACCAGCAGGUGAGAGACCUUCACGUAUAUGUAAGACCCAUCCUCGAUAUUUCCACAUGAAUAUCUCAGGUACGUCCUCGAUAUUCUAUGCACCAAGAGUUUGUACCUGUGAUCGUCCAGGUACCCCUCCGAUGCUUGUGAUCAUUCAGGUAUCCCCAAAUAGUUUGUACCUGUGAUCAUCCAAGUACCCCUUCGAUACUUGCAAACGUCCAGGUAUCCUCCAAGAGUUCGCACUUGUGAUCAUCCAAGUACCCGUCCAUUGCCUAUGAUAAGCCAAAUGCCCCUUUUUGAUGCUGGCAAAGGCCCAAAUAUCCUUCAGGUUAGUACUUGUGAAUAUCCAGGUACUCAUUGAUAUGCCUAUGAAUGUCCAGGUAUCUUCCAACUGGUGUCUUCGACAGAAGUCAGACACCCCACAAAUCGAUGCCCUGAGAAAGGUCGGCGCAUCCUCCCGAGAAAGGUCGGGUUCCAACUGGUGUCUUCGACAGAAGUCAGACACCCCACAAAUCGAUGCCCUGAGAAAGGUCGGCGCAUCCUCCCGAGAAAGGUCGGGUUCCAACUGGUGUCUUCGACAGAAGUCAAACACCCCACAAAUCGAUGCCCUGAAAAAGGUCGGCGCAUCCUCCCAAGAAAGGUCGGGUUCCAACUGGUGCCUUCAACAUAAGUCAGACACCCCAGCAAAACAGAUGCUCCGAGAAAGGUCGGUGCAUCUCCCGAGAAAGGUCGGGUACCAACUGGUGUCCACGAUACAAAUCAGGCACCCACAAAUGAGAUGCCCUGAGAAAGGUCAGUGCAUCUCCUGUCAAGGCGACCGAAGAAAGGUUCGGGUCCUAGACAAAUCAUGGAUUGUUUUAACAGGCGACCGAAGAAUGGUUCGGGUCCUGGAGAAGCAACUCCCGUCACGGCGACCGAAGAAUGGUUCGGGUCCGAGACAAACCACUGAUUACUCCAACAGGCGACCGAAGAAUGGUUCGGGUCCUGGAGAAGCAACUUCCCGUCACGGCGACCGAAGAAUGGUUUGGGUCCGAGACAAACCACUGAUUACUCCAACAGGCGACCGAAGAAUGGUUGGGGUCCUGAAGGAGUAAUCUCCCGUCAAGGCGACCGAAGAAAGGUUCGGGUCCUAGACAAAUCAUGGAUUGUUUUAACAGGCGACCGAAGAAUGGUUCGGGUCCUGGAAGAGCAGUUUCCCGUCACGGCGACCGAAGAAUGGUUCGGGUCCGAGACAAACCACUGAUUACUCCAACAGGCGACCGAAGAAUGGUUGGGGUCCUGGAAGAGCAAUCUCCCGUCAAGGCGACCGAAGAAAGGUUCGGGUCCUAGACAAACCAUUGAUUGUUUUAACAGGCGACCGAAGAAUGGUUCGAGCCCUGGAAAAGCAACCUCAUAUCACCAGGUAAGAUGAUGCCUUGAUACUUGCCAAAACUCGGGGUUCACACCCUAUCUCACUCACUCUCGGUAAGUAACUACAUGUAUCUUCUUAUCUGUCUUAGUAUACGUAAAGUUAUAUUGCUCUUUUUCUGCAUAGAACAAUAGGUUCCAAAUAAAAUAUAAUCUACUACGCAUGCAUGGGUAAAAUUGAGGCAUCAGUCUGUCUUUGAAUGCAACCUUUGCGAGCUCACCUUCAAAGAGGGGCAGCUGUUGACACCUCAAUUUUAAUUAGGUUAAUUUUAUUAAUUAAGUUUUUAAUUAAUUUUGUCUUUUCGGAUAAACAGAUAAUAAAAAGAUAAAACAACAAAAAUAAUAAUAAAAACAGGAAAAAGAACCAAAGCAAAGCAAAAGCCCAGCCCAUUUUUCUUUUUCCCUUUCUCUUCCCCCUCCGCGUGGCCCCUAUGGCCCAUUUUCCUUCACCCCUGGCCCGGCCCCUUUUCUCUCUUCUUCUUCUUCCUUCCCUCUCCUUCGCCGCUGCAACUCACACGCGCGAGGGAAGCCGACGCGCGAAGGACAGCCUACGGCCGAGGAGAGUAGGCCGACGUCGGCCGGAGAGGAUAAGAUCAGGCGCCAUUAAUGUUGAGCGAGCUUCGCUGGAAAGCUCGAUGGGACACCGGUGGGCAAGCCGGAGGCUGGCGACCGAGCCCCUCCGUCGACCGGAUUUCCUUUGCCUAUAAAUAGGUGGCCGCAAGCAUCGUCGGAGGGUGUGGCGAACUCGGAGAUCCUUCACUGAGAGACAUCGGGAAGGAUCGAAGGGCGAGCGCAGGAGAGAACUCGAGUCGCAAGCUCAGCCCACCCUCCACCGAGAGACUUCGGGGAAUGCCGGCAGCGAGCGACUUUGAGAAGGUCAGAUCCGGCCGGUGGAGGCUCGGAUCUGGCCUGAGUGAGAGAAGAUCGAGGCCGAGGAAGGUCCGGCCGAGAUCUACGCCUCAGAUCUGGUUUUUUUGGCUGCUGUUGUUGCCGCCGAACGCCGUGCCGCCGUCGUUCGCCCCGACCGAGAUCCCGACGCCGUUGCUGCGACCGAUUCGCCCAAAGCCGCACCAGAUCUGAGAGCUGAGGGGCGUCGUCUCUGCCCUGUCGUCCCGACCACCACCGUUUGUCGCCACGUCCCGCCGUUGCUACAGCCAGGUAAACGCCGACGCUUGCCAUUCGUCCUUGCCGCCUCAGUCACCACGAGAUCCAGUCCCUGGUCGCGCUCUAUCCAUUGUUCCCCUCUGCAUCUCCACGUCGUCAUCGCCGCCGUGCCGCCACGACGCAUCCUCCUACCGCGGCUGUCCUCUGUAUCGCCACCGUCAUCGACGCUGAUCCGCCGUCCCGGCCCCUCCGUCAGUGCCGCGUCCAAGCGAAAAAAGAGGCGGCGUCGCGUCGGGUCAGGCUUGGGGCAGAAGUGGGUCGCGGCCGGGUAGGGUUCCACGAACCAGGUCGCGGCUGCGAACUGGGUCAAGCAUGGGUUGCGGAUCGGGUAGGGUUUCCCCUGGGUCGGGUCAUGCGAGUGGGCUGGGCGAUUGUUGGGCUGAAGUUCUUUUGACGAAAAUGGGCUAAAUCGCAUGGGCUUGUGUUUUUUUUAAAGAAAAACCAAAAAAGGGCCCGAGUCGGGCCCGCACGACUCGGGUCGGUCCCAACCCGGGAACCUGACCCGGUUCGUUUUUUUAAAUAUAUUAAUAUAAAAUGUUUUAUUUUCUAAAAAAUCAAGAAAAAUAAAAAAUAAUUUAUUUUCCAAAAAUAUUUUCGAAAAAAUAUUAAAAAAAUAUUUUAUUUUCCAAAAAAGCCAAAAAUUCAGAAAAAGCCAAAAAGACUUGUAUUUUUCCAAAAAAUACCGAAAAAAUCCCUUUUAUGUCCAAAAAAUGAGAAAAAUACUCAAAAAAUGUUUUUCCUCCCAAAAAUGCAUGGAAAAUCUCUCAAAAAUCCAAAAAGCCUUAGGGUUUAAACAAGAUUAGGUACCGAAAGGGCAUUAGUGAUUGACUAGUGUAAUCAAGUCCCCGAUCCUAAUUUCUCUGGUUGCGCAGGAGCAAGUAUUUCUCCCGAUACUUCGCUUGGGUUUCUAAUUGACCCACCCCAAACCGAUUAGUGGCGACUCCAUUUUAAAAUUAGUUUACAGGUUAAAAAAAUUUAGAUUAUUAAAGUCGUGAAUUGGUGGACUUGGGAGAGUCCGGGCUUAAUAAUUUCAGCCGAGCCAUUAGCCUCCUUAGGCGCUCGUACCCGAUCGCGGGCGUCGCUAAAAAAAAAGGAGGUCGCGACAGUAUGAGUACACCUUCAUCUAGGAAAAAUAAGGAGGCGUGUCGGCAGAGUAUCGCUCAAUACAUGGUUUGGUAUCGACAUAUGAAGUAGAAGCAAUGGGUUGGGAACACUUCAUGAAGGCCACCGCAGCGUAUCCGCCAAAGUAUCCAUCACCAUAACUGAAGUUGGAGUACGUCAAUGGGUAACGAGGGAGGGACGAGCAAUUACCCUUUUGCAGUCCAUCGUCAACCACCAUGAUAUUACCAUCGAAGUCAUAUUGGUCAUAAUACGAACCGUAAUGGAUCGACUUCACAUAAUAUCAGCCAUCAUAUAGAUAUAGAAUAGUGCAGUUAUUUUCACAAGUUAGCUCAAACCGAGAGUUCUGCAAUGUUUUGGAUCGCCUUUCAAUCGAAAAGGAUAACUUAUGUUAUAGAUCUAACCGCAAGAUGAAGGGGCGCACAAAUGAUUGUUCUUCACACCGCAACUCAUCCCUAAUAGAAGCAGAACAUGCGAUAUGAGAAGUAAAACACGGAGUGUAAAUAUGGAGCUGAGAGAAAUAAUCAUCUCUUUAUCGUUUGGUCUGGUGCGAUGGAGGUUUGAGCUCAUUUGGAAAUGCGAGAGAGGCUUAAUAAAGGGUUGGGAGUCGUCGGUCAUCGAAAUGUCCAAGUCAACCCUAAAACAAAGUCUAGCGAAGAAAGUCUUAAAAAGUAUGGCCCAGCUAAAACACGGUCUCGGAAUUAGUGAUGGAUAGCUUUCACAUUCAUUACGGAGGAAACCUCUCUGCAUUUUCCAAAUUUGAUUUUUCUUGGCAAAUUAAUUCUCUCUUUAUUUUAGUAUCGUAAAAAAGAAUCGGUUUUAAUGUUUUGUACCCUAAACUCAAUCAAAAUCCUUUCAAAUACGGCAUCGGCGUUUUAUUUUAUUUUCAAGGCCAAUAUUUUGUAAGUGUCGUUUCGUUAAAUUUUGAAGACGGAAAGAAAAAAGAUGAUGUAUUUCAUCGCAUAAGGUUUUUCAUAUUUGAGAAAAAAAAAUUAGUAACCAAGAAAGAUGAUCAUGUUAAUUAAUGGGUACAUAGAUUUUAACUCAUAUAAUGUGGCUUUCCACAAAUAUAGAAAGAAAAUAAGGAGCGGGCGCUUCUUGCUCAUGGAUGUUGUGAAACUUUAUGAAAGAAAGAAAGCAAUAUGGUAAAGUCUCAACUAGCAAUGGGACUGACGCAUCUCGAUUAGAAACUCACUUGCGUUGUCAUGGAUUGACACACGCAAGGACUAUAGACGCGACAUUUGAAAUCACAAAAAUAAUGCGAUGUUUAGUUAUUCACUAUGCUUAAAUUUUAAAAUCACUCUUUUGUAAUUGUGCUAUAAUUAUGAAUAUGACUGCCAUCUCUUUUCCAUAAUUGAACCACUUAAUGAAUGAACAAAUUGAUGUCAACGGAAAAGGCAAUACAAUAAUUUCUCAACCAACGAUCAAUCGAUGUAGGUCUCAAUUAGAAAUUCACUUCCUUUGUCAUUCUUGACACGCGCAAAGACUAUAGGUGUAAUAUUCACAUGCACAAAAAUAAACUAAUAUGUACUUAUUCACUGUUAAUUGAAAUAUUAUUCUUGUGGAUCAGUCAAUCACUCGCCUAUAAAAUAAUCUCAUCUUUUUCUCACAAUAAAUCCAACCGACCUAUUACAAUAUCCAAUUGAAACGAGCCACAUCACUCAGUAAGUAAAUUUUUAUACGAUCCCUCAGUAGAGCUAACAUUUAAGAAAAGGAUGAGGAUGAAGAAAGAAACAAAGAAAGAACUGGGAAAGUCAGCUUUCGGAAAAGUCAACUUGUUGGUGGCGAGAGUUUAUAAUAGGAGAUAGUGAAUCCCUCGACCGUCGUGUUGUGGAGGUCCUUAUACGGUGAGCUCGCACGAUUAUACCGAUCCUUUUUCCACCCUGGGAUGUAAUGCAGUAUUAAAGCCUUUAUGGUCAUGGUGUAAGUAUCCUUGAUGUCCCCGACUCGGAGAUCAAACCCAUGUACAGCGUAUGAGUACACCAUCAUUUGGGAAAAAAUAGGGGGCAUAUCAGAAGGAUAUGCUCCCUCAAUACAUGGUUCAGUAUUGACUUACGAAGUAGAAGCAAGGGGCUGUGAGCACUUCAUGAAGACCACCAGCACAGCUAACGAACCGUAUGGAUCAUUAUCACUAAAGUUGGAGAGCGCCAAUAAGUAAUGAGGGAGGGAUGAACAAUUACUUUUUUGCAGUCCAUUGUCAACCACCGCGAUUUCGCCGUCAAAUAAACAUUUGCUGAGAUUGGAAUGGUACUAAAUUGAUUUCACAUAAUAUUGGCCAGCAUAUAGAUAUAGAACAAUGCGAUUAUUUUCACAAACUAGCUUAUGUUCAUAGUGGUCACAUCCUUUUCGGUUGCCUUUCAAUCGAAAGUGAUAUGUCACAAACCUCGCCGCAAGAUGAAGCGGCAGAUAAGUGAUUCUUCUAUGUACCGCUACUCGUCCCAAGUAGCAGCAAAACAUACAAUAUGAAAAGCAAAACACUGAACAUGCUUAUGGAGCUCAGAGACUUAAUCGUCUCUCUAUUGUUUGAUCCGAUGCAAUGAAAGUUUUUGCUAAUUGGUAAUGCGAUAGGGCCCAGUAAUAUGAAUGAAAAGAGCCUGGACUCCUCGGUCAUUCAAAUGUCUAAGUCAACCAAUAAAGCAAAGUCUAGUGAAGAAAAAGUGGAUAUCGCGUGGAAAUUGCAGUCCUUGCGGUCAAUGUGUCAAAACACGGUGGUGGAAUUAACACAAGUCCUCGUCGUCACGCAAACACUAUAGAUGCAAAUUUCCAAGUCCACCAUCAACACAAAGUCUAGCGAAGAAAAAGUGGGUCUCAUGUGGAAAUUGCAGCCCUUGCGGUCUAGGCGACAAAAACACGGUGUUGGAAUUAUUUAUGGCGUGGCUUUCACGUUGAUUAGAAAAGAAUUUUCUCUGUAGUUUUCAGAUUUAACUUUUCUUGGCAAAUUGAAUCUUUAGGAAUCAAUUUUAGUUCAGUAAAAAAAGAAUCGAUUGGAAUGUUAUUUACUCAAAAUUGUAUCAAAAUCCUUUCAAUUGAGGCAUUGGCAUUCAAUUUUAUUUUCAAGGCCAAUAUUCCAAGUGUCGGUUUGAUAAGUUGUGAAGACGGAAUGGAAAAAAAAUGUCGUAUUUCACUGAAUAAGCUUUUUCAUUAUUGACAAAAAAAAAAAAAAAAACAGAAUUGGUAACAAAGAUAGACUAUUAAAGGGAAUAUUAGCUUGUAUAACAAAAAUAAAAGGAAAAACAGGAGUUAGUGCUUCUUGGAUGGUGUAAUAGAUUAUGAAAGAAAAAUAGCAAUUCGAUAAUUUCUAGUGAAGGGACCGACGCGCAUUGACUAGAACCUCACUAACUUUGUUGUUGCACAAAGACUAUACAUGCAAUAUUCAAGUUCACAAAAAAAAUAAAAAUAAAAGUGAUGUUUACUUAUUCACUAUCAACUUCAAUAUUACAAUCACUCUCCCAUAAUUGUGUUAGAUCUAUGAACAAUAUUGUCAUCUCUUUGGGAACUCCCUUGCUUGGUUUGAUUUAAAACGGUACCGAAAUGAUAGCUAGGUGUCGUUUUCCCUAGUCCACGAGCAUGCUUGGUUUGAAUGAGCCGUCCUUUUGUCGAGUUUGAGCGUCACUUGCUGUUCUUUUCUGAGUUUGGACACAAGCUAUGUAACAUCCAGAUUUUCGGGUUCUAAUUUCGACUGGAUAAAUAUGGCCGUUUUCGUUCAGUUGAAGCCGAGGAUUGUGAAAUUGAGGAGUAUGAAGGAUUCUUGGAUGAGAAAAAUAAUCAAUUUGAUAAGUAAGACAUCAAUUGAUUUUUUAGAGUCAUUUGAGAGAAAUUCAAGAGGGAAAUUGGAUGCAAUUGCAAGUGGGGAUCAAGAACUCUAAGUUGGAAAAUCUUUUUGAGAAUCUAUGAGCUUAUGGAGCACUGCGGGAAGAACUGGACAGUUAUAGGAGUGGUUCUGACAUUUGUGGAGAAAGUAUCUCCGGACGCAGAGUUGAAGUAUCGGGUGUAGGGAGUCCAGAAUUCUUCAGGGAGAAUUUUGGUGUCUAGAAUAGAACAACUUGCUCCUGUGUCAAUGAGAGCAAUGACAGUGAUUGGUUUGGCAAACUUUGAGGUGAGGAUUUUGACUGGGAAGUGUGGACAAUGGGUUUGACUUGAAAAUAUAUCAGAGUUUGGUUCUGAGGAUGAUGGUGAUAUAUGGAAAAUAUCUUCAGACUCUGAGUCUGACCCAGUUUCACUGGAAGUUUGGUAGGAGGGAAUGGCACAAAGAGUUUGUUCAGAUGGUUCUUCAUCAACAGAGAACAAGGAUUCAAUAUCAUCAUUUUCAAGAGAAAUACCUAUUUCGCUUUCAAUAUGAUGGAUGAGAUGAUUCUGACCUUUUCUCGCUUGAGGACAACUUUUGGCAAAAUGUCCUUUCUGAUUGCAAAUGUAGCAACGAUUUGAUUUUUUGUGGCUUGUGCGAUCCUUUCUUUUGCGUAGGUAUCACCAUUUCUUCUUUUCCCGGAAAUGCUUGGAGCUAUGUUUGGAUUUCUUUAUCCAAAACUUCUUGUAGUGCUUCUUCUUGCGGGAGUACUUGCCACAUGUUCCAUCACAAUCUUUUUUGGAGCAUUUAAUUUUCAACUCUUGUCGGGAGAAGGCUGAUUCUAAGCGUUUGUCAUCUGUGAUGUAUGUUUGCACCAUCUUGCGCUUUAAGCAUAAUUCUUCUAGGCAUAGAUGGAUCUCUUGCUGUAUUUCUCCCAAGGGAAUAUCUUGUACCUGCCUUUGUUUCCAAAUCUGUUCAGAAUCCCAUGCAGAAUUGCUCAAAAGUGCUCUCAUCCUCGGACAAUACAGACAAGCCUCAUCGUCCCAAGAGCCUGAAAUGACAAGCGAAGAUGACAUUGUCACAAUCCACCCAAGACCCCUAUGCACGCUUUGGAGGACCUCUGUCCCAGGAUCCCUACGAACAAUUCCAAAGCAUGGACACAUCUUUUUAUGCAGAACCAUCCAACUGGCCUCAAAGAAAUUAGGAUAAGAAUUUCUAUUUGAGGAAAUUCUUUCUUUUAAUUUCUUCUCAUUUUUUUAUUUGACCAAACACUUUUUCUUUCCUACAAGCUCUCUCUCUUUCAUUUCUUUCUUUCUUUUUCUUCUUCUUUUUCUCUCUCUCUCUCCCCUUUUCCCCCUCGUGCAAGAUGCCCCCCUCUCCACCGACUGCCCCUACUUCCGGUUCCAACUUUGCUUCCUCCACUUUUCCUUUUACUUUUGACUUUUUCAAACUUAUCUUCUCUCUCUUGUCUUCUUCUCUCUCUCCCUCGGUACUUGCACGACACUCUGUCUCUUCCUCUCCCUCUUGGACGUUCGAACCAGCAGAAGCAGGAACGAAGGCAGUAGCUUGCCGUCGAACCAGUAGCCGAACCAGAGCUGCCGUCGCUGCACCGUCACCACCCGCGAGCUCCGCCGCACACCGCUCGCCCUUCGCCUUCCUCACCCCCUCGCGUCCUCGCCGCCCAGCAGCUCCGCCCAGCUCCCAACCGCCUAUGUUCAGCUCCGUUUUAGCCAGCACGGGCCACGGUUCGGCCACCUCUGGCCACCGUGCGCCGCCACUUCGACCCGUCGGAGCUCCGCCUGGUCCUAGCCGCCCUUGCCUCGCCAUCUCAGCCUCGGAUCCGCCCUCCUUCGCCCCCAACCAGCAGCGAGCAGAAGGUUGCAGAAAUGGGUAUCACAGUGGAUUCUUGGCCCGUUUUGGCCGCCUUCCCGAGCCCGGAUGCUCGGCCCGCUUUGAGGAAAGUCGAUCCUCGCGUCGAGCUCGUCAUUUUGAGUGAGUUUUACUCACUAAUACCCUCUUAGUGUGCUAAUUAGACUUAAAUUUUGAUUAGUGUUAAUUAAGUGUAAUUAGAUGGUUAGAUUAUAAUUGAUUAGUGAUUAUUAGUUAAUUACAUUGUAUGUUAGUUGUUUGGUUAGUGUAAUUAGAUAGAGAAUUGCCUAUAGUAUUUAUUGGAUGCUUCUUGGGAUUUUUUCCGUCCCUUAUUGGGUGUUAAUUAAGCAAAUCGGGCCUAGGUGGAAUUUUUAGGAAUUAAAUAUUAAUUUUCAAAAUUAAUUAUUAAUUAAUUAUUUAUUUAUUUAUUUCUCGGAAAUUCAACUGGGAUGGCCAGUGACCGGGAUUUUAUGCUGAUGAUCGUGGUGCAGACCGUUUAUUUAAUUGAGCUUUAUAUUUUGCUAAAUUGAAUUUAUUGUAUUUAUUUAUUUAAUUUUCGAAAUUAAUUAUUUAAUUAAUUAUUUUCCGGAAAUUCAACCGAGAUGGCUAGUGACCAGAAAAUUACACUGAUGACCAUGGUGAAGUCCGUUUAUUUAAUUGGGCUUUAUUUUGAGUUAAAUUGAAUUUUUAAUAUUAAUUAAUUAAUUUUCGAAAUUAAUUAAUUAAUUAAUUAUUUUUCAGAAAUUAAGAUGGAGAUGGCCGACGACCGAAAUAUCGUGUUGAUUUUCGUGGCGCAGUCCGUUUAUUUAUUUGAGCUUUGAAUUGUGCCACAUUGAAUAUCGAAAGUGGUCGAGUGGGACCGUAAAGCCAUUGAAUAUCGAAAGUGGUCGAGUGGGACCGUAAAAAGUCAUUGAAUAUCGAAAGUGGUCGAGUGGGACCGUAAAGCUAUUGAAUAAUUGAAAGUGGUCGAGUCUGAUCGUAAAACCAUUGAAUAUUUGAAGGUUGCUUGGUGGAGCCGUGAUUACCACCCAUAGCAAGUUAUGUCCUAAGGACCGUGAUUCAUAUUUGUGAAUUGAGUUGGAAUAGUUGAAAUGACCGGAAGUGGUCUUGUGAUUAUGUAAUCGACUAAGUCGAUUGACCUUUGCUUUGAUUAGAUUGUUGUGAAUUGACUGAUUGAGUGGAAAUGACUGUGAGUGGUCUUGUUGGCGUGUAAUCGACUAGGUCGAUUUGAUCGAUGCUUUGAUCUGUGAUGUGAUUGCUUGGGUGCCUAUUUGAUAUGUGCUAACAUGCAGGAUGAAUCUAAGGCCAAGGUAAGUCCUCUAUCUCAUGUUGUGCAUAGGCAGCCUUAAGGUGUAUUAGUUUACUAAUCGGGUCUUAGGGAGUAGAACUUGCUGAGACAUAGUCUCAUUCCGGUUUGGGGAAAUCAUUUCAGGACCCUGAUGAAGAACCUGAGGAGAAAGAACUCGAAGAUGAGUAUUUGAAGGAGAACGCCGAGGAUGAUCCAGAGUAGAAUCCUAGUGACUGUUGCUGUAGAAUCUAUUGAGUAGAAACCAACCUUUUUAGCAUGGUUUGUAUAUGUACAUGUAUGACUGAGUCAUUAUAGAUGUACAUAAGGGUGUUGGUUUUCAGGUUCAAUUUUCUAGUCUUACUUAUAUAUCCCAUUGCUUUAUCGUCUGGGGAUUUUUAUAAUUGCUUCCGCAUGUGCUAUUAAAAAGGAAAGGGUCGGCGAUAUGUAGUCUUGGGAUAUCGCAUAAGAAAAUCGACCAAAGGUAAGGGAUGUGCGCGUGCCUGAGGAUCGGGGCGUGACAAGCUAGAGUCUAGAAUGGAGGACCAUUCUCAUGUGGAAUUUUACGACCACUAAAGAGAUUAAGUUUGUUAAUUUUUUUUUUCCAUUUUCUACUUUUUUAGCAUAAUUUUUUAUGCUGCUUUAUUUUGAUGAUAAUAAAACUUAAAAUUUAUACUUCUCUGUCUGCGAUCUCUCAACGAAAUGCGUUCCUUAUGAACAUCGGUGUCUUGAGGAUUGUUUGCUUAGUAGGAAAACUCAUGUAUAGGGGACAACAGUGAGGAAUAUGAUGCUUGUUCUGAAGAAUGCAAGGCACCAUCUCAUGUCUUAUCAUCGAGUGAAUGCACAAGUUCUUACUACAUUUAGAGAUUGAGCUUUUGUAAUACAUAAUAUGCUCUAACAUAACAUCACAUGUUCAAUUUCCAUUCAUCAUAAAGGCAAAAUUGUCAGCCUACUCUGUCUUUACUCUUUGACAUGUGCCUGUCAUUCAUCGAUUAGGCUUGGACCCAUCCCGUGACAUGAGGACCAAGUUGGAGAUAGCUUGAGCAAGUAGCUGUCUUUGACGUGGGUGAUCAAACACAGGUCGAAGGGUGGGGAUGAGAGGUUUUGAUGGAAAUGAGAGAGAUUCAUUGCUCAAAAUGCAAACAUUGACACGAAGAAAAAAUUACCUUGUUAUACCAAGACGAUUCACAUGAAACAAAAAUUGAAUGAAUGCCAUACAACAUUCAUCGUCAUUUAUAAAAUAUGGACAUAACGAGUCUACCAGAAAACACUAGUGCCAUAUGAAAAACAUGUAAAAGCUUCACAGAUUACAUUUUGAAUGAUGAUAGAUGUUGAUAGUAAUAUUUAUAAUUUUUGCAUCUCAUUAUAGGGAAACAAUCACACAAUACAUAAUUUCAUAAACUCAUGGUCAUGGUAAAAUUGGGAACCGCUAGAAACUAUCGGAGUACUGAGAUUGUUUCAAGUUCUAUCUCAGCGUCAACAUCAUCAACGGGUGCCUCUCUCGGAUACAAAAGUGGUUUUGGAGGCAGUUGCAGUUUAUCCAUAUCUCCUUCAAGCAUAUCUAGGACUUUCCUCAUCGACGGCCGAUCAUUAGGGCUCAAUUGUAUACACCAUAGUGCAACGAUUAUCAUCUUUUUCGUUGUUUCUCUUUCCUCUUCUAUGACAUCUACCCUUUCAAGUUCCUUUUCUUUGCUGAGUUGAUCAUAAACCCACAAAGGAAAGUAAAUUUGACUUGAACGCUCUGCAUGUGCAUUUAGAUUUCUCCUUCUACCGGCCAUUUCCAUUAAUAACAUCCCAAAACUAUAAACAUCGGCUUUGUAAGAAAUGCCACCAAUGUCUUUAUAGAUUAGCUCAGGAGCCAUAUAACCUAAGGUUCCUCUUGCUACAGUCAACGAUACUAUAUUGCGAUCGGUGGGAUAACGUCUUGCAAGUCCAAAGUCAGAAACUUUCGGAGUGAAACUUCGGUCUAGGAGAAUGUUGUGAGGCUUGAUGUCAAAAUGUAGAAUUUGCAUAUCACAUCCCUGAUGUAGAUACUCUAUCCCUCUAGCUAUGCCAAGGGAGAUCUCAUACAUUUUCUUAUAAUCAAGAGGAUCAUCACCGUCUUUAUAGGAAAUGUGUUUAUCCAAAGAUCCAUUUGGCAUGAAAUCAUAGACAAGAGCUUGUUUGGAGUAUUCGAAGCAAAAACCAACAAGUUGCACCACAUUAAUGUGGUGGAUCCUUCCAAUUGUGGCCACUUCACUUGUAAAAUCCUGGACAUUAGAUUUUGAUUUGUUCAAAAUCUUAACCGCAACUUCAUUGCCACUUCUAAGUAUUCCUCUAUAUACGGAACCAUAUCCCCCCUCACCUAACUUGCAUUUGAAAUUUUUUGUGAUUUUCUUGAUAUCUGAGUAAGAGUAUCUUAUGGGCAAAAAGUUGUUGUGAGCCAGUAGGAAUUCUUCGAUGUUUGUGUCGGCCGCCUCAUGCCUUCUCAUCCACUUCAAGAUUAGAAGUAUCAACACACACGGAGCUCCAAGUAUGAAUUUUGCUGCUAUGAAGUGGACUACAGAGAAAUUUGGCCAUCGAUUAGCAUAAUGUCAAAAAAAUUUUACACAUACAAUUUUUGUUUGUCAGAGUGCUGAAUGAGAGCUUCAUAGGUGUGAAGAGAAAAAGGACUAAUCAUACCCAAGACAAAGAAGAGAUUCCAUACGGCAAUUCGACCAAAAUCGUUCAUGAUAUACCGCGUAGAAUCAUCUGUAGAUAGUAAGAGAAUUCGUGAGAGAUUACUAGAUAUGGUUAAUUAGAAUUAAUGACCAAUCAAUAAAGAACUAGAUCCAUUGUUUUAGCAGUUAAAUAAUAAAAGCAAUUCACGUUAAGAUAUACCCCAAGUGAAGGAUAACUUCAUACAGUCAUUGCAAAGUGCAAAGAUACACUUUUGUUAAUUGAAAUUUGCAAAUGGAGAAGUCUAGAAUAAAAAAAAGAGUGAACGAGUUUCACUUUUCUAGAUAACGCUUAGAUCCAACUUUAUUCUAUUCACUCAUGAAAUCCAUGUUAUCGUUGCAUGAUCUUUUCUUUUGAAGAAGCACGUUUUCGCUUUUAUUCUCCUAAAUAUACCAAAUGUUCAUAAGUUCCCCAUAACAAUAACAUCGAUUCAAGGGACACAAGCUAUGAUCAAAUCAAACAAUUUUCCCCCAAAAAAGGGCUAAUUCCCUAAAAAAACCCUCAAGUUCUAGUCCAAUUUUGGCCGGAACCUUUUUUGUCUAAAAAAAAACCCCAAACUUUAGGUACAAUCCCAAAUUUGUCUCGAAUUUUGUUUUGUUUAAAAAAAUCACCAACUUUUAAUAUAUUCCAAAAUUUACCCCCAUAAUCUGGUCCCAAUUUGACAUGACAUUUCUACAUCGAUAACAACUCCACUUCUGUAAGGUGACAUGGAAAAUUAUUUCCAAAAUGAAACCGUUCUAAGAUAUGAAAAUUAGGGACGACUAACGGCAAUUUUCGGUCAAAAGGCUGAUGGGGUAGAUUUGCAAUUAGAGUAAAAAUUGGUGUUUUUUUCUUUUAGACAAAAAAAAAAAAGUUAGAGAUAGAUUUAGUUAUGGCCUAAAGUUUGAGGUUUUUUUUAGAUAAAGAAAAUUUCGAGGCAAAUUUGGAUUGGACCUAAAGUUUAGGGUUUUUUUUAGAUAAAAAAAGUUCGGAGCAGAAUUGGGACUAAACUUAAUUUUGUGGUUUUUUUUUAGUGAAUAAGGCGCAUAAAAGAAAGAAAGAAAGAAAGAGUGUCAAGUUCAAAAAAGCUCCACAAAUGUAAAAUAAAAGAGCAAUGCCCGCCAAAUCUACUAAAAAAUCUUACUGAACUUUUUCACUAAACGGAUGUGGCAAUUUUUUUAUUGGGUAUUAAAGAAAGUAAUGACUCAAUAAAUCGAACCAACGUAUUACGAUAUCCAAUAGAAACAUGCCUCAUUACUCAGUAAGUAAAUUUUGAUAAGAUCCCUCAGUAGAGCUAACAUUUGAGAAAAGGAUGAGGAUGAAGUAGAAGAAGAAAAAGAAAGAAAGUAAGAGAGUAAAGGAAGAAAAGCUUCAGAGAAAGCUUACAGGAGUAAUAUGGUUCGCACCACACCUAUAGGUACAUAAUCACGCAAAGCUAGAAAAUUACCAGCGAAGACGGCGGAGACGGCGAGGACGGUGAGGACGGCGGAGACGGCGAGGACGGCGGGGAUGGCGGGGACUGCGGAGAUGGCGCAGAUGAGGCAGACGGCGAAGACAGCAUGGACGGUGAAGACGAAGAAGAUACCUAAGAUGGUGAAGAAGACGAAAGACGUCGAAGAUGUCGAAGACGGCCAAGACGGCGAAGACCGCGAAGACAGCAAAGACGGCCAAGACGGCCAAGACAGCCAAGACAGCCAAGACGGCGAAGACGGCCAAGACAGCCAAGACAACCAAGACGGCAAAGACAGCAAAGACGGUGAAGGCCGCCAAGAAGGAGGUCCAUGAUAAGAGAGAUUGAAUCCUUCAGCCAUCAUAUUGUGGAGGUCCUUAUACGGUGUGCUCACACGAUUAUACCAAUCCAUUUCCCUUGUCUGGUUAUAACCCAAGAAGAAAGUCGUCAUGUUUAUGUUGCAAGAAUCCUCGAUGCCCCCUACUUCUACAUCAGAAUCCCCAUACAUAGCGUAUGAGUACACCUUCAUUUGGGAAUUAUUAGGGGGCGUAUCAGAAGGGUAUGCUCCCUCAAUACAUGGUUCAAUAUUGAUAUACUGAGCAGAAGCAACGGACUGUGAGCACUGCAUGAAGACCACCGUCACACAAUCUCGAAGAUGGUAUGGAUCAUAAUCACCAAAGUUGGAUCUCGCCAAUGAGUAGCGAGGGAGGGAUGAGCAAUUACUUUUUUGCAGUCCAUCGUCAACCACCGUGAUUACACCAGAGAAUCUAUCUUUGGUAUACUCGCCAUAGGAAAUCGACUUCACAUAAUAUCGACCGGCAUACAAAUAUAGAACGGUGCGAUUAUUUUCACAAGCUAGCUCAUACUCAGAGCGGCCGCAGUCUUUGGGGUCGUCUUUCAAUCGAAAAGGAUAGUGUAUGGCAGGAACAUCGCCACAAGAUGAAGGGGCGCACGAGUGAUUAUUCUUUGCACCGCAACUUGUCCCCAGUAGAAGCAGAACAUGCAAUAUGAAAAGCAAAACACAGAACAUGCUCAUGGAGCUCAGAGACUUAAUCGUCUCUCUAUCGUUUGAUCUGAUGCAAUGAAAUUUUUUGCUAAUUGAUAAUACGAUGGAGGCUUAGUUAUAUGAAUGAAAAGCGUCAGGAGUCGUGGUUAUACAAAUGUCCAAGUCAACCAAUAAAGGCAAGUCUAGUGAAGAAAAAGUGUGUAUCGCGUGGAAAUUGCAACCCUUGCAUCUAGGUGACAAAACACGGUGUCGGAAUAAUUUAUGCAUAGCUUUCACAUUUAUUAGAAAGAAAGUUCUCUGCAGUUUCCAAAUUGACUCUUCUUAGUACCAUAAAAAAAGAAUCGAUUUGAAUGUUUUAUACUCUAAAAUGAAUCAAAAAUCCUUUCGAGUGAGGCAUUGGCAUUCUAUUUUCUUUUCAAGGUUAACAUUCCAUAAAUGUCGCUUAUUAAAUUGUGAAGACAAAAAGGAAAUACAUAUUGUAUUUUAUUGUAUGAGCUUUUUCAUUUUUAACAAAAAAAAAUUGGUAACAAAAAUAGCUUAUUGACGUGAAUAUUAACUUGUAUAAUGUCGCUUUUGGCAAAAGUAAAAGGAAAAUAAGGAAUAAUUGCUUCUUGGAUGGUGUAACACGUUAUGAAAGAAAGAAAGCAAUACAACAAUUGCUAUCAAGGGACUGACGCGCCUUGACGAGAACCUCACUAACUUCGUUAUCACUCAAAGACUAUAGAUGCAAAUUUCCAAGUCAACCAUCAACACAAAGUCUAGUGAAGAAAAAGUGGGUCUCAUGUGGAAAUUGCAGCCCUUGCAGUCAAGGCGACAAAAACACAAUGUUGGAAUUAUUUAUGGUGUGGCUUUCACAUUGAUUAGAAAAGAAACUUCUCUGUAGUUUUCAGAUUUAACUUUUCUUGGCAAAUUGAUUCUUUAGGAAUCAAUUCUAGUUUAGUAAAAGAAGAAUCGAUUUGAAUGUUAUGUACUCUAAAUUGAAUCAAAAUCUUUUCAAGUGGGGCAUUGGCAUUCAAUUUUAUUUUCAAGGCCAAUACUCCACGAGUGUCGGUUCGAUAAAUUGUGAAGAUGAAAAGGGGAAAAAAAUGUCGUAUAUCACCGUAUAAGCUUUUUCAUUACUAACAAAAAAACAGAAUUGGUAACAAAGAUAGACUAUUAAAGGGAAUAUUAACUUGUAUGACAAAAAUAAAAGGAAUAACAGGAGUUAGUGCUUCUUGGAUGGUGUAACACAUCAUGAAAGAAAGAAAAUAAUUCAAUAAUUUCUAGCGAUGGGACCGAUGCAUAUUGACUAGAACCUCACUAACUUCGUCGUGCGCAAAGACUAUACAAAAAAGAAAGAAAGCGAUAUUUACUUAUUCAUUAUCAACUUCAAUAUUACAAUCACUCUCCCGUAAUUGUGUUAUAUCUAUGAACAAUAUUGUCAUCUCUUUCCUAUAAUAGAACCACUUAAUAAAUGAACCAAUCGAUUACUAUCCUUCUAUCAAAUGAAAAAAAAUGCUUAUGUCUGUUUUUGACAUCUAAAUUUUGCCUUUUUUUAUUUAGGACUUAGUCGUAUAGAAAAUUAGGGAUUAGUCUCUAAAAAAAUAGUAAAAAGUAAAGUAAACAAUUUUCAAUAAAUGCGUCGCAUUUUCGUUAAAAAAUUAAAUAAUUUUCAUUAAAAUGCAUUGCGUCUUUGUUAAUUGCAUCGCAUAUGUUAGGAACAUUUGCAUUACUAGUUUUAAAAAUUUUAAAAAUAAUUUUUUAAAUUAAUAUUAGAAAAAAAAUUAACAAAAAAUAAAAACGCAGCCGGGCCAGGCUAGGGGCCAGCCUUAACUUGUAUAAUGUCACAAAGAUAGACUAUUAAAGGGAAUAUUAACUUGUAUAACGUCUCUUUUGACAAAAAUAAAAGGAAAAAUAGGAGUUCGUGCUUCUUGGAUGGUGUAACACAUUAUGAAAGAAAGAAAGCAAUCCGAUAAUUUCUAGCUAUGGGACCGACAUGCAUUGACUAGAACCUCACUAACUUUGUCGUUGCGCAAGACUGUGCAUUCAAUAUUUGAUAUCAUUAUAUAAAAAAAGAAGAAGCAAUUUUUACUUAUUUACUAUCAACUUCAAUAUUACAAUCACUAUCCCGUAAUUAUGUUAGAUCCGUGAACAAUAUUGUUAUCUCUUUCCCAUAGUAGAACAUCAGGGAUUAGUUUUUAAAAAAAAAGUAAAAAGUAGGGAUUAGUUUUUUUUUUUAAAAGUAAAAGGUAAAGUGAAUAUUUUCAUUAAAAUGCAUCGUGAUUUCCUUAAAUUGCAUUGCAUAUAGACAUUAGAAACAUUUGAAUUACUAGUAUUAAAACUUAAAAAAAUAAUUUUAUUAACAAAAAAUAAAAACGCAGCCGGGCUGGGCUAGGGGCCAGCCUCUCCUUUUCUCUUUCUUUUUUUCCCCUUGUGGCCUAGCCCGCUUCUGUUCCUUCUAUUUCCACCGCGCGGCCCACCUUUCUUCUUCCGCGGCCCAGUUCGCUCUUCUUCCUCCUUCCUCCUUUCUCCUCCUUCCCUCGCUUGGACGUCAGCUUCGGGACAAAACAAAGAGUGGGUCGCUGGCCGAAGGUCGCAAGGACGCGAGGCUGGUCUCGUCCUUGAAGAAAGGGACAGAAACGAGAUAAAUGGGAGAGAAAGGCGGCAAAGGGAAGGGGGGGUCCCUCUGGUCUUUUUGGGUUUGUUCCGCCGAGGUAGAGCACCCGAGAGAGAGAGAGAGAGAGAGAGAGAGAGAGAGAGAGAGAGAGAGAGAGAGUGAGAAGUUGAGCUCGAGAGAGAGAAAAGGAGCGAGCCAGAGAAGAGAGGGAGCUCGAGGGUGGAUGCUUCUGGAAGGGUGCGGCUGAAAACCAAGGAGAGUCUACAGCCGCUCGAGAGGGGAGACCAAGAAGGUAGAUAGCGAGGGAGGGCGGGAGAGAGAGGUGACUGUGUUCUCGAGUUCUUCGGGGGAGGCUGGAGACAGCGAGAGCAACAGAGAGAGUGAGAUCCGAGAGAGUGAGCAAAGGGUGAAGCGGAGAGAGAACCGAGAGUGAGCGGAGGGAUGGACUAAGAGAAAGCGAGACCCAGGAGCCGAACUUCGUUCUCGGACAAGCGUUACCCGGCCAUCCCUGACAUAAACCGGCGAUCUCCAGCCAAUACCGUCGAGCACGUGGUGAGUUUUCUUUGGGUUCGAUCCACUUUUAUCUCAAUGAUCCUGGCUCGGUGCAACGUCGAGGCGGCCGACCAUAGCUCGUUUCGCUUCAGGCUCACCUUCUGGCCGUCGUCGCCGAGCCGGGUAGGGAUAUUCGUGGUCAAACACUUCUCUCUGGGAACUCCGUUGCUUGGUUUUAUUUAAGACGGAACCGGAACGAUAGCUGGGUCUCGUUUUCCCUAGUCCACCAGCAUGCUCGAUUUGAACGAGCCGUCCCUUUUGUCGAGUUUGAGCGUUACUUGCUGUUCUCUUUUGAGUAAAUAACUUGGAGUGCUGCCAUUUUCGUUCUCUAUUGAUGGCUGCUUGAAUAUUCUCAAGACUCCUCCCUUUCGUUUCAAGAACACAACCUUUAAAUUCCCCCCUAGAGUUUCUGCAUGAAAAUUGAUUAUUCACUGGUUUAAUAGCAUGCAAGCAAUGACUGGAGUUUAUCUAUUUAGAUAUGGUGGCAGACUUUUGACUAGUUAUUGUUGGAUUUUUGAUGUCUUAGUGCUGCUGUUUUUAGACUAAAGCUUCUCUGUUCCGUUUUAUAUUGUUUUAGUUUAUUUUCUUACUUAGUCAAUUAUGUUAUGCAGUUGUUGUUGUGUUAUUUAGGAAGUUAAGUACCUGUUCGGGUGCAGUUACAAGCAGAACGUGUGUGUGCAGUUAUUUUUUUUGGUUUAAGUCGUGUUUUGUACUUGACUUUUUUACUAAAGAACUGUAGAAGGCAGUUUUUAUGCUCUGUUUUCUCUGUUUCCUCUGUUUUUCUUCUUUCUUCCUCGAUAUCUAUAGUUCUGGCAUUUAUGCUUCUUUGCUGCUUUGAUCAGCAUCAACAGUGGUAUCAGAGCAUCGAAUGAUCUUGAGGGACUGUGAAGUGAAGCAAGUAUUGUAGUGCAAAGAGGUUAGAGGGUGAUGGAUACAAGUUCAAGUGGUUUUUCUACGAUGGCUUCUCCAGUAUUUACUGGAGAGAAUUAUCAAGCAUGGGCUGUUAAAAUGAAAGCAUUUCUGGAGGGUCAUGAUCUGUGGGAAGCUGUGGAGGAUGAUUAUGAAGUUGCUCCACUUCCAAAUAAUCCGACCAUGAAUCAAAUCAAGCUUCAUAAAGAGAGAACCACAAGGAAAGCCAAGGCAAAAUCUUGCAUGUAUGCUGCUGUCUCGCCUACCAUCUUCACUAGAAUUAUGAAGUGUGACUCUGCGAAGGUCAUAUGGGAUUUCUUGAGGGAAGAAUAUGAAGGAGAUGAGAAGAUAAGAGGUAUGAAGGUGCUGAAUCUCUUGAGAGAAUUUGAGAGACAGCAGAUGAAGGAAUCUGAGUCAAUGAAGGAAUACUCAGAUAGGCUAGUGGGAAUAGCUGAUAAAAUCAGAGUUUUGGGAACUGACUUGAGGGAUGAUAGGCUUGUUCAGAAGAUCCUAGUGUCUCUUCCAGAAAAAUUUGAAGCUACUAUAGCUUCUCUGGAAAACACAAGGGACUUGGCUGAUAUAAAACUUGCAGAGUUGCUGAAUGCUUUGCAGGCACAGGAGCAAAGAAGACUAAUGAGGAGAGAAAAUCAUGUUGAGGGGGCAUUGCAAGCCAAAGUAAAGCAAAAUGAUGGAGGCAAAGGGAAGAAAUGGAUUCAGUUUAAGGGAAAUGUUGCUGAUUCGAAAUUUUUACCAAAAGAAGGAAAUGCUGGUGGAUCUAGCAAAUGGAAAAAUAAUAAAAGGCCAUGUCAGUACUGUGGUGGAACCAACCAUCAGUCCUUUAGAUGCUGGAAAAGGCCAGAUGCGAGGUGCAGAAGAUGCCACAAGUUGGGUCAUAUGGAAGCUAUUUGCAAAGGGAAAGCUUAUCAGCAAACAGGAGAAGCACAAGUGGCAGUGAGUGAAGUUGAUGAAGAGCACUUAUUUUUUGCUUCAGCUGGUGAAUAUUCAGUCGAAAAUAGUACAUGGCUGAUAGAUAGUGGUUGUACUAAUCACAUGACUGGCAACUUAGAGCUAUUCAAGAGCAUAAACAAAACAGUAAAGUCCAAAGUCAGAAUUGGCAAUGGACAGCAUAUUGAAGUUCAGGGUAAAGGUGUAGUUGCUGUUAAAGGAAACCAGGGGGUGAAGUUAAUCAGGGAUGUCCUCUUUGUGCCAAACAUUGACCAGAAUCUGUUAAGUGUUGGUCAGUUAGUGGAGAAGGGCUAUAUAGUGAAGUUCGAAGGAAGGGAAUGUCUCAUUAAAGAUACUGACAGCAAUGAAGUCUUGAGAGUUCAAAUGAGGGAUAAAAGUUUUGUGUUCAAGCCAAAUGAGAUGCAGCAGAUGGCUUUGAAGUGUACAGAAGAGAAUAUAGAGCUGUGGCACAAAAGAUUGGGGCAUGUUCAUAGGAGGAGUAUGCUGGUUAUGCAGAGAAAUGGCCUGGUAGAUGAUUUACCAAACUUGAAGGAAGAGCUUCCACAAUGCAGAACCUGCCUUCUUGGAAAACAAACUAGAUUUCCCUUCAAAGGAGGAGUCUCGAAGACAUAUCAAAAGCUGGAAUUAGUUCACACUGAUGUGUGUGGACCUAUGUCUGAACCUUCUUUAAAUGGAAGCAGAUAUUUUAUUACUUUUACUGAUGAUCUGACUAGAAUGAGCUGGAUCUAUUUUCUGCAAGCUAAGACUGAAGUAGCUGAUGUAUUUAUGAAGUUUAAAGCAUUAGUUGAAAAUCAAAGUGGGAAGAGAAUCAAAGCUCUCAGGUCAGACAAUGGAUCUGAGUAUACAGCUAACAAAUUCAAACUGAUUUGUGAGCAAGCUGGAAUUGUACAGCAAUUUAUAGCCCCUUACUCACCUCAACAGAAUGGGGUUAGUGAGAGGAAAAAUAGAAGCAUUAUGGAGAUGGCCAGAUGUUUGAUGCAGGAAAAGAAUUUGCCUAAAAGUUUUUGGGCUGAGGCAGCCAACACUGCUGUAUUUCUUUUAAAUAGAUUACCUACAAAAGCUUUAGAGAAACUGACACCUCUCGAGGGCUGGCAAGACACUAAACCUUCUGUGAAAAAUUUGAAGGUUUUGAAGUUGUGUAUACUCAUAUUCCUGAUGUCAANNNNNNNNNNNNNNNNNNNNNNNNNNNNNNNNNNNNNNNNNNNNNNNNNNNNNNNNNNNNNNNNNNNNNNNNNNNNNNNNNNNNNNNNNNNNNNNNNNNNAGGCUGAGAUUGGAAUUUUUGUUGGAUAUAGCUCUCAAUCAAAGGCUUACAGAAUUUUCUAUCCAAAGACAAGGAAGAUUACUGUGAGCAGAGAUGUUAUGUUCUUAGAGGAAGAUGAAUGGAAUUGGUUAAAUGGAAGGAACACUGAAUUGAAGCACUUUGAAAGACAACCUGAAACUGAUGUGGAGACUAAUGAAAUUACAUGGGAAAUGGAAGAAAAUAUAGAUGAUGAACCUGUAAGAGGCACAAGGUCACUUGCUGAGAUCUAUGAAAGGAGUAAUGUGGCAGUGCUCGAACCAUCAAAUUUUGCUGAAGCCAAGGAAGAUCAGAAGUGGUUUGCAGCAAUGCAGGAGGAGAUGACAAUGAUUCAAAAAAAUCAGACUUGGGAAUUGGUAGAUAGGCCAUUAAAUAAGAAUGUAAUUGGGGUUAAGUGGGUCUUUAGGACAAAACUCAAUCCUGAUGGCUCUGUUAACAAGUAUAAAGCAAGGCUGGUUGUGAAAGGCUAUGCUCAGGUAUGGGGAGUAGACUAUUCUGAAACUUUUGCUCCAGUUGCAAGGCUAGACACAGUAAGACUCCUGUUAGCUGUUGCAGCCGAGAAGGGUCGGACUAUUUUUCAGCUUGAUGUCAAGUCUGCAUUUCUAAAUGGUGAGCUUGAAGAGGAAAUUUUUAUUGAACAACCUGAAGGGUUCUGUGUUAAAGGGCAAGAAGAGAGUGUAUACAAAUUGCACAAAGCUUUAUAUGGACUGAAGCAAGCUCCAAGAACUUGGUAUGGAAAAAUUGAUCGAUAUCUACUGGAUUUAGGUUUUAAAAGGAGCUUGAGUGAGUUCACUCUUUAUAUUAAGAAAGUGAAUCAUAGUGUGGUAGUUCUGUCUCUAUAUGUGGAUGAUCUUUUGGUAACAGGAAAUGAUGUUCAGCUGAUAGAAAAUGUUAAGCAAGGCUUAUUUGCUGGUUUUGAGAUGACAGACUUAGGAAAAAUGGCUUACUUCUUAGGUCUGGAAAUCAAGCAAAGUCCUUAUGAAAUCUUCAUUUGUCAGAGGAAGUACUUAAAGGAAAUUUUGAAGAAGUUUCAGAUGGAAGAAUGUCGAAGUGUCAGUACACCUAUGGCAGCAAAAGAGAAGUUGCAGAAGAGUGAUGGAACUGAAGCUGUGGAUGUCUCGAUGUACAGAAGUCUAAUAGGUUGUCUCAUGUACCUCACAGCAACCAGACCAGACAUUCUAUUUGUUGUAAGUGUUCUGUCCAGAUUUAUGAGUGAUCCAAGUCAGCUUCAUUUGAUUGCAGCUAAAAGGAUUUUAAGGUAUUUGAAAGGAACCAUGUUUUUUGGAGUGAAGUUUCGAAGGAGUCAAGAAUUCAAUCUACAAGGUUAUUCUGAUAGUGAUUGGGCUGGCUCGAUGGAUGAUAUGAAGAGUACAUCUGGGUACUGUUUCAGUUUAGGAUCAGCUUGUUUCACUUGGUGUUCUAAAAAGCAAGAAAUUGUAGCUCAAUCUACUGCAGAAGCAGAGUUUAUAGCUGCUACUGCAGCUGCAAAUCAAGCCUUAUGGCUGAAGAAGAUAAUGAAAGAUCUUUGGCUGAACUCCAAUGAAUGUAUCAAGAUCAAUGUGGAUAACCAAGCUGCAAUUGCAAUAUCUCAGAACCCAGUUUUUCAUGGCAAAACUAAGCAUUUCAAGGUCAAGUUCUUCUUUCUACGUGAGGUGCAACAAAAUGGUGAGGUCAUGCUGGUUUAUUGCAGAUCUGAAGAUCAACUUGCUGAUAUUUUUACUAAACCACUUCAAGCUAGAAGAUUUGAAGCAUUGAGAAAGAAAAUUGGAGUAUGCAGCAGCUACUGAUCCAAGGAGGAGUUUGUUGGAUUUUUGAUGUCUUAGUGCUGCUGUUUUUAGACUAAAGCUUCUCUGUUCUGUUUUAUAUUGUUUUAGUUUAUUUUCUUACUUAGUCAAUUAUGUUAUGCAGUUGUUGUUGUGUUAUUUAGGAAGUUAAGUACCUGUUCGGGUGCAGUUACAAGCAGAACCUGUGUGUGCAGUUAUUUUUUUUGGUUUAAGUCGUGUUUUGUACUUGACUUUUUUACUAAAGAACUGUAGAAGGCAGUUUUUAUGCUCUGUUCUCUCUGUUUCCUCUGUUUUUCUUCUUUCUUCCUCGAUAUCUAUAGUUCUGGCAUUUAUGCUUCUUUGCUGCUUUGAUCAGCAUCAACAGUUAUGCACUGUUCAGAAUCCCAGAUUCAUUUGUAAAGGUUUCUAGAGGAAGGAUUUUGUUUACUGUUUUUCUAAAUUAUACAACAGGUAUUUAUAAUUUAGAUUUCUAAAAUGUAAUUUCCUUUCAAUUUCCAGAGAGAAGGAUCGCAUUGUUUCUUGGUGCAACUGGGCAGAAGUUUCUAUCUGUGUAUUGCUCGUGUGGCACGUAUAUUGAUUUUUUUGACAAUCCUCCUAACAGUUUACUUGGUGACACCCAAUAACAUAUCGUUUGGCUAUAUUUUGCUCCUCCUAUGUUGGAUCAUGGGAAGACAACUCGUUGAAAGGACGAGAAGACAUUUUUAGUUUCCAUUAAAAGUAUAUGCAAUCACUGUGUUUAUCUUCUUAUACAGCUUGAGCAAUUUCUCCACCCUUGAGAUGUGGUUGUCGGGGUUGAUUGAUCUUCAGUUUUACUUGGCCUACAACUCAGAAGCUUUGCUAUUGCAGAAUAUUUGGCAGUCUAUUGCAAUACUGAUUGUGAUGCAGCUUUACAGCUACGAGAGGAGACAGAGCAAGUAUAUCCAAUUUGGUGACUCCAAACUUAUGGAAUUUGGAGUACUUGGAUUUAUUAAGAGUUUCCUCAUUUGGCACAGUGACAAGAUAGUGUCUAUAUCAAAGUUCUAUGCAUCAUUGUCACCAAUUAGUCUCUUUGGUUUCCUUUAUCUGCUCGGUCUUGUCAUUUGUUACCUUUUACCUAAAGCUUCUCGAAUCCCAUCAAAUUUUAUUACUUCUUUAUACAGGACUUCUGGUGAUGACAGAAUAUCUCUUUCAGAUGUGGGGUGCCCAGGCAGGAAUGUUUCCUGGACAGAAUGACUUUAGUUUGGCCAAGUUCUUGGGUUUUGAGUUAUUUCAGUCAGGCUUUUGGGGUCUAGAAUUGGGUUUAAGGGGGAAAAGUGCUGGUGUUAUCUGCUUGUAUCCUUCAAUACAAUGUCUUCCGUUGGUUGCAAAAAGUACCAACUCACAUUUUGAGCAAAUAUUACACCAAAGAACCUUGCCCUCUGUUUGUAUCAACAGAAGAAGUGUUUAGGGAUUUUUCUAAUUCAAACGGGGAAAGCAACCGCCUGCAGAUUCUCCUGCAAUUCCUUGUGAAGCAUAAGGCGUGAGAAACAAUUUGUCUUCCUCAGCCUCUGGUUUUUCUCAAGCAUCAAAUAAUGUACCCAAAACUGGAGGCUCUGGGGGUGGCAGUGCUAGAAAAUAUUCCUUUGGAUAUAUUUGGGUAAGCACCAACGAAAGCCACAAAUGGAACAAGAAAAGAAUUAUCACCAUGAGAAGGGAGAGAUUUGAAACGCAGAAGACAAUCUUCAUAGGCUAUAUAAAUUUUUGGAUGGAGAACAUGUUUAAUCUCUUGGGCCUCGAAAUAAACAUGGUGGCCUUGCUCCUUGCCUCCUUUGCUUUGUUAAAUGCCAUUCCAAUGCUAUAUAUUGCACUUCUCGCUGCUUGCAUACUUCUGAAUCGCAAUGUCAUUCGGAAAUUAUGGCCAGCACUUGUCUUUUUGCUUGCUUCCAUUCUCGUCCUACAAUACUUUGUCAUUUGGAAGAGCACACCAUCUGCCAAUUCACAAACAUCAAGUAAGGCUGAGUCUGUAUUUCCUUUCGAAUUUUAUGAUUCUCCUGCCAGUAUGAAUGCUGAAAGUCUUCAUGUGAUGAAUUCAGCUGAUCAUUCAUUUGACUUUUCCGAUUGCGAGAUCAAUGAGGCUGAGAAGGAUGGUGGAGGUUCUUUAUAUGAUUCAGAUAAGAGAGCCAGAGGUCAAGCUGAGGAUAACUCUGUAGUUUCUGCUGUGCAGCUUUUAGGAGAUGGCGGUUAGUUCUCUUGUAACCUUCCCCGAACAUCAAGCCAGAAGACAUGGAUGCCAGGGGCAUACUCAAGCAGUCUCCCCUGCACCCGAUCAACGGCCAGGAUCACUUGACGAAGCAGCAGAAGUUCGCCAGAUCGAAGCUCCGGGUCUCCAUCAACCUGCCGGACAACGAAAUCUCCCUCCUCCGCAGCCGGCGGAACCUGAGCUUCAGCGAAUCGUCCGCCGGCGCCGGCGCCAGCGCCGAACCUCCGACUUCUCCUUCUUCAUCUCCCCACUCCUCGUCCUUGGCCUCAGCGUCGAUCGGUCGGAUCUUCAAAGGGAAGGCUCCGGCGACGGCGAGGGGGAGCCUCGAGAACGGCGGUAGCGGCGGUGACCCCGCGGGGGGCGGCAGGCGUAUAGGAGCACGAGGACGGUGGUGGAGGUGCUGCGGGAGCUGGACGCGGACAUAGUGGCGCUGCAGGACGUGAAGGCGGAGGAGGAGAGGGAGAUGAAGCCGCUGUUGGAGCUGGCAGCGGCGCUGGGGAUGAGCUACGCGUUCGCCGAGAGCUGGGCGCCGGAGUACGGCAACGCCGUCCUCUCCCGGAAGGUCCAAAAGAUAUUCGACGACACCGAUUUCAGGUCCGUCAUUUCGUUUUAUUUUAUUUUAUUUAUUAAUUUAUUAAUUUCCAUAUAAUUUUUACCUGUUAUUCUUGCUAUCAUUUUCGUAAUUAUGGUGACGAUGAUAUGCUCUCUUUCUCAUUGAGCAAGUGGUCUUCCUAGGCGAUUUCGAAAUUUAAAAGAUAUUUUCAUUUAUUUAUUGAGGCGUCCACCGUUGAAAGCGAAGUUUGAUAAUAUAUCAUAAAUUAAUAUUCCCUCUUGACAUAUUAUAUAAUUUUUUCUUACAUUUUUCCAAGUGAAAAGAUUAAUUGCGCAGACCCAUCUACAACGGUGCAAAUCCACUUUGGACAGUUGAAAUUUUCGUUAAAAUUAAGGUAAGGUGGAUGUAAUAAAAAUUCACAAGACCAAAAAAUAAAAGCAAAAACAUAAGCUUUUGCCUAGCCAUCAGAAUUUGUGGAUGAAAAUCUUGCUGUCACUUGGUUUAUAUUUUGUCUUUUUUUUUUUCCCUCCCCUUUUUUAACUGUUCUAUUUGGAAUUAUCUGAAUGGAGUUGUCCAGGAACUGAUCUGGGAAGAAUUUGGAAUAUUAUUCACGAGAACCCUACCACCAAAAAUUCAAGAAUUCCCCAAGGCUUUUCUCCCACAGCCUGUUUGCCUUUGUUCAACUUACGGAAAGCUAUCUGCAACAACUAUGGUGGGCCUUUCCAAGGAUCCCAGCACCAGCUGGAGCAAUGCCAGUCAGAAUUAAAAUAUAAAUUAAAUUAAAAAAAACCCAUUAUUUGCUUUCUAUGAUCUUAGAUAUGGGUUCUCCCAAAGAAUUGUCAUUUAUCAAUAAUAAUAAUAAUAAUAAUAAUAAUAAUAAUAAUAAUAAUAAUAUCUUCGGUUAUAACUAUUCGAAAUUCGUGCGAGUGUGUGUGAUGAAAGACUGUCUUGGACUUCUUUCAUUCCUCCUUUUUUCAUUUCUGGUUGCAUUUAGUGGGUUGAUGAGAGUCACCGUUGAAGAUCAUUUUGUACUAAUUGCUGAUAUAGUCAAGAGAAUGCUUAGGAACUGCUAAAUUACAUAUAUAUUUUUUGCUCUUUAGUAUUUAAAUAAGGAGUUGGGAAGAUAAACGAAGGAUAAGAUCUAUGACGUACAUUAAAUGAGGGCAGGGUAAGGUGUAUGUAGGUGGGACAGUAACGUGGGGAGGAUUUUGCUUUUGCUUUAUUUUAUGUAUUUGCCAAAUCAGAUGCUUGACCUGAAGACUGUGCAAGGACUACUCAUCUUCAAGGAAAACUACAUUUCUCUCAAGCGAGACAGACCAGAUAGAAUUAACUUGUUUGAGACAGCAAGCAAUUGCUCGUCAUGGAGUCAAUUUCCGAGACUUUUGCGUUCGAUUAAUUGAGCCACGCCUUAGAUAGUGAAGGGAUUAUGUGCUUUCGUUGCGCGAAAAUUCAGAAAAAGAAGAAAAGGGUGAAUUGAAAUAUAAUCGAUCGACGUAUUAAAUUGACUAGGAAUCAAAGUGGCUGUGAAGUUGAUAUGUUUUAUUAGGGAAAAGUACCAAAAAAGUCUUAAACCUAUUGCAUUAGUACCAAUUCAGACAUAAACUUUUCAAUUGAACCAAUUCAGUUCUAAACCUUUUACUAUUGGUACUAAUUCAGUCCAUUCGGCCAAUUUUGGCUAGCCGACGCUGACAUGGACGUCGGCCGGUGGCCGGACGCUGAAGUGGAAAUUUUUAUGAUUUUUUUUAAUUAUUUUUUCGAAUUUUAUUAUUAUUAUUUUUCUUUUUUCUUUUCUUUUUCCUUUUUUUUUUUUUGUCUUCUUCCUUGCGUUGGCCGGCGAGGGCUUCGCAGCCCUCGCCUGCCGCCGGCGAGAGUCGCGGCCCUUGCCCGGCCUCUCCCAGGGCCGUUGGUGAGGAGGCUUUGCCCGGAUCUAGGCAAGGCUAGCCUCGGCCGCGGCCCUGGGCGAGGCCGGGCGUGGGNNNNNNNNNNNNNNNNNNNNNNNNNNNNNNNNNNNNNNNNNNNNNNNNNNNNNNNNNNNNNNNNNNNNNNNNNNNNNNNNNNNNNNNNNNNNNNNNNNNNAAUUAAAAUCAAGCAACGGGUCACUAAAGCUGACCUUCACCAAUUAGUGCACCAUCAUUACCCUUUGACUAAUAUCGGUUCGUUUUGAUUUGUACGUGCGGUAGAAAUUUCCUAGAAGGAGAGACCCCUCUUAAUGACAUCCUAUGUAUUGAAUACGGCCAUGGAAGUUUAUGCAACUAUACGACUAUAUUAUUUUUACAAAAAUCUAAUUGCAUCCCUUUGGUAGCUGAACCCUCUACACAUUUUUCAAGGGAGAAUUACAAAAAAAAAAAAAAUCUUAAAAUUUAUUGCAAUUGUACCAAGUUAGUCAUAAACUUUUUUAUAAUUGUAAUAAUUCAGUCCAUCUGGCCGGCCAACGCAAGGAAGAAGAUAGAAAAAAAAAAGGAAAAGAUAAAAAAUUAAUAAAAAAUUCGAAAAAAUAAUUAAAAAAUCAUAAAAAUUGUCACGUCAGCGUCUGGCCACCAGCCGGCGUCCACGUUAGUGUCAGCCGGCCAAAAUUGGCCGGAUGGACUGAAUUGGUACCGAUAGUAAAAUGUUUAGGACUAAAUCGGUUCAAUUGAAAAGUUUAGGACUGAAUUGGUACCGAUGCAAUAUGUUUUGGACUUUUUUGGUACUUUUCCCUAUUUUAUUACAUAUGAAUGUUCUGAAGGCAACAAUAGAAGUGCCCCAUGUUGGGGAAGUGAACUUCCAGUGCACCCACCUGGAUCAUCUCGACGAGAACUGGCGGAUGAAGCAAGUCGGCGCCAUCAUCCAGUUGAGCGACUCUCCCCACAUCUUGGCCGGUGGCCUCAACUCUCUCGACGAGACCAAUUACUCGCAAGAUUGGUGGACCGACAUCGUCAAGGUAUGUACAUUUCUAUCAUGUUUGAUGUGAUAUUCGUUAGCACGUCAAACUCGAUUACUAAAUAGCUUAAGCUACGGCGAUUUUGUAAUCAUGGGCACCUGUGUUUGUUACAAAACUAUGAAGAGAUGGGAAAACCGACCCCAAAGGUUGAAGUCAUGAGGUUUCUGAAGAGCAAGCAAUUCACGGAUGCUAAGGACUUUGCCGGAGAAUGCGAGUCCGUGGUCGUCAUUGCCAAAGGACAAAGUAAGAACUCACUUGUUUGCUUUCCCAUGUUUCGAUUUUUCUUUUUCGCUUUGUCAAAUGGCUAAUCUAAGGUGCUUUUCGAGCACAAUGCUCCUUUCCUUUCGCUCUAAGAUAAGAUGAUUGGCUUGAAUGGACAUAAAUUCAUAACAUUUGAAGCAUGAUGAUCAUGUUGAAUAUGUACAUCCGUUGUUGUCAUCACUUUGUCGAUAUCAACCUCUGAUGUGAAAAUCCGUGGUAUAAAAAUUGAAGUCCAAAAUAUUUUUUUCGGGUGAUUACUGUCUGAACAUGUAAUUUGAAACUGUCUAUUCUAUUGUAGGUGUGCAAGGGACAUGCAAAUAUGAAACGAGGGUGGACUACAUACUAGCGUCAUCAGAUUGCCCAUACAAGUUCGUUCCAAGGUCAUAUUUGGUCCUGUCAUCGAAAGGGACAUCAGAUCACCACAUCAUAAAGGUCGACGUAACGAAAUGCAAAAACAACCCUCCCCAUGAAAGUAAUGGCAACGACAAUAAAAUUACCAAGAAAAGGCGACGACAGCGUAAGCACCAAGCCGUUGUAAAGAUCUCCGGCAUAGCUCCUCCUUCAAAGGGUAUAUGGACAGCGAACACAUUAAGCAAAGUCGAAUGACAUUAUGUCACGCCCCGAACCUCGAGCGUGCCAACAUCCCGCCAUGGUCAUUCAAAUGCGACGUUCCCAGGUUAAGUCGCCGACCCAAUCAAUUCUUUAAUGCACAUGCGGAAGCAUAUUAUAAAACCCCUGACAAUAAAAUAUGGGAUAGAAAAACAGGAAGCAAUUUCACAACAAUACACUUUCAUAAAUCAACGGAGUUACAAACGAAGGCCUAUAGCCAAAAGUCUCCAAAAGAUCGGCUCUUAAAAAGGAACUGUCCUAUAACCUACAAGUCGGACACGUUCUCUAAUCCUCCUUACUUCACCUCUGCAACUCCUCAAGGCCGGCCAACCAAAGCGAUCUGGUCGCUCCAUCCACAAGGGACCUGAAAAUGUUGGCCCACAAUGGGAUGAGACAUUGUCUUAGCAAGUUCAACCCCCUAAACCCCUAUUAGAAAAAAAAUACGCCCAAGAAUGGCCUAGCCACACCACAUAGAGGAUUUACUUCGCCUCAGUUCAUUCCUGUAGGUUAACACAAUUCAUAUCACUCAAUCACAUGUUCAUAUCACCAACCACAUGCAUGAAUACGAACUUAAACAACCAGAACGCCUUCGCUUUCAUAUAACUGACAACCACAGGGUCCUGAUUAUAAGACUAAAUCGUUAUGACACGUCCCAUUCCAUGCCACACAAUUCCGUCCCAUAAUCCGACACAUCAACAACACUCAACAUGCAUUCCAAUUGUUAUUCACUACCACACAAGGGCAUAGCCUACUCGCAGUUCAGCUAUCUACUGGCAUAUAGCUAGGCAUCACCUCCCCACCUUGGAGCGUAGCUUCGUCAGUAUGUCGAUGGCGUUCCCGAAGGAGCAUGGGCCCAGAAUCAACUGCGACCCGCAACCACUACGUGGGCAUCCCAUAUAGGGGCAAGUCUGGCUCAACAGCCUAGGAUGAUCUCCUCUUAAUUAUUACACAACAAUUCAUAUUCUGCCCGGGACACUUUGCAUUUCAUUCAAUGCUUUCACUUAAAAUAGUGAUCCCGGCCAUUUUUUUAAUAUUAAAAAUACUCCAGAAAUUAACCAUGUGUGUGGGGCAUGUUAAUUUCGAUCCAGAAAACCAAUAUCUCACUUUUUCAAACCCCACUAUUUAAUAUAAUAUUGAAAAUUCAAUUUUUGCAUUAAAAUCCGACACUUGGGUUUUUAUGAAUAAAAUCCCUAUUUAUCACAAUCAACACUCAAUUUGCCACAUCCAUUCAUCAAAUUCAAAUUCUAAAUGCACAGCAGCGAUUCGCACGAAAUUCUGACAAAAUAAGGUCUCGAAAUAAUUUUUGGAAUUUAUUAAAUAAUUAAAUUUAUUCCGAAAAUUAAUUAAAUAAUAAAUCCAUAUUUUUUACGAUCCACACUCAAUUUAUAAUAUCCAAUCAUCAAUUUCAAGAUCUGACUACAUAGUAGCGACCGGCGCGAAAUUCUGAGAAUUUAGGGUCUUGACAAAAUUUUCGGAAUUUAAUAAAUAAUUAAAUUUUAUUCCGAAAAUAAUUAAAUAAUAAUAUUUUAAUAAUUUCGAAUAAUAAUAUAUUAUUAAAUUAUUUAAUAAUUUCGAAAUAUUUAAAUAAAUCAAAAGUAAAUUCCUUUAUGUCAAAUCACCAUUAUACUAAUAUAAACUUCAAUUUAACCUUAAUUAAACAUACUUUAAAUUAAACUAACCUCUUAAUCUAAUUCACAAUUAAAUAAACUAAACUAACCACAUAAGCUUACUUAACUUAGACUAAGCAUAUUUAGGGCAUCAUUAACCCUCUAAUCAAGAUUUAGUGAGUUAAACUCACUCAAAUGACGAGCCAAGCGGACCAAAACGAUGGGGACGCCGAGGGGAACAACUUCCUUCAAAGCGGGCCAAGCAUCCGGGGUUGGGAAGCCAGCCAAAACGGGCCAAAAUCGGGCUGAGAAACCCACUAAAACUAGCUGCUAUCCAAGCUCGGGGGAGGACUGUCCGGCGGCGAUUCGGGCGCGGGGGUGGCAGAGAGAGGCGGCGGCAACUCGGGCGGUGGCUCACGGCGGCCUAGCAGGAUCUCCGGUGACGGCUAGCAGCUCGGGACAACGGAUGAUGGUUGUUGGCUCGCAGACGAAGCAGGGACGGGAGGGCAGAGCAACUCGCGCACGGGACGGCAGCGAGCGGGCGCGGUGCGCGGGCGACGACGACAGCACCGUCGACGGCGGCAACGAACAAGCGGACGGAGGGGUGGACGAAGGGGGCGUCAGGCUGCUGGUUCCGGUCGAAGUUCCCCCCUCUCUCUCCUCCAAAGUCCAAAGGAAGAAGAUGAUGUUGAUGGGUACUUUUUUAGGGCCAAUCUACACCAUCCACUUGUCCAAAUCUCCUUCAAUUUGGCCCAACCACCAUGACAUCACAUGAUGUCAUACUCCACUAUCCAAAUUCUUCCACAACCUUUCUCCAAUAGGUCCAAUUUCCUUUUCCGCCGAGGCAUGAAACCUUGUAUAUUAAUUUCUUUAAUUCCAUUCAAUUCUCUUCCAAUUGAGUCAAAUUGAAGUCCAUAAAUUAAUCCAAUGUCACCACACUUUAAUUCACACCCUCACUUGUCCAUAGAACCCUCUUAAGUCCCAAAAGCACGAUCAAGGGUGGGCCUACUAAUUUCUCGAGCCAAAAUAGCCAUUCUCUGAUUUAAUUGUUGAAAAAAUUCUGAUUACAUGAAAAAUCUUCCGAAGAUGAGUCAAUGAUCCUAAAAUGAUUUGUGACACACUAGGACUUCCAAUUUCUAAAUUCGAUAUUAAUUUCACGAUUAAUUUCACUUUGGCAUGAUACUAGCGCAUCCUGAUCUACCGGGUAGCCUUUAGAAAUUUUCAUGCAUUUAACCUGUGGUUGAUCAAUUCAAGCCACAAUGUACAUCUUUGAAACAUUUGCGACUUUCGGUUGUCGGGGUAAAAUCAAGGUUUCAAAUACGGACACAGGGUACCCAAUCGACAGAAAAGUCAGUCCAGUGCCGAUCAACAAGAAUUGUGCGAUCUGGUGGAAUCACCCACACCUGAUCACAUGCCUCUGUCGAGUCAACCUAUCUCCGGUCUCUAAUCGAUUUUUAAUUGUGCCGUAAUGACCCUUGCAGAUUAGCUCGGUCGAAAGGUCGCUUCCUGAUCAAAUUCUCGAGUCUGAUGCAUUAGAAUCUCUUAACGGCUUCACCUAAUAGACUAGUUUUCACAUGAGUGGCCGACCCAAGGAAAAUAACUAUAUGCGUACCAACGACAUGCCCAUCUCAAUUUAUUGAAAAUAGAAUUGGAAAAUCGGGAUGUCACACAUUACAUGUUGUUGCGAUGGGGCAAGCGAUCGAACAAAAUAUACACGGAAGAAGAAAAAUAAAUCGGACACCAGAUUUACGUGGUUCAGACGUAAAGACCUACGUCCACGGGGAGAGCAUCAGUGAAUUUCACUAUAGAUCAAGCGAUACAAGGAGAUUACACACUCGAGUCACUCAAACACUCUCUCGGUGUUUCCCAAGCCCCAAUUACACCCAAUAACGCACCCAGUGUUUAGCCCCGAAAUUCCUCGAAAAUAAUCUCUCAAUCUCACGAAGGAAUUACAUGCAAAUCUUACCUCAAGAUUUAAUCGACUACAAACACUAAACUUCUUGGAUGUAAUUGCACAAACGAAAAACAAUAAGCCCACUUUCAAGCACUCGAUAUUUGGUGCUUCAAGUUUGCUUGCAUCAACAACGGCGGAACAAGCACUCACGCGGCGCUUCAAGAUGUGGCUUCGCUGAAGAGAGUCCUAUGAGCAAAAGUUAUAUAUAUAUGACCGCCAGAGAAUUGCAUGCAUGGAAGAAAACCGAAUAAUCCAAGAUUCGGUCAACAAAGAAGAAAGAUUGACUUUCCUCUUUGGUUCCAAGCGGCAGAGUUGGAUGCUGCUUUCUUCGUAGCCUUAUUUUUUUCUCAUUUUUUUUUAAUUAUUUCAAAAUUCAACUUUUCGCUUGGGGCUUAAACUCGAGUCAUAAAUUUAACAAUCUCCACCUUGGCUCGACGUUUGAGCCAAAUUACAAUCGCUUCGUAAAAAUUCAAAUUCUGCCGCUACUUUCCCAUAGCCCUCGACGGGCUCAACUGCCACAGAUAUUAUCCAAGUCCAAGCCUCGCUUGAACUUUGCUAUAAUCGAGGACCUCAUCAUAAUACCAACUCCACAUGCACCUUUAACUGCUCGACAAGGAUUUUUCGACACAACCUCCUCAAUCACAGAUAAAGUAAAACCAUUAUUGCAUCUAUAUUUGUCAGGAGAUCAAAUACAUACCUUGUUAAUUUCAGCAGUUACAGCAACUGUUGGCUCUAUAGGCUCCACCUCACUAUGAGCACCAUCUGUGUUGAUUACUUUGCUAGUACUCGUACUCGCUACCUCAGGAGUUUUUGGUUGCAACUCCACCUCAAGCUGAACACCGUUCAGAUCUGUAUUAACACUGCCAUAAACACUCCUAGCUAGAACUAUCGAAGACUUCUCAAUAGUAAGUUCUCUACUAUCAACAGGUGAAUUUAUAUCCGGGCACCACAACUGAUCGCCCCACUCACCUUGUGCAUAGCCAUGGAAUAUGCACCUUGCCCUCCUAUCGAGCUUACCAUCACUCACUCGAAAAUAACACGGGCAACCAAAUAUUCUAAGAACAGAAUAAUCGGCAACAUUACUUGAUCACACUUCUUCAGGAGUCUGCCAUUCAAUAGUAGUUGAUGGGGAUCUAUUCACUAGGUAGCUUACCAUACUUAGCACAUCAGCUAGGAUUCUCCUAGCUAUACCAGCACUAGAGAUAAUUUUUCGGGCCAUCUCUAGUAAUGUUCUGCUCAUCAAUUCUGCAAAUUGUUGUGAUUUACUAGCACUAGUGUAGUGUUUCACUAUGCUCUCUUUCAUGCAGUCAGCUCCGAGCAAAACUCCAUGUUAUUGUCAGUCCGCACAUGCUUGAUCGACUUACCAGUCUCUGUCUCGAUCAAAGCUCUUGACUGCGAGAUCCUGACACCAGCAUCAAACUUGUGCCUUGGCACAAACACCCAAGUCUUCCUCGAGCAGUCAAAAGACUCUCGAACAGAUGCAUCCGACGUCUCCGCAGCGAAAUUUAUCACUGUCUCACCUCGAAGUUUAUACAGGCCAUCGUGCUUGAUUUCUUUCAUUAUCACCAGGGCACCUCGAACAACCUUCAGAAUUCCACCUUUUGAAGAAUAUUUGCAACUAGCUGAAUCUAGGGCACCCAAGGAAAUUAAAUUAUUUUUCAAUUCUGGAACAUGCCUCACUCCAGUCAAUGUCCUCACGAUACCAUCAUGCAUUCUGAUUUUAACAUCACCAACACCCACAACGUCGUACUCAGCAUUAUUCCCUAACUGGACUUUACCACUACCCGCGCACUGAUAAGUGAUAAACCAGUUUCUAUUUGGUGUGACAUGAAAAGAACAACCAGAAUCCAUAACCCAUCCAUCAAGUGAUGAAUCACUAGUGACAGACAAGACAUAAUCGGCAUUAUCUGCUACAGCUGCAACAUUAUCUGCAGAAUCAACUAUAAUUUCCUUACCAUUAUCAUUCUUCAGCUUAAGGCAAUCCCUUCUAAGAUGCCCUCUCUUGCCACAGCUCCAACAGACAACAUUAGCAGUCCUAGAUUGACUACGUCUGUUCAUAUUAGUACUACCAUUACCCAUGCGUGUUACAGAUCUUCCUCUAUUUCCACCUACUAGAGCAGUAGAUACAGAUUCGCCAGAUUCUUUUCUACGAAUAUCCUCGCUCAGAAUUAAAUCUUGAACCCCAUCAAACGUCAAACUUGUUGACCCAAAGGAAUUACUAACAACAGUAACGGUAGUAUUCCAACUAUCAGGCAAUGAAGAUAAUAGAAUCAAAGCACGUACCUCAUCUUCAAAAUCAAUCUCAACUGAACUCAAUUGACUAACAAUCACAUUGAAUUCAUUGGUAUGAUCUGCAACUAACGCACCUUCUUUCAUCUUCAAGUUAAACAGACGUCGCAUCAAACAGACCUUGUUGAUCGCAGAGGGCUUCUCGUACAUAUCCGACAAGGCUUGCAUCAAAUCAGCAGUGGUCUUCUCCUUCAGGAUAUUAAACGCGACGUUACGAGCCAACGUCAGCCGAAUAACACCCAUAGCUCGUCUAUCCAGCAAAUCCCAAUCAGCUUGCUUCAUCGUCUCUGGUUUCUCCUCAAAUAAAGGCAAGUGCAGAUUCAUCUGGUAAAGAUAAUCUUCAAUCUGCAUCUUCCAGAAACUAAAAUCAUUCCCAUCAAAUCUGUUGAUUCUCACUUUUACUUAUUCUGUCGCCAUCGAUUCGCUUCAACUUAGCCAAGCUUGGCUCUGAUACCACUUGUUGCAAUGGGGCAAGCGAUCGAACAAAAUAUACACGGAAGAAGAAAAAUAAAUCGGACACCAGAUUUACGUGGUUCAGUCGUAAAGACCUACGUCCACGGGAAGAACAGCGGUGAAUUUCACUAUAGAUCAAGCGAUACAAGGAGAUUACACACUCGAGUCACUCAAACACUCUCUCGGUGUUUCCCAAGCCCCAAUUACACCCAAUAACGCACCCAGUGUUUAGCCCCGAAAUUCCUCGAAAAUAAUCUCUCAAUCUCACGAAUGAAUUACAUGCAAAUCUUACCUCAAGAUUUAAUCGACUACAAACACUAAACUUCUUGGAUGUAAUUGCACGAAUGAAAAACAAUAAGCCCACUUUCAAGCACUCGAUAUUUGGUGCUUCAAGUUUGCUUGCAUCAACAACGGCGGAACAAGCACUCACGCGGCGCUUCAAGAUGUGGCUUCGCUAAAGAGAGUCCUAUGAGAUAUAUAUAUAUAUAUAUAUAUAUAUAUAUAUAUAUAUAUAUAUAUAUGAGACCGCCAGAGAAUUGCAUGCAUGGAAGAAAACCGAAUAAUCCAAGAUUCGGUCAACAAAGAAGAAAGAUUAACUUUCCUCUUUGGUUCCAAGCGGCAGAGUUGGAUGCUGCUUUCUUCGUAGCCUUUUUUUUUCUUAUUUUUUUUUAAUUAUUUCAAAAUUCAACUUUUCACUUGGGGCUUAAACUUGAGUCAUAAAUUUAACACAUGUAUAUCGCCCUUUUCUUUCCACUCUUUUCUUAGUUGCUUCUCCUAUUUUUGCCGUUGAGUGAUCUUAGGCAUGCUGGCUUCGUCAAUCUCUGUGUAAAUCUACGAUUGUUUUGUGCAUCUUGUCUUCUGUUUUUGUUUGUUUGUUUGUUUUGUUAUUUUUUUCUUUUCAGUUUAGAGUUGAAGAGGGGAGGGUUCUGGUGUGAUGGCUUCCUCACAUCUGUAUAGAUUUCGACAUGACAGAAGCGAAUUCUUACGUUUCAACUGGGCAUUGGAGCUGAGCGGUUCUGGCAAGUUCUUUUUCAGUAUUUUAUGCCUUUUCUUUUCGCUUGUAAUCUUAAUUGCAAGAUUCAGAUUAGUUUUGCCGGGGUGACAUCUCAAGUUGACUUUGCUGAGAUUGAGUUUAGAGAAUGCGAUCAUGUAUCUUUAAAUUUAACCGAAAAUUGAAAAGUUUUAGAUUAAAGUCCUUGGAAUAAAAUUGCAAAUUUCGAAAAUUGAAUUUUUUUUGUUAAGUUCGACAUUUGAGGGAUUUGAUAAAAGACCCAAAAGAUUUCAAAUGAAAUACCUUUAAAAAGCAAAUAAGGAAAAAAAAAAAAAGCUGUGAAAUCUGGUAAUUAUGAAUUCUAAACAUCCGUGACAGUAUUGCUCAAAAAAAAAAAAAAAAACAUCGGUGACAGUAGUCAAUGUUUUAAUUUUUUUUUCUCCGGUCUUGAAAUUAGCAUUGGAGAGAAGAAAAGUGGUAAGUUAGUGCAAUCUACUUCGACAUCUUAACAAAUACCUUCUGUGAUCUCUAAAUGGAGCCUUAAUGAGCAUUAUAAGUAAAAGUGUAAUGAAAAGAGAAAGAAAUAGAUUUUCUAUAUAAUAGACAUUGUUGGCUGAUGUAUCAUGCUAAUUAGCUUAUGAAUAAAAAACUGCCGCUCCCUUAUAAUGGUUAGCAAACUGCGCCCCUUGCAUUAGCAUAGUAGAGGAAGCAAGUAUCUCUCAGUUGGCGUAUACUCUUCAAUUGAUCCUCCUUGAUGUAAUUUAUAUGGAUUGAAUUAUUUAUUUCGAUUUUGCUUGGGAUCUCAAUUUAGAAAAUCAUGGGAUCUAAAGCUCAGAUAACAACAAGAGGAAUUAAAAAAAAAAAACAGUUAAGACAUUGCGUCAAUAUCGUUGACCGGUAAGAAUCCCAGUACUUGCGACCUUGCAGGUCUGCUACUCGGGACCUCACUAAUAUAUGACAUAAAAAUAAAAAUAAAUUUAAAAAUUUUUUUUAAAUUAAUCAUUAAUAUUUGAUAAUUCUGCCGUUUGUUUAAGGGCUAUGCUAGUAGGUCACAUGACACAUCCAAUGACGUUUUCACUGCACAUGUUCAUGUUUUUUUUUUUCUAUAGUGAUAUGGUCAGUUAUUAAAAUGUUGUAUUUUUUUCCCUUUUUGUUGCGAAUUUCCCUUCUAUAAAUCAUGAACACGAACACGAGCACAAAAUUUUUUCGUCGAAAUAAUUGGUCUAUUCAACACCUGCUGAUACAUUUAAUUGUUUUCUAUAUCAUGAAUAAAUUAUUAAGUGAUGAUUGGACAAAUCAUUAAAUAGAAAAAUCUCUUGACAAAAAGUAUCCUAGAUUAUCUCAAGCGAAGAUCUAGACAUACAUUAUUGUAUUUUAGGGUACAAGAUUGGCUGUCUCUUUGUCACUGAUUUUGUAAGUGUCCUAUUGCCUUUGGAUGGUAAUUCUUUUUGUAACUGUUCGACUUUAAAGUCGGCAAUGACCAGGAGUAACCAUCUUUGAUCAAGCCCUCUUAAGUGAACACUUAAAAAGAAUUAGUCUCUUAAUCACUGGAAUUGUGUUAAAUCAAAGGUAUUGUUUGUAGAUAUCAUGAAUAAUGGAAAAUUUUCCAAAAAUGUCCUAAAUCUAUUGCACUUUAGCCAAUUAAGUCAUAAAAUUUUUAAUUACGUCAAUUGAAUCCUAAACCUUUUCACAUUUUGCCAACUAAGUUUAUUGGGCCAAUUUUAAGAAAAAACCACUGAUGUGAACACCGGCCAUCUUAUGUAGGAUGAUAGAUACUAAUGUUGGCAAAUUCUUAUAAUUUUUUUAAAAAAUGGAUUUUUUUUUUUAUUUUUUUUUAUUUUACCAUGGCUUGUGAGAGUCGUCAGGUCCUAGCAGCUACUAGCGAAGACUCAGUGACCCUCGCCGGACAUGGCAAAAAAAAGUAAAGGAGGAAAAGAGAAGAAAAUAAAUAAGGUUCGUAAUGGUCAUGAGUAAACGGUCAGGAUGAGCAACGAUAUUAAAAAGCACUCGUGUAGUUCUUCGCCCGUUAGUAUGCUAAACAUGGAAAAUGUCGAAUCAACAUCAAUUUAACACUGUCUUUACUCGAAUAGCUACAGAACUAUGUAAGAAAACACAAGGAACAAGAAGAGAAUCCUGAAGCUCUAGACACGGCAUGACCAUGAAAAAUCCACCGAGAGCUGGUUUUUGUCCUCGGAGUAGAUGUGAAAAAUGUGGCAGAAUUAAAGAAUAAGCAGAGAUUCUUCGUAUCUAGCACUGUAAGCUUGCUCGAUGUAGAGUGAAACAAAGGGACAUUGCAUAGAAUUUGUACCUAUAUGAAGUUCACGAUGGCCGGGAGCAAUCCGCGCCCCAUGACCUCAACUUAAGUGCAUCACCGUAUCAAUAAUCAGUUCUUCCACAAGUGGAAUUGAUACGCAAUUUAUGCCCGAAUUGUCCUCUAUUCACCUUUCACUUGGGGACGGUUUUCCAUGAAUCUCUUCCAGCUCCUCGAGCCUGUUAUUGAGGGCUCUUCUAAGUGAGGCCAUCUGUAUAUGAUCGUUUGCUUCUGGAAAUCGGUUUAUGGAGACCUUGAAGUUCAGCCUAUGAAUUUUGCUGUACACUAGACGGGUCCUGUUGCCGUACUGCGAACACUUAUGUGAGGUUUCAAAUGUUCUCGCCUUCCUCUCAUGGUGCAGCAGAGCAACAAAUGUCAAAGGAAUUGGAAGAGACAGUUCCACAGCCUCCUGUCACAAUGAAUGGUCUUUCUCAUCAGGAUGAUUCUCCAAUGAGCGUGAUGAACUGCAGGAAUAAGUAAGAAACUCGAUUCUUGAGAUGUUUCUGUCUCAUAUCGUUUACUUUUUCUCCAUUGCGUCGAACAUAGUACCUACUCUAGUGAUUAGCUUAACUUUUCAUUUCAAUCUGAAAGCUACUUACCUACAUUUAUAGGAUUCUUAAUAUAAAUUACCGGCUUGUGCACACUAUCUUACUUGGCGAAUUCUGUCAUCUGCACUAGUUUAAAUACAUGCAUCAUUCGAGAGCGCAAGUGCCUUUGAUGGCUUAUGGCCUGAGGCAUGGCGUAAUUGUUUUUUUGCCUCGUCAAAGUGUUGCUUCAGAGGACCUGAAUAUUCUUUUGAAAGUGAUGCUUCAGAGGACCGGAAUAUUCUUUUGAUAGGAAUCGUCUGUUUAGAUGAUCAUAAUUGCUAUCAUUGGUAGAACACACUACCAAUAACAACAUGAUAGUCGCUGUGUGCAUUCUAGUCGAACAACGUAGUUUCAACUUUGGGUUGCGAUGCUAACUGUGCUCGCACUUGUGGUUCUAAAAUGUUGAUGAACAGAGCUGAAUCUGACAAGCUACUAGCCAUUCCUGUCGGUUUUGUUGGAUCAGAAGAGGUGGUAAGGUCUGCUCCACAUCUUGUACCUGGCGGUAAGCUUGCUUGUCCUUCAGUGGAAGAACAAGGAAUGAGAAUAAAUGCUGCAUUAGACACUGCACAUGCACCAAUUUCUCAUCUCUCGAACCUCAUUGCCAACGGUCACCGGGCUGCAAACUUCAGGGGACCUUUCCAACCAUCAGACUUUUAAGGCUCGAAGUUUGAGCCACUUGGAUUCAUACCCUAUCCCUUACUUUCUCUGAAGGUAUUUAUGAUAUUUAACACUUAGCUCGACAUUCUGCGUUGUCGAUUGUACUUGGUUUGGACUACCUACUGGUGAAUCUCUUCAUGUAAAGGUUUGGGUUGGAAUAUUACUUGUCAGCAUAGUUUCAUAGACACGGUAAUUCUGUUCUUUUACCCAUCAGUGCAUUCGACUCGUGGUGCAACAAAUCUGAAAAAAGCUUUUAAUAUGCUAUUCGAGAGUCAGCUUUCAGCAGUGAUCUUGAACAAUUUCGUGUUCUCCAAACCGAGACUUGUUUAGAGUCAUUGAAAGCCUUCAAUUUAUGACGUUGUACUAGGAAGGUCCUUUCUGCUUUAUAUGUUUCUAGAUACUUUAAAAACCAUCUAAAGUAAUUGAAAAGACCAUGCGCAAAAAGUUAAUUGCUGUUGUACUUGGCGAGGUGACCCAACUUCUCUAUGUAUUCUUACUCCUGAAGAAUGGCGUUGUUUGUAGCUUCCAUUCAGGAGUACCUUGCUAAUUCGGCAUCAGGUCAAGUGUCACGCCCCGAACCCCGAGAUACGUGAACAACCCGCCAUGGCAAUGUAAAUGCGACAUUCCCAGAUAGUGUCGCCGACCCCAUUCAAUUAUUAUGCGCAUGCUGAACGUACUAAGAAACCUCUGACAAAACUUACGGGAUAGGACAGCAGGAAAAAUCAAUUCAAAAACAAACCAACAUACUUUCAUAUAUCAUCUUUCCAGAGUUUACAUACACCAACAGGAUCAGAGACUAUAUGCACCAAAAAUGGGUCAAAGUUCAUGUGCAUCAAAAAGGGUCAAUCUGCACAACAGGGAUCGGUCCACCAAAAAGAGGGACGGCCCUAUGACUACUAGUCGGACUCGUUCGUCGAUCCCACAUCUUCCACAUCUGACUGCACUGGGUCCAGGGACGAUGGUUGUCCACCCUACAUUAGAAAGGUCAGCUACACCUUCACCCAAAUAGCAUCCACCACAACAAGUGGAAUAUCAAAAAUUAACACGAAGAAAAAAGUACAGCGUUAAGCCAAGAGGAUUCACACGAAACUCCAAUUAUCAUGAAUGCCAAACGACAUCCAUUGUCAUUUAUAGCAUAUGGACCUAAGAAUUUUAAACGAAAACACCANNNNNNNNNNNNNNNNNNNNNNNNNNNNNNNNNNNNNNNNNNNNNNNNNNNNNNNNNNNNNNNNNNNNNNNNNNNNNNNNNNNNNNNNNNNNNNNNNNNNNNNNNNNNNNNNNNNNNNNNNNNNNNNNNNNNNNNNNNNNNNNNNNNNNNNNNNNNNNNNNNNNNNNNNNNNNNNNNNNNNNNNNNNNNNNNNNNNNNNNNNNNNNNNNNNNNNNNNNNNNNNNNNNNNNNNNNNNNNNNNNNNNNNNNNNNNNNNNNNNNNNNNNNNNNNNNNNNNNNNNNNNNNNNNNNNNNNNUACGGACCUGUAAUAUUUUCCCCACAACGGGGGGGAGACCAUUAUCUCAGUAAGUUCACCCUCUGAAACCCCUAUUAGAAAGAAAAAUACGCCCAAGAGUGGGUCUACCCACACAUCAUAAAAGACUUAUCUCGUCUUAUUUCCUUCCAUGCAGGUUAGUACAGUUCAUAUCACUUAAUCACAGCUAGUAAUAAGAACUUAAAUCAUUGAAAUGCAAUCAAUUUCACAUAAUGCACAAUCACAGCAAGAGUUCCAAAUCAUUAUUCACCGCCACACAAGGGCAUAGCCAACUUGCAGUUUAACUAUCUACUGACAUUAAUGCCCAGGCAUCGCCUCCCCCCUUGGACCGCGGCUUCAUCACCACAUUGACGGCAUUCCCGAAGGAGCAUGGGUCCCAGUUGGCCUAGCCUCUACUGCGACCCGAGCCACGUCACUCUGUUAACGGCGUUUCUAGAAGAAUAAAGGUCCAGUUGGCCUAGUCACUACUACGACCGAGUCUUUUAACCAGCACACGACAAUUCAAUACUAAUCCCUGGAUACUUCACAUUUCACUCACAUACUCCAAUUACAAUAUUAACCCUUAAAAAUCCAAUUUCGGUGCCAAACCUGACACUUGAGAUUUUCUGAAUAAAAUCCCUAUUUUUUUUCACAAUCAACACUCAAUUUGUGUUAUCCGCUCAUUAAAUUCAAAUUCUAAAUACACAACAGCGAUCAGCACGAAAUUCUGAGCAAUUGAUGUCAAAAAUAAUUUUUCGAAUUUUUUUAAAUAAUAAUAUUUUAAUAAUUUUCAGAAUAUAAUAUAUUAUUAAAUAAUCCAAUAAUUUUGAAGCAUUUAUUUAAAUCAGAAAUAAAUUCCUUUAAGUCACAUCAAGGCUUAUAUUAAAAUAAACAUACUUAACUUUAAACUAAACACACUUUAACUUAAUUAAACACUUUAAUCUAAUCCACAACUAAAUAAACUAAUCUAACCACCUAAUCUCAAUCAACAUAAGCUAAACACGCUUAAGGCAUCAUUAACCCUUUAAUCAAGAUUUAGUGAGCUAAACUCACAGAAAUCGCUUUCCGACGAGUCCCCGGCGAAGAGCACGAUGAUGUUGACGACAAAUCUACACGGAGCAACACUAAAUGAGGACCGGAAGGCACCCAAAACGGCCCUCAAAGAUCCGGACUCGAGCUGGAACUCCGGUUGCUGUUUGGGGUCGGAUGGAGGCGGCUUGGCGGUCGGUUAGGCGCGAAACCGGCGGAGAGGGGCUGCGGCAGCUCGGGCAACGACCGGCGGUGGCUCGGGCGGUCUUGGCUAGCUCCGACAGUGGUUGGCGAACGGUGAGCAGCGGCUGGUGGCUUCGGACGACAACGCUGGACGGAGGACGAAGGCGGAACAGCUUGCACGCGGGACAGCGCGCGCGCGGUCGUGCGCGGAUGAGUGGCGACGGUGAACUCCGGCAACGAAUGGCUAGCGGUAACGAGCGAGAGGGCGAAGGGCAGUCGGCUAGCCUGGUCCGGUCGCUCUCUCUCCCCCCCCCCCCCAACUCGUUGAUUUCUGGAGUUUUAAUUAGCCUUGAUACGGUGAUGGGGAGAUGUAUGCGAGGAGACGUGAGAAAGAUGUUCAGUACCAGUUUCUAAAUAUGAAAAAUGGAUUCUUGCUAAGGUGGAAGCUCCACUACCUGUGAUGAANNNNNNNNNNNNNNNNNNNNNNNNNNNNNNNNNNNNNNNNNNNNNNNNNNNNNNNNNNNNNNNNNNNNNNNNNNNNNNNNNNNNNNNNNNNNNNNNNNNNCACAUUUGCACCCUCCAUAUGUCACCACCCUAGCCAAUCUUGCCCCACGCCAUGACAUCACUUGUGAUGUCACAAUCCACUAACUCCAACCUCCCACAACCUUAGUCCAAUAGAUUCAAUUUCAUUUUCCGCCAGGGCAUAGAAUCUUGUAUAACAACUUCUUCAAUUCCGCUUGAUUCUCUUCCAAUUUAAUCAAAUUGAAGUCCAUAAAAUUAAUCCAAUGUUCCUAAUAAGAUUUGUGACACACCAUGACUUCCAAUUUCAGAAUUCGAUCUCACUUUCACGGUUAAUUUCAUUUUGGCACGAUACUAGCGCGUCUUAGUCUAUUGGGCAGCUUUUAGAAAUUUUAAUGCAUUUGACCUGUAGUUGAUCAAUUCAAGCCGCAAUGUACAUCUUUGACACAUUGAUGACUUUCAGUUGUCGGGGUAAUCUCAAGGUUUCAAAUAUGGGCACAGAGUACCAAAUCGACAGAAAAGUCGGUCUAAUGCCGAUUGACAAGAAUUGUGUGAUCUGGUGGAAUCACCCACACUUGAUCACAUGCCUCUGUCGAGUCAACCUAUCUCCAGUCUCUAAUCGAUUUUUAUUUGUGCCGUAAUGACCCUUGCAGAUUAGCUCGGUCGAAAGGUCGCUUCUUGGUCAAAUUCUCGAGUUUGAUGCAUUAGAAUCUCUUAACGGCUUCACCUGAUAAAUUAGUUUUCACAUGAGUGGCCAACUCAAGGAAAAGAACUAUUUGCGUGCCAACGAAAUGCCUGUCUCAAUUAUUGAAAAUAGGAUUGAAAAAUCAGGAUGGCACAACUCUUCUCCUCUUAUAAAAAUUUCGUUCUCGAAAUUUAAACCAUUACACUUCUUAAGCAAAAAGGUGGGGGUACAAUUGUCUCAUCGAAUCUUCGAUUUCCCAAGUUGCUCCUUCAGUAUCGUGGUGUUGCUAGACCACUUGACCAACGGGAUGGUCUUGGUGCGCAGAACCUGCUCCUUGCGAUCGACGAUCUGAAUCGGGCUUUCAACGUACGACACCUUGUCGUUCACAUCUAAUUCCUCAAAAUUUAGAACGUGUGUCGGAUCAGGUUCAUACUUCCUUAACAUCGACACGUGAAAGACAUCAUGCACUUGUGCUAACCUCGGCGGUAGUGCAAGACGAUACGCUAGAGUCCCUAUUCUUUCCAAAAUCUCAAAGGGACCUACGUACCUCAGACUCAGUUUCCCCUUUUUGCCAAAGCGGGAAGUACCUCUCAUUGGUGACACCUUCAAAAAGACAUGCUCACCAACUUAGAACUCCAAUGGCCUUCGACGCUUAUCUGCAUAACUCUUUUGGCGGCUCUGAGCAGUCUUUAAUCUGUUUCUGAUAACUGCAACUGCCUCCACUGAAUGCUGAACCAACUCUGGACCGGUGAUCUUUCUUUCCCCGACUUCAUCCAAACAUACUGGCGUUCUGCACGCUCUGCCAUACAACGCUUCAAAAAGGGUCAUUUGAAUACUCUGCUGAUAACUGUUGUUGUAGGCAAACUCGACUAGAUGAAGCUGUUCCUCCCAGCUUCCUUUGAAGUCCAAGACGCAAGCUCGCAGCAUGUCUUCGAGAGUCUGAAUUGUCCUCUCAGAUUGGCCAUCAGUCUGCGGAUGAUAGGCCGUACUAUACUGUAGCUUCGUUCCUAAAGCGGAUGGCAAGCUCUUCCAAAAAACGGCGGUGAACCUCGGGUCCCUAUCUGACGUAAUCGUGACCGAGACCCCAUGCAUAUGAACCACCUAACGUAGAUACAGAUCUGCGAGUCUAUCCAAACUCAAGUCCUUUCGCACUGCCAUGAAGUGAACCGACUUUGUCAGUCUGUCAACUACUACCCAAAUCGAAUCAUUUCCUCUCUGGCUCCUUGGUAGUCCCGUCACGAAGUCCAUCGUGAUAUGCUCCCAUUUCCAUUAUAGGAUCUCAAGGGGUUGCAGAAGUCCUCCCGGUUUGCAUUGCUGAGCCUUCACCUGCUGACACGUCAAACACUUGGUGACAUGCUUGGCGAUGUCCGCCUUCAUGCCACACCACCAGUAAUGUUGACGUAGAUUUUGAUACAUCUUGGUACUACCAGGAUGAAUGCUGUAACUGCUACGAUGUGCUUCUGAUAAAAUCUCCUCUCUAAGCUUCACAUCGUUAGGUACAACCAAUCGUCCUUGGAACCUCAAUGUUCCAUCCUUAGAAAUCUGAAAGUCAGCUUUCUUUUUCUCUGCAUCCUCUUGCAGGAUUUUCUGAACAUUUGAAUCUAUCUGCUGAAGUGUUCUGAUUCUAACCUGCACUUCCGACUCAAUUCUAAGGGUGGCCAUAAGACUCGAAAUGUGGCCUACCUCACAUUUGAAAUCUGAAUCUCGUGCUCUCUCAAUUAGACCCCAUUCUUUGAGUACCAUUUGAGCAACUGAAGACUUCCUACUCAGUGCAUCAGCGACCUUGUUCGCCUUUCCGAGGUGAUACAAAAUCUCACAGUCAUAGUCCUUUAAGAGCUCUAUCCAUUGACGUUGUCUCAUAUUCAACUCCUUCUGAGAGAAUAAGUACUUGAGGCUCUGAUGGUCAGUGAAAAUCUGGAAUCUUUCUCCGCACAAAUAAUGCCUUAAAAUCUUCAGGGCAAAGAUGAUCGCUGCAAGCUCUAAGUCAUGCGUCGGAUAAUUCAACUCGUGAGGUCUCAACUAACGGGACGCAUAUGCAACUACCCUACCAUGCUGCAUCAAUACGCAACCCAAUCCUUUAAACGACGCAUCACUGUAGAUCUCAAACCCUCCUGGACCCGAUGGAAUAGGAAGCACAGGUGCGGUAGUUACUUGAAACUACUCUCGCACUUAUCUGACCACACAAACUUUUUUUCCUUCUUCAGUAGUCUCGUCAUCGGCGAUGCUAACACUGAAAACCCUUCUACAAACCGUCUGUAAUACCCUGCUAAACCCAGAAAACUUCUGAUCUCUGUUACUGUCGACGGUCUCGGCCAGUUGAUCACUACUUCAAUCUUGGCUGGGUCCACUGAGAUUCUUUCUCCAGAGAUGACAUGACCUAGGAAAGCCACACGAGUUAGCCAAAACUUGCACUUACUGAACUUGGCGUAUAGCUCGUGAUCUCUCAAAGUCUGAAGCACUAUCCUUGAAUGCCUUUCAUGAUCCUCAGUACUCCUUGAAUACACCAGGAUGUCGUCAAUGAAAACAAUUACGAACUGAUCCAAGUACUCUCUGAAUACGCAGUUCAUCAGAUCCAUGAAAGCAGCUGGGGCGUUCGUCAACCCAAAUGGCAUCACAGUAAACUCAUAAUGGCUCGAGUGCGAAACGCCGACUUCGAUAUGUCUUCCUUCUUGAUUCUUAGCUGAUGGUACCUUGUCCUCAAGUCGAUCUUAGAAAAUAUCGACGCUCCCUGAAGCUGAUCAAACAAGUCAUCGAUCCUCGACAAUGGAUACUUGUUUUUGAUCGCCACCUAAUUGAAUUGACGAUAGUCGAUGCACAAGCGCAAUGAGCCAUCCUUCUUCUUCACGAACAGAAUUGGUGCUCCCCAAUGUGAUGCACUAGGACGAAUAAAUCAUUUAUCCAACAACUCUUGCAUCUGUACCUUCAGUUCCUUAAGUUCUGACAAGGCCAUCCAGUAAAGAGCUUUAGAGAUUGGCUUGGUCCCGGGGGCUAACUCAAUCACGAACUCUAUCUCUCUCUCUGGCGGCAAACCUGGUAAUUCUUUCGGGAACACGUAUGGGAACUCUUGCACCAUUGCAAUAUCUUCAAUCUUCAACUCCUCCACUAUCGUGUCCACGACAGUCGCCAAGUAACCUUGGCAACCCUUGCCUAGCAAGCGAGUUGCUUCGAGUGAUGAGAUUAAGGAAACCGAGGGUCCUCCUUGACUCCUAAUAAAUUCGAAACUCUCACCCCCUAAUGGGUUAAACUGAAUCGCUUGGUGAGCCAGUCCAUGCCAAUUAUCACAUCAAAAUCAAACAUGGCUAGGACUAUCAAGUCUAUCCUCCCUUCUCGCUCACUAAUCAGUAACUUGCAACUAAGACAACCCACUGUAGCUAACACCUUAUGCUUCAACGGAGUAGAUAUGCUAAUCACAGACUCCAACAACUCAGGAAUUAAUUCUACCAACUUAACAUAUCUUUCAUCUAUAAAUGAAUGAGAAGCUCCAGGAUCAAAUAAAGCAUAAGCAGGUUGGUCGUUCAGUAAGACCAUACCUGUGAUCACAUUAGGCGCAUCCUCCGCCUGUCCUCUGGUGAUCGCAUAAGUCCUUCCUUGAGUUGGAGGUUGGUUCAAUCCACCAUGCGGCAUGAUCUGCGGCGCGAUUCCUCUAUUCUGACCCAACGAUGGCGGCGGCGGCAAUUGACGCUAUCCCAUCUGUUUCCUGAGGCAAUUCCUGGCUAUAUGACCCUGCUGGCCACACUCAUAACAGGCGCCCGUCCUAGGAGGACACGGGGCUGAACCAUGUCGUCUUCCAUAUAGACGACACACACCAUUUGGUCUCGGCGCUGGCUUUCCUGUCUCACCCUUCCUGUUGAGUGGAACAUGAUAUCUUCCUCCAGACAUCGAUCUCUUCCCAAACCGGUUACCUUCUCUAUUCGAAUUAAACUGCGACCCAGAUGUGGCAGCUCUCUAAUUCUAGUCUUUCUCAAUCAGCUGGGCCCGAUUAUAAAGGUCCUUGUACUCCUUUAGCUCUAAUGGUACCAACAAGCUCCUCACAUCAGGUCAGAACCCAUCUCUAAACCUUCGAGCUCGGUUUGACGGUCUUUGAACUAACUCGGGGGCAUACCGUGAUAGUUCAACGAACUUCACUUCAUACUGAUCGACUGUCAUUGUACCUUGACGAAGGCACUGAAACUCCACCAUCUUCACCUCUCUAGCACAAUCAGAAAAGUACUUCUCAUUGAAGACCUCAAGAAAAGCAUUCCACUCCGGAACUACACUUUCAGGGAACACUAUCCCUUUAUUAGUCUUCUGCCAUGUAGCUACGAUCCCCCUCAACUGAUAGGCUGCCAAAACGACAUUCUCUGCUUCAGUGCACAUUAGUAACUCAAAGGCAUUCUCUAACUCCUGAAUCCAUAGUGCUGUAGCUUCGGGAUCUCCUGCUCCCGUGAACGUCGGUGGAUUCAACCUCAUAAAAUAUUCUACCAACUUAUGCUUAGGCCUCCCAGCGGCCACAUUCUCAGGUGGAAUUUCAACAGGUUCCACUUAAGGUUCGACGAUCAGUACGGUGGCAGCAGGUGCGGCGGCAGGGGCGGCGGUAACUGCAACGGUAGCAGCAUUGGCGGCAUUAGCAGCAUUGGUGGUAGUGGCGGUAGCGACUGAAGCGGCGGCUUGCUGGUCCAAUCUGUCACCCAUCAACUCAAGCAUUUGCAUGAUUCCAACAAACCUCGGAUCCUCGGGGGCUACUGCAUCGUCUAUAGGCGAUCCUGCACCACUCGCACUGGCCUUAGCCUGUGCUUUUCCUAGGGCACCUCGGGCACCGACCCUCAUCGGUGACCCACCCCGACUGCUCUCUUCCUAACAGCUCUCGGCACUCGGUCACUCAAGCUACAUGCUCAAUAUAGAUGCCUAAUUGCAAAUUCCAAUACCACAUUAGAAUCUGAGUGACCUCACAAACAAGUUAACAAAUAGCUAACAAUCACUUGCAUCAGUAUAAUAAAAGCCUUUCCUACCAACUAUCCCAUGACUCCCACACACCUUAUUACUCUAUACAUGAACCAUGCUUUGAUACCACUUAAACGGGGUUGUCACGCCCCGAACCCUGAGACACAUGAACAACCCGCCAUGGUCAUGUAAAUGCAACAUUCCCAGGUAGUGUCGCCGACCCCAUUCAAUUAUUAUGCGCAUGCGGAACGUACUAAGAAACCCCUGACAAAACUUACAGGAUAAGACAGCAGGAAAAAUCAAUUCAAAAACAAACCAACAUACUUUCAUAUAUCAUCAUUCUAGAGUUUACAUACAACAACAGGAUCAGAGACUAUAUGCACCAAAAAUGGGUCAGAGUUCAUGUGCAUCAAAAAGGGUCAAUCUGCACAAUAGAGAUCAGUCCACCAAAAAGAGGAACGCCCUAUGACUACUAGUCGGACUCGUUCGUCGAUCCCACAUCUUCCACAUCUGAUUGCACUGGGUCCGGGGACGAUGGGUUGUCCACCCUACCAUCAGAAAUGUUAGCUACACCUUCACCUAAAAUAGUAUCCACCACAGCAAGUGGAAUUUCAAAACUAUAGAGUGGACCAAUCCUAAAGCCAUUAGCCCCAAAACGGAACCAUGCCUUAAACCUAUGCGGUACCUUGACAUCCUCAGUCUCCUGAAUUCAGACGGUGGUCCUGAUCAGCUCGUAAACCCAAUGGCUCCCAGGGUCAGGAAAACUGUGCACCUCCUCGACAAUAUGCACUAGGAUGCCAUUCUUCUCCGGAGGUCCUGCCAUCUACGGCCCUGUAAUAUUUUUCCCACAACGGGGUGAGACAUUGUCUCAACAAGUUCACCCCUCCUAAACCCCUAUUAAAAAGAAAAUACGCCCAAGAGUGGUCUAGCCACACAGCAAUAAAGACUUACCUCAACUUAUUUCCUUCCUGCAGGUUAGUACAAUUCAUAUCACUCAAUCACAUGUAGUAAUAAGAACUUAAAUCAUUGAAACACAAUCAAUUUCACAUAAUGCACAAUCACAGCAAGCGUUCCAAAUCAUUAUUCACUGCCACACAAUGGCAUAGCCAACUUGCAAUUCGACUAUCUACUGACAUUAAUGCUAGGCAUCGCCUCCCCCCUUGGAGCGCGGCUUCGUCACCACGUCAACGGCAUUCUCGAAGGAGCAUGGGUCUAGUUGGCCUAGCCUCUACUGCGACCCGAGCCACGUCACUCUGUUGACGGCGUUUCUAGAAGAAUAAAAGUCCAAUUGGCUUAGCCAUUACUGCGACCGAGUCUUUCAACCAGCACACGACAAUUCAAUACUAAUCUCUGGAUACUUUACAUUUCACUCACAUACUCCAAUUACAAUAUUAACCCUUAAAAAUCCAAUUUCGGUGCCAAACCUGACACUUGAGAUUUUCUGAAUAAAAUCCCUAUUUUUUUCACAAUCAACACUCAAUUUGCGUUAUCCGCUCAUUAAAUUCAAAUUCUAAAUACACAACAGCGAUCAGCACGAAAUUCUGAGCAAUUGAUGUCAAAAAUAAUUUUUCGAAUUUUUUAAAUAAUAAUAUUUUAAUAAUUUUCAGAAUAUAAUAUAUUAUUAAAUAAUCCAAUAAUUUCGAAGCAUUUAUUUAAAUCAGAAAUAAAUUCCUUUAAGUCACAUCAAGGCUUAUAUUAAAAUAAACCUACUUAACUUUAAACUAAACAUACUUUAACUUAAUUAAACACCUUAAUUUAAUCCACAACUAAAUAAACUAAUCUAACCACCUAAUCUCAAUCAACCUAAGCUAAACACACUUAAGGCAUCAUUAACCCUCUAAUCAAGAUUUAGUGAGCUAAACUCACCGGAAUCGCUUUCCGACGAGUCCUUGGCAAAGAGCACGACGAUGCCAACGACAAAUCUACACAGAGCAACACCAAAUGAGGACCGGAAGGCACCCAAAACGGCCCUCAAAGAUCCGGACUCAAGCUAGAACUCUGGCUACUGUUUGGGGUCGGAUGAAGGCGGCUUGGUGGUUGGUUGGGCGCGAAACCAGCGGAGAGGGGCUACGGCAGCUCGGGCAACGACCGGUGGUGGCUCGGGCGGUCUUGGCUAGCUCCGACGGUGGCUGGCAAAUGGCGAGAAGUAGCUGGUGGCUUCGGACGACAACGCUGGACGGAGGACGAAGGCGGAGCAGCUUGCACGCGGGACAGCGCGCUCGCGGUUGUGCGCGAAUGAGCAGCGAUGGUGAACUCCGGUGGCGAACGGCAAGCGGCAACGAGCGAGCGAGCGAAGGGCGAUCGGCUAGCCUAGUCCGGUCGCUCUCUCUCUCUCUCCUCCCCCCCCCCCCCCCAAAUUUCAAAUUCCAAGGCCCCUUGAAGAAAAUGAUGGAGACAAGGGGGAAGUGACAUCCCACCUUUUUGUGAUUCAAUCUCCACCCACCACGUGUCACCACCCUAGCCAAUGUUGCCCCACCCCAUGACAUCACUUGUGAUGUUACAAUCCACUAACUCCAACGUUCCACAACCUUAGUCCAAUAGGUUCAAUUUCAUUUUCUGUCGGGGCAUAGAAUCUUGUACAACAACUUCUUCAAUUCCACUUGAUUCUUUUCCAAUUGAAUCAAAUUGAAGUCCAUAAAAUUAAUCCAAUGUUCCUAAUAAGAUUUGUGACACACCAUGACCUCCAAUUUUAGAAUUCGAUCUCAAUUUCAUGGUUAAUUUCACUUUAGCACGGUACUAGCGCGUCCUGGUCUACCGAGCAGCUUUUAGAAAUUUGCAUGCAUUUGACCUGUGGUUGAUCAAUUCAAGCCACAAUGUACAUCUUUGACACAUUGGCAACUUUCGGUUAUCGGGGUAAUCUCAAGGUUUCAAAUACGGGCACAGGAUACCCAAUCGACAGAAAAGUCGGUCCAAUGCCGAUCGACAAGAAUUGUGCGAUCUGGUGGAAUCACCCACACCUGAUCACAUGUCUCUGUUGAGUUGACCUAUCUCCGGUCUCUAAUUGAUUUUUAUUUGUGUUGUAAUAACCCUUGCAGAUUAGCUCGGUCGAAAGGUCGUUUCCUGGUCAAAUUCUCGAGUCUGAUGCAUUAGAAUCUUUUAACGGCUUCACCUGAUAGACUAGUUUUCACAUGAGUGGCCGACUCGAGGAAAAGAAUUAUAUGCGUGCCAACAAAAUGCUUGUCUCAAUUAUUGAAAAUAGAAUUGGAAAAUCGGGAUGUCACAUCAAGGUUCACUGUCUGCAAUAUCUUAGUGAAGUGGAUAUCAGGCGUUCCAUAUCACAUCGGUGUCUGGAGGAAUGUUUGCUAAGCAAGAAAACUCAUGUGCAGGGGACAACGGUGAGGAAUAUAGUACUUGUUUGGAAGAAUGUAAGGCACCAUCUCAUGACUUAUCAUCCAGUGAAUGCACAAAUUCUUACUCAUUGAGAUAUUGUGCUCUUGUAAUACAUCACAUCCUCUAACAUGACAUCACGUGUUCAAUUUCUAUUCAUCGUAAAGGCAAAAAUUGAUAGCCACUCUGUCUAUCCUCUUUGACGUGCGCCAAUCGUUCAUCGGGUAGAUUAGGACCCAUCUAGAAACAAGAGGUCGAAGUCAGAGAUUGCUUGAGCAAGUAGCUGAUGUCAAGCUGGGGUUGAAGGGUGGGGGUGAGAGCUUUUGAUGGAAACGAGAGAGAUUCGUUGCUCAAAAUGCAAACAUUAACAUGAAGAAAAAAUUACAUUGUUAUGCCAAGAGGAUUCACACAAAACAAAAAUUAUAAUGAAUGCCAUACGACAUUCAUUGUCAUUUAUAAAACAUGGACAUAAUGAGUCUAAUAGAAAACACCGAUGCUAUAUGAAAAACAUAUAAAAGCUUCACAGAUUACAUUAUCAAUGAUGGUACAUGCUGAUAGUGUUAAUUAUAUUUCACAUCUCAUUUCUACAAGAGGAAAACAAUCACACAAUACAUGAUUUUGUAAACUCAUUGUCGUGGUCAAAUUGGUAACUGCUAGAAAUUAUCGGAGCACUUGACAAAGAUGAGACCAUUUCAAGUUCUAUCUCAUUGUUGUCAUCAUCAAUUGGUGCCUCUAUCGGAUAUAAAAUUGGUUUUGGAGGUAGUUGCAGUUUAUCGAUAUCUCCUUCAAGCAUAUCUAGAACUUUCCUCAUUGACGGCCGAUCCUUAGGGUUCAGCUGUACGCACCAUAGCGCAACGAUUAUCAUCUUCCUUGUUUCUCUUUCCUCUUCUAUGACUUCUACCCUCUCAACCUCCUUUUCUUUGCUGAAAUGAUCAUAAACCCACAAAGGAAAGUAAAUUUGACUUGAAUGCUCUGCAUGUGCAUUUAUAUUUCUCCUUCUACCGGCCAUUUCCAUUAACAUCAUCCCAAAACUGUAAACAUCGGCUUUAUAAGAAAUUCCACCAAUGUCUUUGUAGAAUAGCUCAGGCGCCAUAUAACCCAAGGUUCCUCUUGCUGCAGUCAACGGUACUAUGCUAUGACCGAUGGGAUAACGUCUUGCAAGUCCAAAGUCAGAAAUUUUCGGAGUGAAACUUUGGUCUAGGAGAAUGUUGUGAGGCUUGAUGUCAAAGUGAAGAAUUUGCAUAUCACAUCCCCGAUGUAGAUACUCUAUCCCUCUAGCUAUGCCAAGAGAGAUCUCAUGCAUUUUCUUAUAAUCAAGAGGAUCAUCACCAUCCUUAUUCAAAAUGUGUUUAUCCAAAGAGCCAUUCGGCAUGAAAUCAUAGACCAGAGCUUGUUUGGAGUAAUCGAAGCAAAAACCAACAAGUUGCACUACAUUGAUGUGGUGGAUCCUUCCAAUUGUGGCCACUUCACUAAUAAAAUCCUGGCCGUUAGAUUCUGGUUUGUUCAAAAUCUUAACCGCAACUUCAUUGCCACUUCUAAGGAUUCCUCUAUACACAGAGCCAUAUGCCCCCUCACCUAAUUUGCAUUUGAAUUUUUUUGUAAUCUUCUUGAUAUCCGAGUAAGAGUACCUUAUGGGCGAAAAGUUGUUGUGAACUUGUAGGAAUUCUUCGAUGUUUGCGUCGAUCGCCCGGUGCCUUCUCAUCCACUUAUAGAUUAGAAGUAUCAACACACAUGGAGCUCCAAGUAUGAAUUUUGCUGGGACGUAGUUGGCUACAUAGAAAUUGUCCAUAGAUUAGCGCCGUGCAAUAAUUUUUUUGUAAACAUAAUUGUUUUUAAUCAGAGUGCUUCUUGAGAUCAUCAUAGUUGUGAGGAGAAAAGGCCCAGCAGUCAUACCCAAGAAAAAGGCGAGGUGCCGACCUACAGGUGCCGCGUACCAAUGCUUGGUCCACGCAGAAUGAGGGGUGCCUGCAACAGAUUAAUUAGAGUCGGUGAUCAAUCAAUGAAGAAUUAAAUUUAUCAUUUUAGCAGUUAAACAUAAAUAUAAUUUACUCUCCUUGACAGCGCUCAGAUCACAGUUAAUUCAAUUCACCUAGGGAAUCCAUGCCAUCGUAGCAUGAUUCAUAAGUUCACGUCUCGCUCCGCGUAAUUCUAAUUUACAAACGUCAUUCAAUACGCGUGCAGUUUAUUCAACCGCAUAACAAUAACAGUCAUGCAAGGGACACGAGCAACAAUUAAAUCAACCAUUUUUCCCCAAACAAAAAUGAAGUAACAAUGUCAAAUCCAGAAAAGCUCCAAGAUUCGUAAAAUAAACGAGAGCAGUGCAUGCCGACCCUACUAAGAAAUCUAUUUAAACUUUUCUACUUAAGUGAUGUGGCAAUUUUUUCUAUUAUGUUUUUAAUGAAACUAGUGUCUUAAUGUGUGGAUUUCAUUAAAAAUACCCAAUUAAAACCUGCCACGUCACUUGGUAAGUAAAUUUUGAUCAGGUCUCUUAGUGAAGCUAGCAUUUAAGGAAAGGAGGAGGAGGAAGAAGAGAAAGAGAAAAAACAGCUUAGGGGAACGUCGCUUACUGAAAUAAUAGCCGCACUUCUCCCUUCGGUUAAUAAAACUUAAGAAGUGACAUGGAAAGAACAUUUUCGCAGAAAUGUAGAGCGGAUAGGUGAGAGUGAAUCCCUCGACCAUCUUGCUGUGGAGGUCCUUGUAUGGUAAGCUCCCAUACUGAUCCCCUUUCCGCCAUGAGAUUUGAUCCGAUGUGAAUGCCAUCAUGGUUACGGUGCAAGAGUCCUUGAUAUCCCCUACUUGUAAUUUCCGUAGUACAGCGUAUGAGUACACCUUCAUUUGGGAAAAAUGAGUUGUGUCGGCAGAGUAUGCGUCCUCAAUACAUGGUUUGGCAUCAAUAUAAGAAGUAGAAGUAACAGGUUGUGAGCACUUCAUGAAGGCCACAGUGACAUUGCCAUAUGGAAAUCCAUAUAAAUCAGCAAAUGGAUUAGUGAUAUUGAAGUACGUCAAUGGGUAACGAGGAAGGGAUGAACAAUUACCCUUCUGCAGUCCAUCAUCAACCACUGUGAUGUUACCAGAGAAGUCAUUUUGGAGAAUAGAGAAAUAAUUAAUCGACUUCACAUAAUAUCGGCCAGCAUUUAAAUAUAGAACAGUGUGGUUAUUUUCACAAACUAGCUCAUACCAAGAGUGACCGCAGUCUUUUGGAUCGCUUUUCAAUCGAAAAGGAUAACUUAUGUUACGGAUCUCACCGCAAGAUGAAGAGGCACACAAGUGAUUCUUCUUCGCAUCGCAGCUCGUUCCUAACAAUAGCAGAACAUGCAAUAUGAGAAGUAAAACACGGAGCAUAAAUAUCGAGCUGAGAGAAAUAAUCAUCUCUUUAUCGUUUGAUCCGAUGCAAUGGAAGUUUUAGCUCACUUAGUGAUGCGAGGGAUGCUUAAUAAAGGGUUGGGAGUCAUCGGUCAUCGAAAUGUCCAAGUCAACCCUAAAACAAAGUCUAGCGAAGAAAAACUUAAAAAGUACGGCCCCGCAAAAACACGAUCUCGAGUGAUAGAUAGCUUUCACAUUCAUUAGGGAGGAAAUUUCUCUGCAUUUUCCAGAUAGGAUUUUUCUUGGCAAAUUAAUUCUCUCUAGAAAUUUAUUUUAGUAUCUUAAAAAAGAAUCGGUUUUAAUGUUUUGUACCCUAAACUCAAUCAAAAUCUAUUCAAACGAGGCAUCUAGCGUUCUAUUUUAUUUUCAAGGCCAAUAUUUCAUAAGUGUCGCUUCGUUAAAUUUUGAAGACGAAAAGGAAAAGGAUGAUGUAAUUCAUUGUAUAAGGUUUUUCAUUUUUGAGAAAAAAAAUUAGUAACCAAGAAAGAGGAUAAUGUUAAAUAAUGGGUACAUAGAUUUUAACUUUUAUAAUGUCGCUUUCCGCAAAAAUAGAAAGAAAAUAAGGAACGGGUGCUUCUUGCUUAUGGAUGAUGUGAAAGAUAGCAAUAUGGUAAAUUCUCAACUAGUGAUGGGACCGACACACCUUGAUUAGAAAUUCACUUGCGUUGUCGUGGAUCGACACACGCAAGGACUAUAGACGCAACAUUUGAAUUCACAAAAAUAAUGUGAUGUUUACUUAUUCACUAUGCUUAAAUUUUAAAAUCACUCUCUUGUAAUUGUGCUAUAAUUAUGAAUAUGACCGUCGUCUCUUUUCCAUAAUUGAAUCACUUAAUGAAUGUACAUACUGAUCUCAACGAAAAAGGCAAUACGAUCAUUUCUCAGCCAACGAUCAAUUGAUGUGGGUCUCGAUUAGAAAUUCACUUCCUUCGUCAUUCUUGACACGCGCAAAGACUAUAGGUGUAAUAUUUGCAUACACAAAAAUAAACUAAUAUGUACUUAUUCACUGUCAAUUGAAAUAUUAUUCUUGUGGAUCAGUCAAUCACUCGCCUAUAAAAUAAUCUCAUCUUUUUCUCCCAAUAAAUCGAACUGACCUAUUACAAUAUCCAAUUGGAACGUGCCACAUCACUCAGUAAGUAAAUUUUUAUACGAUCCCUCAGUAGAGCUAACAUUUAAGAAAAGGGUGAGGAUGAAGAAACAAACAAAGAAAGAACUGGGAAAGUGAGCUUUCGGGAAUCCUGGUGUCUGCACCUCUCCCUUUGGUAUUCAAAACCUAAGUAGCAAAACUCGAAACUUGUUGGUGGCAAGAGUUUAUAAUAGGAGAUAGUGAAUCCCUCGACCAUCAUGUCGUGGAGGUCCUUAUACAGUGAGCUUGCACGAUUAUACCGGUCCUUUUUCCACUCCGGAAUACAAUGCGGUAUUAAAGCCUUUAUGGUUAUGGUGUAAGUAUCCUUGAUGUCCCCUACUCGGAGAUUAAACUCAUGUACAGCGUAUGAGUACACCUUUAUCGGAAGGAUAUGCUCCCUCAAUACAUGGUUCAGUAUUGACUUACGAAGUAGAAGCAAGGGGCUGUGAGCACUUCAUGAAGACCACCGGCACAGCUAACGAAUCGUAUGGAUCAUUAUCACUAAGUUGGAGAGCGCCAAUGAGUAAUGAGGGAGGGAUGAACAAUUACUUUUUUUGCAGUCGAUCAUCAACCACCGCUAUUUCGCCAUUGAAAAAACAUUUGCUGAGAUUGGAAUGGUACUAAAUUGAUUUCACAUAAUAUUGGCCGACAUAUAGAUAUAGAACAAUGCGAUUAUUUUCACAAGCUAGCUUAUGUUCAUAGCGUCCGCAUCCUUUUGGGUUGCCUUUCAAUCGAAAGUGAUAUGUCACGAACCUCGCCACAAGAUAAAGUGGCAGACAAGUAAUUUUUCUAUGCACCACAACUCGUCCCAAUAGCAGCAGAAGGGAAAAGUACCAAAAAAGUCCUAAACCUAUUGCAUUGGUACAAAUUCAGUUCUAAAAUUUUCAAUUUGACCAAUUUAGUCAUAAACCUUUUGAUAUUGGUACCAAUUCAAUCCUUCCGGCCAAUUUUGGCCAGCCGGCACUGAUGUGGACGUCGGCCGGUGGCCGGACACUGACAUGGAAUUUUUUUUAUAUUUUAGUUUUUUCGAAUUUUUUUAUUUUUUUAUUUUUUUAUUUUUUCCUUUUUCCUUUUUCCUUUUUCCUUUUUCCUUUUCUUUUCCGGUAGUGGUUGGCGAGCCUCCGGUGAGGCUCGCCGCCACUAGGCGAGGGCCGCGAAGCCCUCGCCUGGACUCUCCGUGGGCCGGCGGCAAGGCCAUGGCGGCUAUCGUCAUGGUAGAGGCGAGGGCACGUCGGUGAGGGUCGCGGCCCUCGCUCGGCCUUGCCUAGGGCCACGGGUGAGGUCGAGUGAGGACUGCGACCCUCGCCGGUGGCUGGCGAGGGCUUUGCGGCCCUCACCUCCGCCUAGCGAUGGCCCCCAUGGCCUCGCCGGCAGCCCUGGGAGAGGCUGGGCGAGGGCCGCAACCCUUGUCGGCUGCAGGCGAGGGCUUCGCGGCCCUCGCCCAGUGGCCGGUGAGCCUCACUGGAGGCUCGCUAGCCACUGUUGGAAAAGAAAAGGAAAAAGGCAAAAAAACUUUAAAAAAAUAAAAAAAAAUCGAAAAAAAAAAAUCAUAAAAAUUGCCACAUCAACGUCCAGCCACCAGCCGACGUCCACGUCAGUGCCGGCCGGCCAAAAUUGGCCAGAAGGACUGAAUUGGUACCAAUAUCAAAAGGUUUAGGAUUAAAUUGGUCCAAUUGAAAAGUUGAGGAUUGAAUUGGUACCAAUGCAAUAUGUUUAUAACUUUUUUGGUACUUUUCCCGCAACAGAACAUACAAUAUGAAAAGCAAAACAUUGAACAUGCUUAUGGAGCUUAGAGACUUGAUCAUCUCUCUAUUGUUUGAUCUGAUGCAAUGAAAGUUUUUGCUAAUCGGUAAUGUGAUGGAGGCCUAGUAAUAUGAAUGGAAAGAGCCUGGAGUCCUUGGUCAUACAAAUGUCUAAGUCAACAAAUAAAGCAAAGUCUAGUGAAGAAAAAGUGGAUAUCGCAUGNNNNNNNNNNNNNNNNNNNNNNNNNNNNNNNNNNNNNNNNNNNNNNNNNNNNNNNNNNNNNNNNNNNNNNNNNNNNNNNNNNNNNNNNNNNNNNNNNNNNNNNNNNNNNNNNNNNNNNNNNNNNNNNNNNNNNNNNNNNNNNNNNNNNNNNNNNNNNNNNNNNNNNNNNNNNNNNNNNNNNNNNNNNNNNNNNNNNNNNNNNNNNNNNNNNNNNNNNNNNNNNNNNNNNNNNNNNNNNNNNNNNNNNNNNNNNNNNNNNNNNNNNNNNNNNNNNNNNNNNNNNNNNNNNNNNNNNNNNNNNNNNNNNNNNNNNNNNNNNNNNNNNNNNNNNNNNNNNNNNNNNNNNNNNNNNNNNNNNNNNNNNNNNNNNNNNNNNNNNNNNNNNNNNNNNNNNNNNNNNNNNNNNNNNNNNNNNNNNNNNNNNNNNNNNNNNNNNNNNNNNNNNNNNNNNNNNNNNNNNNNNNNNNNNNNNNNNNNNNNNNNNNNNNNNNNNNNNNNNNNNNNNNNNNNNNNNNNNNNNNNNNNNNNNNNNNNNNNNNNNNNNNNNNNNNNNNNNNNNNNNNNNGACGAAAAGGAAAAGAUCUCAUAUUCAUCAUUUAAGCUUUUAUUUUGACAAAAAACAGAAAUUGAUAACAAAAAUAGACUAUGAACAAGAAUAUUAACUUGUAUAAUGUUGCCUUUGGCAAAAGUAAAAGGAAAAUAAGAAAUAAGUGUUUCUUGGAUGGUGUAACACGUUAUGAAAGAGAGAAAGUAAUACGACAAUUUUUAGUGGUGAACUGACGCGUCUUAACUAGAACCUCACUAACUUCGUUGUCACGCAAAGACUAGAGAUGCAAAUUUCCAAGUCAACCAUCAACACAAAGUCUAGUGAAGAAAAAGUGGGUCUCAUGUGGAAAUUGCAGCCCUAGCAGUCAAGGCGACAAAAACACGGUAUUGGAAUUAUUUAUGCAUGGCUUUCACAUUGAUUAGAAAAGAAACUUCUCUGCAGUUUCCAUAUUGACUUUUCUUAGUACCAUAAAUAAGAAUCGAUUUGAAUGUUUUGUAUUCUAAAAUGAAUCAAAAAUCCUUUCGAGUGAGGCAUUGGCAUUGUAUUUUCUUUUCAAGGCUAAUAUUCCAUGAAUGUCGCUUAUUAAAUUGUGAAGACAAAAAGGAAAUACAUAUCGUAUUUUAUUGUAUGAGCUUUUUCAUUUUUAACAAAAAACAAAAAUUGGUAACAAAAAUGGCUUAUUGAUGGGAAUAUUAACUUGUAUAAUGUUGCUUUUGACAAAAGUAAAAGGAAAAUAUGGAGUAAGUGCUUCUUGGAUGGUGGAAUAGGUUAUGAGAGAAAGAAAGCAAUGCAAUAAUUGCUAUCGAGGGACCGACGCACCUAGAAAGCAAUACAAUAAUUGCUAUUGAGGGACCGACCCACCUAGAAAGCAAUACAAUAAGUGCUAUCAAGGGACCGACGCGCCUUGACUAGAACCUCGCUAACUUCGUCGUCACGCAAAGACUAUAGAUGCAAAAUUUGAUUUUAGAAAUAUAAAGCGAUGUUUAUUUAUUUACUGUCAACUUUAAUAUUUCAAUCACUCUCCCACCAUUGUGCUAGAUCUAUGAACAAUAUUAUUAUCUCUUUCCUAUAACAGAACCACUUAAUGAUUGAACUGAUCAAUUUCAAUAAUACUGUCAUUUUGUCAAAUGAAAGAAAUGUUGUUGCCCUUCAUCAUCAUCUUCUAUAUCUGAAUGUGUGAUAUUGAAGGUGUCAUGUAAGCUCAAAUGAGACUAUCGGUCAAUUUACUAUUGUGAACAUAAUAUCAAAGAGUUUCACAUAGAAAUUCUUCUCAGCGAAACAGACACGCCUUCAAAUAGUUGUAAUUAGCACUUACCAUAUAUUUUUCAAGCUAAUGCGUACACCUAAGUAUAAUUGAAGAGACUGAAAUGGAUUUUCCAUAUAAUACAGAAAACUUUAUUUUAACUGACGCAUCCAAUGACGUUUUAACUGCACAUGUUCUCGACCAAUAACAAAAAAAAAAAAAAAAUGCACAUGUUCUAUUUUUUGUAGUAAUAUUAUUACUGAUUACGUUUUUAGUUUUCUUUUUAUUGCAUAUUACCCUUUCUGGAAAUUGAUUUGUUCCGCGAGCAGUUCCACACGCAAUGAUACCUUAGUUGCUUUCUAUAUCAUCAUUAAAUAUUCAGCAAUGAUUAGUCAAUUUUUUAAGUAGAAAAUCUCUUGGUGAAAGUAUCCUAUAUUAUCUCUUGCACGUACACCAAAAGAUUUGGACAUAAAUUAUGCAAAUUGAUGUAUCAACUAUCAAUUCAUUCAGUGCCAUAAAAUACUAUAGAAAAAUAAUAAUCUGUUUCGAAGUGUAAAAUCUUUCAUUUUUGACAAAACUGAAAUUUGUAACUGAAAAGAUUAAUAACGGCACUAAAGACUAUCGUUGCACGUUACAAGAAAAGAAUAAAGGCCAUACAAUAAUUUCUCAACCAGCAAUAGAUGGACGCGAGCCUCAAUUUGAAAGUCACUUGCUUCAUAAUUGUCCGACACGCACGAAGACUAUAGGUGCAAUAUUCGCAUUCAUAAAAAUAAAGCAAUACGCGCUUUUUCACUAGCAAUUGAGAGUAUUAUUCUUGUAAAUCAAUCACUCACUCUCCUGUAAAAUAACCCCAUCUCUUUCCCGCAAUAAAACUGAAUGAACUGACAGAUCUCAACAAUAACGUCGUUUUAUCAAACAAAAGAUGCAGUUACCUGCUUCAUAAUCAUUUUCCAUCUCCGAAUGUGUGGUAUUGCAAGUGUCAUGUAAGCUCAAAUGGGACUACAGGGAAGAGUGCUGCCAUUUUCAUUCUCUGUUGAUAGCUACUUGAAUCUGCUCAAGACUCCUCCCUUUCGUUUCAAGGACCACCGUGAUCACGAACACCAUCCCUGUGGCGUUAAUCACCGCAUAAAGAAGGAAGGUACCUGUGAAGCAAGCGAGCAGAGUUAUUUGCUUUUGACAAGUUUUGCGGAAGCAUAUUCUGACAUUUUUCUCAUGGGAAGAAUGCUUUAGUAUGUACUACCUGUCUAUUAAUCAUUCUGCAGAAAGACCCGCUUAGCUUUUUUCUUUUUUAAAUGAAACGUCGGCUCAAUUUUGGUGAUAUUCAAAUCUAGGUAGAAGUUGCUGUAAAUGCGUUGAUUGAAAUAAAUGGUCUGAAUAUGCAUUCAAGAGCAUGAAGAACGGAGUGACACACCUCCAGCUCCAAAUAGGAUUGAAAUGUUCAGGAAAAGCUAAGUCUCAAGUCUGUAGUUUGGUCGAAUUCGCGCAACAGUUCAAAGAGUGUUUUCAGCAGAGUCGUACCGUAGGAGCUCCAGCUCAUUAAGUAGUUGAAAGUGUAGGAAACUGCCCAAGCGCCGAACCAGUUCACUAGUGUUGCGAAACCUCCAGCUACUCCUUUGAUAUUAAUGGGGAAAAUCUGAACUCCAGCACACAUUACAUGAUUGGCAAAAGAAUUUUGAAACUCUUGUACUAAUAACACUAGUUAUUAUUUUGAAAACAACCCUUUAAUUUGAUAAGCAUGAAACUUCGGGGGAUGCUUAGGAUUACCUCGGACAUCACGACCCAAGGAACCGCGCCCAUUCCAGCCGAAAAUGCUGCUAUGUAUAGCUGAGCAUUGGAAAAAACAGAACAGAAAAAUUUGUAGUAGGGAGUUGUUGCGGUGGCCAACUGGAUAGAGCCAGAAAGAGAUCAAGGCAGUUGAGAUUAUUACCAGAAUGCCGGUGACGGCAAGUAUCGGGACAGCAUCAGCUGCCAGAUCAUGAACCUGGCUCGGAAGAUCCUCAAAAAAUUACUGGUUGACAAGCAUUGCAAAGCAGAAGGAAGAUACUAGGACUGAUAGUAAUUACCUUUAGAAAGAAUGAAAGGGCAGUUACUAUGCAUCCCAGGACCAAUCCUGUCCCCAAGAUCUGCGAUUGAGAGAGAGAGAGAGAAGGUUAUGGGUCAAGUUGCAGAACUUGCGAAAGGGCAGAACCAGAAAAGCUUUGUUACUAUAGACAUGAUUUCUUAGCUUUCAUCUAUUUUACCAAGAGAAGGGGCUUUCUUCCAGCUCUAUCGACCAGUGCAGCGCCAAUAGCCGUGACAAUAACCUGCAAAAAUUUACUCUUUAAGCGUGACGAGUAUAAAACUAGAUCGNNNNNNNNNNNNNNNNNNNNNNNNNNNNNNNNNNNNNNNNNNNNNNNNNNNNNNNNNNNNNNNNNNNNNNNNNNNNNNNNNNNNNNNNNNNNNNNNNNNNNNNNNNNNNNNNNNNNNNNNNNNNNNNNNNNNNNNNNNNNNNNNNNNNNNNNNNNNNAAUUGCAUAAGUUAUGGUUCCAACGCUGGAGGAGAAACCUGAGGAGAUUGUACAAAUGCGAUUAUAAAGGCGAGACUAAUACCUUGCUUGUGAGAUUCAACACUAAAUUAUGUGAACAGCUCAUUCAGUGAUAAUUAAGUAGACCAAAAGCAUUCGACAUUGCGAAUUUUACUAACCCAUUUGAAUAUUAACUGGAUUAUAUAAAUUGGAACCCCUGCUUUGCUUUUUAUUUAGCUUUUCGUUCUGGAAUCUUAAAAUGCAAAGCAUACUUUAAUUUUUGUGGUGCCCAAGAGCUUCUUGCUAUGAACUGCAUACCUGCUUCCUCAAAAAUAUUGCUUGUAUAGAAACAGAUGCCAUUUAUCCCUCCGAACUGCUGGAUGACCAUCAAUCCAACACCAAUCUGGCCAAAAUUUAACAAAUUUGUCAGCAAAAAGAACAACAAUGGGAAAUAUCACUAAAAGUACAACUACCGCAUAUUCCCAAUCCACAGGGCAUUCCAAGAAAGCAACGAAGGAGGGACUUUAUUGGAUACAUAGCAGUAAAUACAGAGAGAAGAUUACGAUGACAGAGCUCAGAUAUCUUCUCUGAAAUAAAUCGAGAAUGCUGGCUUUCGGGAGCGGUUGAAGAGUUUCGAUGUACCUGUCAAGAAAAACAAAUUCGAUCAUUCUGUCAGUUAUUCGCACUUAUAAAGUUGAGGCACUACGAUGAAACGAGUAUAGACUUAAAACCUUUUACUUGUAUUUCAGCAGCCUCUUCAGAAAUGUCCGCAUCCUUUCCACGGAGUUUCUGCAGCGCAGCUUCAAACUCCUUUUCACGGCCCGUUUUCGCCUGCAUUUGGCAGAAUCCUAAAAUUCAUUCCAACAAUACAAAUCCCUCUCUUCCAACAAUUCAGAUAAGAAGAAUCUGGUGUUCAUCUUGAUUUGUUACCAGCCAUCUAGGAGACUCUGGAAUGAAAAACAGGCCGAACAGUAGGACUGCACAGGGGAUUAGACCUGCAUAAACUGCAGAUGUUCAAGAUGGUUUCAGACUUGGACUUUUCUAUACAACAUUGGCACUAAACUUGAAUUAGGCUACUUUUUCUGUUUUACCAAUUAAUGCCAAAACCCUCCAAGCUUAUACUGUCCCGAUUAUGAAGGAAACGGACACUCCAGCAACGAUCAUAAGCUGUGGAGAGAAGAGAACAUGUUAGGCCCAGUAGGUUCUGUAGGAUGUUCGUAUAUACACCAUCUUGCACUUGCAAGAGGGCAAAAUUUGCUACAAGCUAAGGCCUUUUGCCAAUAGCUCCAUGCUUGCAAUUCUAACCAAGAAUGUUCAUACAAAAUCUUUGCCUGUUUGACAGCAGUCAAAGCUCCACGGAGAUUUUUGGGUGUAAUUUCAGCUAUAAAUAUUGGUACCUGGACAUAAAUUAGAAAAAUAUUAACCAAUCUAAACCGAAGAGAGAGCCUCAUGUUGUCACGGUGAAUCGAGUCCAGCAUGUUGUCGUAGAACAGCUUGCUACAUCAAAUUUAUGUGGUACGAAGUGAGGAAUUACCACAUAGGAAAAGACUCCCAUUCCAUAUCCCGUGGCCAAUCUUCCGAUAUCCAGAGCCAGUGCUCCCUAGUUUACUCAAAAUUAAACAGAACAGAGAGUUGAUGAGACUUGAAGUUCUUAUGCAACUAAUCGAUCUUCAUGUAUGAUUAGGCUUGUAAAUAGGAUAUGGACACACCUCAGCAAAGUAAAUAGCAAGCCAUCCUGCUACACAAAGAGCGCUCGCUAUUCUCAUUGUCUGCAUUUUGAGGCAAAUGUUUUUACUGUCACGUCCUCCGUCCAUGAUAUGACUAAAUCCCAAAGCUAAAACUCUCAGAGUCUUGAACAACACUGUUCUGUUUUACAUUGUGAAAGACGCACUCAUUUGCUGCUUACCCACUUACGGCCAACAAAAUCAGCGAUUGGUCCUCCGGUAAUUGCACCAAUCAUUACACCGAAUGUCAGUAUGGAUCCAAAGACUGAAUACUGUUGAAAGACACAAAGUGUAACUGCAAAUCAGCUUGAGUUCAGUGAGAGCAAGAACUUCAGUUACCAUCUAGCUAACAACGCUAUAAGUCACCGAAUGUCCGAGAAUCUCAGUGGAAAGCUAUUCUGAACAAACCUAUCACUUCGAUCAGAAACCUGAAUGAUAUGCAGUCGCAAUUUUCAGCUGACGAUACCCAAUCUAAAUCUCCCCAUUUUUUGGUUUUCUUGUCCUUAGGUGUCCAACAAUGGAACUCGAUGUGAAAACUUGGUAUACAUUUCACUCGUUACAAUGCAGAAAGAAUAAGAUGUCUAGAGAAAGAAGUAUCUCUACCUCAAAGCCAACACCCUUAUUUUUGAGAGAGUCUCGUUUAUAAAGUUUUUGAUCAUAUAACUCGUCCAUAUUAUGGACCCGGAAUAUGAGCAGAUCUUUACUUUGAUUUUCUUGUAUACAGGCCCCUUCAGUGACAAGUCCAAUAUUGAAUCGAAGCAACGAACAAAGACAACGCGACAUGUGCUUCUCAACACUCGUAGGUAAAUUCGACAUACCUCAGCUGUAGAGAGACCAAGUUCCUCCACUAUAGCAUCCUGAGUUGGUGAUGAAUAACCUGCCUGAAAAAUCCAAUGAGAACAAUUUCUCUUUAGAUUCAAUUAAUCACAUCCUUUUCAUUUUAACCAUUACUAUUGGACCUGGACUUUUCAAAAAGAAAUUGCAUUUCCUACUUACGCAGGUCCCGAAUUCAUGGGAACCACAAACCGCAACGAAUGUGGUGAAAUAGACCAUCCACGGACGACCCUUAUCGGUUCCUUCAUCUUUGCCAGCUCAGUCCUUCUCUUGCGGCACGAGGAGACGCUCUCUUACUCCUUCUCUGUCCCCGGUUUCUUCAUUUUCAAUGUCCUCGUUAAUCGCCAUGCUUGCUCGCCUUACAAAAAUGCUCCUUCGUUCUCUAUCUGACUACGUACGAGGAACUAGCAAAUCUAUAAGCUCCAGAGAAGAUAAGUUCUCUUUCCAACGUGGCUACUCUGCUUGCUUUAUAUGGAUGACUCGAAAUGAGAAACCCCAAGUGCUAAUACGGAAACCCCAUCACCGAUCGGUUUAUACUCGCGGUUUCUAGGAGUCCUCACGGACCUCAGUCUUGCAAACUGGCAAGCAACUCCUUGCUUUUCUGACUCGCCCCCGUUAAUGGUAUUGGAAUCACCAAUGGAACAGAGUCUCCGAAUACAGCAGGAUCACAGGUGUAAGGGGCUGCAUCGCUCUUUAUGGGCAAGGAGUAAAACAUGGAACUGGACUUUCUCAAUGACACGGCUCUGGAUAAAGACAAAGUAACAACCACGGACAAAGUUCUAUCUUUUUGAGCCAGCCACCGGCUAGGAAAACCAGAGUGUUUUUCUAACCUGGAAAGUAAUUAAGUUCUGUCCACUUUUGCAUGGAGGCAUUGUUAUCUUCACCUUUAACCCACGUUUAUUGUGUAAGAAAGAUAAGAUCUCAAUUAAUAGUUUCUUAUCUCUUUGGUGCAAUAAGAAACUAUCAAGAAAAAGAACUGUUCUGCUAGAACAUUAUUUUUCCUUUGGGAAUUUUCUUGACCAAAACCCUUUUUUUCCCAAUUGGACGAUGGGCACAAGAUAAUUUCGGCCGGACCUUCUUCUGGGGACAAAUUAUCUUCCUUUUCUAUUUUUUAAAAGAACCACUGCAUAUGCCAACAAAAAGCAUGCAUAUAGCCUCCUUUGUGGUCAGUGACGCUUUUGAUGUCUGCUCAAAUGGUAAGACUAGAUAGCAAGAAUUUCAAAAAGGGAUGUUUUUCAUCUUUCCAUAGUGGCCAAUUUUGCGGAAAAUGGCAAUUGAUAGUGGCAAGAGGUGUACAGAAUUACUUUCUACCAAGGACGUCAUGUACUGCCGAGGCCCAUGAAUCUAAAGAAUUCAGCCACCAUGAAGCCAGCCGACGGGAAAGAGUUCACAGGCACAACGGAAUGGACCAUAAAGUUGCAGAGCACAUUGGCCAAAAAUAUCCAACCACCAUUCUCCAACUACUUUAUUCGUCCACAUUUGCUGCAUCUCCGUCUUCUUUCACUUCACGAUUCAGAGUAGGCCAACAAAAUCCAGCAAGAAUAUAUAGCUGCGGCCUGCUCGAGAAAAAGAAAAUGUCAAAAAUAUAUCUUACUCUUGAUCUAAUAGCCACUCACAUAUUUUCGUUUUGAUAAAUAUCAUUCACAUACUUCCAAGAAAAAUCCCACAUUGAGAACAUUAAUUUGCCCCUCCAUGUAAACUCAUUUUAGCAUCUUCCUUACGGUUUGAGUAGACUGCAAAAGUGAUUUUUGAAUGGUAGAAUUCAUGUAGAUAUUUUUCAUGUUCAAAAGAAGAGGUGAGUGAUCACAGGAUGAGAAAUAAGGUGUAUUUCGUUAUAUUUUUCUCAAAAAACUUAGACAAAACAAAUAUGCUAAUCUUAUAAGUACAUAGUGAGAUUUGAAUUUCAAAUGUAUUAGAAGAAAAAAGGCAGUAUAAAUGUCAUAACUUUUGUACAACAACCACUUAAAUACCAUAACUUUUUAUUCAAUCAUUUAAAUGUCAUAGACGAUGACUUAAGCGUUGUAAUUUUUCAUUAAUAAGGAAAUCCGACAUGACAUGGCACUUAUGGUAAACAUUAUUUAAAAAUUACAACACUCAAAUGAUCAAUUGAAAGUUAUGGCACUCAAGUAAAUAUAUAUAUAUAUAUAUUUUUUUUAAAGUCAUGACACUCAAGUAAUCGAAAAACAAUGUUAUGGCACUUAGGUGAGCACCGCACGAUAGUUAUGAUACUUGUGAUGUCCUUAUCUCAAUAUCUUAGUAUCUUCUUCCAUUCAUGACACCAAAUCCCAUAAAAUAUAAUAAAAAGCACACGGGAAAAAAAAAAAUUUAGCUAAUGUUACGUAAUUGUAAGUGUCUAAUUAAGUAGAGAUUAAUCAGGCUGAUUCAGGUUUUAGAGGCUGCCGGUCAUUUUUGCUUAACCCUUACUAAACAAAGCUAUGAACAACGAGCGAUUGUUUUAAGCUAGUGGCUCCGUUUAAGCAUCCAAUAAAAAUCAGCAAGAUUAUUUAGCACAACCCUUCUAAUAUAAGAAGUUUUAGGAACUCUUAUCAUCACCUUGAAGAAGGGUAGCUAGGCAAGCGUGAUUAAAACACCCAGUUCAAAGACAAAGCAGCCUUCCCUAAUUUAAAGGGAAGAUAGGUGGACGCAAUACAACUUGCCUCAUAUAUAUAUGACCCCAAAGGCAUGGACUAAAAUAAGCCAUUUGCGGGUCCCUCUUCUGAUAAGGUCAAUCCACUUGUUGGAAUGGAAUGAAUUUGAUUGAUAGAGAAGGUCUAGAUUGCCUGAGGGAGCGGAUAUAUCCUAAUUGCAGAAAUAAUAUAUUAAUUGUAAUAGAGCAUAUGCCACUUUCAUUGUGCAUGAUUGCAUCUAAUCUAAGAGAUCUGGACUCUGUUCUUUCUUUCUUUGUUUUUUUAUUUCCCCUCCAAUCUUCCAAUUUGUAUAGAAAAAUAUGAUCCUAUCAGCAAGAGGAACUUGAAAAAUCGUUCUGCCGGCCUUGCACUGACGAAACAAAAAUAAUAAAGAGUGAAAAGUGACGGAUUAUUACCAAAAUGAAAUUGACAAAAAGCUGAGAGGUUAGGUGAGGUGAGCUGGGAAAGAAAUUUAUGUAUGAAUUAGAUUGUAAAAUAACCUUAGUCUAAAUUCUCGAUAUUUCUUUUGCCAUAUGUUAUGAAAUGAAAAAUCUCUAUUUGGACAAGAAAUUUUUCUUUUCUUGAUGACUGUGGAUUAUAAUAAUACAAUUAUGCAUUACUAUAAGUUUUCACCAACCUGUUCAAUGAACAUGGCUUCAUCCAUAAGGAUACAUCCAAGGAUGCACAAGAAUCAGAUUUCAACCAAGUCCAGAGAACUAAACAAGGCCUGGUUUUCCUCUCUUUAGGUAGACAUCCUGAUUGUGUUGACAAUCUUAUCCACCAGGACAUGUAAUUCCCUAUUUUCAAGAGUACGAUGCCUAAGGAAACGAACAUUUGGUACUCUUCUUUCAUCCUGCUCUUAUAUUUUUACUAAACAAGACAGAUUGCCAUACGUAUAAAGAUGUAUAACUAGAGAAGAUCCAAGAGAAUAUACUAUUAAAGGAUCGACUUAUUAAGACAUGACAAAUGCAACUUGAGUUCAUUAUUGGAUCUACACCUUAUAAAUAAAAAUACAAAUAUAUAUUUCGUUACUUAUAAAUUCCUAUGUAGGCUUGAUAUGAAAAAAAAAAUUGUCCAGGCCAUUACUAUUUUAAUACCAUACACUUUUUAUGCGCAACAAAAGAAACAAAGAAAGAUUUGCAUAUAUUUCGAGAAAGAAAAUCUAAAGAUUUCGAUUUUGCCUGUACGGAUGAAACAACAUCUUUUAUUUAAUUUGAGAGAUUUUUGUUCUUAUCUUAUUAAUCAACAUCUUUGCUAGUGAAUACAACAUAUUAUUACAAUUUUCUUUUUUCUUGGACAGAAAAAAGAGCUUAGGCUCGAAACCAAAGAUAGUAUUACUUUUUAUGUAAUAUAGAUUAUAAAUUCUUUAUUUUAAGGAAGGGCAGGGGUGAAUCACCUAUAAUUAAUUUUUUUACCCUAGAUAUCAACAUAGAGUACAUAAAACAACUACUUGCCCCCUCUGGACUUUUGUGGUUCUGCACAUCGUAUAUAAAUCAAUUCAAUUUGUUUAUGGCAACAUGGAAUAUUCUCUGAGCCACGAACUGUUGCUGUGACCUCACUUCCUCCUUCCUCUUCCUUCCCUCGCUUGGACGUUAGCUCCAGGACAAAACAGAGAGAUGGGUCGCUGGCCGAAGGACGCAAGGACGCGAGGCUGUGCCCGACGUUCGCCCAGGAAUGUCGUGCGGUACGAAGCAAGCUGGUCUCGUCCUUGAAGAAAGGGACAGAAACGAGAUAAAUGGGGGAGAAAGGCGGCAAAGGGAGGGGGGGUCUCUCUGGUCUUUUUGGGUUUGUUCGGCCGAGAUAGAGCAACCAAGAGAGAGAGAGAGAGAGAGAGAGAGAGAGAGCUCGUGAGAGUGAGAAGGCGAGCUCGAGAGAGAGAGAAGGAGCGAGCCAGAGAAGAGAGGGAGCUCGAGGGUGGCUGCUUCUAGAAGGGUGUGGCUGAAAACCAAGGAGAGGCUAGAGCCGCUCGAGAGGGGAGACCGAGAAGGUGGAUAGCGAGGGAGAGCAGGAGAGAGAGGCGACUGUGUUCUCGAGUUCUUCGGGGGAGGCUGGAGACAGCGAGAGCAACAGAGAGAGUGAGAUAUGAGAGAGUGAGCAAAGGGUGAAGUGGAGAGAGAACCGAGAGUGAGCGGAGGGAUGGACUGAGAGAAAGCAGAGACCCAGGAGUCGAACUUCGUUCUCGGACAAGCGUUACCCGGCCAUCCCCAUCAUAAACUGGCGAUCUCCAGCCAACACCCUCGAGCAUGUGAUGAGUUUUCUUUGGGUUCGAUCCACUUUUAUCUCGAUGAUCCUGGCUCGGUGCAACGUCGAGGCGUCCGACCAUAGCUCGUUUCCUUUCAGGCUCACCUUCUGGCCGUCGUCGCCGAGCCGGGUAGGGAUAUUCGUGGUCAAACACUUCUCUCUGGGAACUCCGUUGCUUGGUUUUAUUUAAGACGGAACCGAAACGAUAGCUGGGUCUCGUUUUCCCUAGUCCACCAGCAUGCUCGAUUUGAACGAGCCGUCCCUUUUGUUGAGUUUGAGUUGUCACUUGCUGCUUUCUUUUGAGUAAAUGACUUGGAGUGCUGCCAUUUUCAUUCUCUGUUGAUGGCUGCUUGAAUAUGCUCAAGACUCCUCCCUUUCGUUUCAGGAACACAUCCUUUAAAUUCCCCCCUGGAGUUUCUGCAUGAAAAUUGAUUAUUCACUGGUUUAGUAGCAUGCGAGUAAUGACUGGACUUUAUCUAUUUAGAUAUGGUGGCGGACUUUUGACUAGUUAUGCACCGUUCAGAAUGCCAGAUUCAUUUGCAGAGGUUUCUAGAGGAAGAUUUUGUUCACUGUUUUUCUAAAUUAUACAACAGGUAUUUAUAAUUUGCACUUCUAAAAUGUAAUUUCCUUUCAAUUUCGGCAGAGGAGGAUCGCAUUGUUUCUUGGUGCAACUGGGCAGAAGUUUCUAUCUAUGUAUUGCUCGUGUGGCACGUACAUUGAUUUUUUGACAGUCCUCCUAACAGUUUACCUGGCGACACCCAAUCACAUAUCGUUUGGCUACAUUUUGUUCCUCCUAUGUUGGAUCAUGGGAAGACAACUCGUUGAAAGGACGAGAAGACAUUUUUAGUUUCCAUUAAAAGUAUAUGCAAUCACUGUGCCUGUCUUCGUAUACAGUUUGAGCAAUUUCUCCACCCUUGAGAUGUGGUUGUCGCAGUUGAUUGAUCUUCAGUUUUACUUGGCCUACAACUCAGAAGCUUUGCUAUUGCAGAAUAUUUGGCAGUCUAUUGCAAUACUGAUUGUGAUGCAGCUUUACAGCUACGAGAGGAGACAGAGCAAGUAUAUCCAAGCUGAUGACUCCAAACUUAUGGAAUUUGGAGUACUUUGAUUUAUUAAGAGUUUCCUCAUUUGGCUCAGAGACAAGAUAGUGUGUAUAUCAAAGUUCUAUGCAUCGUUGUCACCAAUUAGUCUCUUUGGUUUCCUUUAUCUGCUCGGUCUUGUCAUUUGUUCUCUUUUGCCUAAAGCAUUUCGAAUCCCAUCAAAAUUAUUCCUUCUUUAUACAGGAAUUCUGGUGAUGACAGAAUAUCUCUUUCAGAUGUGGGGUGCCCAGGCAGGAAUGUUUCCUGGACAAAAUGACUUUAGUUUGGCCAAGUUCUUGGGUUUUGAGUUAUUUCAGUCAGGCUUUUGGGGUCUAAAAUCGGGUUUAAGGGGGAAAAGUGCUGGUGAUAUCUGCUUGUAUCCUUCAAUACAAUGUCUUCCGUUGGUUGCAAAAAGUGCCAACACACAUUUUGAGCAAAUAUUACACCAAAGAACCUUGCCCUCUGUUUGUAUCGGCAGAAGAAGUGUUUAGGGAUUUUUCUAAUUCAAACGGGGAAAGCAAGCCGCCUGCAGAUUCGCCUGCAAUUCCUUGUGAAGCAGAAGGCAUGAGAAACAAUUUGUCUUCCUCAGCCUCUGGUUUUUCUCAAGCAUCAAAUAAUGUACCCAAAGCUGGAGGCUCUGGGGGUGGCAAUGCUAGAAAAUAUUCUUUUGGAUAUAUUUGGGGAAGCACCAACGAAAGCCACAAAUGGAACAAGAAAAGGAUUAUCACCAUGAGAAGGGAGAGAUUUGAAAUGCAGAAGACAAUCUUCAUAGUCUAUAUAAAUUAUUGGAUGGAGAACAUGUUUAAUCUCUUUGGCCUCGAAAUAAACAUGAUGGCCUUGCUCCUUGCCUCCUUUGCUUUGUUAAAUGCCAUUUCUAUGCUAUAUAUUGCACUUCUCGCUGCCUGCAUACUUCUAAAUCGCAAUGUCAUUCGGAAAUUAUGGCCAGCACUUGUCUUUUUGCUUGCUUCCAUUCUUGUCCUACAAUACUUUGUCAUUUGGAAGAGCACACCAUCUCCCAAUUCACAAACAUCAAGCAAGGCUGAGUCUGUAUUUCCUUUCGAAUUUUAUGAUCUCCUGCCAGUANNNNNNNNNNNNNNNNNNNNNNNNNNNNNNNNNNNNNNNNNNNNNNNNNNNNNNNNNNNNNNNNNNNNNNNNNNNNNNNNNNNNNNNNNNNNNNNNNNNNNNNNNNNNNNNNNNNNNNNNNNNNNNNNNNNNNNNNNNNNNNNNNNNNNNNNNNNNNNNNNNNNNNNNNNNNNNNNNNNNNNNNNNNNNNNNNNNNNNNNNNNNNNNNNNNNNNNNNNNNNNNNNNNNNNNNNNNNNNNNNNNNNNNNNNNNNNNNNNNNNNNNNNNNNNNNNNNNNNNNNNNNNNNNNNNNNNNNNNNNNNNNNNNNNNNNNNNNNNNNNNNNNNNNNNNNNNNNNNNNNNNNNNNNNNNNNNNNNNNNNNNNNNNNNNNNNNNNNNNNNNNNNNNNNNNNNNNNNNNNNNNNNNNNNNNNNNNNNNNNNNNNNNNNNNNNNNNNNNNNNNNNNNNNNNNNNNNNNNNNNNNNNNNNNNNNNNNNNNNNNNNNNNNNNNNNNNNNNNNNNNNNNNNNNNNNNNNNNNNNNNNNNNNNNNNNNNNNNNNNNNNNNNNNNNNNNNNNNNNNNNNNNNNNNNNNNNNNNNNNNNNNNNNNNNNNNNNNNNNNNNNNNNNNNNNNNNNNNNNNNNNNNNNNNNNNNNNNNNNNNNNNNNNNNNNNNNNNNNNNNNNNNNNNNNNNNNNNNNNNNNNNNNNNNNNNNNNNNNNNNNNNNNNNNNNNNNNNNNNNNNNNNNNNNNNNNNNNNNNNNNNNNNNNNNNNNNNNNNNNNNNNNNNNNNNNNNNNNNNNNNNNNNNNNNNNNNNNNNNNNNNNNNNNNNNNNNNNNNNNNNNNNNNNNNNNNNNNNNNNNNNNNNNNNNNNNNNNNNNNNNNNNNNNNNNNNNNNNNNNNNNNNNNNNNNNNNNNNNNNNNNNNNNNNNNNNNNNNNNNNNNNNNNNNNNNNNNNNNNNNNNNNNNNNNNNNNNNNNNNNNNNNNNNNNNNNNNNNNNNNNNNNNNNNNNNNNNNNNNNNNNNNNNNNNNNNNNNNNNNNNNNNNNNNNNNNNNNNNNNNNNNNNNNNNNNNNNNNNNNNNNNNNNNNNNNNNNNNNNNNNNNNNNNNNNNNNNNNNNNNNNNNNNNNNNNNNNNNNNNNNNNNNNNNNNNNNNNNNNNNNNNNNNNNNNNNNNNNNNNNNNNNNNNNNNNNNNNNNNNNNNNNNNNNNNNNNNNNNNNNNNNNNNNNNNNNNNNNNNNNNNNNNNNNNNNNNNNNNNNNNNNNNNNNNNNNNNNNNNNNNNNNNNNNNNNNNNNNNNNNNNNNNNNNNNNNNNNNNNNNNNNNNNNNNNNNNNNNNNNNNNNNNNNNNNNNNNNNNNNNNNNNNNNNNNNNNNNNNNNNNNNNNNNNNNNNNNNNNNNNNNNNNNNNNNNNNNNNNNNNNNNNNNNNNNNNNNNNNNNNNNNNNNNNNNNNNNNNNNNNNNNNNNNNNNNNNNNNNNNNNNNNNNNNNNNNNNNNNNNNNNNNNNNNNNNNNNNNNNNNNNNNNNNNNNNNNNNNNNNNNNNNNNNNNNNNNNNNNNNNNNNNNNNNNNNNNNNNNNNNNNNNNNNNNNNNNNNNNNNNNNNNNNNNNNNNNNNNNNNNNNNNNNNNNNNNNNNNNNNNNNNNNNNNNNNNNNNNNNNNNNNNNNNNNNNNNNNNNNNNNNNNNNNNNNNNNNNNNNNNNNNNNNNNNNNNNNNNNNNNNNNNNNNNNNNNNNNNNNNNNNNNNNNNNNNNNNNNNNNNNNNNNNNNNNNNNNNNNNNNNNNNNNNNNNNNNNNNNNNNNNNNNNNNNNNNNNNNNNNNNNNNNNNNNNNNNNNNNNNNNNNNNNNNNNNNNNNNNNNNNNNNNNNNNNNNNNNNNNNNNNNNNNNNNNNNNNNNNNNNNNNNNNNNNNNNNNNNNNNNNNNNNNNNNNNNNNNNNNNNNNNNNNNNNNNNNNNNNNNNNNNNNNNNNNNNNNNNNNNNNNNNNNNNNNNNNNNNNNNNNNNNNNNNNNNNNNNNNNNNNNNNNNNNNNNNNNNNNNNNNNNNNNNNNNNNNNNNNNNNNNNNNNNNNNNNNNNNNNNNNNNNNNNNNNNNNNNNNNNNNNNNNNNNNNNNNNNNNNNNNNNNNNNNNNNNNNNNNNNNNNNNNNNNNNNNNNNNNNNNNNNNNNNNNNNNNNNNNNNNNNNNNNNNNNNNNNNNNNNNNNNNNNNNNNNNNNNNNNNNNNNNNNNNNNNNNNNNNNNNNNNNNNNNNNNNNNNNNNNNNNNNNNNNNNNNNNNNNNNNNNNNNNNNNNNNNNNNNNNNNNNNNNNNNNNNNNNNNNNNNNNNNNNNNNNNNNNNNNNNNNNNNNNNNNNNNNNNNNNNNNNNNNNNNNNNNNNNNNNNNNNNNNNNNNNNNNNNNNNNNNNNNNNNNNNNNNNNNNNNNNNNNNNNNNNNNNNNNNNNNNNNNNNNNUUGCUAAAACUAUGAGAAGUAUUGAUUUAUACUUGCAUACUUUUCUGCUUUGAACUUCUCAGGAUGUGAUCCCACAUAUGGCUCAUGAGUAUGGUUUUGAUUAUGCAUUAAUCACCUACAAGUGGCCUACAUGGCUACAUAAGCAGAAGGAAAAGCAAAGGAUUAUAUGGGCAUAUAAAAUUUUGUUCCUAGAUGUUAUCUUUCCCGUUUCUCUAGAGAAGGUAAGCAUGUGAUAUCUAUGACUUUGCCUUUGACUGUCUACUCAUGCUAUUUUCAGUUCUCUGUGACAUCUAAAUUCUAUUGACCCCUCUUUGCAACAGGUUAUAUUUGCUGAUGCAGAUCAGGUGGUGCGAGCAGACAUGGGAGAACUUUAUGACAUGGAUCUGAAAGGAAGACCGCUUGCAUAUACUCCUUUUUGUGACAACAACAAGGAGGUGGAUGGAUAUCGCUUUUGGAGACAAGUACAUAUUGAAUCGAUUUAUUCUUGUGUUCUAUUUCAAGCAAUAGAAUGCCUUUGCCUUUUCCGAUCAAUCUAUUUAUGUUUUAUUACAAGCAAUAGAAGGCUCUUGCCCUUUCAGAUCAUUGCUGUCUACAUCCCUAAGUAAUUUAUUCUCACAAAAACAGGGUUUCUGGAAGGAGCUCUUUCGCAGAAGACCAUAUCAUAUAAGAUAGAUUUUUUAGGCGGUUCCAUUCUGUCCACGUGAUCCUUUUGGCUCCACUGGUAUCAUAUAUGGGUUUUAAUUAUGAUAUCAUUCUGCAGUGCACUGUACGUUGUUGAUUUGGAGAAAUUUCGAGAGAUUGUGGCAGGAGAUAACCUGAGAGUGUUCUAUGAAUCUGUCAGCAAGGAUCCAAACAGUCUGUCCAAUCUUGAUCAGGUCAGUUGUUGGAUAAUAAACUGCAAAUUCUUCAGGAUGAGAUAUUCUUUGCGAGCUUAUAGCUGUAACUUUCUAAAAAGAUUCUCGCAAGGUGUUAAUUUGUAAAAGCACUGCUUAAAUAUCCGUGAGCAUAAACAUAUCAGUUGUUUGUCUAAGCGCCCUCUCUCAUGCUUCAGGACCUCCCGAAUUAUGCUCAGCACACCGAGCCUAUCUUCUCAUUACCCCAAGAAUGGUUGUGGUGUGAGUCGUGGUGUGGUACAGCCACUAAAUCCAAGGCAAAGACCAUUGAUCUUUGCAACAAUCCUAUGACGAAGGAACCAAAGCUUCAGGUAAGUUCAUUAGGUUGGGUUCUUUUCCACUGCCAAAAUGAUUCGUGUAGUUGUGAUGUAAUUUUGUUUUUGUUGUCCUCUCAGGGUGCGAAGAGAAUAGUUUCUGAAUGGCCUGAUCUUGACUUAGAGGCAAGAACGUUUACUGCGAAAAUUCUCAGAGAUGAAUCUGAGCUUCAAGAAGCAGUGGCUUCAGAUAAGUCGCAGGGUUCACAGGGUGAUGAGUCAUCGGUAGAGGAACUUGACCUUGAAUCCAAGUCAGAGCUGUAAGGCAUGGUUUCAUUCAGCCAUGACAUGAUUGAUCCCAAGUGUAAUCCUGAUCGAGGAUGGAAGGGUAACUAUCAGCAAAGAACGUUUUGGAAUUGCAUCAACUAAGGAAAACCAAGUGGUUAUGGUGUGCGUAUGCUGUCGAGAUUGGGGAUGGAGAUGCACACCAUCAAGAAAAUGAGGUCAUGGGGAGGCUGUGAGAAAGGCAAGGUAGCGCCGGUAGAGAUUUAAAAUUUUCUCAAGAAUUUUAGAGAGAAGCGAGCUAUUCAUUUUGCUUAGUUUUUAUUAAUCGACCGGGUAAUCUUUAUUUUAACUGGGCUAUUUGCAAAUGCGUGAAAUGACGCGCUUGAUUGUGGAAUUUCUUCCUCAAUGAUAAAAUCACAGGUGAAAAGCCAACAUUCCGAUUUUGUUAGAAUGCCCUAAUACACACACUUGGUUAUGUAGUCAAACAGGGAAAAGCUGUAAAUUUUUUUGAUGGAUGAACUUUUUUUUGUGAUGCUUUCGGAGACUACGGAAAAUUACGUACUAGCCAUAAGUGCUAUGUUCGAUUAUUUUAAUGGAGGCAUGGAGUGGGCCUGUGUGUUUUGCUUAAACCUGAUCUCGGGUCUCGGCCCGGCCUAGUUUAAUGACCUCAACCGGUCAUUGCCCCUCGUCCCUUAAAAUGUCCACACCAUGCAGCGCUGGACGUUUGGGCCUUCCUCUACCCACUUCUUAGGCGUUUGUCGUAUGGCCCGGCCCAUUAUUGGGCUUAACUUGGGUCCUCUUAGCCUUUGCAGCCGAACUGACAUCUCCGAAAACUCGGCGCGAAUCCGAGAGGGUCCGGAGGAGGUAGAGAUCGAGAGAGAACGAAUCGAUCCCCCCUCGCGAUUCCCAACCGCCGCGCUCAUCUCCAAUCGCCCGCCAAUGGAGGAAAACCCUUGCGGCGAGAUCAGCUCCAGCGNNNNNNNNNNNNNNNNNNNNNNNNNNNNNNNNNNNNNNNNNNNNNNNNNNNNNNNNNNNNNNNNNNNNNNNNNNNNNNNNNNNNNNNNNNNNNNNNNNNNAGUACGGCACGCCGUCCUCUCCCGGUGGCCGAUCAAGCACUGGAAGGUCCAGAAGAUAUUCGACGACACCGAUUUCAGGUCCGUCAUUUUGUUUUAUUUUAUUUAUUUAUUUAUUAAUUUAUUUAUUUCCAUAUAUUUUUUUACCUGUUAUUCUUGCUAUCAUUUUCGUAAUUAUGGUGACGAUGAUAUGCUCUCUUUCUCGUUGAGCAAGUGGUCUUCCCGGGCGAUUUCGAAUUUUAAAUAUAUUUUCAUUUAUUUAAGGCGUCCAUCGUUGAGAGUGAAGUUUGAUAAUAUGUCAUAAUUAAUAUUCCCUUUGGGCAUAUUAUAUCAUUUUGUUCUUACAUUUUUCUAAGUGAAAAAGAUUAAUUUCGGUAGACCCAUCUAUAACAGUGCAAAUCCAUUUCGGACAAUCAAAAUUUUCGUUGAUAUUAAGGUAAGUUGGAUAUAAUAAAAAUUCGCAAGACCAAAAUUAAAAAUAUAAACGUCUUUACCAAAAAAAGAAUUAAAAAUAAAAACGUAAGUUUUUCCUAGCCAUCCAUCAGAAUUUGUGGAUGAAAAUUUUGCCGUCACUUGGUUUAUAUUUUGCCUUUUUUUAUCCUCCCCUUUUCUAGCUUCUCUGUGUGGAAUUAUCUGAAUGGAGUUGUCCAAGAAUUGAUCUGGAAAGAAUUUAGAAUAUUAUUCACGAGAACCCCACCACCAAAUUCAAGAACUGCCCAAGGCUGUAAGGCUUUUGCCUUCGGACAGCUUACGGAGAGCUCUCUGCAACACCGAUGGUGGGCCUGUCCAAAGAUCCCAGCACCAGCUGUGAGCAAUGCCAGUCAGAAUUAAAAAUAAAAUAAAAUUAAAUUAAGAAAAAAACCCAAUUUUCUUUCUAUGAUUUUGGAUGUGGGUUCUCUAUACAAUUGUCAUCUAUCGUUCCUCUUUUUUCAUUUCCGGUUGCAUUUAGUGGGUGGUAGAGAGUCGGCUUUAAAGAUCAUUCUCCAUUAAUUGCUGACUUAGUCAAGAGAAUGCUUAGGAAGCUGCUAAAUCAUAUAUAUAUAUUUGCUCUUUGGUAUUUAAAUAAGGAGUUGGGAAGAUAAAUGAAGGAUGAGAGCUGUGCGUCCGUUAGAUGAGGGCAGGGUAAGGUGUAUGUAGGCAGGACAGUAACGUGGGGAGGAUUUUGCCUUUGCUUUAUUUUAUGUAUUUGCCAAAUCAGAUGUUUGACCUGAAGACUGUACAAGGACUACUCAUCUUCAAGGAAAGGUACAUUUCUCUCAAGCGAGACAGACCAGAUAGAAUCAACUUGCUUGAGACAGCAAGCAAUUGCUCGUCAUGGAUCAAUUUCUGAGAGUUUUGCGUUCGAUUAAUUAAGCCGCAUCUUAAACAAUGGAGGGAUUAUGCAUUUCUGUUGCGUGAAAAUUAAAAAAAAAGAUAUAAAAAGUUGAUAGUAAUAUAGUCAAUCAACAUAUUAAAUUGACUGGAAUCGAAGUGGCUGUGAACUCGAUGUGUUUGGUUACACAGGAAUGUGCUGAAGGUGACAAUAGAAGUGCCUCAUGUUGGGGAAGUGAAUUUCCAGUGCACCCACCUGGAUCAUCUCGACGAGAAUUGGCGGAUGAAGCAGGUCAGCGCCAUCAUCCAGUCGAGUGACUCCCCCCACAUCUUGGCCGGCGGCCUCAACUCUCUUGACGAGACUGAUUACUCACAAGAGCAGUGGACUGACAUCGUCAAGGUAUGCACAUGCCCUUUUUAAUCAUUAGCAUGCGAAACUCGAUUACUUGAUAGCUUAAGCUAGGGCGUUUGUGUAAUCACUGACACUUUUUGUUAUAGUUCUAUGAGGAGAUAGGAAAACCAACCCCAAAGGUUGAAGUCAUGAGGUUUCUGAAGAGCAAGCAGUACACAGAUGCUAAGGACUUCUCUGGAGAAUGCGAGUCCAUGGUCGUCAUUGCCAAAGGACAAAGUAAGAACUCACUCGUUCGCUUUCCCAUCUUUCAGUUUUUCUUUUUCACUUUGUCAAAUGGCUAAUCUAAGGCGAUUUUCGAGCAUGAUGCUCCUUUAGCUCGAUGAUCACAUGAUCGGCUUGAAUGGACAGUAAUUCAUAACAUUUGAAGCAUGAUGCUUGCGUUGAAGGUAUACACGUACAUGCCUGUUAUUGUCAUUAUUGUGUCGAUAUCAACCUUUGAUGUGAAAAUCCGUGGAAUAAAAAUUGAAGUCCAAAGUCAUUAUUCGAGAGACUACUGUCCGAAUGUGUAAUCCAAAACCAUUUAUUCUAUUUCAGGCAUGCAAGGGACAUGCAAAUACGGUACGAGGGUGGACUACAUACUAGCAUCACCAGAUUGCCCAUAUAAGUUCGUUCCUGGGUUGUAUUCGGUCCUGUCAUCGAAAGGGACAUUGGAUCACCACGUCGUAAAGGUUGACGUAACGAAAUGUGCAAACAACCCUUCCCACGAAAGCGACAGCAACAACAAUAAAAUUACCAAGAAAAGGCGACGACAGCGCAAGCACCAGACAGUCGUAAAGAUCACAGGCACUGCUCCACCUUCAAAGGGUAUCUGGACAACGAAUACAUUAUUAAGCAAAGUCGAAUGACAUCACAUGUAUAUCUUCCUUUUCUGUCCGCUCUUUUCUUGGCUGCUGCUGCUGCUAUUGUUGCUGUUGAGUGAUCUUGGGCAUACUGUCUUCGUCAAUCUCUCUGUAAAUCUUCGAUUUUUUUCAGUUUAGAGUUGAAGAGGGGAGUGUUCUGGGGUGAUGGCUUCCUCACAUCCGUAUAGAUUUCAACACGACAGAAGUGAAUUCUUACCUUUCAGCUGGGGAUUGGAGCUGAACCGUCCUGGCAAGUUCUUUUUGAGUACUGUAUAUAUAUAUAUAUAUAUAUAUUUUUUUUUUUCGCUUGUAAUAUUAACUGCAAGAUUCAGAUCAGUUUUUGUUGAGGGCGACAUCUUGACUUGACUUUGCUGAGGUCAAGGUUAGAGAAAGCGAUGUUGUAUCUUAGAUAUAACUGAAAGUCCUUGGAAUAAAAUUGCAAAUUUCGAAAAUUGAAAUGAUUUUUGUUAACCUGGACAUCCGGCGAUUGAUAAAAGACCCAAAGAUUUCAAAUGAAAUACCUUUAAAAAGCAAAUAUGGAAGAAAAAGAAGCUGUAAAGUCCGGUGAUUAUGAAUUCUAAACAUUUGUGAAAGAAUUCAAUGUCUUCUUUCUUUUUCCUCCGAUUUCGAAAUUAGUAUUGAAAAGAAGUGAAGUGGUAAGUACAAUAUAUUUCGAUAUCUUUAAAAAUAUCUUAUGCGCUCUCCAAUGGUAAAAUAUAGUUUUAAGGGGGAAAUCAAGUAUAGGAAGUAAUUAUUUUAUAAUAAAGUAGAGGAUUACUAAUUGAUCCAUGAAAAAUAGAGAAAAUCAAUUAUGGAAGCAAGCAAGGAUGAGAGAGAGAGAAAGAGAGAGAGAGAUUUUUAUUGAAGCUCUAAGCAUGGUCAAAGUCCAUUGAUGUCCCAAUGACAUGGAAUAGAGUGAUACAGCUAACGAAAAUGUUUUCUUCUUAUUCAAAAUGAGAAUCAUUUUUCUGAUUUCGAGUGGUGAGCACUUUUCUAUCAAAGAUAUUUGACGGUUGACUUUAGCAUUUUUAACAUCAAAAAGAGUUUUAAAAAUAUUUUCAUCGAAAUUCUUUUUCAGCAAAACAAACGGAGGCCUAAUGAGCAUCAUAAGUGAAAGUGUAAUUAAAAGAGAAAGAAAUAGAUUUUCUAUGUAAUAGGCAUUGUUGACUGAUGUAUAAUGCUAAUUAGCUUAUGAAUAAAAAAACUGCUUGUCCCUUAUAAUGGUUGUCAAAUUAAUCAGCAUAGUAGAGGACACAAGUAUCUCUCAGUUGGUGUAUGCUCUUCAAUCCUCCUUGAUGUAAUGUGUAUAUAUAUAUAUAUAUAUAUAUAUAUAUAUUUAUAAUUGUUAACUGAUGGAUAAUGCUAAUUAGCUUAUGAAUAAAAAACUGCUUUUCCCUCAUAAUGGUUGUCAAAUUGCACACCUUACAUCAGCAUAGUAGAGGACGCGAGUAUCUCUCAAUCGGUGUAUACUCUUCAAUCCUUCUACAUAUAUAUGUAUGUAUAUAUGUAUGUAUGUAUGUCAAUUGAAUUAUUUAUUUUGAUUUUGCCCGGGAUCAAUUUAGAAAAUCAUGGGAUCUAAAGCACAAAUAACAAGAAGAGCAAUAAAAAAAACAGUUAAGACAUAGCGUCGAUAUCAUUGACCGGUAAGAAUCCCCGGUGCUAGCGAUCUUGAAGGUUUGCUACUCGGGGCCUCACUAACAUAUGACAUGAAAAAUAAAAAUAAAUGAUUUUGUUAAUGAGUGAGAAAGAUAAAUAAUCAUUAAUAUUUCAUACUUCUGCCGUUUGUUAAAGGGCUACGCUAGUAGUCACACAAGCAUCUAAUGACGUUUUAACUGCACAUGUUCUUCUUCUUCUUUUUUUUCCUAUAGUAAUAUAGUCACUUAUUAAAAUGUUGUAUCUUUUCCCUUUUUGUUGUGAAUUUCCCCUUCUAGAAAUCACGAACAUGAGCACAAAUUUUUUUUGUCCAAAUAAUUGGUCCAUUCAGGCUGAUACCUCUAAUUUCUUUCUAUAUCAUGAAUAAAGCUUUGUAAGCUUGCUCAAUAUGGAGAUAGAGUUUGUACCUGUAUGAAGUUCAAGAUGGCCGGGAGCAAUCCGUGCCACCUGACCUCAACUUAAGUGCAUCGCCUUGUCAACAAUCAGUUCCUCCACAAGCGGAAUUGAUACACAAUUUACGCCUGAAUUGUCCUCUGCUCACCUUUCACUUGGGGACGUUUUUCCAUGAAUCUCUUCAGCUCCUCGAGCCACUUACCGAGGGCUCUUCCAAGUGAGGCCAUCUGUUUAUUAUUGUUUGCUUCUGGAAGUCGGUUUAUGGAGACCUUGAUGUUCAGCCUUUGAAUUUUGCCGUCCAUUAUGAGUCUUGUUGUCAUACUUUUUUUUUUAUCAGUCAUAAUCUACUCGUAUUCUAAUACUCACUCUUAGACUUUUGCCAUGUCUCUUUGCAGGACGUGAGAAUCAAAAUCCAUACUUGAAACUAAUUCGUCCCCACCCCAACCCCCUGAAAAUGUGGGGAUUCGAACCCCCCACCUCCUCUUUCCACGUUGGAAGGGUAGCUACUGGGUUGUUGUCGUAUUCUGAACACUUCAUUAUGUGAGGUUUUGACUGUUCUUGCCUUCCAUUCAUGGUGUAGCCGAGCAACAAAUGUCAAAUGAACAGGAAGAGACAGCUCCACAGUCUCCUGUCACAACGGUCUUUCUCAUUAGGAUGAUUCUCCAGUGAGCGUGACGAAUUAUGGGAACCUUUAGUUUCUCAAACUCGAUUCUUGAGAUGUUUCCGUGUCAUAUCGUUUACUUUUUCUCCAUCGUGUCGAACAUAGUACCUACUCUGGCGAUGAGCUUAACUAUUCAUCUCAAUCUGAAAGCUACAUACCAACUUGAUAAGAUUCUUAAUAUAAAUUACCUGCUUGUGCACACUAUUUUACUUGGUGAAUUCUGUCAUCUGCACUAGUUUAAAUACAUUCAUCGUUUGAUAGCACAGGUACCUUUGUCGGCUUACGGCACGAGGCAUGGCAAAACUUUAUUUGCCUCGUCAAGUCUUGUUUCAGAGGACAUGAAUAUUCUUUUGAUAGUAAUUGUAUGUUUAGAUGAUCAUAAUUGCUACCAUUGGUAGAACACGCUGCCGAUGACAACAUGAUAGUCGCAGUGUGCAUUCUAGUCGAGCAACGUAGUUUCAACUUCGAGUUGUGAUGAAAACUGUGCUUGCGCCUGUGGUUUAAGAUGAUGAUGAGUAGAGCUGAAUCUGACAAGCCACCUGCUAUUCCUAUCGGCUUUGUCGAAUCAGGAGAGGUGGCAGGGUUCGCUCCACAUCUCGUAACCGACGGUAAUCUUGCUGUCCUUCAAUGAAGGCAUAGAGAAUGAGAAUAAAUGCUCCAUUAGACGCUGCACAUAUGCCAAUUUCGCUAGUUCUGAACCUCAUUGCAGGUGGUCCCCAGGCUGCAAACUUCAGGGGACCUUUCCAACUGUCGACUUUUGAUGGCUCGAAGCUUGAGCUACUUGGAUUCAAACCCUGUCUUUACUUUCUCUGAAGGCAUUCAUGAUAUUUAACGCUAUUUAGCUCUGUUGGGAAUAGCGGAUCCCCGAAAACCGGAUUCGACACCGAAUCGAACCCCUAAAUCAAUGCGGAAGACGAAGCCCGGGAAAACACGUAUUACCGAUCGUAAAGCACACCACGGAUUCGAGCGUACCUUGUUAGCCACAAAUUAAGCACCGACGCCAACAAGAGGAAGAAAAUCUGGCCCCGUUCAAUCUAAUGACGCCUUGAAGGAAAGAAGAAAAGUGCCGUUUGCUUACUGUUUCUUUUUGGAAGGGAGAGAGCGCGCGGGAGAAGAGAAGACGUACGUUCGUCUGUUUUUCCAACCGGUACCAUCUCUCUCUCUCUCUCCUCCCUUUUAUACCUUCCCCCAUCCACGGGCCCUAUUCCCGUGGGCCGGGCUUUUUGGGCCCAGCAUGGGCGGACGGGCCUUAAGCCCAUCUCAUAAAUCUAUCAUCUCCCACUCGCACAUGGUGGGCCGAACGGAAUUCUCUUUACCUCUCUUCAACAUUCAUACUGGUGAAUAAUCCGUGCGACCAACAUACUUUGAGAGCUCGUUGCUAUACAUCUGUUAGGAAUAUAUAGCAGCUCAUAAUGGUCGUCACACUCCGAGUAGAUUUAGUAUGCAGUACCCUAGAUCGAUCGAUCACAUUUAUAUCUCUCUUGAUCUCUUUUAAACAAUGAUAUAUAUAUUGUAUUCACAAUUAUGAUUAUCCCAAAGACAGUCAUAAUUGGUUAACCGGUGAAUACAAAACUACAAUGUGAUUCUCCAAAAUCGAUCUUCCUCUUUCCUUCAAACUUUCAAUUUCAGUUCAGCUUGCUUUUCUAGAAAUGCCCCAUUAGAUCGAAUCAAACUCAUGACCAUUGGCAACAUCCUAAGAUAGCAAAUACUAAAUAGAAAUCUUGAGAAUAAGUAAGAGUCAUGAGGGGACUAAAAAUUGAGGAACUCUUUUCCUCAAGAGUCUCACACGACAUAAAAGUUGAGAUCAAACUUUUGCCACUCUUAUUGGUCGUUACGUAUUACGGUAUUAACUCAUUUCCCAUGGAGCGUAUGUCUACACCUUUCAAUACCGUACAGAUGAUAGUUCAGACAUAUCUAAUGUCUAACUUGAGUUCACGUAUCUACUCAUUCACAAAAUUCAUCAGAACUCACAUCUGGCAUCUUAGACAGAUAAAGUAAAAUAUGUGGGGUAUUUUACUUUCGGACAUAGUAAUUAUUAUAUUCUCAUCUUAACACCUAGUUAAGGCGACAUACGUGUUUUAAGCUUGAGCUCUCGAUUAUCACCUAGAUAAUAAGCUUAAAAACAGUCUCAUCUCUAUUUAUCACACAGUAAAUAGAGGCGAUUACCCGUGUGAGUGGGCUAAUCUUAUAUCUGUCCGACAUACUUCUCAACUUAAAGUGAUGCACUAAGUAUUAAGAUGCAUAAAGAUCAAACAAAGAUUCAUAGGCAUUAAUGAUGAAAACACAAAUUCAUCAAAUUGUGAACACUUAGGGAAAUUACAAUAUUUAGUACAUCAGUCUCUACGCAAUCCUAGAGACUUCAUAUGACCACAAAACACAUCUCUAGGUAUUGGUUUUAUCAUAAGAUCUGCUACCAUUCUAUGCGUAGUAUGUACUCUAAGUUCACAUCUUUUCGUGCAAUCAUAUCAUUGACAAAAGUUAUACUUGGUAUCUAUAGGUUUGGUCUUGCCAUGAUAUUUGGAUCUUUGGUGUACACUUUUGCUGCUCGGCUAUUAUAGUUAACCAACAAUGCAGCAUUUCCAAUAACACCUAAAUGAUCCAAAAAAUCUCUUAAGCCAAAUACCUUCUUACACUGCUGCUGAUAAUGCCACGAACUCAACUUACAUCGUGGACAAGGCUAUACACUUUUGUUUUUUACUGCUCCAACAUAUGGUGCCAUUAUUCGGUAAGAAAACAAAUCCAUAGGUAGAUUUCCUUUCAUUUAAAUCUCCUCCCCAAACAGCAUCAAAAUAGCCUUAGAGUCGCAGAUCCAUUCCUUAAUAACUCAACGUAUUAUCAGCAGUCCCUUUUAGUUACCUCAGUAUUCUCUUAACGGCUUUCCAUUGUGCUGGACCUGGAUUGGAUUGGUAUCUACUUACCAUUCCAACUGCAAAACAUAUGACAGGUCUUGUACACAUCAUAGAGUACAUCAAGCUUCCAACAGCACUAGCACAAGGAACAUGUCUCAUUUGUUCAUUCUUUUGUGAAGUCCUUGGACACAGUUUAUGGCUCAAUCCUUCACCUUUUGCAAUAGGAGUGUCUAUGGGUUUACAAUCUUGAAAUCUUAACUCUAAGAAUGUAUAUAACAUCACCCAUGUCUUUCAUCUCAAAGUUGGAAGACAACCAACUCUUGAUAGUAUUGACAAGCUCCAUAUUGUUUCUGGUAAUUAGUAUAUCAUCAACAUAUAAUGAUAUGAUCACCAAUUGAUCUUUGGAUCUUUUGAUAUAUACACAAUGAUCCUCAUCAAUCAUUAUAAAAUCAUAUGCCAUUUUGGCAUUAUGAAAACGUAUAUACCAUUGUCUCGAUGACUGCUUAUGGCCAUUUAUCGACCUCAAAAAUCGAUAUACAUUUUCUUCUUGGCUUUUCAUUAUGAAACCAGCAGGUUGUUCCAUAUAUUUCUUUCUCUAAUUCUCCAUUGAGGAAAGCAGUCUUUACAUCCAUUUGAUGUAACUCAAGAUCCAUACUUGCCAUUAUUGCCAGAAUAAUGCGAAUCAAGGUAAAUCUCACUACAGGAGAAAAUGUAUCUUCAUAAUCAAUUUCUUCCUGUUGAUUAUACCCCUUCGCCACAAGGCGAGCCUUAUGCCUUUUUAUCGAGCCAUCAGCCUUUCGAUUUAUUUUGAAAACCCACUUGUUCCCAAUAGCUUUGUGUCCUUUUGGAAGAUCAACCAGUUCCCAGACUUGGUUUGAUUUCAUUGACUCCAUUUCCUCUUUCAUUGCAUGAAUCCAUUUUUCCUUAUUAGGGCAAUUCAGAGCCUCAUUAAUAUUUCUUGACUCAUCCUCAUCUUGUGGAGCAAUAAUAAAAGUUUCCCUUUCAAUGUCAAAACAUCGACGGGGAAUACUUUGGCGACUUGUUCACCGUAUGGGAGAUUGUACACUUAGCACAUCAUUCCCCAUUAUGCUCCCACUUGGAUUAGGUAAUGAUGAUGUCGUCACAUCAGGUGAUUGCAAUUGAGAAUGAGUUGAAUUCAAUUCAUCACAUCUCAUAUUACUCCCACUUGGACGAACUCCACUAACAUCAUUAUCUUGAUCCAAGGUUUCAAAUAUGGAGUAAUUUUCCCUAUUUCGCCCCUCUUAGGAAAUUCAUCCACUAAGGAUGUGACAUCCCGUGAUUCAAAUUCAGUUAUACUCUCACUUUCCUGCUCACCUAUGAACACAUACCAUUUUGAGUAUUCGCAGUAUCUCAUGAAAAUACUCUUAUUUUUUUUGGGACCCAAUUUCCCAAACUUGUGAGAGGACUCAUGAAUAUAGGCAGCAUAACCCCAUGGCUUAAGAAAACUUAAGUCCGGUUUUCUAACUGUCCAUAACUCAUAUGAAGUGGAAAUAACUGAUUAGGAAGGCAUCCGAUUAAGUAUAUUGGCAGCAGUUAACUACGCAUCACUCCAAAAAGUGAUAGGUAAGUUAGCAUGCACCAUCUUGGACCUAACCAUUCCAGUAGGGUUCUGUUUCUUCUCUCUGCAACACCAUUUUGUUGAGGAGUAUAUGGAAUAGACAACUAUCUUUCUAUUCCUUUUUCAUCACAUAAUUUUCUGAACUUAUCAGAUAAAUAUUCUCAACAUCGAUCGGAUCUAAAUACCUUUAUUUUAUUGUUUAAUUGAUUUUCUGCCAGGUUCAUAAACCUUCUAAAACAACUUAUGCUUCAGAUUUAUGAGAAAUCAAAUAGACAUAUCCGACUCGAGUAUAAUCAUCUAUAAAAAAAAGUGAUGAAAUAAACAGCCCAUUGCCUUCCUCUCACAUUCAUUGAACCACAGACGUCCAAAUGGAUUAAAUGUAGAGGAAAUUCAGCUCUUUUACCUUUUCCAAAUGGUUUUCUUGUCAUUUUCCCUACUAGGCAAUGCUCACAUAUGGACAAAUCGACUUUUUCAAUAUUGCCCAACAAGCCCUCUUUGGCUAGUCUAUUAAUAUGUUGUUGGCCCAUAUGACCAAGUCUAGCAUGCCACCAUAUUCACAUCAUUAUCAUAUAAGGUAGAAGACGUGAAACAAGGGAAUAACAUAUUGACAUCACCAUAGUCAACAUUUAGUACAAUAAAACCAUCCAGAAAAUGACCACAACCAUAGUAGUUUGUAUCCAAAUACAAAUCUAUACAUUUAUUAUGGAAGUUCAUAUAAAAACCAAGCUUGACCAACACGAAAACAGACACUAAAUUUCGACGAAUCUCCGGAGCAUAUAGAACAUCAUGUAGGAACAAGGUGCGUCCACCACGCAUGUUUAAUUGGCAAGUCCUAAUCCCUUUAACUUCAUCUCUAAAGUUAUAUCCCACAUAGAUCCACUUAGUUCCAGUUGGUAUCGUCGGAAUUCCAUGAAGGAUCCUUUAUCCUUCGCUACACGAUCUGUCAUUUCUGAAUCUACAGUCCACAAAGGAUUGGAUUUAGCCAACAAUACAGAACUUGACACAUAGGCAAAGUUCUCAAAUGUACAAGAGGUGUUUACCUUUUUCGGCUCACAACAGUUGCGAGCAUAGUGACCUCUCUUGUCACAAUUGUAACAUCUCACCCUUGACAUUUUUCUUCACUUGAGGACGUUUUCCUCUCUUGUGUUGGUUAACUCUUGAUUUCUUGCAACAAGGACUUGAUCUUUUGCCAUCCCACAUAUUGAACAAAUCAAUACGCUUGCACUUAGAGCUCAAAGCCCUUUCUGAGCUAGAACCAGCAUUGCAAGUGUCCGUUUUCGGCUCACAUGCCGUCAAGCGAUCCUCUACCAGCUCAAGGUGGCGCACAGCAUCAUCAAGAUCUUCCAUAACAUGGUCAAGAGCUUCUAGUGCUUCUAACUUUUCCAGCACAUAUUGAAUCUUAGUACUCAAUAUUCCACAAUUGUUGCCGUUCAUAUCAGCAAUUACGUUCUUAGUUGCUGAAACUAUCGAUCUGAACACAUCAGACUUAUAUGCACAAAUAAUUAAUGCCUAUCAUUAUGCAUCCCUAUUUGCAUAGACCCAUCAUANNNNNNNNNNNNNNNNNNNNNNNNNNNNNNNNNNNNNNNNNNNNNNNNNNNNNNNNNNNNNNNNNNNNNNNNNNNNNNNNNNNNNNNNNNNNNNNNNNNNNNNNNNNNNNNNNNNNNNNNNNNNNNNNNNNNNNNNNNNNNNNNNNNNNNNNNNNNNNNNNNNNNNNNNNNNNNNNNNNNNNNNNNNNNNNNNNNNNNNNNACAUCCAAUAAAAUAACAAUGCUUUCACAUGAUACAACUAAUAUAUCGAUUGCUACAUCAACAACAAUCAAGUAGUAAACAUUACAUAAUUAAUCAAAGAAAUAAAUAAGGAAUGUCCCUUAUAAUCUAUCAGCCAUAAUAUCUGAGAAAUUUGAAGGCACAUUUGCCAACCAUGGAAAAACUUUUGGAGAGCUUUCAUGUCGCCACCAAGGCGCAUUCACUCUACGGCCAUGUGGCGCUCAACCUAAGGGUUGAAGUUUUGGUUAACUCAAUCCUAUAGUGCUCUCUUACAAAAGCUUCCAACCAGCCUCCUAUAACUCAGGACCACGUUGAACCUCCCAUAGCCGAUCUAACACUGCUUACCAUUCAGGUGGAAGAGUGUUCAUCAAAGCCGGUACAUUCUCAAAAUCCGGCAUAAGAUAACCAUUAUUGAUGAUUUCUUGUAUCAUCUGAUUGACCCUGACCGCAUGUGAUACUAAAUCACCAUCAUGCCACCGAUAAUUAGCUAAUUCUGACAAUCUCCUUUUAAGUCUUGCAUUUCCCUCGUCCGUUCUCGGGAUUGCAGGUAUCCUUGCAUAACGCAUCAUAGUUCCUGCAACAAAUGCAGAACUAAAAAUGGAUCACUUAUAAUCCAUAAUAAAUAUAAGGGAAAAUACAUAAUUUUCCAAAAUUCAUGCAAAAAAUGAAGCAUUAAAAAUAGAUUACUUAUAACCCACAUAGGCAUGACUGAAAAAGAAACAAAAUUUUUUUUUUUUUUUUCGGGUCAACGGUCAACGGUCAGUCAACGGUCAACAGUCAAGGUCAAUGGCCAGUCAACGGUCAACGGUGGUCGGUCGUCGGAUCGGUCGAACCGGACAGACCGGUCGGACCAAUCGCGCCGGUCGGGCCGGUUCGGGCGAAACGACCGCACGUGCCGCCCGCGUGCGCGAGCUGACGUCAUGCAGACGUCAGCCGGCACGAGCCGCGCGCGUGCCGAGGGUCGCGGUUCGGGUCGGGUCGCCGGCCGGCCAACGGUCGUCGGCGAUGACGUCACCGAUGACGUCAUCCCGGCGGUUACCGUGACGUCAGCACGCGUCUGUUCGCCGACCGGCGCGUGCCCGUUCGCCACCGGCGCGUGUGUCGCAUGCGCUGGCGAAGCCAGCACUUCCAGGCGCUUCGCGCCCACGCGCAGCGGCUUCUGGCCGUGCGUGUGGGCGCGUGCGGCGUCUCCCGGCGGCGCUCGACGUGUCGCCGGACUCGUCUCGACGUCGCCUUUCUCCCCAUGUGUUCAGAAAACGAUUUCGACUUACGAAAACUCAGAAAAAUGGCCGAACAACGCUCGGGUGUCGGGAUUUCUCGCCCCGAUCCGUACGGCCGAAAAUUUUUCGUGAAAAAUCAAUCAAAAAACAUCAAAUUAAUCGGGAAAACGUGAACUAGGGCUCUGAUACCAAUGUUGGGAAUAGCGGAUCCCUGAAACCGGAUUCGACACCGAAUCGAACACCUAAAUCAAUGCGGAAGACGAAGCCCGGGAAAACACGUAUCACCGAUCGUAAAGCACACCACGGAUUCGAGCGUACCUUGUUAGCCACAGAUUAAGCACCGACGCCGACAAGAGGAAGAAAAUCUGGCCCCGUUCAAUCCGAUGACGCCUUGAAGGAAAGAAGAAAAGUGCCGUUUGCUUACUGUUUCUUUUUGGAAGGGAGAGAGCACGCGGGAGAAGAGAAGACGUACGUUUGUCUGUUUUUCCAACUGGUGCCAUCUCUCUCUCUCUCUCUCCUCCCUUUUAUACCUUCCCCCAUCCAUGGGCCCUAUUCCCGUGGGCCGGGCUUUUUGGGCCUAGCAUGGGCGGACGGGCCUUAAGCCCAUCUCAUAAAUCUAUCAAGCUCGAUAUUCAGCAUCGUCGCCCUUACUUGUUUUGGACUUUCUACUGGCGAAUCUCUUCAUGUAAAGGUUUGGCUUGGCAUUAUACUAGUCAGCAUACUUGCAUAGACAUGGUGGUUCUGUUCGUUUCCUCAUCAGUGCAUUCGACUUGUGGUGCAUCAAAUCUGAAAAUGAAAUAUUCCAGUAUCUAUAUUUAAUUAUUCGGAAGUUUGUUUUAAUAAGCUAGUACUAUGCUAUCAAUCAAUUAUCACUCAGUACAUCUCUUUAUACAUAUAGACACGGUUUGCCAUUUCCAGAGUUGUUAUCUUUCGGGAGUGGUCUCGAACGAUUUCGUAUUCUCCAAACCGAGACUCAUUCAGUCAUUGAAAGCCUUCAAUUUUUGACCUUGUACUAGGAUGGUCCUUUCUGCUGAUUAUUGUAGAUCCUUUGAAAACCAUUGAAGCAAUCGAAAAGACCUCGCAGAAAAUGUUAAUUGCUUUGUACUGGCGAGACGACCCAAGUUUUAAGCAGCAGCAUGCGCUUUCGCUGCUUUCUAUGUUUUCUUAGUCUGAUGAAUGACAUUAUUUGAAUCUCAGUGGGGGAGUACCUCGCUAAUUUUGGCAUCAAAUCAGGGCUCUCUGUCUGCGAUCUCUAAGUGAAGUGGAUAUCGCGGGUUCCUUAUCAACAUCAAUGUCUGGAGGAAUAUGAUACUUGUUUGCAAGCACGUGAGGUACCAUCUCAUGUCUUAUCAUCGAGUGAACGCAUAAAUUCUCACUGCAUUUAGGGAUUGAGCUUUUGUAAUACAUCACAUGCUCUAAAACGACACUACCUGCUCAAUUUCCAUUCAUCGUAAAGGCAAAUUUGUCGGCCUACUCUAUCUUUCGUCUUUGACAUGUGCCAGUCAUUCAUCGGUUAGGCCCUAACCCAUCCCGUGACAUGAGGUCAAAGUCGGAGAUUGCUUGAGCAUGUAGCAGUUGUAGAGGUGGGUGAUCGAGCGGGGUCGAAGGGUGGGGGUGAGAGGUUUUGAUGGAAACGAGAGAGAUUCACAUGAAACAAAAAUUAAAUGAAUGCCAUAGAACAUUCAUUGUCAUUUAUAAAAUAUGAACAUAAUGAGUCUAUCGGAAACACUAGUGCUAUAUGAAAAACAUGUAAAAGCUUCACGGAUUACAUUGCGAAUAAUGAUACAUGUUGAUAGUACUAUUUAAAUUUUGCACCUCAUUUCUAUGAUAGGGGAACAAUCACACAAUACAUGAUUUCGUAAACUCAUUGUCAUGGUAAAAUUGGUAACCGCCCGAAAUUAUCGAAGCACUUGACGAAGCUGAGACCGUUUCAAGUUCUAUAUCAGUGUUGACAUCAUCAAUUGGCGCCUCUCUUGGAUACAAAAGUGGUUUUGGAGGCAGCUGUAGUUUAGCCAUAUCUCCCUCAAGCAUAUCUAGGACUUUCCUCAUCGACGGCCGAUCAUUAGGACUCAAUUGUAUACACCAUGAUGCAACGAUUAUCAUCUUCCUCGUUGUUUCUCUUUCCUCUUCUAUGACAUCUACCAUUUCAACCUCCUUUUCUUUGCCAAGUUGAUCAUAAACCCACAAAGGAAAGUAAAUUUGACUUGAACGCUCUGCACGUGCAUUUAGAUUUCUCCUUCUACCAGCCAUUUCCAUCAACAUCAUCCCAAAACUAUAAACAUCGGCUUUAUAAGAAAUGCCACCAAUGUCUUUAUAGAAUAGCUCAGGUGCCAUAUAACCCAAGGUUCCUCUUGCUGCAGUCAAUGAUACUAUGCUGUGACUGGUGGGAUAAAGUCUUGCAAGUCCAAAGUCAGAAAUUUUCGGAGUGAAACUUUGGUCUAGGAGAAUGUUGUGUGGCUUGAUAUCAAAGUGCAGAAUUUGCAUAUCACAUCCCUAAUGUAGAUAUUCUAUCCCUCUAGCUAUGCCAAGAGAGUUCUCAUACAUUUUCUUAUGAUCAAGAGGAUCAUCACCAUCCUUAUUCGAAAUGUGUUUAUCCAGGGAGCCAUUUGGCAUGAAAUCAUAGACUAGAGCUUGUUUGGAGUAAUCGAAGCAAAAACCAACAAGUUGCACCACAUUGACAUGGUGAAUCCUUCCAAUUGUGGCCACUUCGCUAAUAAAAUCUUGGCUGUUAGAUUCUGAUUUGUUCAAAAUCUUAACCGCAACUUCAUUGCCACUUCGAAGGAUUCCUCUGCAGACAGAACCAUAUCCCCCCUCACCUAACUUGUAUUUGAAAUUUUUUGUAAUCUUCUUAAUAUCGGAGUAAGAGUACCUUAUGGGUAAAAAGUUAUUGUGAGCUUGUAGGAAUUCUUCGAUGAUUGCGUCAAUCGCUUGGCGCCUUCUCAUCCACUUAUAGAUUAGAAGUAUCAACACACAUAGAACUCCGAGUACGAAUUUUGCUGCAACAUAGUUGGCUGGAUAGAAAUUGUCCAUAGAUUAGCACGGUGCAAUAAAAAAAAAUUAAACGUAAUUUUUUUUUUAUCAGAGUGCUGCUUGAGAUCUUCAUAGUUGUGAGGAGAAAAGGGCUAGGAAGUCAUACCCAAGACGAGGGCAAGGCUCCGACCCACAUAUGGCGCAUAAUAAUGCCUAGCCCACGUAGCAUAAUCUAAGGUGACCGAAAAUGACUAAUUAGAAUCGACAAUCAAUCAAUGAAGAAUUAAAUCUAUCAUUUUAGCAUUUAAACAUAAAAAUAAUUUACUAUCCUAAAUAGGUGCUCAUAUCGCAGCUUAUUCUAUUCACAUGGGAAAUCCAUGUUACGGUAGCAUGAUAUUUUCUCUAAAAAAAUAAAAUAAAGAACACGAUCUCGCUUUUGUUCCCUCAAGACGUACCAAACAAUUAAUAAGUUCACAUCUCACUGCAGCAUAAUUCUAAUUUACAAACAUCAUUCAGGACGCGUGCAAUUUAUUCAUCUACAUAGGAGUAACAGCCACGCAAUGGACACGAGCAACUAUUAAAUCAACCAUUUUCCCCAAACAAAUAUAAAGUAAUAGUGUCAAAUCCAGAAAAAAAGGUUCAUAAAUUGUAAAAUUAAAAAGAGCAAUGCAUGCCUAAUCUACUAAGAAAUCUUAUUAGACUUUUCAAAUUAAGUGAUGUGGCAAUUUUUUUUUUUUCUGUUGUGUUUUUAGAGAAAAUAGUGUCUUAAUUUGUGGAUUGUAUUAAAAAUCCCCAACUAAAACUUGCCACAUCUCUUGGUAAGUAAAUUUUGGUAAGAUCUCUUAGUAAAGCUAGGAUUUAAGAAAAGGAAGAAGAAGAAGAAGAAGAAAAAAGAAAGAAAGAAAGAAAGAAAGAACACCUUUAAGGGGAAGUCCCUUGAGGAAAUAAAGGUCCCCGCAACUCUCCAUUCGGUAUCCGAAACUUAAGUAGCGACACCGAAAAGCUCUUCCUGACAUGGUCCAGGGUUCUCCAGAAUAGUAGAGAUUGAAUCCCUCGGCCAUCUUGUUGUGGAGGUCCUUGUAUGUUAAGCUCCCAUUCUGAUCCCCUUCCCGCCCCGAGAUUUGAUCUGAUGCGUAUGCCGUCAUGGUUACGGUGCAGGAGUCCUUGAAAUCCCCUGCUUUUAAGUUCUGUACAGCGUAUGAGUACACCUUCAUCUAGGAAAAAUAAGGAGGCGUGUCGGCAGAGUAUCCCUCAAUACAUGGUCUGGUAUCGACAUAUAAACUAGAAGCAAUGGGUUGGGAACACUUCAUGAAGGCCACCACCGUAGCUUAUCGAUCAGCGUAUCUAUCAUCAUGACUGAAGUUGGAGUAUGUCAAUGGGUAACGAGGGAGGGACUAGCAAUUACCCUUUUGCAGUCCAUUGUCAACCACCGUGAUAUUACCAUCAAAGUCAUGUUGGUUGUAAUAGAAACUAUAAUGGAUCAACUUCGCAUUAUAUUGGCCAGCAUAUAGAUAUAGAAUAGUGUCGCGACCAAUUUUUCAGGGUGUGAAUCACCUAGGAUUUAGCUAAUAGAUUGCUAAGCCUAGACCUAGCUCGGGCUCUCCCAAGCCCAUACCAAUUCGCGACUUAAGUUCAAAUUUCUUAACAUGCAGAUGGAUUUUAUGUAGGAGUCGCCACUAAUCUAUUUUUUGGUGGGUCAAUUAGAAACCCAAGUAAAAUAACGGGAGUUUUACUUUACUCCUAUGAACCAGAUAUUCUAGGUACGGGGACUUAUUACACUAGAUUUUUCUAAUGCCCUUUCGAUACCAUUCUUUUAUUUUCAAAAAUGCUUUUGCAAGCAGCUUAAAUUGAUUUUAAAUCUAAUUUCCUAACAUGUGAGGUGAUCAUGCGAGUGCGCAAACCAUCAAUUUAACAUCCAAAUAAAGCAGUAAAUAAAUUGCAGGACUUACCUCAUAGCAACGAAAGCAUCUGCGUUGUUAGAUCAAAAUUCACAUCAACAGUCAUAGAUAUGAUUUCUAAUUAACACGAAAUUUUUGUUUUUCUUUUUCACUUGAUUAGUGAGAAUCGAACCCGUAUGCAAUGCGAUGCUUCUAAUCUAACAUGAAAUGAUAUAACAUGGCAGAAUAACCUAAAUUAUAUGACAUGAAUAAAAAAAUGCAAUGAUUAAAUAUGUAAUCUAAACUAAUCUAAUGACUUAACUCUAAUGACAAUCAAUUUCUAGCCAAAUGGACCUAACCAUAAUCACUAAGUAAUAUGCAUUUCAUGAACCUAAUUCUAUAUGACAUGCACAUGACAUUUUUUAUUUUCUUAAAAAGUAUGCAAUCUAUCCUAGAGAUUGAAACUAAUUUAUCCUAAGAUAUUUUUUGUAUUUUUUAAUAAAAAAAUCGAAAUUAAGACUAUCAAAUAAUUAACAUGCAAUUUAAAUCAGUGAAACGAAAAUCUAACAUCCUAAAUUUAUGUUUUUUGUAUUUUUUAUUUAAGAAAUUCGAAAGAAAUAAAUUUCCUGUUCUAGACAUGCAAAAUAACCUAAAACAAGUAAUAUCCUAACAUGCAUCUAAUCUAACUCAAAAAAAAAUUUCCUUUUACGGGAGCAAACAAAUAAAGGCAUCAAGAACAGCACGGCAACAAAUCAAACAAGAUAUCAUCCAUGUCCAUUUAAUUUUGGGAAAUAAAUUGACGAAUCGUAUCUCGCGCAUGAGAUCAGAUUGGCCAAUAUUUUAAGUAAAAUCACGAAUCGUAUCUCAAGCGUGAGAUCGGAUUGGUGAUUUUUUCGUACAAUUGCGGGUCAUAUUUUGGGCGUGAAAUCAGACCGUCAACCGUGUGAAAUUAAGAAUUAAUCUCUAAUUUCAAAUGCUAUCUGAACUUCGAUCAUGUGCAACGAGAUAUUUUAAAUAAGGAAACGGAAUAUUCGGAAAUUAAAUUAGACAAAAAUAUUACCUAAUCCAAAUAUUGACUUCCAAAAUUUGGACUUUGCGCAGUUAACGGAGAUUGCAGUGCUCAACAAUUUCGCAGCCAGUUGUCGAGGACAGCAGCUUAGUCACGAAAGAGCAACGGCAACGUCACGGCAGCAGGCCUGAACCGCUACAAAAUUGUCGCAGGGGACUCCACCGAUGUUGGACCACGAUUGGCUUUGAAUGUGGACCCAAGUUCGCUGGACUGUGGCAAGAUUUUUUUGAAAAAAAAACCUGCAAGAUUUGGUCAAAGAAAACUGGUUUGGGCUGCCUUCAACAGAUCAUGCACGAGAGAGACAAAUUCGAGAGAGACAAAUUCUUGUGCUUUUUAUCAUAAACUUGUGUUCAGACUAUAAGGGUUCUCUUUUGUGCACGUCCACUCCUCUCCCUCCAGGUGGAAGUGCUUGACUUUGUGGACAAAAAUUGCGGAGAUUGAGAGAAAUUUCCCCUUUUAAUCUAUGACCGUCUCCUGGCUUAACAGCGAAGCUCCGUGGCUUUGGAUGAAACUCGCCACAAAAAUUUCGGUCUUCUCGAGCAGUGGUUGGAUCGGCCAGUGCGAGCAGCAAAACAAACCAGGCUCGAGCAACAAGUCGCUGUGGAGUAUAUUACCAAUGCCUGACAGCGGAUAGGCAAAGAGUGGGUUAGGCUCACGUCAGGGAUAGCGACCUGCAAAUGCGUUUCGUCACAUCGAGGCAGCAAGCACUGGCGUUGCGAGUUCACGAAUGGUGCAGCAGCAAGUAGCGUUGGGGAUCAGCAGCACUGUCGUCAGCUCGGGAUGACGACACGAAUCGCUACAGAGGGUGGUGCUUUGCUGAAACCAAGCUUGCUAAAUUUUAUUGGUCAACGAGACAAGGUGGAGCGUGAGUGACCUGCAAAGAAGAAGAGAGAAAUCCUUCUAUAUAUAUUUAUUUUUUUGGCUCCCAUGUGGCCCCCUCCCUCUUCGCUGGUGGACUUCAGGAGGAUAGAGAUUUGCUGCAAAAUUCAACCGGGAUCUUGAAGGCUUGCGAUUGAUUAUCAGGAAAGGCCGCUGAGUCGGCGGGGUUGGAGAUGACGCCGGUGCUGGACUGGAAUGCGCCGGGAUUGCUGAGUUCUUCGAUGGGCUGAGAAAUUGUGGCAAGUGGCGCACAAGCAGGAGCAGCCGCUGGGGACAGAUGUGAAGCGUCGAAGUGCCGCCAGGACUGCUUAACGUUGCUCGCUGGAUGUCGGCAUUACUGAGCAUUCGCUGAGCAAGUUCUCGUGAAUCAGCGUCGAGAAAAAACACACAAUGGACAGUGAUGUUGCUGGUACGGGAAUUUGGGCACGACUGUUGAAAGUGACCAGCCUUGACCAUUAAAAAAUGAAAUCUCUCCUCUCUCUUGUGGUCCUUUCCAUUCUGGCCGUAUAUUCAAUAUGUGGCCUCCCCUCGAAACCCUACGCGAAAAACCUUUUUAUAGGCCGAAGAUUAGGGUUUUAAUUUCCUUUUCAAAUCAGCAUCCGCGAAGAUUUCUUUUUCGCACACAAUAUCACUUUUUUUUUUUUUUAUUUUCCACAUCUCCUGAUUUUAUUGCCUAAAGAUAAGAUUGUAACCCGAUUUUCUUAAAUUCCAAAAAUCCACCGUAAUAUUAUUUCAAAACUCCAUUUAGGUAAUUUUUGUAAUUAAAAGAAAACGGGCUCGAGCCAAUUUACUUGCUUCGUGGGCUUUAGUCCGGUCUAUCAAUUUAAAGCUUAGAACCACUAAUUCAAACACAUCCGCCACCGGUCCAAUAAAUGCAAAAAAAAAUGUAAAUGCACAUAAAUCUAUAUGCUAUGUAAUUAAUUAAUUAACUAAUAUUUUUUUAGGGGUUAAAAUUAAUCCCUAAUUUUUUAAUGAAUAAACGGGUCACCAAAAUUUAGGUGUCAACAAAUAGUGCCGUUAUUUUCACAAGCUAGCUCAUACCGAGAGCUGCCGCAAUGUUUUGGAUCGCCUUUCAAUUGAAAAGGAUAACUUAUGUUAUGGAUCUCAUCGCAAGAUGAGGGGUCACACAAAUGAUUGUUCUUCGCAUUGUAACUUAUCCUUGAUAGUAGCAGUGUCACGCCCCAAACCUUGAGUGCGCCAAUAUCCCAUCAUGGUCAUGCAAAUGCGACAUUCCCAGGUAGUGUCGCCGACCCCAUUCAUUUAUUAUUGCGUAAGCGGAACGUAUUGUAAAACCCUUGACAAUGAACUAUGGGAUAGAAAAACCAGGAAGCAGAACCAUAACAUAACACUUUCAUAAUUCAACAGAAUUACAAACAGAGGUCUACGGCCAAAAGUCUACAAAAGACCGGCUCUCAAAAAUGAACUAUCCUACGACCUACAAGUCGGACAUGCUCUCCAAUCUUAUGACUUCACCUAUGCAACUCCUCAAGGCCAACUAAAGCUAUCUGGCCACUCCGUCCACCAGGGACUUGAAAUUUUAAUCACACAAUCGGGAUGAGACUUUGUCUUAGCAAGUUCAACCCCCUAAACCCCUAUUAGAAAGAAAAUACGCUCAAGGGUGGCCUAGCCACAACAUCAAAAAGACUUACCUCGCAUUAGUCUUCAUCUGCAGGUUAGCACAGUUUAUAUAAUUCAACCACGUGCAAUUAUGAUAACCAAACAACUGUGGGACAAUCACAUCAUCAGAACAAUUUAACCACUUGGAUCGUUUCAGCGAUCAAUCGACUCGGCCGAUUACAUGUCAUUCUAGCAAAUCAAUCAUUGCCUCCAAUCACGACCCUAUAGGAAGGUUUAACAACCAACGGCAAUCACGGCCCCACUCGGCAAAAUUAGUAUUAGUGGCAUCACGGCCCCACUCGACACAACCUUUAAAAGGUGGUAGAUCCCGGCCCGAUGGGCAUGACCUCUAAUAGGUGGUUAAUCACGGCCCGGUUGGGCGCGACCUUGAUCAGGUAGCGAAUCACGGCCCCAUUGGGCACGACCUCUAAUAGGUGGUUAAUCACGGCCCGAUUGGGUGCGACCUUUAUCAGGUGGCGAAUCACGGCCCCAUUGGGCACGACCUCUAAUAGGUGGUUAAUCACGGCCCGGUUGGACACGACCUUUAUCAGGUGGCAAAUCAUGGCCCCACUGGGCAUGACCUAUAAUAGGUGGUUAACCACGGCCAAUCUCUCAUCAAUUUCAACACUUGGGAUUUUAUAAGAAGAAUCCCUAUUUAUCGCUAUCACACUCAAUUUGCCACAAUCGAUUAUCAAAUUCAAAUUCUAAAGACACAGACUUCCAAAGAUAAUUUUCGAAAUUUAUUAAAUAAUUAAUUUUAUUCCAAAAUUGAUUUAAUAAUAAUAUUUUAAUAAUUUCGAAUAGAUAUAUAUUAUUAAAUAAUUUAAAAUUUUCGGAAUACUUAAAUAAAUCAAAAAAAAAUUCUUUAAGUCACAUCAAAGCUUAUAUUAAUAUAAACAUUCACUUAGCCUUAAAUUAAACACACUUUAAGUAAAUCAAGCACCUUAAUAUAAUCUACACUUAAAUAAAUUAAACUAACCACCUCAUAACACUUAACAUAAACUAAACCUCCCUAAGUAUAAUUAACCCUCUAAGCGAGGUUUAGUGAGUUAAACUCAUCGGAUUAGCGAGCUGAGCGGACCAAAACGACGGGGACGCCGAGGGGAACAACUUCCUUUAAAGCAGACCAAGCAUCCGAGGUCAGGAAGCCGACAAAACGGGCCAAAACCAAGCUGCCAUACCCAUUUUUGAUUGAUGUUGUCCGCUGCAGUUUGAGGCCAAGGAAGGGUAGAGCUGGAGCUUGGAUGAGAUGGAGAAGGACCGGGGAAGGUUGAGGGGUCGAAUCGAACCUAGGCAGGGCUCGAACGGUGGCCGGAGGUGGUUGAUCCGAGGCUGGUGCUGGCCGAACAGCCUCCUAGAUGCACAAGUAGAGGCCAACAGAGACGGCCGGGCGUCGGCCAAGCGCGGACAAGCGCGGGCAGCAGCGAAGCGCAAGACGGCGAGUGGCAACGACGGUCCUAGCUCUGGCAGCUUACUGGUUGAUCUUCGCUGCUGCUGGCGCUCUCAGAUUUGCUAGAGACGUCGAGCACGAGCAGGAGAUGGAGUAGAGAGGGAGGCGAUGGCGCAGGUGGGCGGCAAGCGGCCUAGCGGUGCAAAUGGCAACGGUAACUGGCGAUGAAAGGAGCUGAGGGUUGCUGCAUCCGCUUUCUUCGGUUGCUGGGCGAGCGAAGAAGGAGAAGAAGAUGGAGAGGGGGGUGCCGACGGGAGAGAGAGAGAGAGGGAGGAGAGAGAAGGAAGGGGCCACCCCUUUUCUUUUCUUUUUUUCUUUUUCUUUAAUCCAACACAAAUGGUCCACCAUGACCUAAGAUGACAUCACCUUCCACUAAAUUCAAAUCUCCCACAACAAUCUUCAAUAGGUCCAAUUUCUUUUUCCGCUGAGGCAUGAAAUCUUGAACGCUAACUUCUUCAAUUCCAAUCAAUUCUCUUCCAAAUGAGUAUAAUUAAAGUCCAUAAAUUAAUCCAAUGAUCCUAAUAAGAUUUGUGACACACUAUGACUUCCAAUUUCAGAAUUCGAUCUCAAUUUCACGGUUAAUUUCACUUUGGCACGAUACUAGCGCGUCCUAAUCUAUCGGGUAGCUUUUAGAAAUUUUCGUGCAUUUGACCUAUGGUUGAUCGAUUCAAGCCACAAUGUGCAUCUUUGACACAUUGGCGACUCUCGGUUGUCGGGAUAAUUUCAAGGUUUCAAACACGAACACGGGGUACCCAAACGACAGAAAAGCCAGUCCAGUGCCGAUCAACAAGAAUUGUGCGAUCUGGUGGAAUCACCCACAUCCGAUCACAUGCCUCUGUCGAGUUGACCUAUCUUCGAUUUCUAAUCGAUUUUUAACUGUGUCGUAAUGACCCUUGCAGAUUAACUCGGUCGAAAGGUCGUUUCCUGGUCAAAUUCUCGAGUCCGAUGCAUUAGAAUUUCUUAACGGCUUCACCUGAUAGAUUAGUUAUCCCAUGAGUGAUCAGUCCAAGGAAAAGAACUAUAUGCGUGCCAACGAAAUGCCCAUCUUAAUUUAUUGAAAAUAGUAUUGGAAAAUCGAGAUGUCACAAUGCGAACGUGCGAUACGAGAAGUAAAACACGGAGUGUAAAUAUGGAGCUGAGAGAAAUAAUCAUCUCUUUAUCGUUAGUAUGGUGCAAUGAAGGUUUUAGCUCAUUUGGUAAUGCGAGAGAGGCUUUAUAAAGGGUUAUGAGUCGUCGGUCAUCGAAAUGUCCAAGUCAACCCUAAAACAAAGUCUAGCGAAGAAAGUCUUAAAAAGUAUGGCCCAGCUAAAACCUAUGUAGCAUCGACACGAACAUGUGACAUGCGACACGACACAACACGACACGCCCACACGUCAUUUAUUAAAAAUAGAGAAUUUCGACACAUUCCGACACAUUAUAUAUUAAAUAUAUUUUAAUAAUAAUAAUAAAAAUAGCCUAGAAUUAAUUUACGCGAAAAAUAUUAAAUAAUAUCAUUCAAUAUUUUAAUUUGUUACAAUAAUACACAAAACUUAGAGGAAAAAAACAUUGUUUAAAGAAAAAUGCUAAAAUGAUAUUUUUAAAUUUAUUUAUUUAUCAUAUAUAGCAUUUUUUUUUAUUACUUCUUUCAUAGUAAAAGACUUUAAAAAAAAAAAACAAUUCUAUAAAACCAAAACUGAAAAAAGAAAAAAUUGAUCCCGUGCGUGUAUAUUUAUAGCAAUUUUAUUAUUCUUUUAUUACUUCUUUUGUGCAUAUUUAUAUUUUGACCCCUCAAGUAUUAGAAAUUUUUAAAAUUGACUCAAUGCGUGUCGGAAUCACGUGUCGAAAUUCUGGACUGUCGAAGCGUGUCGGAGAGAGUUGAACAUGUGUUGGAUUUUUCAACACUCGUUGACCACGUGUCGGAGCGUGUCGGGACGUGUUGGAGCAUGUCAGACACGUGUCGGAGUGUCGAACACGACAUGAAGGCUUCCGGAGAGUGUCCGUGCUACAUAGGCUAAAAUACGGUCUCGGAAUUAGUAAUGGAUAGCUUUCACAUCAUGACGGAGGAAACCUCUUACAUUUCCCAAAAUUGAUUUUCUUGGCAAAUCAAUCUCUCUUUAUUUUAGUAUCGUAAAAAAGAAUCAGUUUCAAUGUUUUGUACCCUAAACUCAAUCAAAAUCCUUUCAAAUACGGCAUCUGGUGUUCUAUUUUAUUUUCAAGGCCAAUAUUUCGUAAAUGUCAUUUCGUUAAAUUUUGAAGACGGAAAGAAAAAAGAUGAUGUAUUUCAUCGUAUAAGAUUUUUCAUUUUUUGAGAAAAAAUUAGUAACCAAGAAAGAGGAUCAUGUUAAUUAACGGGUACAUAGAUUUUAACUCGUAUAAUGUGGCUUUCCGUAAAUAUAGAAAGGAAAUAAGGAGUCGGCGCUUCUUGCUCAUGGAUGUUGUGAAACUUUAUGAAAGAAAAAAGCAAUAUGGUAAAUUCUCAACUAGCAAUGGGACUGACACAUCUCGAUUAGAAACUCACUUGCAUCAUCGUGGAUCGACACACGCAAGGACUAUAGACACGGCAUUUGAAUUCACAAAAAUAAUGUGAUGUUUACUUAGUCACUAUGCUGAAAUUUUAAAAUCACUCUUUUCCAUAAUUGAACCACUUAAUGAACGAAUAAACUGAUCUCAAUAAAAAAGGCAAUACGAUAAUUUCUCAACCAAUGACCAAUUGAUGCGGGUCUCAAUUAGAAAUUCACUUGCUUCGUCAUUCUCAACACAUGCAAAGACUAUAGGUGUAAUAUUUUUUUUUUUGGUAAAAGACUAUAGGUGUAAUAUUCGCAUGCACAUAAAUCAACUAAUACGUACUUAUUCAUUGUCAAUUGAAAUAUCAUUCUUGUGGAUCAGUCAAUCACUCGCCUAUAAAAUAAUCUCAUCUUUUGCUCGCAAUAAAUCGAACUGACCUAUUACAAUAUCCAAUUGAAACAUGCCACAUCACUUAGUAAGUAAAUUUUUAUACGAUCCCUCAGUAGAGCUAACAUUUAAGAAGAGGAUGAGGAUGAAGAAAGAAACAAAGAAAGAACUGGGAAAGUCAGCUUACGGGAAUCAUGGUGUCUCCACCUCUCCGUUUGGUAUAUGAAACCUAAUUAGCAAAACUCGAAACUUGUUGGUGGCGAGAGUUUAUAAUAGGAGAUAGUGAAUCCCUCGACCGUCAUGUUGUGGGGGUCCUUAUACGGUGAGCUCGCACGAUUAUACCGAUCGUUUUUCCACCUUGGGAUAUAAUGCGGUAUUAAAGCCUCUGUGGUCAUGGUGUAAGUAUCCUUGAUGUCCCCUACUCGGAGAUCAAACCCAUGUACAGCAUAUGAGUACAACUUAAUUUGGGAAAAAAUAGGGGGCAUGUCGGAAGGAUAUGCUCCCUCAAUACAUGGUUCAGUAUUGACUUACGAAGUAGAAGCAAGGGGCUGUGAGCACUUCAUGAAGACCACCGGCACAGCUAACGAACCGUGUGGAUCAUUAUCACUAAAGUUGGAGAGCGCCAAUGAGUAAUGAGGGAGGGUUGAGCAAUUACUUUUUUUUGCAGUCCAUCUUCAACCACAGCGAUUUCGCCGUUGAAUAAACAUUUGCUAAGAUGGGAAUGGUAGUAAAUUGAUUUCACAUAAUAUUGGCUGUCAUAUAGAUAUAGAACAAUGUGAUUAUUUUCACAAGCUACCUUAUGUUCAUAGUGGCCACAUCCUUUUGGGUUGCCUUUCAAUCGAAAGUGAUAGCGUAUGUCAAGAACCUCGCCGCAAGAUGAAGCGGCAGACAAGUGAUUCUUCUAUGUACCGCAACUCAUCCCAAGUAGCAGCAGAACAUACAAUAUGAAAAGCAAAACACUGAACAUGCUUAUGGAGCUCAGAGACUUAAUCGUCUCUCUAUCGUUUGAUCCGAUGCAAUGAAAGUUUUUGCUAAUUGGUAAUGCGAUGGAGGCCCAGUAAUAUUGCGAUUGAGGCCCAGUAAUAUGAAUGAAAAGAGCCUGGAGUCCUCGGUCAUUCAAAUGUCUAAGUCAACCAAUAAAGCAAAGUCUAGUGAAGAAAAACUGGAUAUCACGUGGAAAUUGCAGUCCUUGCGGUCAAGGUAUCAAAACACGGUGGUGGAAUUAUUUAUGCAUAGCUUUCACAUUGAUUAAAAAAAAAACACUUCUCUGCAGUUUCCAGAUUGAAUCAAAAUCAUUUCAAGUGAGGCAAUGACGUUCUAUUUUCUUUUCAAGACUAAUAUUCCAUAAGUGUCCCUUUGUUAAAUUGUGACGACGAAAGGAAAAAGAUGUUGUAUUUCAUCAUCUAAGCUUUUUAUUUCUGACAAAAAUACAGAAAAUGGUAAGAAAAAUAGACUAUGAACAAGAAUAUAACUUGUAUAAUGUCGCUUUUGGCAAAAGUAAAAGAAAAAUAAGAAAUAAGUGCUUCUUGGAUGGUGUAACACGUUAUGAAAGAAAGAAAGCAAUACGAUAAUUUCUAGUGGUGGACCGACGCGCCCUAACUAGAAACUCACUAACUUCGUCGUCACGCAAACACCAUAGAUGCAAAUUUCCAAGUUCACCAUCAACACAAAGUCUAGCGAAAAAAAAAAGUGGGUCUCAUGUGGAAAUUGCAGCCCUUGCGGUCUAGGCAACAAAAACAGAGUGUUGGAAUUAUUUAUGGCGUGGCUUUCACGGUGAUUAGAAAAGAAACUUUUCUGCAGUUUUCAGAUUUAAAUUUUCUUGGCAAAUUGACUCUUUAGGAAUCAAUUUUAGUUCAAUAAAAAAAGAAUCGAUUGGAAUGUUAUGUACUCUAAAUUGAAUCAAAAUCCUUUCAAGUGAGGCAUUGGCAUUCAAUUUUAUUUUCAAGGCCAAUAUUCCACAAGUGUUGGUUCGAUAAAUUGUGAAGACAAAAUGGGAAAAACAAAAUGUCGUAUUUCACUGUAUAAGCUUUUUCAUUAUGGACAAAAAAAAAAAAAACAGAAUUGGUAACAAAGAUAGACUAUUAAAGGGAAUAUUAGCUUGUAUAACAAAAAUAAAAGGAAAAACAUGAGUUAGUGCUUUUUGGAUGGUGUAACAGAUUAUGAAAGAAAGAAAGCAAUUCGAUAAUUUCUAGCGAUGGGACCGACGCGCAUUGACUAGAAUCUCACUAACUUCGUCAUUGCACAAAGACUUUACAUGCAAUAUUCAAGUUCAAAGAAAAGAAAAACAAUGUUUAUUUAUUCACUAUCAACUUCAAUAUUACAAUCACUCUCCCAUACUUGUGUUAGAUCUAUGAACAAUAUUGUCAUCUCUCUGGGAACUCCCUUGCUUGGUUUUAUUUAAAAUCGAACUGAAAUGAUAGCCGAGCGUCGUUUUCCCUAGUCCACGAGCAUGCCCGGUUUGGACGAGCCAUCCUUUUGUCGAGUUUGAGUGUCACUUGCUGUUCUUUUUUGAGUUUGGACAUGAGUUAGAGUCUAGAAUGGAGGACCAUUCUCACGUGGAAUUUCACGACCACUAAAGAGAUUAAAUUUGUUAAUUUUUUCCAUUUUCUAUUUUUUUAGCAUCAAUUUAAAUGCUGCUUUAUUUUGAUAAUAAUAAAACGUAAAAAUUUAUACUUCUCUGUCUGCGAUCUCUGAAUGAAACGCGUUCCUUAUGAACAUCAGUGUCUUGAGGAAUGUUUGCUUAGUAAGAAAACUCAUGUGUAGGGGACAACAGUGAGGAAUAUAAUGCUUGUUCUUAGGAAUGCAAGGCACCAUCUCAUGUCUUAUCAUCGAGUGAAUGCACAAGUGAUGCAGCCCGCAUUGAAGACCAGCUCUCUCAACCAAGAAGAUCGGCCUGCAUUCAAGCUCGACGAAACCGAGAAGCCAUAUCGACAUCUUGAGUCCAUCUCGAAAGCUGGAAAGACACCGGGGGAGCCGUGAAGACAUUAUGCUUUUACUAUUUCUCCUAGUUUCAAUGUUCUGUCUUUAUUUCUCCUAGUGUCAGUGCUCUGUCUUUAUUUCUUUGAUGAUAUAAGACAUCCAAUUUCUUGUAGAAGACAGACGACUUUUGAUGAAUGAAAACUUUGCUUUGAAGCAAGUAUCGUGAACAUUGUAGAGUUCAUAUCCCCUUGAAAACCUAGAAGAGUUUUCACUCCAUCCUUGAAGAGUCGGAGCUUUCGAAAUCUGCAUCCUUGAAGAGUUGCAAUCAUCAAUCUAGAAGAAUCGGUGCCCCCUCAACUUCCUCGGAGGCCUAGAAGAGCAACCAACGGAGUUUCUAUCUUUUCCUGUUCUGUUCAUUAUUUCCAACCCAAAUUCGACCAUCCUACAGUGCUUAUUUCAGAAAACCCAAAACAGAGAAAUUGUAUAUCCAGAAGUCUUUGUUCAUUUGGCUUUGGAAUCAAGUCGAUCCGAUCUGUAUCAACAAUGAUACGACUGUUCUCCUGAGCUCACACAGUGCCGAAAUUUCUGUUUGUCCUGUUUUCCCGCAUGUGAGUCACUCUCCCGAUCCUACUGUUUGAGAAAGCCUACCCUUGGCUUGCAUCAUUUGGUAUCAAAGCUUUGGAGGAGAGGACAAUGCCACCAAGACAAGCUAGAUGUCGUGGUGGUAGAACCAUUCCCCUUGAUGAAUUGCACACACUCGUUGAGAAUAUGCAACAACAAAUUGACGAAUUGACAUAAGAAGUUCAGCGUUUGAGGGCUGAAGCAAAUAAUUCUCCACCCCAUUCCAGGACUGAAGAUUCCCAUGGUGACUCUUCCUCUUCGGAGAGUGUUCAAUCAAUUUACGGUCGGAGGCAUGUUCGACAUUGCUUACAACAUAUUCGUGAGCCAGAUUGGGAAAAGGAAGUCAAGAAAGAUGUUCCAGAAUUUACAGGUACUGAGUCUCCUAAUGAAAUUGUUGAUUGGCUAACACUUGUGAAUGAGUGUCUGAGCAUCGAAAUGUUCUGAAGAAUCAUUGAGUUGGGAUAUGAUAUGCGAUUCUGAGGCAAGCGAGGAUCCCGUGGAGACGUGAAAAACAAACUCGCCAAGCCGUUGGCAAAGCACCAAUCACUUUGUGGAGAAAGAUGGGGAGCAAGAUUCAAAAAUAUUUUCUUCCCAAAGGAUAUAAGAGAGAGCUCUACCAACGGUACCAAAAUCUAAAACAAGGUACGCGAACGAUGGACCAAUACACCAAUGAAUUCAAUGAGUUGGUGAUUUGUAACAAUAUCCAGGACUUGGAGGAGGUGCUUGUGAACAAAUACUUGAAUGGUCUUCAAUUUUACAUUCAAGACGCCUUGGAAGUCCUCAACAUUUGGGACUUAGGAGAUGCACACCAACGAGCACCCAAAAUGGAGUGCUCUCAUUCUCGAAGACAGUAAUCAACUACCAUGGCAAGUUGGGCCACUAAGAGUACCACUAGCGCUGCUAAAGUUGCUGAGGCUACAACACAAUCUGCUAGUAAGCCUUCUACUUAGCCCCAUGUUUCAAAGCAACCUGUUAUGUCCGAAAUACGUUGCUAUUCUUGUGGGGAGUUGGGUCGUCAUGCAAGCAAUUGUUGAAUCAAUAAGAAUCGACCAGCCGGUAAAGCCUUCUUGGUGGAUAAUGAUUCUGACGAGAAUGCUAAGGAUCCAGUUGAAGAGGAGUUGAACAAUGAUGAAGAAGCUAUGGAUGAUGAACAAAUAGUGCAUGCUGACACUAGCGAACUUCUUAUGGUGAGGAAAAUUUUUCUUACUCCUCGAGAUGACACUGGAGAUAGGUGGCUACAUACCAAUAUUUUUCAUUUUGCUUGCACAAUCAUGGGAAAGGUGUGUCAAUUAAUUAUUGACUUUGGUUGUUGUGAGAAUAUAAUUUGUGAAGUAGUGGCAAACAAGCUGAAGUUGGAAUUAAAAAUGCACCCUAUGCCUUAUAAAAUGUCGUGGUUGAAGAAAGGUGCUGAGGUAACUGUUUUAAAAUGAUGCCUUGUUAAUCUGCCCAUUGGUUAUGUUUAUAAUGACAAGAUAUGGUGUGAUGUUCUGCCGAUGGAUGCUAGUCACAUUAUUCUUGGUCGACCAUGGCAAUUUGAUAGGAGGACUAUGCAUGAUGGUUAUCGAAAUACAUAUUCUUUUGAAUUUGGAGGUAAGAAGAUUUGUUGGCACCUAGUAGGGAACCUUUGAAAACUCCUGUAGUUGAGAAUUCCUUCUCCCCUACGUUGUUUACAAUGAAGGAUAUGAAGGAUGCUUUGAAAGGAGUUCAUAUCUUGUAUAUUUUGCUUAAUAAAACAGGUGAGAAGAAUGAAGUACCUCAUCGAGUUUAACCUCUUUUGGAAGAGUUCAAGGAUGUCUUCCUGAUGGACUUACCCAAUGGUCUCCCUCCUAUGAGAGAUAUUCAGCAUCAAAUCGACUUGAUGCCCAGAGCCUCUUUGCCAAAUCUUGUUCAAUACCGAAUGAGUCCGACCGAACAUGAGGAAUUGCACCAACAAGUUAUGGAGCUAUUGAAUAAGGGUUUUAUAAGGGAGAGCCUCAGUCCAUGUGCCAUUCCAGCUCUUUCAGUGCCUAAGAAAAAUGGUACUUUGAGGAUGUGUGUCGACAGUAAAGCGAUCAACAAGAUCACCAUCAAGUAUUGAUUUCCUAUUCCUUGCCUUGAUCAUCUCUUAGAUCAACUUUCUGGUGCAAUUAUAUUCUCGAAGCUGGAUUUGAAGAAUGGAUAUCAUCAAAUUAGAAUCAAACCCGAAGAUGAAUGGAAGACAGCAUUCAAAAUGAAAGAUGGGCUAUAUGAGUGGCUAGUCAUGCCAUCGGAUUGUUGAAUGCACCAUCGACAUUCAUGAGGUUUAUGACUCGGGUGUUGAUGCCUUUUCUGGGAAAGUUUGUUGUUGUUUAUUUUGAUGAUAACUUGAUUUUUAGCAAGUUUACUGAUGAGCACUUGCAGCAUCUUCAAGAAGUAUUAUGUGCGUUGAGGUAGGAACAAUUGUAUGCAGCUCUUGACAAGUGCUAUUUUAUGGUACCACAAAUCCUUUUCUUGGGGUUUCAUAUUUCAAAGAAUGGCACUUCGGUAGAUGAUUCUAAGAUCAAGGUGAUUCGAGAAUGGCCAACUCCAACAAAUGUGCAUGAAGUGUGCAGUUUUCUUGGCCUCGCUUCGUUCUAUCAAUGGUUUAUUGUGCAUUUUAGCACCAUUACGGCCCCACUCACUUCUUGCAUGAAGAAGGGAGUUUUCAAAUGGACGAAUGCAGCUCAGAAAAGUUUUGAAUAGCUCAAAGAAAAAUUGAGCACAGCCCCGGUACUUGCAUUGCCUAAUUUUGAUCUUAUUUUUGAAGUGCAUUGUGAUGCAUCAAGUACUGGCAUAGGAGGAGUUCUAAGUCAAGGAGGUCGACCCAUCGCCUUCUUUAGUGAAAAAUUGAAUGGUGCCAAACUUCAUUAUAGCACCUAUGAUAUGGAAUUCUACGCAUUAUUUCACACACUUGAGUAUUAGCGGCCAUAUCAUAUUCAUCGAGAGUUUAUUUUAUAUACCGAUCAUGAAGCUCUGAAGUAUAUUUUUAGAUAGCAAAAGCUUAACUCUAGGCGUGCAAAAUGGGCUAAAUACAUCCAGUAGUUCACUUUCAUUAUUAAGCAUAAGGCUGGAGCUCAUAAUCAAGUUGCCGAUGCCCUUAGUCGAAAGAAGAGCUUGCUCUCUACAAUACAUCCUAAUGUUCUUGGAUUUGAUUAUUUUUCAAGAGUUAUAUUAAGAAGACCCCUACUUUUCCAAGAUCAUUCCCGAUGCACAUGAAAAGAAGCUUGCUGAUUUUACUGUCUGUGGUGGUUUUCUUUUCAAAGGAAACCGUUUAUGUGUGCCGGACUGUUCUCUUCGGCAAAGGGUGAUCGAUGAAGUUCACCGUGAAGGACAUUUUAGGCGUGACAAAACUGUACAACUCGUCUUAGCUAAAUACUUUUGGCCUCAUUUGAAACGUGAUGUACAUCAACAUGUGAUGAGGUGUCGGCGUUGCCAAAUUGGAAAGGGACAAGCUACUAAUGCUGGCCUUUAUUUGCCCUUGCUGAUUCCACAUGCCCCAUGGGAGGAUAUCUCUAUGGACUUUGUCCUUGGACUACCACGAACAAAUAGAGAUAUGGAUUCGAUCUUUGUUGUUGUCGAUCGAUUUUCAAAAAGUGGCACAUUUUAUUCCAUGUCAAAAAACUAUGGAUGCUUCACGUAUUGCCAACUUAUUUUUCAAGGAAGUCUAUAAGUUGCAUGGUAUUCCAAAGACCAUUACUUCAGAUCGAGAUACAAAAUUUCUUAGUCAUUUUUGGCGACAACUGUGGAAGAACGUUUGCAAUAUAGUACUAUGUUUCAUCCCUAAACGGAUGGACAAACUGAGGUCGUCAAUCAAACAUUGGGAAAUCUAUUAAGGACUUUGAUAAAAUUAAAAAAAAAAAAAGUUAUCCCCGUCCUUGGGAGACGCGGUUGUCACUUGGAUAAUUUGCAUAUAAUUGUGCUGAGAACCAUAGCACUGGAUAUAGCCCAUUUAUGAUCGUAUAUGGUCAACAACCGAACACUGCUCUUGAUCCUGCACCAAUUCCUUUUGCUGAGAAGUCGAGCAGCAAGGUUGACGAUAUUGUUUCUCAAAUGAGGACAAUUCAUGAAGAUGUGUGCCAAAGACUAGAGAGCAAAACUGAAUCCUAUAAAACGAACAUUGACAAGCAGCGGCGUGAAGUUAUCUUUGAACCUGGAGAUUUUGUUUGGGCUUAUUUGCCACCGGAAUGGCAUCCCAUUGGAAGUUAUAACAAGCUUAGUGAUCGAAAGCUUAGACCUCUCAAAGUUCUUGAGCGCAUCAAUCUAAUGCGUAUUGAUUAAAUCUUCCUUCUCAUUUGAAGAUUCACGACGUCUUCAACAUUUGACAUUUAACACCUUAUGUGGGAGAUUCUUCUGAUGAUGAUGGCGAGAAUUCGAGGACAAAUUCUUUUAAAGAUGGGGAGGAUGAUGCAGCCUGCAUUGAAGACCAGCUCUCUCGACCAAGAAUAUCAGCCUGCAUUCAAGCUUGACGAAACCGAGAAGCCAUAUCAACAUCUUGAGUCCAUCCCGGACAUCCCGGAAGCUGGAAAGACACCUUGGGAGCCAUGAAGACGUUAUGCUUUUACUAUUUCCCCUAGUUUCAAUGUUCUGUCUUUAUUUCUCCUAAUUUCAAUGCUCUGUCUUUAUUUCUUUGAUGAUAUAAGCCAUCCAAUUUUUUGUAGAAGACAGACGACUUUUGAUGAAUGAAAACUUUGCUCUGAAGCAAGUAUCGUGAACCUUGUAGAGUUCAUACCCCCUUGAAAACCUAGAAGAGUUUUCACUUCAUCCUUGAAGAGUCGGAGCUUUCGAAAUCUGCAUCCUUGAAGAGUGGCAAUCAUCGAUCUAGAAGAAUCGGUGCCCCCUCAACUUCCUUGGAGGCCUAGAAGAGCAACCAAUGGGAGUUUUUAUCUUUUCCUGUUCUGUUAGUUAUUUCCAACCCAAAUUCGACCAUCCUACAGUGCUUAUUUCAGAAAACCCAAAACAGAGAAAUUGUAGAUCCAGAAGUCUUUGUUCAUUUGGCUUUGGAAUUAGGUCGAUCCGAUCUGUAUUGACAAAGAUACGACUGUUCUCCUGAGCUCGUGCAAUGCUGAAAUUUCUGUUCGUCCAAUUUUCCCAUGUGCGAGUCACUCUCCCGAUCCUACUGUUUGAGAAAGCCUACCCUUAGGGAUUGAGCUUUUGUAAUACAUAAUAUGCUCUAACAUAACAUCACAUGUUCAAUGUCCAUUCAUCAUAAAGGCAAAAUUGUCAGCCUACUCUGUCUUUACUUUUUGACAUGUGCUGGUCAUUCAUCAGUUAGGCUUGGACCCAUCCCAUGACAUGAGGACCAAGUCGGAGAUAGCUUGAGCAAGUAGCUGUCUUUAACGUGGGUGAUCAAACAGAGGUCAACGGGUGGGGAUGAGAGGUUUUGAUGGAAAUGAGAGAGAUUCAUUGCUCAAAAUGCAAACAUUGACAUGAAGAAAAAAUUACCUUGUUAUACCAAGACGAUUCACAUAAAAAAAAAAUUGAAUGAAUGCCAUACAACAUUCAUCAUCAUUUAUAAAAUAUGGACAUAACGAGUCUACCAAAAAACACUAGUGCCAUAUGAAAAACAUGUAAAAGCUUCACAGAUUACAUUUUGAAUGAUGAUAGAUGUUGAUAGUACUAUUUAUAAUUUUUGCAUCUCAUUAUAGGGAAACAAUCACACAAUACAUGAUUUCAUAAACUCAUGGUCAUGGUAAAGGGAACCGCUAGAAAUUGUUGGAGUCCUUAAUGAAGAUGAGACUGUUUCAAGUUCCAUCUCAACGUCAACAUCAUCAGCAAGUGCCUCUCUCGGAUACAAAAGUGGUUUUGGAGGCAGUUGUAGUUUAUCCAUAUCUCCUUCAAGCAUAUCUAGGACUUUCCUCAUCGAUGGCCGAUCAUUAGGACUCAAUUGUAUACACCACAGUGCAAUGUUUAUCAUCUUCCUCGUUGUUUCUCUUUCCUCUUCUAUGACAUCUACCCUUUCAAGUUCCUUUUCUUUGCCGAGUUGAUCAUAAACCCACAAAGGAAAGUAAAUUUGACUCGAACGCUCUGCAUGUGCAUUUAGAUUUCUCCUUCUACCAGCCAUUUCCAUUAAUAGCAUUCCAAAACUAUAAACAUCGACUUUGUAAGAAAUGCCACCAAUGUUUUUAUAGAAUAGCUCAGGAGCCAUAUAACCCAAGGUUCCCCUUGCUGCAGUCAACGAUACUAUAUUGCGAUCAGUGGGAUAAAGUCUUGCAAGUCCAAAGUCAGAAACUUUCGGAGUGAAACUUUGGUCUAGGAGAAUGUUGUGAGGCUUGAUGUCAAAAUGUAGAAUUUGCAUAUCACAUCCCCGAUGUAGAUACUCUAUCCCUCUAGCUAUGCCAAGAGAGAUCUCAUACAUUUUCUUAUAAUCAAGAGGAUCAUCACCAUCCUUAUAGGAAAUGUGUUUAUCCAAAGAUCCAUUCGGCAUGAAAUCAUAGACAAGAGCUUGUUUGGAGUAUUGGAAACAAAAACCAACAAGUUGCACCACAUUAACGUGGUGGAUCCUUCCAAUUGUGGCCACUUCACUUAUAAAAUCAUGGCCAUUAGAUUUUCCUUUCUUCAAAAUCUUAACCGCAACUUCAUUGCCACUUCUAAGUAUUCCUCUGUAUACGGAACCAUAUCCCCCCUCACCUAACUUGCAUUUGAAAUUUUUUGUGAUCCUCUUGAUAUCUGAGUAAGAGUACCUUAUGGGCAAAAAGCUAUUGUGAGCUCGUAGAAAUUCUUCGAUGUUUGCAUCGGUCGCUUGAUGCCUUCUCAUCCACUUCAAGAUUAGAAAUAUCAACACCCACGGAGCUCCGAGUAUGAAUUUUGCUGCUAGGAAGUGGACUGUGGAGAAAUUUGACCAUCAAUUAGCAUAGUGUGAUAAUGUUUUUUAACACAUACAAUUUUCGUUUGUCAAAGUGCUGAAUGAGAGCUUCAUAGGUGUGAAGAGAAAAGGACUUAUCAUACCCAAGACAAAGAAGAGAUUCCAUAUGGCAAUUGGACCAAAAUUGUUCAUGAUAUACCACGUAGAAUCAUCUGUAGAUAGUAAGAGAAUUCAUGAGAGAUUACUAGAUAUGGUUAAUUAGAAUAAACAACCAAUCAAUAAAGAACUAGAUCCAUUGUUUUAGCAGUUAAAUAAUAAAAGCAAUUCAUGUUAAGAUAUACCCCAAGUGAAGGAUAACUUCAUACAAUCACUGCAAAGUGCAAAGACACACUUUUGUUAAUUGAAAUUUGCAAGUAGAGAAGUCUAGAAUAAAAAAAAGAGUGAACGAGUUUCACUUUUCUAGAUAAUGCUUAGAUCCAACCUUAUUCUAUUCACUCAUGAAAUCCAUGUUAUCGUUGCAUGAUCUUUUCUUUUGAAGAAAAACAUUUUCGCUUUUAUUCUCCUAAAUGUACCAAUUGUUCAUAAGUUCCCCAUAACACUAACAUCAAUUCAAGGGACACAAGCUAUGACCAAAUCAAACAAUUUUUCCUAAAAAACCCUCAUUCUAGUCCAAUUUUGGCCCAAACUUUUUUUGUCUCAGAAGAAACCCCAAACUUUAGGUACAGUCCCAUAUUUGCCUCAAACUUUUCUUUUGUUUAAAAAAAUCACCAACUUUUAAUAUAUUCCAAAAUUUACCCCCAUGGUACGGUCCCAUUGACAUGACAUUUCCACAUCGAUAACAACGCCACAUCAGUAAGGUGACAUGGAAAAUUAUUUCCAAAAUGAAACCAUUCUAAGAUAUGAAAAUUAGGGACGACUAAUGGCAAUUUUCGGUCAAAGGGCUAAUGGGGUAGAUUUGCAAUUAGAGUAAAAAUUGGUGUUUUUUAUUUUAGACAAAAAAAAGUUAGAUAUAGAUUUAGGAUUUGGCCUAAAGUUUGAGGGUCUUUAUAGAUAAACAAAAGUUCGAGGCAAAUUUGGACUAGACCUAAACUUUAGGGUUUUUUUUAGACAAAAAAAGUUCGGAGCAAAAUUGGGACUAAACUUAAAGUUGUGGGUUUUUUUAGUGAAUAAGGCCCAAAAAAAUAAAAAUAAAGAAAGAGUGUCAAGUCCAAAAAAGCUCCACAGAUGUAAAAUAAAAGAGCAAUGCAUGCCAAAUCUACUAAAAAAUCUUACUGAGCUUUUUCACUAAAUGGAUGUGGCAAUUUUUUUAUUGGGUAUUAAAGAAAGUAAUGACUCAAUAAAUCGAACCAAUGUAUUACAAUAUCCAAUAGAAGCAUGCUACAUUACUCAGUAAGUAAAUUUUGAUAAGAUCCCUCAGUAGAGCUAACAUUUGAGAAAAGGAUGAGGAUGAAGAAGAGAAAGAAAGAAAGUAAGAGAGUAAAGGAAGAAAAGCUUCAGAGAAAGUCAGCUUAGAGGAGUAAUAUGGUUCACACCACACCUCUGGGUACAUAAUCAUGCAAAGCUGGAAAAUUACCGAAGAUAGCGUAGACGGUGAAGACGAUGCAGAUGGCGGAGAUGGCGAAGAUGAUGCACACGGCAAAGAUGGCGAAGACGAUGCAGACGGCGGAGACGGCGAAGACGGUGGAGGCGGUGGCGGCAGAGACGGCGGAGGCGGUGCAGAUGGCGAAGAGGGCGCAGACAGCGUAGAUGACAGAGAAGGCGAAGACGGCGGAGACAACAGAGAUGGCAGGAGACGACGGAGACAGCGAAGACCGCCAAGACAGCAAAGACAGCGAAGACGGCGAAGACAGCGGAGGCUGCGAAGACAACAAAAAAGAAGGUCCAAGAUAAUAGAGAUUGAAUCCUUCAACCAUCGUGUUGUGGAGGUCCUUAUACGUUGGUCUCCACAUCGGGUUAUAAUCCGAGAAGCAAGUCAUCACGGUUAUGCUGCAAGAAUCCUUGAUGUCCCCUACUUGUAGUACUUUUGUAAAAGACCAAUACACUGCGUAAGAGUACCACUUCAUUUGGGAAAUAUUAGGGGGCGUAUCGGAAGGGUAUGCUCCCUCAAUACAUGGUUCAGCAUUGAUAUACGAAGGAGAAGCAACGGGCUGUGAGCACUUCAUGAAGGCCACCGUCGCAGAAUAUGAAAGAUAACCAUGAUCACUCAAGCUGGAGCUCGCCAAUGAGAAACGAGGGAGGGAUGAGCAAUUACCUUUUUGCAAUCCAUCGUCAACCACUGUGAUAUUACCAGAGAAUUGAUCGUCGAAAUUAUUAUCAUAGUAAAUCGACUUCACAUAAUAUCGACCGGCAUACACAUAUAGAAUGGUGUGAUUAUUUUCACAAGCUAGCUCAUACUCAGAGCGGCCGCAGCCUUUCGGGUCACCUUUCAAUCGAAAAGGAUAGUGUAUGUCACGAACCUCACCACAAGAUGAAGCGGCACACGAGUGAUUCUUCUCCACACCAUAACUCGUCCUCAAUAGCAGUAGAACAUGCAAUAUGAAAAGUAAAACACGGAACAUGCUCAUGGAGCUCAAAGACUUAAUCGUCUCUCUAUCGUUUGAUCUGAUGCAAUGAAAGUUUUUGCUAAUUGGUAAUGCGAUGGAGGCCUAGUUAUAUGAAUGAAAAGUGUCAGGAGUUGUCGGUCAUACAAAUGUCCAAUUCAACCAAUAAAGGCAAGUCUACUGAAGAAAAGAGGACGUGGGUAUCACGUGGAAAUUGCAAUCCUUGCAGUCAAGGUGUCAAAACACGGUGUUGGAAUUAUUUAUGCUUAGCUUUCGCAUUGAUUAAAAAAGAAACUUCUCUAUAGUUUUCAAAUUGAAUCAAAAUCCUUUCGAAUGAGGCAUUGACGUUAUAUUUUCUUUUCAAGAUUAAUAUUCCAUAAGUGUUGCUUCGUUAAAUUAUGAAGAUGAAAAGGGAAAAGAUGUCGUAUUUCAUAAUCUAGGCUUUUUUUUUUUUUUUGACCCAAAAAAAACAGAAAUUGGUAACAAAAAUAGACUAUUAACAAGAAUAUGAAUUUUUAUAAUGUUGCUUUUGGCAAAAGUAAAGGGAAAAUAAAAAGUAAGUGCUUCUUGGAUGAUGUAACACUUUAUGAAAGAAAGAAAACAAUAUGAUAAUUUCUAGUAGUGGGCCAACACGUCUUGAUUAGAACCUCACUAACUUGGUCAUCACGCAAAGACUAUAGAUGCAAAUUUCCAAGUCAACCAUUAACACAAAGUCUAGCGAAGGAAGAGUGGGUCUUACGUAGAAAUUGCAGCCCUUGUAGUCAAGGCGACAAAAACACGGUGUUGGAAUUAUUUAUGGAGAAAAGAAACUUCUCUACAAUUUUCAAAUUUGACUUUUCUUGGCAAAUUGACUCUUUAGGAAUCAAUUUUAGUUCCAUCCAAAAAGAAUUGAUUGGAAUGUUAUGUACUCUAAAUUGAAUCAAAAUCCUUUCAAGUGAGGCAAUGGCGUUCAAUUUUAUUUUCAAGGCCAAUAUUCCGUGAGUGUCACUUCGAUAAAUUGUGAAGAUGAAAAAGGAAAAAAAAUGUCAUGUUUCACCGUAUAAGCUUUUUCAAUAAUGACAAAAAAAUAGAAUUAGUAACAAAAAUAGACUAUUAAAGGGAACAUUAACUUGUAUAAAAUAAUGUCACUGUUUACAAAAAUAAAAAAUAAAAUAGGAGUUAGUUCUUCUUGGAUGAUGUAACAAGUUAUGAAAGAAAGAAAGCAAUUUGAUAAUUUCUGGCGAUGGAAUCGAUGCGCAUUAACUAAAACCUAACCAACUUUGUCAUCGCACAAAGACUAUACAUGCAAUAUUCAAGUUCACCAAAAAAAAAAAAAGACGUUUACUUAUCCACUAUUAACUUCAGUAUUACAAUCUCUCUUCCGUAAUCAUGCUAGAUCUAUGAACAAUAUUGUCAUCUCUUUCCCAGAGUAGAACCACUUAAUAUUGAACUAUCGAUUACUUUUGCUCUAUCAAAUGAAAAAGAAUGUUUUUACCUAUUGUUGACACCUAAAUUCUUCCCUUUUUAUUUGGGACUUAAUUAUAUAGAAAAUUAAGGAUUAGUCUCUAAAAGAAAAAAAAAGUAAAUAUUUUUCAUUAAAUUGCAUCACUUAUAGACAUUAGGAACAUUUACAUUACUAGCACUAAAAAAUUAACAAAAAAUGAAAGCGCAGCCAGGAUUGGCUAAGCCUGUCCCCCCCUUCUUUUCCUUUUUCGUUUUCCCCCCGCGCGGCCCACCUCUCUUGUUCUACGGCCCAGCUCGCUGUUCUUCCUUCUUCCUCCUCCUUCCCUCGCUAGGACGCUAGCUAUAGGACAAAACAGAGAGAUGGUCGCUGGCCGAAGGACGUAAGGACGCGAGGCUGCGCGCGAUGGUCGCCCAGGAAUGUCGUGCGGUACAAAGCCAGCUGGUCUCGUCCUUGAAGAAAGAGAGAGAAACGAGAUAAAUGGGUGAGAAUUGGGUUUGUUCGGCCGAGGAAGAGCAACCAUGAGAGAGAGAGAGAGAGAGAGAGAGAGAGAGAGAGAGAGAGAGAGAGAGAGAGAGAGAGAGAGAGCUGGUGAGAGUGAGAAGGCGAGCUCGAGAGAGAGAGAAGGAGCGAGCCAGAUAAGAGAGGGAGCUCCAGGGUGGCUGCUUCUGGAAGGGUGCGGCUGAAAACCAAGGAGGGCCGGAGCGGCUCGAGAGAGGAGACCGAGAAAGUGGAUAGCGAGGGAGAGCGGGAGAGAGAGGCGACUGCGUUCUUGAGUUCUUCGCGGGAGGCUGGAGAAAACGAGAGCAAUAGAGAGAGUAAGAUCGGAGAGAGUGAGCAAAGGGUGAAGUUGAGAGAGAACCAAGAGUGAGCAGAGGGAUGGACUGAGAGAAAGCGAGACCCAGAAGCCGAACUUCGUCCUCGGCAAGCGUUACCCAACCAUCCCUAACAUAAAUGGGCGAUCUUCAGCCAACACCCUCGAGCCCGUGGCUACCUAUUCCUCACCACCCGAAUUCCCAGUGAGUUCUCUUUAGGUUCGAUCCACUUUUAUCCCGAUGAUCCUAGCUUGGUGCCACAUCGACGCGGCCGACCAUAGCUCGUUUUGCUUUAGGCUCACCUUCUUGCUGUCGUCGCCAAGCCGGGGAGGGAUAUUCCCGGUCGAACACUUCUCUCUGGGAACUCCGUUGCUUGGUUUUUUUAAAACGGAACCAAAACGAUAGCUGGGUUGUUAGACGUAAAAAUUCAUAUGCGGAAGCCAGGAUCAAUUGAAGACAACCCUCCAGUCAUUGUUCUUGUUCGCGUUCGUCAGAAAAACCUGAAAUCAAAGAAAAUUGGGGACACUCUACUACCCCAAUUCACUCUCGUACUGAUGGUGUAUUCUGAAUGAGAGAGUUUGAGUUAGACCUUGUCAUCACCCGUCAGAAAUGAACGUACGUUCCUUUUUAUAUCCCGUCUCCUCUUAAAACGGUUACCAAAUGGGCGGUUGUCACGAAAGGGUACAAAGCGUGGAAAAACUUUAUGUCGAACAGUCGCAACUUUAAAAGAAAAUGUGGAUCUAAAAUAUGGGAUCACAAAAAAUAAAUAACAUUCUUCCACUUGAUCCCAUCAUUUUCAUCAUAUGGAUUAUUCAACUAAUUCCACAAAAACUUUAUGCUAAAAAAAAAAGAAACAAAUACAUGGAUCAUGGCGACAUGUCCUCUAAGAGUGAGUAAUAUCUUCCAUGUAUCACAAUGCACCUUAUUUCUUCAAUGUCAACCUAUAUGUGACAACAAAUCUUAAUGAAUAAACCCCAUGUUUAUUCUAGAACCAAGGAUAAAUGUUAUUCUCAUAAACAACAAAAUGUGUACACAAAAAUUGAGAAUCAACAUUACAACUGAAUAAGAGUUUCAUACAACAAAUAUCGUUCAUAUGACGACAAAUUACAUGAUGGGACUUAUUCCCAUACUAGUUACAUGAUCCUUAUACUUCAUUGGUGGCAUGCCUUUAGUUAAAGGAUCGGCUAUCAUCAAUUCAGUGCUAAUGUGUUCAAUGACCACUUUAUUCUCCUUAACACGUUCCAUUAUGACUAAAUACUUAAUGUCGAUAUGCUUACUUUGACUGCCACUUUUGGCAUUUUUAGCCAUAAAGACCGUAGCUAAAUUGUCACAAUAUAUUCUUAAUGGCCUAGAAAUAAAAUCAACAAUUCUAAGCCCAGCAAUGAAACUCUUCAACCAUACACCAUGCGAGGUAGCCUCAAAACAAGAAACGUACUCAGCCUCCAUAGUGGAAGUAGCAGUCAAAGUCUGCUUGGCACUUAUCCAUGACACGGCUUCGCCAGCUAACAUGAAAAUGUAUCCAGAUGUUGAUUUUCGUGAAUCAACGCAACCCGCGAAGUCCGCAUCCGAAUAACCGACCACUUCCAGGUUGUCAGUCCAUCUAUACAUAAGCAUAUAGUCUUUGGUACCUUGAAGGUAUUUCAACACUUUCUUUGUAGCUCUCCAGUGGUCUAAACCUGAAUUACUCUGAUAUCUUCCCAACAUUCCCACAACAAAAGCGAUGUCAAGUCGAGUGCAAACCUGAGCAUACAUCAAGCUUUCAACAGCAGUAGCAUAUUGAAUGUUGUACAUUUGUUCCCUUUUUAGAUCAUUCUUCGGGCAUUGGUUCAAAUUGAACCUGUCAUCCUUCACAAUGGGUGCUAUACUUUGUGAACAAUCUUUCAUCCGAAAUCUCUCUUGGACCUUAUUGAUAUAGGUUUCUUGAGAUAGUCCUAAAAUUCCUCGAGGUCUAUCUCUAUGAAUCUUAAUGCCAAUGACAUAAGAUGCCUCACCCAUAUCCUUCAUGUCAAAACUCUUAAAGAUGAAUUAUUUCACCUCAUGUAACAACCUCUUAUAAUUAGUUGCAAGUAGUAUAUCAUUCACAUACAGCACAAGGAAACAAAUUUUGCUCCCACUGACCUUCUGGUAUAUACAUUGAUCCAUGACAUUCUCUAUAAAACCAAAUGAAGAGAUGACAUCAUGAAACCUUAAGUACCAUUGGCGGGAUGCUUGUUUCAAGCCAUAUAUAGAUUUCUUAAACUUGCACACCAAAUGCUCACCUUUACUAGAGGAAAAUCCUUCAGGUUGUUUCAUGUAAACCUCCUCCUCUAGUUCUCCAUUGAGGAACACCGUUUUCACAUCCAUCUGAUGUAAUUCCAUAUCAAAAUGGGCAACCAAAACCAAAAUAAUAUGAAGAGAAUCUUUCUUAGAUACAGGAGAAAAAGUCUCCGUGUAAUCGAUUCCUUCCUUUUGAGUGAAUCCUUUGGCAACAAGUCUAGCUUUAUAUCUUUCAAUGUUAUCCAAUGAAUCCUUCUUAGUUUUGAAGACCCAUUUACAACCAAUGGCCGUCACACCAUUAGGUAACUAAACCAAAUCCCAGACUUUAUUAGAUGCCAUAGAAUUCAUAUCUUCAUUCAUGGUAUUGUACCACAAAUUAGAUUUAUCACUAUCAAUGGCUUGUGAAAACAUUUCGGGAUCAUUCUCAGCUCUAAUAUUGUAGUCAGACUCUUGUAAAUACACAAUAUAAUCACUAGGAAUAGCCGAUUUCAUUAUUCUAGCAGAUCUUCUCAAUGUUGGAUCAACAUUCUCUUGAGGAGCAUGUUGCUCAACUGGUUGUUCAACAGUUUCUGGUAAUUGCUGAACAACUGGAUCUACUUAAUCAAUAUCAGCAGGUUGUGGAACUUCAACAAUUGGUUGUUCAAUAGCCGGCUGAACUGAAAGGACAUUAUGAGCAACAACCAACCUUAAACUUGAGGUGGAAGGUUGAGUGUCUGAAUGAUCUUUCUUAGGAACAAGAUCCCUCGGUCAAUCGCUCCCACUAAUCAAGUCAUUUUCAAGAAAUUUAGCAUUUCUUGAUUCCAGAAUCCUAGUGGUAUGAGAUGGACAAUAAAACUUGUAUCCCUUAGACCUUUCGGCAUAUCCAAUGAAAUACCCACUUAUGGUCCUUGGGUCCAACUUCUUUUCUUGUGGAUUAUAAAUUCUCACUUUAGACGGGCAUCCCCAAACGCACACAUGAUGUAAACUCGAUUUCCAACCCUUAAAUAACUCAAAAUGUGUCUUUGGGAUAGCCUUGGUCAGAACUCGGUUUAAUAUGUACACUGCCAUCUUAAGUGCUUCAGUCCAUAAGAAUUUAGGAAGUUUGGAGCUACUAAGCAUACUACGCACCAUGUCUAAUAAUGUCCGAUUUCUUCUUUCCGCUACGCCAUUUUGGUCUGGAGAACCAGGCAUAGUAUAUUGGGCAACUAUCCCAUGCUCUUGAAGAAAUCUUGCAAAUGGACCAAGUGCUUGUCCAUCUUCAGUGUAUCUACCAUAGAAUUCUCCACCUCUAUCUGAUCUCAUGAUCUUAAUUUGCUUAUUGCAUUGUUUCUCUACUUCCACCUUAAAUACCUUAAAGGCAUCUAGUGUUUCAUAUUUAUUAUAAAUCAAGUAGAGAUACAUAUAACGUGAAUAAUCAUCUAUUAAGGAUAUGAAGUAUUUAUGACCACAUGAGUCCAUAUCCGAACUACAAAUAUCCGUGUGUAUGAUUUCUAAUAUUUCUGUACUUCUCUUGGCAUCUUUCUUUGUUUUGUUAGUCUGCUUUCCCUUUAUGCAGUCCACAUAAGUAUCACAAUCAGUAAAAUCUAAAGUACUGAGUACUCCAUCAUUUAUUAAUCACUUAAUUCUUUCAAUGGAGAUAUGUCCCAAUCUCUGGUGCCACAACAUAGAGGAAUGUUCUUUCACAACACAUCGUUUCAUACCAGCUUUAUCAUGAACAUGCAUCGCAUCAUAAUAGGCAUUGUCUUGUAAAUUAAUUCGAAAAAGACCAUCAGACAAAGUAUCACUCCCGCCAAUUUCAGAUUUAAAUGAUAAACAAAAGUUUGAAUCUGAAAAGUUAAAAGAGUAUCCCAAAGGUACAAGUCUUGAAACUGAAAUUAAGUUUCUAGAAAAACUAGGAACAUAAAAGGUCUUUUCCAAAUCUAAAACAAAACCACUAUUGAGAACUAGUCUAUAUGUCCCAAUAGCUUCCACAUGCGAACACAUCUUGUUUCCUGAAUAGAUGCUUUGUUCACUUCCCACUGGCUUCCUGUGGUUUUGAAAACCCUGCAAGGAAUUCGAAAUAUGGAUUGUAGAUCCAGAAUCAAUCCACCAAGUGUUGUGACUUACAUCAAUCAUAUUAGAUUCAUAACAAACACAAGAUAUUGGAUUACCUUUCUUCUCGGGCCAGGCCUUAAAUUUGACACAAUCCUUCCUUAUAUGCCCUUUCUGUUUACAGAAGAAACACUUGGAUUCUUUCUUAAUGUUAGCUUGGGGAGGUAUAUUACAUUUUCCCUUAUACUUGCCAUAGCCCUUAUUCUUUUCUUGUGUUGCCAAAUGAGCACUUACUCCCAAUUCCAUAAUCAAUCUUUCUUCCUCUUGAACACACAUGGUCAUGAGUUCAUUAAUUGACCAUUUAUUCUUAUGUGUGUUAUAAGAGAUCUUGAAAGGUGCAUACUGUUGUGGGAGUGUUCAAAAUAUAAUAUACAAGGAAUAAUUCAGAUAUCUCAACCUCAAGGUUCUUAAGCUAAGCUGCAAUGUUCUUCAUUUGCAUGAUGUGCUCACGCAUACCUCUAACACUAGUGAGCUUCAAUGAUGAAAACUUCAUAAUCAAGGUCAUGGCAUGCGCCUUCUCAGAACUUUCAAACUACGCAUCUAUGGCCUCCAAUAAAGCCUUAGCAUUGCUAUGCUGAGCAAUUGAACCACGAAUACUAUGAGAUAUCUUAGCUCUUAUAAACAUGGCACAAACGCGGUUAGACCGCUCCUAUUGGUUAUAAAGAGCUAUCUCAGCUGGAGUGCUCGAAUCAGUAAAAGCAGGUGGUUCGUCUUUCCUUAUAGCAUAAUCAAUGUCCAUCCACCCCAAUUGAAGAAGAACCGACUCCUUCCAAACUUUAUAGCUCUCACUAUUCAGUAUAGGAACAUCAAACUUAAAUUCAGAGAAAUUCACAGGUUGCGAAACUGCAUAUCAAAUAAUCAUGCUUAUGUCACAAAAUUUGAGGCAAAUAUAAAUAAAUCACGUUUUACCAAUGUAAACAUGUCACAAUAUGAAUCACAUAACAUAAAAACUACUUGUGGGCUAAGUUUUUAAUUUAGAUUCAUAAUUACUUCAUGAAGAAAUUACCAUAUUAUAUGCCUUUUCUUAAUCCCUAUGGGUAAAUUAAGAAAAAUAAUAUGAUAUUUCAUCCUAAUUAAUCAUAUUAAUAUAAUGAAAAUUCUUGUGGGAUAAAAUUCAUCAUAUUAAUAUAACUAAUUACAAUCAAUGUCCUUUUUUAAAUAUGAUUUGGAGGCUUUUAAUAUAGAAUUUAAUUAAUUAAAGAUGCUGUGGCCACUCCCUAAUUAAUUAAAUAUAUGGACCAUUGGACAUUUAAUUUCAUGCACAAAAUAUUCAUAAAAUACAUGAAAUGACAAAAUAGUAAAUAAAAACAUUGAAGGGCAGAAUAGUAAAUAAAUCGGCCAAGGGCACGAUUGCAAAAACUUAAAAUGAAUGGGGCAAAAAGGUAAAAGCAGCCGUGGGUGGGAGACAACAGGCGUGCCGAGCACGUGCACGUCCAGCCCUCAGGCGCGUGCCGAGCAGCGCCAGAAUCUGCGCAGGCGCGUGCUCGCACGCACGCGGUUCAACGCGCAGGCGCUUGCGUUGCACGCGCCUGGCAACUACCGCGCGCAUGGAUCCCACACACGCAAUGGUUGAGCGUGCGCAUGAGGGCGUGUGGCGCAUGGAUUCCACGCGCCUGCAACCGCAGCGCGCGAGUGGGCUCCAUGCACCUUCUUCCUUGUGCGAACAUAAGCUUUUCUUCUCCGUUUUUUGCUGUUCCGCCGCGGUUUCGCCGGCCGUUUCUUCUCCGACAGCCCAUCUCAGACACAAAUUAAUAGUGGGUUUUGAAGAGCAUGCCAACACGACCACAUGGGUUCAAGUUUCGACAAAAAUGAUGAAGAAAUAAGCCCCAAAUCAUACGAAAAUUUCCCAAAAAACACAAAUCCUCAACCACCGCGACUUCCGCCGCUCAAUUAGCCUCCAGCGAACACCGAUAUGCCGAAAUAACUCAUGACUAAUAUUCCUCAUGGCGGUGCGACCGUACGGGUCCGAAUUCGAGGGGUGGAUCGCGCGGAUUUGCCGGGAAUCAACGAAUCUUUCUUGGCCUCAAAACUUCAAGUUACUGUUCAUCCUCCAAAAAAUGGCCAAAAAUACACUGAAAACACACAAAAUACAACAAAACAAGGCAGAGGCUCUUAACAUGCUCUGAUACCAAAUGUUAGAUGUAAAAAUUCAUAUGCGGAAGCCAGGAUCAAUCGAAGACAAACCUCCAACCAUUAUUCUUGUUUGCGUUCGUCAGAAAAACCUGAAAUCAAAGAAAAUUGGGACACUCUACUACCCCAAUUCACUCUCGUACUGAUGGUGUAUUUUGAAUGAGAGAGUUUGAGUUAGACCUUGUCAUCACCCGUCAGAAAUGAAUGUACGUUCCUUUUUAUAUCCCGUCUCUCAUCAAAACGGUUACCAAAUGGGCGAUUGUCACGAAAAGGUAUGAAGCGUGGAAAAAUUUUAUGUCGAGCAGUCGCAACUUUAAAAGAAAAUGUGGGUCUAAAAUAUGGGAUCACAAAAAAUAAAUAACAUGGGUCUCGUUUCCCUGGUCCUCGAGCAUGCUUGGUUUGAACGAGCAGUCCCUUUUGUCGAGUUUGAGUGUCACUUGCUAUUCUCUUUUGAGUCUGGACACAAGCUAGAGUCUAGAAUGGGUUUACGACCUCUCCAUAAUCUGUGCUCAUCGCAUGCCUGAUAUAAUGCCUCAGUUAGUGUUAUUCUAAAAAUGAGACGAGAUUUUGUUUGUCUUCGUGAAAGCAUACCAUGGAUCUGUCUGACAUAUUUUCAUUGACUUGAGAUGUCGUAAGAAGAGCUCGACACCAAAGUAGAGGUUCAUCAGUUUGCCAUGUCACUUUUAGUCAAACGCCUAAGACUUGCUCAAUGAAAUGUUUCUAAGAGAAUUGUUUAAGAAAUGGCUUCUAUUUUUGCUCAAAUGCGAAGGUACCACUUGAUGCAGUUCGUCCGGGGUCAUUAGUUUUUAAGCUCGAUUUUCACGAGCAAUGAAGUCACUGCAUCUCUGCAUUUCGUUCGAGACAUGCUGUGUAUUUUUCAUUGAACUUGAUGAGUGGCGGCGGCGGCCUGCGUGAUGGUAGACGUUGGCAGCGAAUUUGGUUUUGCGGUGGUGAGCCAAGAUGGCUUGGUGAUGGCUGGCGACGUUGGGUGUUGUCGUCGAUCCGUUUAAAGUUCUGCCAUGGGUCCGUCCGGCGAAAUUCCAGGGUGGAGUUCAUCGGUGUGGGAGGCUUCGGUAAAGGACGUAACAGUGGAGUUGGCACGAAGAAGAAGAAGACUUUGAAAGGCUGAGAGAGAAUAAAAGAAAAUCACGAAAAUAGGCCUGGUGCAGACGUUCGUGGAAAGAGGAUGGGAAGAUGGGCUUGAGGUUUUGUUUCAGUAGAUUUAGGUUUGGUUUAAGUUGGGCGGACUUGGGCUGGGCUUAAUUUGUGAAUUUUUGGGCUGAGCUUAAAUUUUCAUGAAGUGGAUCUUUGAGAGUCCAUUACUAAAAUGGAGGUCCGUUUUAAUAGAGCCCAAUUCAUGUUCCCGGUCCAAGCCAGCAAAGCCCAUAGCAACCCAUGUUCUCACUGGACCUUGGGGCCUAGCCCGAGUCCCCAUUUUCGGAAUUAAUUUUGUAAAAAAAUUUAAGAGAAAACUUAUUUUUUUUCUAAAAAUUAGGAAAAAGCUUAAGAGUUAGUUUUUUAGUAAAUACUCUCAAAAUUUGUUAAGGUCCUUGAUAAGAAAAUCGUGCUCAAGAAUUGAAUAAAUCCUUACAGCUUUACCAUAAGAUUCUAAUUGUCCUUAAAAAUAAAGGCCCUUGAUUACGCACUUUCAAUGUUGAUUACGGACUCCCUUUAGCUUAGUUAGAGAUUGCAUGCUCCUUAUUUGGUAAUAUUAGAUCUUUGUGUUCCUAUGCAAUUUAUUUAAUGCUUUCCUUGAUUGUUGAUUGUUAUUUUAAUGAUUGCACACCCACAUGAUUAUCUCAUAUGUUAGUGGAUAGGUUUAAAAUCAAUCCAAGCUGCCUGACAAUUUUUUUUUUUUUUUGUGAAAUGAAAUAGAUUAGAUACCAAAAUGGCAUUUGAUGAAUUAGUGUAAUUAAGUUCCCAACCCUAAAUUCUCUAGUUACGUAGGAAGUAAAGCAUACUCAUAUGUUUUACUUGAUUUUUAGUCAACCCAGUAGGCUAGUAGCAACUCCUCAUUGAAAAAUUCUCAUAGCAUCAAUUUGAAUAACCAAUGUGAUGCGAUGUAUGAGUUUAGGAGAGCUCACAUCUAAAACUAGGGUCGUAGGCCUAUCUUUUAGACAAUACCCCUAAACCUAAUUUCUUUACUAUCGAAGGGUAGGUCAUGACACCUACUUCAUAAUCAUCUUUCAUCUCUGAAUGUGUGGAAUUAGAGAUGUCAUGCAUUUUUAAAUGAGACGAUCAACCGAUUUACCACUAUGAACAUAACAGUGGAAAGUUUAGAAAAUAUAUUCAUAGAAAUUCUUUUCAGCGAUACAAACGCGCUUUCGAAUAAUUGUAAUUAGCACUUACCAUAUUUUUUUUCUCAAGCUAAUGGGUACCAUUAUAUAUAAUUGAAGAGAUUGAAAUGGAUUUUCCAUGUAAUACAACCAAGUUCAUUUUAAUUGACGCAUCCAAUGACGUUUUAACUGCACAUGUUUAAUUUUUUUUAUAGUAAUAUUAUUACUGAUUACAUUUUUCAUAUUCCCCUUUCUAAAAAUUGGUUUGUUGUGUGAGCAUCUCCACACGCGAUGAUACCUUGCUUUCUAUGUCGUCAUUAAAUAUUUAGCAAUGAUUAGUCAAAUUUUUAAGCGGAAAAUCUCUUGGUCAAAGUAUCCUAAAUUAUCUCUUGCACGUAUUCCAAAACAUUUGGACAUACAUUAUGCAAAUUGAUGUAUCAACUAUAGGUCCAUUCAGCGCCAUAUACUACUAUAAAAAAAAUGAUAAUGCAUUUUGCAGUGUAACGUUUUUCAAUUUUGACAAAAAUAAAAUUGGAUAAUGAAAAGAUAAAUAACAGCACCUGAAGACUAUUAUCAUACGUCCUGACCUCCAAAAAAAUAUGGAAGUGUAUGGUGCUAAUUAACGGCAGCAUAAAUUUUAUAGAAUUUGAGGUUGCCUUUCAUGAAAAGAAAAAGAAAAAUAAGGAGUAGGUGCUUCUUGCUGCUUGGGCAAUGCAACACAUUACGGGAAAAGAAAGAGGGCCACAUGAUGAUUUCUCAGUCAGAUAUAGACCGACACAAUUGAAAUAUUAUUCUCACGGACCAAUCAAUCACUCUCCAGUACAAUAAUCUCAUCUCUUUCCCGCAGUAAGAUUGCUCGAUGAAAGAACUGAAAAAUCUUGACAAUAACGUCAUUUUAUUGAACAAAAGAUGCUGUUGCCUGCUUCAAAAUCAUCUUCCAUCUCCGAAUGUGUGGUAUUGGAAGUGUCAUAUAAGCUCAACUGAGACUACAAGGAAAAGCAAUGAGUGAAUAACUUGGAGUGCCACCAUUUUCAUUCUCUGUUGAUGGCUGCUUGAAUGUGCUCAAGACUCCUCCCUUUCGUUUUAGGAACACCAUCCCCGCGGUGUUAAUCGCUGCAUAAAGAAGGAAGGUACCUGUGAAGCAAAGCCAGCAGAGUUAUUGUCUUUUGACAAGUUUUUCGGAUGCAUAUCAACAUUUUUCUCAUGGGAAGAAUGCUCUAUUAUAUACUACCUGUCUAUUAAUCAUUUUGCAGAAAAACGCACUUUUCUUUUCUAAAUGACACUUCAAACAAAUUUCGUGAUAUUCGAAUGUAGGUAGAAGUUGCUGUAAACAUGUUGAUUGCAAUAAAUGGACUGAAUAUGCAUUCGAGAGCGUGAAGAAUGGAGUGAUAACCUAUACCUCCAAAUAGGAUUGAAGAGUUCAGGAAAAGCUAAGUCUCGAGUCUGAAGUUUGGUUGAAUCCGUGCAAAAACUCACGUUCCAAUGUGACAAAAUGUUUAUCGAGCUCAAUUUGGUUAACUCAUAAAUUUCAUGGUAAAAUUUGAUGAAAACUAACGAAGGGUAAAUGUGUUAUGUGUGUACCAGUUUGCAUUUUUGGUGAUUCAAAAACUAAUUUUCAGUAAAUUUGUCACAUAUGUACUAGUUUGUGAUUUUUCAUUGUAUUAACCCUAUGGAUUUCCAUGUAAACUUGCCAUGUUAACUGUCUAUAUCAUUCAACUCAAUAAUUUAAUGAUAAAAUUUCACGGAAUCUAAUGGAGGGUAAAUGUGUCACGUGUGUAUAUGACCCAAAAUUUAGUUAGGGAUAAAUUUGUCACGGUGUAUAAGUUUGGGGUUUUUUCAUGAUAUUAACUCCAUAACCCACCCCGUGGUGAGCAAGUUGGUUAGGGCACACACUGGCCACACGAAAGGCCAGGGUUCGAUUCCCCAACUAGUCAUGUUGCGCAACUUAAGUGGGGUGCCGUGGGUGGUGGGUCCCCGUCCUAGUGCUCCCCCGAGUUUACGUUGCUGGCUGCCAGCUGUACGGCGGUUCCUAGGUUGCCAAAAAAAAACUCCAUAUUAAAAAGAAGAAUUCGUUUUCCCAAACUCCUUUUCCAUGUGCACACUCACACAUAAUGGAGGACCAUUCUCAUGUGGAAUUUCAUGACCACUAAAGAGAUUAGGUUUGUUAAUUUUUUGCAUUUUCUACUUUUUUAGAAUUUUUUUUUGCUUUAUUUUGAUAAUAAUAAAAAUUAAAAUUUAUACUUCUCCGUUUGCAAUCUCUGAAAGAAGUGGAGAUCACGCGUUCCUUAUCAACAUUGGUGUCUCGAGGGAUGUUUGCUUAGUAGAAAAACUCUUGUGCAAGGAACAACAGUGAGGAAUGUAAUGCUUCUUCUAAAUAAUGUAAGGUACCAUCUCAUGUCAUAUCAUCGAGUGAACGCACAAGUUCUUACUGCAUUUAGGUAUUGAGCUUUUGUAAUACAUCAUAUGCUCUAACAUAACAUCACGUGUUCAAUUUCCAUUCAUCGUAAAGGCAAAAUUGUCAGCCUACUCUGUCUUUACUCUUUGACAAGUGCUGAUCACUCAUCGGUUAGGCUUGGACCCAUCCGUGACAUGAGGUCCAAGUCGGAGAUAGCUUGAGCAGGUAGCUAUCUUCAACGUAGGUGAUCAAAUAGAGGUCAAAGGGUGGGGAUGAGAGGUUUUGAUGGAAAUGAGAGAUUUGUUGCUCAAAAUGCAAACAUUGACACGAAUAAAAAAUUACCUUAUUAUACCAAGAGGAUUCACAUGAAACAAAAAUUGAAUGGAUGGCAUACAACAUUCAUCGUCAUUUAUAAAAUAUGGACAUAACUCGACCAAUAAAAAAACUAGUGCCAUAAGAAAAAUAUGUAAAAGUUUUACAAAUUACAUUUUAAAUGAUGAUACAUGUUGAUAGUACUAUUUAUAAUUUUUGCAUCUCAUUAUAAGGUAACAAUCACAAAAACAUCAUUUCGUAAACUCAUGGUUAUACUAAAAUUGGUAACCACUAGAAACUAUUGGAGUACUUGACGAAGAUGAAACUGUUUCAAGUUCUAUCUCAGCAUCAGCAUCAUCAACCGGUGCCUCCAUUGGAUACAAAAGUGUUUUUGGAGGCAGUUGCAGUCUAUCCAUAUCUCCUUCAAGCAUAUCUAGGACUUUCCUCAUCGACGGCCGAUCAUUAGGGCUCAAUUGUAUACACCACAAUGCAACGAUUAUCAUCUUCCUUGUUGUUUCUCUUUCCUCUUCUAUGACAUCUACCCUUUCAAGUUCCUUUUCUUUACCGAGUUGAUCAUAAACCCACAAAGGAAAGUAAAUUUGACUCGAACGCUCUGAUGUGCAUUUAGAUUUCUCCUUCUACUAGCCAUUUCCAUUAAUAACAUCCCAAAACUAUAAACAUCGGUUUUGUAAGAAAUGUCACCAAUGUCUUUAUAGAAUAGCUCAGGAGCCAUAUAACCCAAGGUUCCUCUUGCUGCAGUCAGCGAUAAUAUAUUGCAAUCGGUGGGAUAAAGUCUUGCAAGUCCAAAGUCAGAAACUUUCGGAGUGAAACUUUGGUCUAGGAGAAUGUUGUGAGGCUUGAUGUCAAAAUGUAGAAUUUGCAUAUCACAUCCCCCAUGUAGAUACUCUAUCCCUCUAGCUAUGCCAAGAGAGAUCUCAUACAUUUUCUUAGAAUGAUGAGGAUCAUCACCAUCCUUAUAGGAAAUGUGUUUAUCCAAAGAUCCAUUCGGCAUGAAAUCAUAGACAAGAGCUUGUUUGGAGUAAUCAAAGCAAAAACCAACAAGUUGCACCACAUUAAUGUGGUGGAUCCUUCCAAUUGUGGCCACUUCGCUUAUAAAAUCCUGGCCAUUAGAUUUUGAUUUGUUCAAAAUCUUAACUGCGACUUCAUUGCCACUUCUAAGUAUUCCUCUAUAUACAGAACUAUAUCCCCCUUCACCUAACUUGCAUUUGAAAUUUUUUGUGAUCUUCUUUAUAUCCGAGUAAGAGUACCUUAUGGGCAAAAAGUUGUUGUGAGCUAGUAGGAAUUCUUUGAUAUUUGCAUCGGCCGCCUAAUGCCUUCUCAUCCACUUCAAGAUUAGAAGUAUCAACACACACGGAGCUCCAAAUAUGAAUUUUGCUGCUAGGAAGUGGACUACAGAGAAAUUUGGCCAUUGAUUAGCAUAGUGUCAAAAAAGAAAAAAUUUACACAUACAAUUUUUGUUUGUCAAAGUGCUGAAUGAGAGCUUCAUAGGUGUGAAGAGAAAAAGGACUUAUCAUACCCAAGAAAAAGAAGAGAUUCACUACUGCAACAGGCACAAGACAGAGCGCAAAAAGGCGCAUGCCAUCACCUGUAGAUAGUAAGAGAAUUCGUGAGAAAUUACUAAAAAUGGUUAAUUAGAAUUAAAGACCAAUCAGUGAAGAAGCAAUUCAUGCUAAGAUAUACCCCUAGUGAAAGAUAAAUUCAUGCAAUCACUGCAAAGUGCAAAGCCACACUUUUGUUCAUUGAAAUUUGCAAGUGGAGAACUCUAGAAUAAAAAAAGAGUGAACGAGUCUUUUCUAGAUAGCGCCCAGAUUUGACGUUAUCCUAUUCACUCAUGAAAUCCAUGUUAAUGUUGCAUGAUCUUUUCUUUUGAAGAAACACGCUUUUGCUUUUGUUCUCUUAAAUGUACCAAAUGUUCACAAGUUCCCCGUAACAUUAACAGCAAUUGAAGGGACAUGAGAUAUUAUUAAAUCGAACAAUUUUCCCCAAAAAAAGACCUAAUUCCCUGAAAAACCCUUUAAUUCUAGUCCAAUUUCAGCUUGAACUUUUUUGUCUCAGAAAAAACCCUAAACUUUAGGUACAAUCCCAAAUUUACCUCAAAUUUUGUUUUGUUUUAAAAAAUCAGUAACUUUUAAUAUAUUCCCAAACUUACCCCCACGGUCGGGUCCCAACUUGAUGUGGCAUUUCCACAUCAAUAACAAAUCCACUUCAGUAAGGUGACAUGGAAAAUUACUUUCAAAUGAAGCUAUUCUAAGAUAUGAAAUUUUUGAACAGAGGGCUAAUGGGUAGAUUGGGAUUAGAGUAAAAAUUGGUGUUUUUUCUUUUAGACAAAAUAAGUUUGAGGUAGAUUUGGGAUUAGGCCUAAAGAUUGAGGUUUUUUCUGGACAAAGAAAAGAUUGAGGCAAAUUUGGACUGGACCUAAGUUUAGGUUUUUCUGAUAAAAAAAAGUUCGAAACAUAAUCGGGACUAAAUUUAAAGUUGGGUUUUUUUUAGUGAAUAACGCCCAAAAAAAAAAAAUACAGAAAUAGUGUCACUUCCAGAAAAGCUCCAUAGUUGUAAAAUAAAGGAGCAAUGCACGCCCAAUCUACUAAAAAAAUUUCUAAACUUUUUCACUGAACGAAUGUGGCAAUUUUUUAAAUUGGGUAUUAAAGAAAAGUGAUGACUCAAUAAAUUGAACCAAACGUAUUGCAAUAUCCAAUUGAAACAUGUCACAUCACCAAGUAAAUUUUGAAAAGAUCCUUCAGUAGAGUUAACAUUUAAGAAAAGGAUGAAGAUAAAGAUGAAGAAGAAGAAACAAAGUAAGAGAGUAAAGAAGGAAAAGCUUUAGGGAAAGUCAGCUUACAGGAGUCAUAUGGGUUGCACCGCGCCAUUCGGUAUCUGAAACCUAUCGCGCAAAUCUGGAAUAUUUCCAACGAAUAAGAUUCAGAAUAUAAGAGAUUGAAUCCUUCAGCCAUCAUGUUGUGGAGGUCCGUAUACGGUGGGCUCACACGUUUAUACCGAUCCACUUCCUGGCUUGAUAAGAGAGUGAUCAUGGUUAUGUUGCAAGAAUCCUUGAUGUCCCGUAUUAGUAGAUCAGACCCAUACAAAGCGUAUGAGUAUGCCUUCAUUUGGGAAAAAUUAGGGGGUGUAUCAGAAAGGGAUGCUUCCUCAAUACAUGGUUCAGUAUUGAUAUACAAAGCAGAAGCAACGGGCUGUGAGCACUUCAUGAAGACCACCGGAUCAGCCGAGGGAAAAAGACCACCACAGUAUGGAUCAUGAGCACUAAAGUUGGACCUCGCCAGUGAUUGACGAGGGAGGGAUGAGCAAUUACCUUUCUGCAAUCCAUCGUCAACCACCGUGAUUAUACCGAAAAAUGAAUCAGCUAAAUUAGAAUAGUUAAUUGACUUCACAUAAUAUUGACCGGCAUAUAGAUAUAGAAAAGUACGAUUAUUUUCACAAACUAGCUCAUACUCAUAGCAGCCACAGUAUUUUGGGUCGCUUUUCAAUCGAAAGGGAUAGUGUAUAUCAUGGAUCUCACCGCAAGAUGAAGUAGUGCACAAGUGAUUCUUCUUCGCACCGCAACUCAUCCUCAGUAACAGUAGGACAUGCAAUAUGAAAAGCAAAACACAGAACAUGCUUGUGGAGCUCAAAGACUUAAUGGUCUCUCUAUCGUUUGAUCUGAUGCAAUGGAAGUUUUUGCUAAUUGGCAAUGUGAAGGAGGCCCAGUUAUAUGAAUGAAAAGAGUCGGGAGUCAUCGGUGAUGCAAAUUUCCAAGUCAACCAAUAAAACAAAGUCUAGCGAAGAUUGCGGCCCUUGCAUUUAUGGUGACAAAACACAAAGUUGGAAUUAGUUAUGCAUAGCUUUCACAUUGAUUAAAAAAGAAAGUUCUCUGCAGUUUUCAUACUGACUUUUCUUAGUACUAUUAAAAGAGAAUCGAUUUUAAACCAGAGAGAGAGAGAGAGAGAGAGAGAGAGAGAGAGAGAGAGAGAGAGAGAGAGAGAGAGAAUCGAUUUGUAUGUCAUGUACUCUAGAAUGAACAAAAUCCAUUUGAGUGAGGCUUUGGCAUUCUAGUUUCUUUUCAAGGCUAAUAUCCCAUAAGUGUUGUUGCGACCAAAAUUUCGGGUGAACCACCUAGGUUUGGCUAAUGGAUUGUCAAGCCUAGAUUUUGCUCAGACUCUCCCAAACCCAUUAUCAAUUCAUGACUUAGGUUCAAGUUUCUUAACAUGUAAAAGAUUUUUUAAUCAAGAGUCGCCACUAAUCUAUUUUCGGUGGGUCGAUUAGAAACUCAAGUAAAGUAACAUGAGAUUUACUUUACUCAUACAAACUAAAGAUUUAUAAAUUUUGGGACUUGUUUAUGCUAGAUUUCUCUAACGCCCUUUUGGUAGCUUUCUCUUUUGUUUUGAAAAAAAUGUUUUGAUUUUAACCUACUCCCCUAAACAUGUGAGAUGAUUAUACGGGUGUACAAACCACCAAUUUAACACCCAGAUAAAGUAGUGAAUAAAUUAUCCAGAUAAAGCAGUGAAUAAAUUGCAAGACUUUAUCUCAUGGCAACGAAAACAUCUGCAAUGUUAGAUCAGAAUUCACAUCAACAAUCCUAGAUAUGAUUUCUAAUAAACACGCAAUUACAUUUUUUUUUGUUUUAUUUUCACUGAAGAUCAUGCUUUAUGUAAUGCAUGCCACUAAUCUAACAUGAAAUGAUAUCACAAGAUGACCUAAUUCUAAUGACGAACAAUUCCUAAUUAAAUUGACCUAGCAAUAAACACUAAAUGACGUACAUUUCAUGAACCUAAAUGACACGCGCAUGAUUUUUUGUAUUUUUUUUAUAAAAAUUCAUAAUUAAAAUUGCUAAAAAAUGUUUUAAAAGAAUCUAACUAAAGUGAGAUAUUAUCUAUUUUAAGUUAGGAAAUAGACCAAUAUGAAUCAUAUCUUAACUUAGAAAAAUUUUUACGACAUGCAAUUUAAUUCAAAGAUAUUAUCUAACCUAGAUACCAUCUAAGCUUGCAUUCUAAUAUAAUCAAAAAGGAAUCUAACUAUUAUAUCAUGCAACUAUAUCUAGAAAAUCAAUUCUAAUCUACAUGAUAUGCAAAUGCAAUUUUUUUUUUGUAUUUUUGGGAUAAAUAAAGCGAUUAAAAGAUAAGCAAAUCAUUCACGAUCAUCAAAGAUAUUAUCCAUCGUUCGAAUUUGGAAACGAUAUCUAAUCAAACUUAAUUAUUUUGCUAAUAAAAUCGAUAAAUUGAUCUUAAGCCUUAAAGAUCAAAAUAUCAAUUUCAUUCCCGUUUGAUUAAUUAUUCCAACUAUAAGGCUUUAGAUGGAAUAAAAAUUUGGCAUGCAAUUGCGAAUUAGGCAAUAAACCAUAAUUGAGGGGAUAUGCUUAUCGCUGAAAUAUAUAUUAGGUAAUAAAAUAUCCAAAUCAAAUUUAUAUAAGAUAAUUACCUAAUUUCGCAAGUAAUAUUGCCAAACUUGAACUAAAUGGGAUCGACUCAAGGAUAAUGGUUGGUGGGUGAGAUUCGGCGCAAUGGUGCUCCUCGGUAAAGGAUGAUCGUGGGCUCACGGUCAACGAACCUGCAAAAAUAGGAACUUCGUGGAUCGGCGAUUGUGGGCAAUUGGCAACGACAGGCUCGUGGCCGCUUGAAUCAGGAACGUUGUAUGGGAUGACUUGUAGGCGAGGCAGAACAGGUGGCCUUUGAUGAUGAGUGAACGCGUCGAAUUGCGGGUUGAUCCUUUUUGCCCACACGACUGAAUUUGGAGUUCAAACUUCGCCACGUUGGCUCUGACAUCUUUUGCAAGUCAAAGUGCAUGGAUCUUCUUCAUGCAGCAAGCGGAAUUGCCUUCUUUGACUGGAUAAUAUUCAACGUGAAUACUUCGGCAAAAGAACCUCUCCUNNNNNNNNNNNNNNNNNNNNNNNNNNNNNNNNNNNNNNNNNNNNNNNNNNNNNNNNNNNNNNNNNNNNNNNNNNNNNNNNNNNNNNNNNNNNNNNNNNNNNNNNNNNNNNNNNNNNNNNNNNNNNNNNNNNNNNNNNNNNNNNNNNNNNNGGAGCAGCGACGUCCAUGGGCGGUGGGAUUGCAACAUCGUCAAGGGUCAGCAUCGAGCAAGCAGGGGCAAAUCAGAACAACUUGUCCUUCGGAAGCUGCAGCUCGUCACGAGGCUACUGGUGGUGUCAAUGGGCUUGGCGAACCUGGCUUUUCAUAUGGGACUCCUCAAUCGGCAAUAGGAGGCGUUGCGAUUCCUGGUGCUGUGAAGAAUCGGCAAGUGGGUCAACUUCGCGAGUAUGUGGGGCCCUCUUCCAACCGUGGACUAAGUGUGGCCUUUUUAGCCUCUUUAUUCACUCUCACCUUCACGAGCACUCUGUACAGAAGCUUCCCCUCACGAUUUUUCCCUCAAUUCAGUGUAUGGCCAUGUCUUCAAUUGUGUGUGGCCCCCUCGCUAUCGUGUUUUCUCCCUCCAAAAAAAAAAAAAAAACCGAGAAAAGCCCCUUCUACCAAGUGAUGAAAAGAGAAGCCCCUUUUUUGUCUGUAUGCGGGCCAAUUUAUAAGCGAGGGACUGAAGCUUUUAUCAACAUACCCAAAGAUCUCAUCCUGCCGAUUUUAUCACAUAUUGCUAAAGAUUCAAGAUUGAAAUAUGAUUUUUCUCAAAUUUCAAAUCUUGCAAAGAUGAGCUCAUGAUAUCUCCUCAAGGAUAUUGAAAAAUCCACUGUCAUAUCACCGAAAGUAUCAAAUCUCAAUUUCUCACAAAAUAAUUUUCGGUCAUAAAAUAAAAAGGGGCUCGGGCUAAUUUGCUCUUUUCGUGGGCUUAGUCCUACUCGUCAAAUUAAAGCUCAAAACUACCAAUUCAAACCCAUUUGUCACCAGUCCGAUACAAAUAAAAAAAAUAUCCUAAAACUAUAUACUAUGCAAUUUAAUUAUAAUAUUUUUUUAGGGAUAAAAUUAAUCCCUAUUUUUUAUAUAAUAAAUAAAUGACUGGGUCGUUAAAAUUUAGGUUUUAACAAGUGUCCCUUCGUUAAACUGUGAAGAUGAAAAGGAAAAAGAUGUCAUAUUUCAUCAUCUAAGCUUUUUAUUUUUGACAAAAAAACAGAAAUUGGUAACAAAAAUAGACUAUGAACAAGAAUAUUAACUUGUAUAAUGUCGCUUUUGGCAAAAGUAAAAGGAAAAUAAGAAAUAAGUGCUUCUUGGAUGGUGUAACACAUUAUGAAAGAAAGAAAGCAAUAUGAUAAUUUGUAGUGGCGUACCGACAUGCCUUGACUAGAACCUCACUGGCUUCGUCAUCUCGCAAACAGUAUAGAUGCAGAUUUCCAAGUCAACCAUCAACACAAAGUCUAGUGAAGAAAAAGUGGGUCUCCCGUGGAAAUUGCAGCCCUUGAAGUCAAGGUGACAAGACACGGUGUUGGAAUUAUUUAUGCAUAACUUUCACGUUGAUUAAAAAAUAAACUUCUUUGCAGUUCCAGAUUGACUUUUCUUAGUCCCAUAAAAAAAGAAUCGAUUCAUUCAGCACCAUAUUUUACUAUAAAAAAUGAUAAGCGCCAUAUUUUACUAUAAAAAAUGAUAAUGUAUUUCACAGUUAAGAUUUUUCAUUUUUGACAAAAAUGAAGUUUGUAACUGAAAAGAUUAAUAAUAGCACUGAAGACUAUCGUUGCACAUUAUGAGAAAAGAAUAUAGGCCAUACAAUAAUUUCUCAACCAACAAUAGAUGGAUGCGAGCCUUGAUUUGAAAGUCACUUGCUUUGUCAUUGCCCGACGCACAUGAAGACUAUAGGUGUAAUGUUCGAAUUCACAAAAAUAAAGCAAUACACGCUUUUUCACUAGCAAUUGAAAUAUUAUUCUCAUAGAUCAAUCGAUCACUCUCCUAUAAAAUAACCCUAUCUCUUUCCUGCAAUAAAACCACUCCAUGAAUGAACUGAUAAAUCUCAACAAUAACGUCGUUUUAUGAAGGAUGUUGUUGCCUGCUUCAUAAUCAUUUUCCAUCUUCGAAUGUCUGGUAUUGCGAGUGUCAUGUAAGCUCAAAUGGGACUACAUGGAAGAGUGCAGGCAUUUUUCAUUCUUUGUUGAUAGCUGCUUGAAUCUGCUCAAGACUCCUCCCUUUCGUUUCAGGGACCACCGUGAUCAUGAACACCAUCCCUGCGGCGUUAAUCACUGCAUAAAGAAGGAAGGUACCUGUGAAGCAAGCCGGCAGAGUUGCUUUUGACAAGUUUUGCGGAAGCAUAUUCUUACAUUUUUCUCAUGGGAAGAAUGCUUUGAUAUAUACUACCUGUCUAUUAAUCAUUCUGCAGAAAGACCCAAUUCACUUAUUUUCUUUUCUAAAUCACACGUGGACUCAAUUUUCGUGAUAUUCGAAUCUAGUUUCUUUUCUAAACACAUUGAUUGAAAUAAAUGGACUGAAUAUGCAUUCGAGACCGUGCAGAACAGAGUGGCAGACACCUCCAGCUCCAAAUAGGAUUGAAGUUUUCAGGAAAAGCUAAGUCUCAAGUCUAUAGUUUGAUUGAAUUCUCGCAACAACUCAUGUUCCAAUGUGACAAAUGUUUAUCGAGCUCCUGCCAGAGCAACAGUUCAAAGAGCGUUUUCAGCAGAGUCGUACCAUAGGAGCUCCAGCUCAUUAAGUAGUUGAAAGUGUAGGAAACUGCCCAAGCGCCGCACCAGUUUACUAGUGUUGCAAACCCUCCAGCUACUCCUUUGAUAUUGAUGGGGAAAAUCUGAACACCAGCACCACAUUACAUGAUUGGAAAAUUUUUUAAACACUCGUAACAACACCAGUUACGGAAACGGCCCUUUAAUUUGAUAAGCAUGAAACUUCGGGGGAUGUUUAGGAUUACCUCGGACAUCACGACCCAAGGAACCGCGCCCAUUCCAGCGGAAAAUGCUGCUAUGUAUAGCUGAGCAUUGGAAAAAACAGAACAGAAAAAUUAAUAGUGGAGAGUUGUUGUGGCGGCCAACCAGAUAGAGCCAGAAAGAGAUCAAGGAAGGUGAGAUUAUUACCAGAAUGCCGGUGACGGCAAGUAUCGGGACAGCAUCAGCUGCCAGAUCAUGAACCUGGCUCAGAAGAUUCUCAAAAAGUUACUGGUUGACAAGCAUUGCAAAGCAGAAGGAAGAUACUAGGACGGAUAGUAUUUACCUUUAGAAAGAAUGAAAGGGCAGUUACUAUGCAUCCUAGGACCAAUCCUGUCCCUGAGAUCUGCGAUUGAGAGAGAGAGAGAGAGAGAGAGAGAGAGAGAAGGUUACUGUUCAAGUUGCAGAACUCGCGAAAGGUUAUGAUUUCUUAGCGACUUUCAUCUAUUUUACCAAGAGAAGGGGCUUUCUUCCAGCUCGAUCGACCAGCGCAGCGCCAAUAGCCGUGACAAUGACCUGCAAAAAUUUACUCUUUAAGCGUGACGAGUGUAAAACUAGAUCCCCAGCAAAGAGGAAAGGGCGAGAAUUACAGACCUGGAGGAUUGCAUAGGUUAUGGUUCCAACGCUAGAGGAGAAACCUGAGGAGAGUGUACAAAUGCGAUUAUAAAGGCGAGACUAAUACCUUGCUUGUGAGAUUCAACCCUAAAUUAUGUGUACAGCUCAUUCAGUGACAAUUAAGUAGACCAAAAGCAUUCGACAUUGCGAAUUUUACUAACCCAUUUGAAUAUUAACUGGAUUAUAUAAAUUGGAACCCCUGCUUUGCUCUUUAUUUAGUUAUCCGUUCUGGAAUCAUAAAAUGCAAUGCAUAGUUUCAUUUCUGUGGUGCCCAAGAGCUUCUUGCUAUGACCUUCAUACCUGCUUCCUCGANNNNNNNNNNNNNNNNNNNNNNNNNNNNNNNNNNNNNNNNNNNNNNNNNNNNNNNNNNNNNNNNNNNNNNNNNNNNNNNNNNNNNNNNNNNNNNNNNNNNNNNNNNNNNNNNNNNNNNNNNNNNNNNNNNNNNAGUACAACUACUUAAAGUCUCCCGAUCCACAGGGCAUUCUAAGAAAGCAAGGAAGGAGGGAAUUUAUUGGAUACAUAGCAAUAAAUACAGAAAGAAGAUUACGAUGACGGAGCUCAGAUAUCUUCUCUGAAAUAAAUCAAGCACGGUGGCUUUUGGGAGCCGUUGGAGAGUUUCGAUAUACUCCUGUCAAGAAAAACAAAUUCAAUCAUUCCAUCAGCUGUUCGUACUUAUAAAGUUGAGCUUUAAGAUGAAACAGGUAUAGACUUAAAGCCUUUUACUUGUAUUUCAGCAGCCUCUUCAGAAAUAUCUGCAUCCUUUCCACGGAGUUUCUGCAGCACAGCUUCAAACUACUUUUCGUGGCCCAUUUUCGCCUGCAUUUGGCAGAAUCCUAAAAUUCAUUCCAACACUACAAAUCCCUCUCUUCCAACAAUUCAGAUAAGAAGAGUCUGGUGUUCAUCUUGAUUUGUUACCAGCCAUCUAGGAGACUCUGGAAUGAAAAACAGGCCAAACAGUAGGACUGCACAGGGGACUAGACCUGCAUAAACCGCAGACGUUCAAGGUGGUUUCAGACUUGGACUUUUCGAUGCAAGAUUGGCACUAAACUUGAAUUAUGCUACUUUUUUCUGUUUUACCAAUUAAUGCCAAAACCCUCCAAGCUAAUACUGUCCCGAUUAUGAAGGAAACGGACACUCCAGCAACGAUCAUAAGCUGUGGAGAGAAGAGAACAUGUUAGGCCUAGUAGGUUCUGUAGGAUGUACAUAUAUACACCAUCUUGCACUUGCAAAAGGGAAAAAUUUGCUACAAGCACGCGCUUGGCAGGUGCCGGCUGACGUCUGCGUGACGUUAGCCCGUGCACGCGCGCGGCACGUGCCGUCAAUUCGCUCGAGCCGGCCCCUCCGGCCCAACCGGUUUGACCGGUCCGACCAGUCUGUCCGGUCCGACCGGUACGACGACCAACGACCGUUGACCGUUGACGACCGUUGACCGUUGACCAAAAAAAAAAAAGAGGAAUGUGUUUCUUUUUUCAAUUAAGUCUAUGUGGAUUAUAAUGUGAUCCCUUAUUUGUUCUGCAUUUGUUGCAGGAACAAUGCCUCCCCUGAGGUUGCACACACCUAUUCGCACAAUUACCGAUGAACAAAAGGAUAUGGUGUCUAAGUUGAUAGCUGAACUGACUGAUCAUCGAUGGGAGAGAGGUGACUUAAUUGAUCAUGUCCUUGAAGUCAACGGGAAAAUUCAACAGGUCAUAUGGAAUGGUCGUCCUAUGUCACAGUCAGAGAUGGUGCGAUUUUUCAUAAACACUCUUCCACCUGAAUGGCAAGAUGUGUUGAAUCGCAUAUGGGAUGUCAAUGGAGCUGCUUCCUAUAAGAAAAUUGUGAUGGACUUUGUAAAUGAAUAUUACUGUAUUGUUACAAGGGAAAAGAUCAAGAAAUUGAACAAAAGAGGAUCUUUCCCAGUUCGUGUGCUGACUUGGUGUUAGUUGUAUUGACUGAUAUAUGUUAAGUGUGAUUUGUGGACAUAUUAUGUAAUGAUUACUACCUAAUUGUGUUAAUUUAAAGCAUUAUUGUUUUUUUAAUUGUAUGUCAAUUAUCUGUUGCUUUCUGUUAUUGCUGGUUGCUGUGGGUAAUUAGCUGUGGGUAGUUUUAGAAGUUUUUGUAGCUUCAUAGAAUUGAUUUUGCAUAUGACAAUCAUAUUAAUGAUAGUUUUAAGUUAGGAUUUUGGAGGAUGAUUGGAAACAUAGUGACCUUUUGAUUCUAAAGCCUUACUUGAAAUUAUUCAUUGAUAUGAUGGGUCUAUGUAAAUAGGGAUACAUAAAUGAUAGGCAUUAAUAAUUCGUGCAUAUUUGUCUGAUUUGUUCAGAUCAAUGGCUUCGGCCACAAAGAGCAUAGUUGCCGAGCUGAACAAAGGUGAAAAGCUCAAUGGAGACAACUAUGAAAUUUGGCAAAUGAAAAUCCAGUAUGUGCUGGAAGAACAAGAAGCACUUGAGGCUCUUAUCCUGACCAUGGUAGAACCUGAAGAGGGAACCACUGCAUAGCACAAAAGAGACAAAGAAGCUUUUUCUGCGUGGAAAAGAAAGAACUCUCUAGCUUGCAUCACGUUGCUGAGCAGCAUGGAAAAUGACGUCAUGCGAGAGUUUCGGCGUUUUGACAAUGCCAAGGAAAUGUGGGAGGCAUUGGCAGCUAGAUUUGGUCAUACUUCGGUGACUAGACUGAGGCAGCUCACUAUCAGGUUUGACUCUUAUAAGAAGCCUCAUGGUCAGACCAUGAAGCAACAUCUUAGAAAGAUGUCAAACAUGAUAACUGAGCUGAAAGAUGCUGGCCAUGUCCUCACAGAUGAGCAGCAAGUGCAAGCAGUGAUUCGUUCCUUGCCUCAGAGUUGGGAGCAUAUGAAGGUGCACCUGACUCAUAAUGAAAAUAUCAAAACCUUUGAGGAUGCAAUGCGUCAUCUUGAGCUAGAAGAGGACUGCCUCUUGGCGGCUAAGCCGGAUGCUGAACUUUAUCAUGCUAGUUCUAGCUCACAUGGAGUUUCGAGCUCCAAACGCAAGCGUCCUAACUAGUUUGAUAAAGGGAAAGGCAAGGAAGAAGCAGGUCCUUCAGGGAAGAAACCCAAGUUUAACCAACAUGAUAGAGGAAAGCGUCCUCGCAUGAAGAAGCUUACAAGGGUGAAAUGCUACAAUUGUGACAAGAAGGGUCACUAUGCUCGCGACUGUCGUGAGCCAAAGAAGGUAUGCACCCCUUGUACUUUUCAGAACUUUGCUUUUGUGUCGAGUUCUGUGUUCUUAACUGAGUCUAAUCCUUUGUGGACUGUGGAUUUAGGAGCGACGGACCAUGUAGCGAAGGAUAGAUGAUCCUUCGUGGAAUUCCGACGAGUACCAACUGGAACUAAGUGGAUCUAUGUGGGAAAUAACUCCAGAGCUGAAGUGAAAGGAAUUGGCACAUGCCAAUUGAAUAUGCGUGGUGGACGCACUUUGUUCCUUCAUGAUGUGUUGUAUGCUCCGGAGAUUUGUCAGAAUUUAAUGUCUGUAUUAGUGUUGGUUAAAUUAGGUUUUAAUAUGAACUUCUAUAGUAGAGGUGUGAAUUUGUUUUUGGAUACAAAUUACUAUGCUUGUGGUUAUUUUCUGGAUGGUUUCAUUGUAUUAGAUGUUGAGUAUGUUAAUGCAAAUGUUUGUUAUUCCCUUAUCACGUCUCCUAAUUCAUAUGAUAAUGAUGUGAAUGUGUGGCAUGCUAGACUUGGUCACAUUGGCCAACAGCGUAUGAAUAGACUAGCCAAAGAGGGCUUGUUGGGCAAUAUUGAAAAAGUCGAUUUGUCCAUAUGUAAGCAUUGCAUAGAAGGGAAAACGACAAGGAAACCAUUUGGAAAAGGAAAAAGAGCUGAAUUUCCUCUGCAUUUAAUCCAUUCUGAUGUCUGUGGUCCAAUGAAUGUGAAAGGAAGGCAUGGGGCUGUUUAUUUUAUCACCUUUAUAGACGAUUAUACUCGAUUCGGAUAUGUCUAUUUGAUUUCUCAUAAAUCUGAAGAAAUAAGUUGUUUCAAAAGGUUUAUGAACCUAGUAGAGAAUCAAUUGGACAAGAAAAUAAAAGCAUUGAGAUCCGAUCGAGAUCGAGAAUAUUUAUCUAAUGAGUUCAGAAAAUUAUGUGAUGAAAAAGGAAUAGAAAGACAGUUGUCUAUUCCGUAUACUCCUCAACAAAAUGGUGUUGCGGAAAGAAGAAACAGAACCCUACUGGAAAUGGUUAGGUCCAUGAUGGCGCAUGCUAACUUACCCAUCACCUUUUGGAGUGAUGCAUUGUUAACCACUGCCUAUAUACUUAACCGGGUGCCUUCCAAAUCAGUUACUUCCACUCCAUAUGAGUUAUGGAUAGGUAGAAAACCAGACUUAAGUUUUCUUAAGCCAUGGGGUUGUGCUGCCUAUACCCAUGAGUCUUCUCACAAGUUUGGGAAAUUGGGUCCCAGAGGAAAGAAGAUUAUUUUCAUAAGAUACUCGGAACACUCGAAAGGAUAUGUGUUCAUUGGUGAGCAGGAAAGUGGGAGUAUAACUGAAUUUGAAUCACGAGAUGUCACAUUCUUAGAGGAUGAGUUUCCUAAGAAGGGCGGAAUAGGGGAAGAUCACUCCCUAUUUGAGACCUUGGAUCAAGAUAAUGAUAUUAGUGGAGUUCAUCCAAGUGGGAGCAUAAUAGGGAAUAAUGUGCAAAGUGUACAAUCUCCUAUACGGCGAACAAGUCGCCAAAGUAUUCCCCGUCGACAUUUUGACAUUGAAGGGGAAACUUUUAUGGUUGCUCCACAAGAUGAGGAUGAGCCAAGAAAUAUCAAUGAGGCUUUGAAUUGCCCUAGUAAGAAAAAAUGGAUUCAUGCAAUGGAAGAUGAAAUGGAGUCAAUGAAAUCAAAUCAAGUCUGGGAACUGGUUGAUCUUCCAAAAGGACGCAGAGCUAUUGGGAACAAGUGGGUCCUCAAAAUAAAGCGAAAGGCUGAUGGCUCGAUAGAAAGGCAUAAGGCUCGCCUUGUGGCAAAGGGGUAUAAUCAACAGGAAUGAAUUGAUUAUGAAGAUACGUUUUCUCCUGUAGUAAGAUUUACCUCGAUUCGCAUUAUUCUGGCAAUAGUGACUAGUCUGGAUCUUGAGUUACAUUAGAUGGAUGUAAAGACUACUUUCCUCAAUGGAGAAUUAUAGGAAAAAAUAUAUAUGGAACAACCUGCUGGUUUCAUAGUGAAAGGCCAAGAAGAAAAAGUAUGUCGACUUUUGAGGUCGAUAUAUGGUCUUAAGUAGUCAUCAAGACAAUGGUAUAUACGUUUCAUAAUGCCAUAAUGGCAUAUGAUUUUAAAAUGAUUGAUGAGAAUCAUUGUGUAUAUAUCAAAAGAUCCAAGGAUCAAUUUGUGAUCAUAUCAUUGUAUGUUGAUGAUAUACUGAUUGCCGGAAGCAAUAUGGAGUUGGUUAAUACUGUCAAGAGUUGGUUGUCUUCCAACUUUGAGAUGAAGGAUAUGGGUGAGGCUGUAUACAUUCUUGGAGUUAAGAUUUCAAGAGAUCGUUCGAAGAGAUCGUUGUCUCUUUCGCAAGAAACCUAUAUAAAUAAGGUUCUUAAACGAUUUCGUAUGCAAGACUGUAAACCCAUAGACACUCUUAUUGCAAAAGGUGAAGGAUUGAGCCACAGAUUGUGUCCAGGGACUCCACAAGAGAAGGAACAAAUGAAACAUGUUCCUUAUGCUAGUGCUGUUGGGAGCUUGAUGUACGCUAUGAUGUGUACAAGACUCAACAUAUGUUUUGCAGUUGGAAUGGUGAGUAGAUACCAAUCCAAUCCAGGUCCAGCACAUUAGAAGGCCGUCAAGAGAAUACUGAGGUAUUUGAAGGGAACUGCUGAUUUCAAGUUGAAUUACCAAGGAAAGGAUCUGCGACUUGAAGGCUAUUCAGAUGCUGAUUGGGGAGGAGAUUUAGAUGAAAGGAAAUCUACCUCUGGAUUUGCUUUCUUACUGAACAAUGGCGCCAUAUCAUGGAGCAGUAAGAAGCAAACGUGUAUAGCCUUGUCCACGAUGGAAGCUGAGUUCGUGGCAUUAUCAGCAGCAGUACAAGAAGGAGUUUGGCUUAAGAGAUUUUUGGAUCAUUUAGGUGUUAAUGAGAAAGCUGCAAAUCCAUUGUUGGUUAACUGUGAUAGCCAAGCAGCUAUAGCGUACACCAAAGAUCCAAAGUAUUAUGGCAAGACCAAACAUAUAGAUACCAAGUAUAACUUUGUGAAAGAUAUGAUUGCACGAAAGGAUGUGAACUUACAGUACAUAUCUACGCAUAGAAUGGUAGCAGAUCCUAUGACAAAGCCAAUACCUAGAGAUGUGUUUUGUGGUCAUGUAAAAUCUCUAGGAUUGCGUAGAAUCUGAUGUACUGGAUUGUAAUUUCCCUGAGUUGUUCACAUUUAUGAAAUUUUGUUUUUUUAUUGAUUAAUGCCUAUGAAUCUAUGUAUGAUCUUUAUGCAUCUUAAUGCUCAGUGCAUUAUUUUAAGUUGAGAAGUAUGUCGGACAGAUAUAAGAUUAGCCCACUCACACGGGUAAUCGCCUCCGUUUACUAUGUGAUAAAUAGAGAUGAGACUGUUUUUAAGCUUAUUAUCUAGGUGAUAAUCGAGAGCUCAAGCUUAAAAUACGUAUGUCACCUUAAUUGAGUGUUAAGAUGAUGACAUAAUACUAAAGAUGUCCGAAAGUAAAAUAGCCUACAUAUUUUACUUUAUCUGUCUAUGAUGCUAGAUGUGAGUUCUGAUGAAUUUUGUGAUUGAGUAGAUACUUGAACUCAAGUUAGACAUUAGGUAUGUCUGAACUAUCAUCUGUAUGGUAUUGACAGGUGUAGACAUACGCUCCAUGGGAAAUGAGUUAAUACCGUAAUACGUAUUUCAUACUACGUAUGCAUGAGACGACCAAUAAGAGUGGCAAAAAGUUUGAUCUCAACUUUUAUGACGUGUGAGACUCUUGAGGAAAAGAGUUCCUCAAUUUUUAGUCCCCUCAGGACUCUUACUUAUUCUCAAGAUUUCUAUUUAGUGUUUACUAUCUUAGGGUGUUGCCAAUGGUCAUGAGAUGAUUCGAUCUAAUGGGGCAUUUCUAGAAAAGCAAGCUGGACUGAAAUUGAGAGUUUAAAGGAAAGAGGAAGAUCGUUUUUGGAUAAUCACAUUGUGGUUUUGUAUUCACUGGUCGACCAAUUAUGACUGUCAUUGUGAUAAUUAUAAUUGUGAAUACAAUAUAUAUAUAUAUAUAUAUAUAUAUAUAUAUAUCAUGUUUAAAAGAGAUCAAGAGAGAUAUAAAAUGUGAUCGAUCGAUCUAGGGUACUGCAUACUAAAUCUACUCGAAGUAUGACACCCAUUAUGAGCUGCUAUAUAUUCCUAACAGAUGUAUAGAAACGAGCUCUCAAAGUAUGCUGGUCGCACGGAUUAUUCACCAGUAUGAAUGUUGAAGAGAGGUAAAGAGAAUCCUGUUCAGCCCACCAUGUGCGAGUGGGAGAUGAUGGUUUUAAUUGGUGAUGGGCUUAAGGCCCGUCCGCCCAUGCUGGGCUCAAAAGGCCCGGCCCAUGGGAAUAGGGCCCGUGGAAAGGGAGAUGUAUAAAAGGGAGGAGAGAGAGAGAAAUAAAGAAAAAGUUGGAAAUAACGUACGUACGCUUUCUCUUAUGUGCUCUCUCUCUCUCUCCAAAAAGAAAAGGAAACAGUAACGCACAAGGCGAAUUUUCUCCUUUCUUCCAAGUGAAUUGUCGUCGUCGGAUUGAACAGGGCCAGUUUCUCUUCCUCUAUUGGCGUUGGUGUUUGAUCUGUGGCUAACAAGGUACGCUCGAAUCCGUGGUGUGCUUUACGAUCGGUGAUAUGUGUUAUUCCCAGGCUUCGUCUUCCGCAUUGAUUUAGGAGUUCGAUUUGGUGUCGAAUCCGGUUUUUGGGGAUCCGUUAUUCCCUACACCUUCUUUAUACAAGAAUUCUGGUGAUGACAGAAUAUCUCUUUCAGAUGUGGGGGUGCCCAGGCAGGAAUGUUUCCUGGACAGAAUGACUUUAGUUUGGCCAAGUUCUUGGGUUUCGAGUUAUUUCAGUCAGGCUUUUGGGGUCUAGAAUUGGGUUUAAGGGGGAAAAGUGCUGGUGAUAUCUGCUUGUUCCCUUCAAUACAAUGUCUUCCGUUGAUUGCAAAAAGUACCAACUCACAUUUUUUGCAAAGAUUACACCAAAGAACCUUGCCCUCUGUUUGUAUCAGCAGAAGAAGUGUUUGGGGAUAUUUCUAAUUCAAACGGGGAAAGCAAGCCACCUGCAGAUUCUCUGGCAAUUCCUUGUGAAGCAGAGAGCAUGAGAAACAAUGUCUUCAUCAGCCUCUGGUUUUUCUCAAGCAUCAAAUAAUGUGCCCAGAGCUGGAGGCUCUGGGGGUGGCAGUGCUAGAAAAUAUUCCUUGGGAUAUAUGUGGGGAAGUACCAACGAAAGCCACAAAUGGAACAAGAAAAGGAUUAUCACCAUGACAAGGGAGAGAUUUGAAACGCAGAAGACAAUCUCCAUGGUCUAUAUAAAGUUUUGGAUGGAGAACAUGUUUAAUCUCUUUGGCCUCGAAAUAAACAUGGUGGCCUUGCUCCUUGCCUCCUUUGCUUUGUUAAAUGCCAUUUCAAUGCUAUAUAUUGCACUUCUCGCUGCUUGCAUACUUCUAAAUUGCAAUGUCAUUCAGAAAUUAUGGCCAGCAGCACACUAUCUGCCAAUUCACAAAAAGCAAGGCUGAGUCUGUAUUUCCUUUCGAAUUUCAUGAUUCUCCUGCCAGUUUGAAUGCUGAAAGUCUUCAUGUGAUGAAUUCAGCUGACCACUCAUUUGAGUUUUCCCAUUGUGAGAUCACUAAGGCUGAGAAGGAUGGUGGAGGUUCUUUAUAUGAUUCAGAUAAGAAAGAGAGAGCCAGAGGUCAAGCUGAGGUUAACUCUGUAGUUUCUGCUCUGCAGCUUUUAGGAGAUGGCGGUUAGUUCUCUUGUAACCUUCCCGAAAAUCAAGCCAGAAGACAUGGAUGCCAGGGGCAUACUCAAGCAGUCUCCCCUGCACCCGAUCAACGGCCAGGAUCACCUGACGAAGCAGCAGAAGUUCGCGAGAUCGAAGCUCCGGGUCUCCAUCAACCUGCCGGACAACGAAAUCUCCCUCCUCCGCAGCCGGCGGAACCUGAGCUUCAGCGGAUCGUCCGCCGCCGCCGAACCUCGGACUUCUCCUUCUCCAUCUCCCCACUCGUCGUCCUCGGCCUCGGCGCCGAUCGGUCGAAUCUUCAAAGGGAAGGCUCCGGCGACGGCGAGGGGGAGCCUCGAGAACGGCGGUAGUGGCGGCGACCCCCACGGCGGCCGGCAGGCGUACAGGAGCACGAGGACGGUGGUAGAGGUGCUGCGGGAGCUGGACGCGGCCAUAGUGGCGCUGCAGGACGUGAAGGCGGAGGAGGAGAGGGAGAUGAGGUCGCUGUCGGAGCUGGCGGCGGCGCUGGGGAUGAGCUACGCGUUCGCUGAGAGCUGGGCGCCGGAGUACGGCAACGCCGUCCUCUCCCGGUGGCCGAUCAAGCACUGGAAGGUCCAGAAGAUAUUCGACGACACCGAUUUCAGGUCCGUCAUUUCGUUUUAUUUUAUUUAUUUAUUUAUUUGCAUAUAUUUUCGUAAUUAUGGUGACAUGAUAUGCUCUCUUUCUCGCUGAGCAAGUGGUCUUCCUGGGCGAUUUCGAAUUUUAAAAGAUAUUUUCAUUUAUUUAUUGAGGGUCCACUGUUGAAAGUGAAGUUAAAAUAAUAUGUCAUAAUUAAUAUUCCCUCUGGGCAUAUUAUAUCAUUUUUUCUUACAUUCUUCUAAGUGAAAAAGAUUAAUUUUGGUAGAACCAUCUAUAACGGUGCAAAUCCACUUCGGACAAUCAAAAUUUUCGUUGAAAUUAAGGUAGGGUGGAUGUAAUAAAAAUUUGCAAGACCAAAAAAAAAAAAAGAAAAAAAAAAGCUGUUGUUUAUCCAUCAGAAUUUGCGGAUGAAGAUGAAAAUCUUGCUGUUACUUGGUUUAUAUUUUGUCUUUUUUUUUUCCUUCCCCUUUGUUUAAUUGUUCUAUUUGGAAUUAUCUGAAUGGAGUUGUCCAAGAAUUGAUUUGGGAAGAAUUUAGAAUAUUAUUCACGAGAACCCUACCACCAAAAAUUCAAGAAUUCCCCAAAGCUUUUCUCCUCCAGCCUGUUUGCCUUUGCACAACUUACGGAAAGCUAUCUGCAACAACAAUGGUGGGCCUUUCCAAGGAUCCCAGCGCCAGCUGUGAGCAAUGCCAGUCAGAAUUAAAAUAUAAAUAAAUUUUAAAAAAAAACCUUUUUUUUUCUUUCUAUGAUUUUAGAUAUGGGUUCUCCAGAGAAUUGUCAUUUAAUAAUAAUAAUAAUAAUAAUAAUAAUAUCUUUAGUUAUAACUAUUCGAAAUUCGUGCGAGUGUGUGUGAUGAAAGACUGUCUUGGACUUCUUCCAUUCCUCCUUUUUUCAUUUCUGGUUGCAUUUAGUGGGUUGAUGAGAGUCAGCGUUGAAGAUCAUUCUGUAUUAAUUGCUGAUAUAGUCAAGAGAAUGCUUAGGAACCUGCUAAAUUAUCUAUAUAUAUAUAUAUAUAUAUAUAUAUAUAUAUAUAUAUCUCUUUAGUAUUUAAAUGAGGAGAUAAACGAAGGAUAAGAUCGUACAUUAAAUGAGGGCAGGGUAAGGUGUAUGUAGAUAGGACAAGUAACGUGGGGAGGAUUUUGCUUUUGCUUUAUUUUAUGUAUUUGCCAAAUUAGAUGCUUGACCUGAAGACUAUACAAGGACUCCUCAUCUUCAAGGAAAACUACAUUUCUCUCCAGCGAGACAGGCCAGAUAGAAUCAACUUGUCUGAGAUAGCAUGCAAUUGCUUGUCAUGGAGUCAAUUUCUGAGACUUUGGCGUUCGAUUAAUUAAGCCACUCCUUAGGUAGUGAAGGGGUUAUGUGCUUUCGUUGCACGAAAAUUCAGAAAAAGAAGAAAAGAGUGGAUUGAAAUAUAAUCGAUCGACAUAUUAAAUUGACUAAGAAUCGAAGUGGCUGUGAACUCGAUAUGUUUUAUUACACAGGAAUGUUCUGAAGGCAACAAUAGAAGUGCCCCAUGUUGGGGAAGUGAACUUCCAGCGCACCCACCUGGAUCAUCUCGACGAGAACUGGCGGAUGAAGCAAGUCGGCGCCAUCAUCCACUCGAGCGACUCUCCCCACAUCUUGGCUGGUGGCCUCAACUCUCUCGAUGACACCGAUUACUCGCAAGAGCGGUGGACCGACAUCGUCAAGGUAUGUACAUUUCUGUCAUGUUUGAUGUGAUAUUCGUUAGCACGUCAAACUCGAUUACUAAAUAGCUUAAGCUACGGCGAUUUUGUAAUCAUGGGCAGUGUUUGUUACAGUACUAUGAAGAGAUGGGAAAACCGACCCCGAAGGUUGAAGUCAUGAGGUUUCUAAAGAGCAAGCAGUACAUUGCUGGAGAAUGCGAGUCCGUGGUUGUCAUUGCCAAAGGACAAAGUAAGGACUCACUUGUUCGCUUUCCCAUCUUUCAAUUUUUCUUUUUCGCUCUAUCAAAUGGCUAAUCUAAGGUGCUUUUCGAGCACGAUGCUCCUCUUGCUUGAUGAUCACAUGAUUUGCUUGAAUGGACGGAAAUUCAUAACAUUUGAAGCAUGAUGAUCAUGUUGAAUAAAUACAUCCGUUGUUGUCAUCACUUUGUCGAUAUCAACUUUUGGUGUGAAAAUCCAUGGUAAAAUUGAAGUCCAAAGUCUUUUUUUCGAGUGAUUAUUGUCCGAAUAUGAAUUUGAAACUGUUUAUUCUAUUGCAGGUGUGCAAGGGACGUGCAAAUAUGGAACGAGGGUGGACUACCUACUGGCGUCACCAGAUUGUCCAUACAAGUUCAUUCCGGGGUCGUAUUUGGUCUUGUCAUCGAAAGGGACAUCGGAUCACCACAUCAUAAAGGUCAACGUAACGAAAUGCGAAAACAAUCCUCCCCCAUGAAAGCAAUGGCAACAACAAUAAAAUUACCAAGAAAAGGCGACGACAGUGCAAGCACCAGGCCGUUGUAAAGAUCUCAGGCACAGCUCCUCCUUCAAAGGGUAUAUGGACAACGAACACAUUAAGCAAAGUCGAAUGACAUUACAUUUAUAUCUCCCUUUUCUUUCCACUCUUUUCUCAGCUGCUGCUCCUGUUGCUACUGUUGAGUGAUCUUGGGCAUGCUGGCUUCGUCAAUCUGUGUGUAAAUCUUCGAUUGUUUUGUGCAUCUUGUCUUCUCUGUUUUUUUUCUUCAGUUUAGAGUUGAAGAGGGGAGGGUUCUGGUGUGAUGGCUUCCUCACAUCUGUAUAGAUUUCGACGCGACAGAAAUGAAUUCUUACGUUUCAACUAGGCAUUGGAGCUAAGCGGCUCUGCCAAGUUCUUUUUCAGUAUUUUAUGCCUUUUCUUUCCGCUUGUAAUCUUAACUGCAAGAUUCAGAUUAGUUUUGUCGAGGGCGACAUCUCAAGUUGACUUUGCUGAGAUUGAGGUUAGAGAAUGCGAUCUUGUAUCUUUACAUUUAACUGAAAGUUGAAACGUUUUAGAUUAAAAGUCCUUGGAAUAAAAUUGCAAAUUUCGAAAAUUGGAUUUUUUUUUUGUUAAGUUGGACAUCAAGUGAUUGAUAAAAGACCCAAAGAUUUCAAAUGAAAUACCUUUAAAAAGCAAAUAAGGAAAAAAAAAAAAAAGCUGCGAAGUCUGGUAAUUAUGAAUCCUAAACAUAUGUGACAGUAGUCAAUGUCUUCAUUCUUUUUUCUCCCUUUUGAAAUUAGCAUUGGAAAGAAGAAAAAUGGUAAGUUAGUGCAAUCUACUUCGAGAUCUUAACAAAUACCUUAUGUGAUCUCUAAAUGGAGCCUUAAUGAGCAUUAUAAGUAAAAGUGUAAUGAAAAGAGAAAGAAAUAAAUUUUCUAUAUAAUAGACAUUGUUGGCUGAUGUAUCAUGCUAAUUAGCUUAUGAAUAAAAAACCGCCUCUCCCUUAUAAUGGUUAGCAAACCGCGCCCCUUGCAUCAGCAUCGUAGAGGACUCAAGUAUCUCUCAAUUGGUGUAUACUCUUCAAUUGAUCCUCCUUGAUGUUAUUUAUAUCAAUUGACUUAUUAAUUUCGAUUUUGCUUGGGAUCUCAAUUUAGAAAGUCAUGGGAUCUAAAGCUCAGAUAAAAAGAGGAAUUAAAAAAAAAAAACACUAAAGACAUUGCGUCAAUAUCGUUGACCGGUAAGAAUCCUGGUACUUGCGACCUUGUAGGUCUGCUACUCGGGACCUCACUAAUAUAUGACAUUAAAAAUAAUUUUUUUUUUUUAAUGAGAUAGAAAGAUAGUUAAUUAUUAAUAUUUGAUACUUCUACCCUUUGUUUAAGGGCAAUGCUAGUAGGUCACAUGACACAUCCAAUGAUGUUUUCACUGCACAUGUCCAUUUUUUUUUCUAUAGUGAUAUAGUCAGUUAUUAAAAUGUUUUUUUUUUCCUUUUUGUUGCGAAUUUCCCCUUCUAUAAAUCACGAACACGAACACGAGCACAAAAUUUUUUCGUCGAAAUAAUUGAUCUAUUCAGCACAUGCUGAUACCUUUAAUUGUUUUCUAUAUCGUGAAUAAAUUAUUAAGUGAUGAUUGGACAAAUCAUUAAACAGAAAAAUCUCUUGACGAAAAGUAUCCUAGAUUAUCUCGCGCGUGUAUGCUGAAGAUCUAGAUAUACAUUAUUGUAUUUUAGGGUACAAGAUUGGCUCUCUUUGUCACUGAUUUUGUAAGUGUCCUAUUGCCUUUGGAUGGUAAUUCUUUUUGUAACUGUUCGACUUCGAAAUCGGCAAUGACCAGGAGUAACCAUCAUCGAUCAAGCCCUCUUAAGUGAACACUUAAAAAGAAUUAGUCUCUUAAUCACUUGAAUUGUGUUAAAUCAGAGGUAUUGUUUGUAGAUAUCAUGAAUAAUGGGAAAAUUUCCAAAAAGGUCCUAAAUCUAUUGCACUUUAGCCAAUUAAGUCAUAAAUCUUUUAAUUACGUCAAUUGAAUUCUAAAUCUUUUCACAUUUUGCCAACUGAGUUUAUUGGGCCAAUUUUAAGAAAAAAUCACCGAUGUGAAUGCCAGCCGUCUUACGUAAGAUGGUUGAUACUAAUGUUGGCAAAUUCUUAUAAUUUUUUUUAAAUGGAAUUUUUUAAUUCUUUUAAUUUUUUUUAAUUUUACCAUGGCUUGUGAGAGUCGUCGGGUCCUUGUAGCUACUAGCGAAGACUCAGUGACCCUUGCCAGACAUGGCGAAAAAAAGUAAAGGAGGAAAAUAGAAGAAAAGAAAAAAAUGGAAAAAUAAGAGAAAAAGGUCCAUAAAAAUUCAAAAAAAAAUGUUUAAAAUAUUUUAAAAAUUCUCCACAUUAGCGUUGCUUGUGCCACGUAACAUAACCGGUAUCCGCAUUAGCGAUUUCCUAACAAAAUUGAUCAGAUGAACUCAACUGACAAAAUGUGAAAAUGUUUAAAAUUCAACUGGCAUGACUAAAAGAUUAAUUACUGAAUUUGUAAAAGUACAAUGAGUUUUUUCUGGUAAUUUUCCCAUGACUAACUAGCAUCUCUCUUCCAUCCUGAUUCUGAUCAUAGUUUAAACAUGAUAUCAUAAACAAACCACUAAGAAGGUUAGUUAGUAACCUUUUUUUUUAUCGUUUGCCAAGCAUGUCGUUCCAUCAUCUUUCAAUAAAUUGUCAAGUGGCAUUUGUAGAGAAAAGUUUUCAUCUCGGCUCACUGGCAAACUGAAAAUUGUAAUGGUCAUGAGUAAACGGUCAGGAUGAUAACGAUAUUUAAAAGUACUUGUGUAGUUCUUCGCCUGUUAGUAUGCUAAACUUGGAAAAUGUCGAAUCAACAUCAAUUUAACACUGUCUUUACUCGAAUAGCUACAGAACUAUGUAAGAAAACACAAAGAACAAGAAGAGAAUCCCGAAGCUCUAGACAUGGCAUGACCAUGAAAACUCCACCGAGAGCUGGUUUUUGUCCUCAGAGUAGAUGUGAAAAUGUUGCAGAAUUAAAGAAUAAGCAAAGAUUCUUCGUAUCUAGCACUGUAAGCUUGCUCGAUAUAGAGUGAAACAAAGGGACAUUGCAUAGAGUUUGCACCUAUAUGAAGUUCACGAUGGCCGGGAGCAAUCCGUGCCACAUGACCUCAACUUAAGUGCAUCGCCGUAUCAAUAAUCAGUUCUUCCACAAGUAGAAUCGAUACGCAAUUUAUGCUCGAAUUGUCCUCUAUUCACCUUUCACUUGGGGAUGGUUUUCCAUGAAUCUCUUCCAGCUCCUCGAACCUGUUAUCGAGGGCUCUUCUAAGUGAGGCCAUCUAUAUAUGAUCGUUUGCUUCUGGAAGUCGGUUUAUGGAGACCUUGAAGUUCAGCCUAUGAAUUUUGCUGUACACUAGACGGGUCCUGUUGUCGUACUUCGAACACCUAUGUGAGGUUUCAAUUGUUCUCGCCUUCCUCUCAUGGUGCAGCAGAGCAACAAAUGUCAAAGGAAUUGGAAGAGACAGUUCCACAGCCUCCUGUCACAAUGAAUGGUCUUUCUCAUCAGGAUGAUUCUCCAAUGAGCGUAAUGAACUGCAGGAAUAAGUAAGAAACUCGAUUCUUGAGAUGUUUCUGUCUCAUAUCGUUUACUUUUUUCUCCAUUGCGUCGAAUAUAGUACCUACUCUAGUGAUUAGCUUAACUUUUCAUUUCAAUCUGAAAGCUACUCACCUACAUUUAUAGGACUCUUAAUAUAAAUUACCUGCUUGUGCACACUAUCUUACUUGGCGAAUUCUGUCAUCUGCACUAGUUUAAAUACAUGCAUCAUUCGAGAGCGCAAGUGCCUUUGAUGGCUUAUGGCCUGAGGCAUGGCGUAAUUGUUUUUUUGCCUUGUCAAAAGUGUUGCGCAGAGGACCUGAAUAUUCUUUUGAUAGGAAUUGUCUGUUUAGAUGAUCAUAAUUGCUACCAUUGCUAGAACAUACUACCAAUAACAACAUGAUAGUCGCGGUGUGCAUUCUAGUUGAACAUAGUUUCAACUUCGAGUUGUGAUGCUAACUGUUCUCGCACUUGUGGUUCUAAAGUGUUGAUGGACAGAGCUGAAUCUGACAAGCUACUAGCCAUUCCUGUCGGUUUUGUUGGAUCAGAAGAGGUGGUAAGGUCUGUUCCACAUCUUGUACCUGGCAGUAAUCUUGCUUGUCCUUCAUUGGAAGAACAAGGAAUGAGAAUAAAUGCUGCAUUAGACGCUGCCCUUGCACCAAUUUCUCAUCUCUCGAACCUCAUUGCCGACGGCCACCGGGCUGCAAACUUCAGGGGACCUUUCCAACCAUCAGACUUUUAAUGGCUCGAAGCUGGAGCCACUUGGAUUCAUACCCUAUCCCUUACUUUCUCUGAAGGUAUUUAUGAUAUUUAACACUUAGCUCGACAUUCUGCGUCGUCGAUCUUACUUGGUUUGGACUACCUACUGGCGAAUCUCUUCAUGUAAAGGUUUGGCUUGGAAUAUUACUUGUCAGCAUAGUUGCAUAGACCCGGCGGUUCUGUUCUUUUACCCAUCAGUCCAUUCGACUCGUGGUGCAACAAAUCUGAAAAAUGCUUUUAAUAUGCUAUUUUAGAGUUAGCUUUCAGCAGUGAUCUCGAACAAUUUCUUGUUCUCCAAACCGAGACUCGUUCAGAGUCAUUGAAAGCCUUCAAUUUCUGACCUUGUACUAGGAAGGUCCUUCCUGCUUUAUCUGUUUCUAGAUACUUCAAAAACCAUCUAAAGUAAUUGAAAAGACCAUGCGGAAAAAGUUAAUUGCUGUUGUACUUGGCGAGGCAACCCAAGUUUAAGUAGCAGCGUGCACUUUUGCUACUUCUCUAUGUAUUCUUACUCCUGAUGAGUGGCGUUGUUUGUAGCUUCCAUUCAGGAGUACCUUGCUAAUUCGGCAUCAGGUCAGGGUUCUCUGUCUGCAAUAUCCGAGUGAAGUGGAUAUCGCGCGUUCCUUCUCAACAUCGGUGUCUGGUGGAAUGUUUGCCAAGCAAGAAAACUCAUGUGCAGGGGACAACAGUGAGGAAUAUAGUACUUGUUUGGAAGAAUGUAAGGCACCAUCUCAUGACUUAUCAUCGAGUGAAUGCACAAAUUCUUACUGCAUUGAGAUAUUGUGCUUUUGUAAUACAUCACAUCCUCUAACAUGACAUCACGUGUUCAAUUUCUAUUCAUCGUAAAGGCAAAAAUUGAUAGCCACAAUCGUUCAUCGGUUAGGCUAGGACCCAUCUAGAAACAAGAGGUCGAAGUCAGAGAUUGCUUGAACAGGUAGCUGAUGUCGAGCUGGUUGAUCGAGCGGGGGUUGAAGGGUGGGGGUGAGAACUUUUGAUGGAAACGAGAGAGAUUCGUUGCUCAAAAUGCAAACAUUAACAUGAAGAAAAAAUUACAUUGUUAUGCCAAGAGGAUUCACACGAAACAAAAAUUAUAAUGAAUGCCAUACGACAUUCAUUGUGAUUUAUAAAACAUGGACAGAAUGAGUCUAAUAGAAAACACCAAUGCUAUUACAUUAUCAAUGACAGUACAUGCUGAUAGGGUUAAUUAUAUUUCGCAUCUCUUUUCUACAAGAGGAGAACAAUCACACAAUACAUGAUUUCGUAAACUCAUUGUCGUGGUCAAAUUGAUAACUACUAGAAAUUAUCGGAGCACUUGACGACAAUGAGACCAUUUCAAGUUCUAUCUCAUUGUUGUCAUCAUCAAUUGGUGCCUCUAUCGGAUACAAAAGCGGUUUUGGAGGUAGUUGCAGUUUAUCAAUAUCUCCUUCAAGCAUAUCUAGAACUUUCCUCAUUGAUGGCCGAUCAUUAGGGCUCAGCUGUAUGCACCAUAGCGCAACGAUUAUCAUCUUCCUUGUUUCUCUUUCCUCUUCUAUGACUUCUACCCUCUCAACCUCCUUUUCUUUGCUGAGUUGAUCAUAAACCCACAAAGGAAAGUAAAUUUGACUUGAAUGCCCUGCAUGUGCAUUUAUAUUUCUCCUUCUACCGGCCAUUUCCAUUAACAGCAUCCCAAAACUGUAAACAUCGGCUUUAUAAGAAAUGCCACCAAUGUCUUUGUAGAAUAGCUCUGGUGCCAUAUAACCCAAGGUUCCUCUUACUGCAGUCAACGAUACUAUACUAUGACCGAUGGGAUAAAGUCUUGCAAGUCCAAAGUCAGAAAUUUUCGGAGUGAAACUUUGGUCUAGGAGAAUGUUGUGCGGCUUGAUAUCAAAGUGUAGAAUUUGCAUAUCACAUCCCCGAUGUAGAUACUCUAUCCCUCUAGCUAUGCCAAGAGAGAUCUCAUGCAUUUUCUUAUAAUCAAGAGGAUCAUCACCAUCCUUAUUCGAAAUGUGUUUAUCCAAAGAGCCAUUCGGCAUGAAAUCGUAGACCAGAGCUUGUUUGGAGUAAUUGAAGCAAAAACCAACAAGUUGCACCACAUUGAUGUGGUGGAUCCUUCCAAUUGUGGCCACUUCACUAAUAAAAUCUUGGCCAUUAGAUUCUGAUUUGUUCAAAAUCUUAACCGCAACUUCAUUGCCACUUCUAAGGAUUCCUCUAUACACAAAGCCAUAUCCCCCCUCACCUAAUUUGCAUUUGAAAUUUUUUGUAAUCUUCUUGAUAUCCGAGUAAGAGUACCUUAUGGGCAAAAAGUUGUUGUGAACUUGUAGGAAUUCUUCGAUGUUUGCGUCAAUCGCCCGGUGCCUUCUCAUCCACUUAUAGAUUAGAAGUAUCAACACACACGGAGCUCCGAGUAUGAAUUUUGCUGCGACGUAGUUGGCUACAUAGAAAUUGUCCAUAGAUUAGCGCAGUGCAAUAAAUUUUUGGUAAACAUAAUCGUUUUAAAUCAGAGUGCUUCUUGAGAUCAUCAUAGUUGUGAGGAGAAUAGGCCCAGCAGUCAUACCCAAGAAAAAGGCGAGGCGCCAACCUACAAUUUCCGCGUACCGAUGCUUGGUCCACGUAGAACUAGGGGUGUCUGCAACAGAUUAAUUAGAGUCGGUGAUCAAUCAAUGAAGAAUUAAAUUUAUCAUUUUAGCAGUUAAACCUAAAUAUAAUUUACUCUCCUUGACAGCGCUUAGAUCACAGUUAAUUCAAGUCACCUAGCGAAUCCAUGUCAUCGUAGCAUGACAUUUUCUCUUGAAGAAAAGCGAUUUUGCUUUUGUUCACCUAUAUGUACCAAAUGAUUCAUAAGUUCACGUCUCGUUGCGCGUAAUUCUAAUUUUCAAACGUCAUUCAAUACGCGUGCAGUUUUUUCAGCCGCAUAACAAUAACAGCCGUGCAAGGGACACGAACAACAAUUAAAUCAACCAUUUUUCCCCAAACAAAAAUGAAGUAACAAUGUCAAAUCCAGAAAAGCUCCAAGACUCGUAAAAUAAACGAGAGCAGUGCAUGCCGACCCUACUAAGAAAUCUAUUUAAACUUUUCUACUUAAGUGAUGUGGCAAUUUUUCUAUUAUGUUUUUAAAGAAACUAGUGUCUUAAUGUGUGGAUUUUAUUAAAAAUACCCAAUUAAAACCUGCCACGUCACUUGGUAAGUAAAUUUUGAUCAGAUCUCUUAGUGAAGCUAGCAUUUAUGGCAAGGAGGAGGAGGAGGGAGAGAAAAAGAAAGAACAGCUUAAGGGAACGUCGCUUACGAGCACGAUAGCCGCAAUGCCCCCUUCGGUUAAUAAAACUUAAGAAGUGACAUCGAAAGAAUACUCUCACGGCACUAAAGCGCGGAUAGGAGAGAGUGAAUCCCUCGACCAUCUUGUUGUGGAGGUCCUUGUAUGGUAAGCUACCAUACUGAUCCCUUUUCCAACCUAAGAUUUGAUCCGAUGGGAAUACCAUCAUGGUUACGGUGCAAGAGUCCUUGAUAUCCCUUGCUCGUAGAUCUCCAUAUACAGCGUAUGAGUAUACCUUCAUUUGGGAAAAAUAAGGAGUUGUGUCGGCAGAGUAUGCGCCCUCAAUACAUGGUUUGGCAUCAAUAUAAGAAGUAGAAGUAACAGGUUGUGAGCACUUCAUGAAGGCCACAGUGACAUUGUCAUAUGGAAAUUCAUAUAGAUCACCAAAUGGACUAGACUUAGUAAAGUUGGAGUACUCCAAUGGGUAACGAGGAAGGGAUGAGCAAUUACCCUUCUGCAGUCCAUCAUCAACCACCGUGAUAUUACCAGAGAAGUCAUUUUGGUCAAUAUAGAAAUCGUAAUGAAUCGACUUCACAUAAUAUCGGCCAGCAUUUAAAUAUAGAACAGUGCGGUUAUUUUCACAAGCUAGCUCAUACUGAGAGCUACCGCAGUCUUUUGGAUCGCCUUUCAAUCGAAAAGGAUAACUUAUGUUACGAAUCUCACCGCAAGACGAAGGGGCACACAAGUGAUUCUUCUUCGCAUCGCAGCUCAUCCCUAACAAUAGCAGAACAUGCAAUAUGAGAAGUAAAACAUGGAGCAUAAAUAUCGAGCUGCGAGAAAUAAUCAUCUCUUUAUCGUUUGGUCUGAUGCAAUGGAAGUUUUAGCUCACUUGGUAAUGCGAGGGAUGCUUAAUAAAGGGUUGGGAGUCAUCGGUCAUCGAAAUGUCCAAGUCAACCCUAAAACAAAGUCUAGCGAAGAAAAACUUAAAAAGUAUGGCCCUGCAAAAACACGAUCUUGAGUGAAGAAAAAGUGGGUCGCAUGUGGAAAUUGCAGCCCUUGCAGUCAAGGCGACAAAAACACAGUGUUGGAAUUAUUUAUGGUGUGGCUUUCACAUUGAUUCGAAAAGAAACUUCUCUGCAGUUUUCAGAUUUAAUUUUCUUGGCAAAUUGACUCUUUAGGAAUCAAUUUUACUUCAGUAAAAAAAGAAUCGAUUGGAAUGUUAUGUACCCUAAAUUGAAUCAAAAUCCUUUCAAGUGAGGCAUUGGCAUUCAAUUUUAUUUUCAAGGCCAAUAUUCUCACGGUGGUGGGUUCACACGAUUAUACCUAUCCAUUUCCCGCAUCAGGUCAUCAUCCGAUAAGAAAGUCAUCAUGGUUAUGUUGCAAGAAUCCUCGAUGUCCUUUACUUGUAAACCUAACCCAUAAAUAGCGUAAGAGUACACCUUCAUUUGGGAAAUAUUAGGGGGCGCAUUGGAAGGGUAUGCUCCCUCAAUACAUGGUUCAGUAUUGAUAUACAAAGGAUAAGCAACGGGCUGUGAGCACUUCAUGAAGACUGCCGCAGAGGAUGAAGCAUUUUGAUAGUACGGAUACCGAUCACUCAAGUUGGAGCUCGCCAAUGAGAAACGAGGGAGGGAUGAGCAAUUACUUUUUUGCAAUCCAUCGUCAACCACCAUGAUUGCGCCCAAUAUUUUAUCCCCGAAAUUAUUGUAAUUGUCAAUCGACUUCACAUGAUAUCGACCAGCAUAUAAAUAUAGAACGGUGUGAUUAUUUUCACAAGCUAGCUCAUACUUAGAGCAGCCGCAGCUUUACGGGUCACCUUUCAAUCGAAAAGGACAGCGUAUGUCAUGAACAUCACCACAAGAUGAAGCAGUGCACAAGCGAUUAUUCUUCACACAGCAACUCAUCCCUAGUAGCAGUAGAACAUGCAAUAUGAAAAGCAAAACAUGAAACAUGCUCAUGGAGCUUAGAGACUUCUUUGUCUCUCUAUCGUUUGAUCUGAUGCAAUGAAAGUUUUUGCUAAUUGGUAAAUAUGAAUGAAAAGCGUUGGGUCGUCGGUCAUACAAAUGUCCAAGUCAACCAAUAAAGGCAAGUCUAGUGAAGAAAAAGUGUAUAUCCCGUGGAAAUUGUGACCCUUGCAAUCUACGUGACAAAACACAGUGUUGGAAUUAUUUAUGUAUGGCUUUCACAUUGAUUAGAAAAGAAACUUCUCUGCAGUUUCCAAAUUGACUUUUCUUGGUACCAUAAAUAAGAAUUGAUUUGAAUGUUUCGUAUUCUAAAAUGAAUCAAAAAUCCUUUCGAGUGAGGCAUUGGCAUUCUAUUUUCUUUUCAAGGCUAAUACUUCAUGUAUGUCGCUUAUUAAAUUGUGAAGACAGAAAGGAAAUACAUAUCGUAUUUUAUUAUAUGAGCUUUUUCAUUUUUAACAAAGAACAAAAAUUGGUAACAAAAAUAGCUUAUUGAUGGGAAUAUUAACUUGUAUAAUGUCGCUUUUGGCAUAAGUAAAAGGAAAACAUGGAGUAAGUGCUUCUUGGAUUGUGGAAUAGAUUAUGAAAGAAAGAAAGCAAUGCAAUAAUUGCUAUGGAGGGACCGACGCACCUAGAAAGCAGUACAAUAAUUGCUAUGGAGGGACCGACGCACAUAGAAAGCAAUACAAUAAUUGCUAUGGAGGGACCGACGCACCUAGAAAGCAAUACAAUAAUUGCUAUCGAGAGACCGACGCGCCUUGACUAGAACCUCGCUAACUUUGUCUUCACACAAAGACUAUAGAUGCAAAAUUUGACUUCAAAAACAUAAAGCAAUGUUUAUUUAUUUACUUUCGACUUUAAUAUUUCAAUCACUCUCCCACAAUUUUGCUAGAUCUAUGAACAAUACAAUCAUCUCUUUCCUAUAACAUAACCACUUAAUGAUUGAAUUGAUCAAUUUCAAUAAAACUGUCAUUUUGUCAAAUGAAAGAAAUGUUGUUGCCUACUUCAUCAUCAUCUUCCAUAUCUCUGAAUGUGUGAUAUUGAAGGUGUCAUGUAAGUUCAAAUGAGACUAUCGGUCAAUUUGCUUUUGUGAACAUAACAUCAAAGAGUUUCGCAUAGAAAUUCUUCUCAGUGAAACAGACACGCCUUCAAAUAGUUGUAAUUAGCAUUUACCAUAUAUUUUUCAAGCUAAUGCGUACACCUAAGUAUAAUUGAAGAGACUGAAAUGGAUUUUCCAUAUAAUACAGCAAAGUUUAUUUUAACUGACGCAUCCAAUGACGUUUUAACUGCACAUGUUCAAUUUUUUGUAGUAAUAUUAUUACUGAUUACGUUUUUAGUUUUCUUUUUAUUGCAUAUUACCCUUUCUGGAAAUUGGUUUGUUCUGCGAGCAGUUCCACACGCAAUGAUACCUUAGUUGCUUUCUAUAUCAUCAUUAAAUAUUCGGCAAUGAUUAGUCAAAUUUUUAAGUAAAAAAUCUCUUGUUGAAAGUAUCCGAUAUUAUCUCUUGCACGUACACCAAAAGAUUUUGGACAUAAAUAUGCAAAUUGAUGUAUCAACUAUCAAUUCAUUCAGUGCCAUAUAAUACUAUAGAAAAAUAAUAAUCUGUUUCGUAGUGUAGGAUCUUUCAUUUUUGACAAAACUGAAAUUUGUAACUGAAAAGAUUAAUAACGGCACUAAAGACUAUCGUUGUAAGUUAUAAGAAAAGAAUAAAGACCACACAAUAAUUUCUCACCCAGCAAUAGAUGAACGCGAGCCUCAAUUUGAAAGUCACUUGCUUCAUCAUUGCCUGACAUGCACGAAGACUAUAAGUGCAAUAUUCGCAUUCAUAAAAAUAAAGCAAUACGUGCUUCUUCACUAGCAAUUGAGAGUAUUAUUCUUGUAAAUCAAUCACUCACUCUACUCACUCUCCUGUAAAAUAACCCCAUCUCUUUCCCGCAAUAAAACCGAAUGAACUGACAGAUCUCAACAAUAACGUCGUUUUAUCAAACAAAAGAUGCUUUUACCUGCUUCAUAAUCAUUUUCCAUCUCCAAAUGUGUGGUAUUGCAAGUGUCAUGUAAGCUCAAAUGGGACUACAAGGAAGAGUGCUGCCAUUUUCAUUCUCUAUUGAUAGCUGCUUGAAUCUGCUCAAGACUCCUCCCUUUCGUUUCAGGGACCACCGUGAUCACGAACACCAUCCCAGCGGCGUUAAUCACCGCAUAAAGAAGGAAGGUACCUGUGAAGCAAGCGAGCAGAGUUAUUUGCUUUCGACAAGUUUUUCGGAAAGCAUAUUCUGACAUUUUUCUCAUGGAAAGAAUGCUUUAGUAUGUACUACAUGUCUAUUAAUCAUUAUGCAGAAAAACCCACUUAAUUUUUUUCUUUUUUAAAUGAUAUGUCGGCUCAAUUUUCAUGAUAUUCGAAUCUAGGCAGAAGUUGCCGUAAACGCGUUGAUUUGAAAUAAAUGGUCUGAAUAUGCAUUCGAGAGCAUGAAGAACGGAGCGACAGACACCUCUAGCUCCAAAUAGGAUUGAAAUGUUCAGGAAAAGCUUAAGUCUCAAGUCUGUAGUUUAGUCGAAUUUGCGCAACAACUCAUGUUCCAAUGUGAAAAAUGUUUAUCGAGCUCCUGCCAGAGUAACAGUUCAAAGAGUGUUUUCAGCAGAGUCGUACCGUAGGAGCUCCAGCUCAUUAAGUAGUUGAAAGUGUAGGAAACUGCCCAAGCGCCGAACCAGUUCACUAGUGUUGCGAAACCUCCAGCAACUCCUUUGAUAUUAAUGGGGAAAAUCUGAACUCCAGCACACAUUACAUGAUUGGCAAAAGAAUUUUGAAACUCUUGUACUAAUAACACCAGUUACGAAAACAACCCUUUAAUUUGAUAAGCAUGAAACUUCGGGGGAUGUUUAGGAUUACCUCGGACAUCACGACCCAAGGAACUGCGCCCAUUCCAGCUGAAAAUGCUGCUAUGUAUAGCUGAGCAUUGGAAAAAACAGAACAGAAAAAUUUAUACUAGGGAGUUGUUGCGGGGGCCAACUGGGUAGAGCCAGAAAGAGAUCAAGGCAGUUGAGAUUAUUACCAGAAUGCCGGUGACGGCAAGUAUUGGGACAGCAUCAGCCGCCAGAUCAUGAACCUGGCUCGGAAGAUUCUCAAAAAAUUACUGGUUGACAAGCAUUGCAAAGCAGAAGGAAGACACCAGGACUGAUAGUAUUUACCUUUAGAAAGAAUGAAAGGGCAGUUACUAUGCAUCCCAGGACCAAUCCUGUCCCCGAGAUCUGCGAUUGAGAGAGAGAGAGAGAGAGAGAGAGAGAGAGAGAGAGAGAGAGAGAAGGUUAUGGGUCAAGUUGCAGAACUUGCGAAAGGGGCAGAACCAGAAAAGCUUUGUUACUAUAGACAUGAUUUCUUAGCUUUCAUCUAUUUUACCAAGAGAAGGGGCUUUCUUCCAGCUCUAUCGACCAGUGCAGCGCCAAUAGCCGUGACAAUAACCUGCAAAAAUUUACUCUUUAAGCGUGACGAGUAUAAAACUAGAUCCCCAGCAAGAGGAAAGGGCAAGAAUUACAGACCUGGAGGAUUGCAUAAGUUAUGGUUCCAACGCUGGAGGAGAAACCUGAGGAGAUUGUACAAAUGCGAUUAUAAAGGCGAGACUAAUACCUUGCUUGUGAGAUUCAACGCUAAAUUAUGUGAACAGCUCAUUCAGUGAUAAUUAAGUAGACCAAAAGCAUUCGACAUAAUACCUUGCUUGUGAGAUUCAACACUAAAUUAUGUGAACAGCUCAUUCAGUGAUAAUUAAGUAGACCAAAGCAUUCGACAUUGAAAAUUUUACUAACCCAUUUGAAUAUUAACUGGAUUAUAUAAAUUGGAACCCCUGCUUUGCUUUUUAUUUAGCUUUUCAUUCUGGAAUCUAAAAUGCAAAGCAUACUUUCAUUUUUGUGGUGCCCAAGAGCUUCUUGCUAUGAACUGCAUACCUGCUUCCUCAAAAAUAUUGCUUGUAUAGAAACAGACACCAUUUAUCCCUCCGAACUGCUGGACGACCAUCAAUCCAACACCAAUCUGGCCAAAAUUUAACAAAUUUGUCAGCAAAAAGAACAACAAUGGGAAAUAUCACCAAAAGUACAACUACUGCACAUUCCCGAUUCACAGGAUAUUCCUAGAAAGCAACGAAGGAGGGACUUUAUUGGAUACAUAGCAGUAAAUACAGAGAGAAGAUUACAAUGACAGAGCUCAGAUAUCUUCUCUGAAAUAAAUCGAGAAUGCUGGCUUUCGGGAGCAGUUGAAGAGUUUCGAUGUAGUCCUGUCAAGAAAAACAAAUUCGAUCAUUCUGUCAGUUAUUUGUACUUAUAAAGCUGAGGCACUACGAUGAAACGAGUAUAGACUUAAAGCCUUUUACUUGUAUUUCAGCAGCCUCUUCAGAAAUGUCCGCAUCCUUUCCACGGAGUUUCUGCAGCGCAGCUUCAAACUCCUUUUCGCGGCCUGUUUUUGCCUGCAUUUGGCAGAAUCCUAAAAUUCAUUCCAACACUACAAAUCCCUCUCUUCCAACAAUUCAGGUAAGAAGAGUCUGGUGUUCAUCUUGAUUUGUUACCAGCCAUCUAGGAGACUCUGGAAUGAAAAACAGGCCGAACAGUAGGACUGCACAGGGGAUUAGACCUGCAUAAACAGCAGAUGUUCAAGGUGGUUUCAGACUUGGACUUUUCAAUACAACAUUGGCACUAAACUUGAAUUAUGCUACUUUUUUCUGUUUUACCAAUUAAUGCCAAAACCCUCCAAGCUAAUACUGUCCCAAUUAUGAAGGAAACGGACACUCCAGCAACGAUCAUAAGCUGUUGAGAGAAGAGAACAUGUUAGGCCUAGUAGGUUCUGUAGGAUGUACAUAUAUACACCAUCUUGCACUUGCAAGAGGGCAAAAUUUGCUACAAGCUAAGGCCUUUUGCCAAUAGCUCCAUGCUUGCAAUUUUAACCGAGAAUGUUCAUACAAAAUCUUUGCCUGAUUGACAGCAGUCAAAGCUCCACGGAGAUUUUUGGGUGUAAUUUCAGCUAUAAAUAUCGGUACCUGGACAUAAAUUAGAAAAAGAUUAACCAAUCUAAACCGAAGAGAGAGCCUCAUGUUGUCACUGUGAAUCGAGUCCAGCAUGUUGUCGUAGAACAACUUGCUACAUCAAAUUUGUGUGGUACGAAGUGAGGAAUUACCACAUAGGAAAAGACUCCCAUUCCAUAUCCCGUGGCCAAUCUUCCAAUAUCCAGAGCCAGUGCUCCCUAAUUUACUCAAAAUUAAACAGAACAGAGAGUUGAUGAGACUUGAAGUUCUUAUGAAACUAAUCGAUCUUCAUGUUUGAUUAGGCUUGUAAAUAGGAUAUGGACACACCUCAGCAAAGUAAAUAGCAAGCCAUCCUGCUACACAAAGAGCGCUCGCUAUUCUCAUUGUCUGUAUUUUGAGGCAAAUGUUUAUGCUGUCACAUCCUCCGUCCAUGAUAUGACUAAAUCCCAAAGCUAAAACUCUCAGAGAGUCUUGAACAACACUGUUCUGUUUUACAUUGUGAAAGACGCACUCAUUUGCUGCUUACCCAUUUACGGCCAACAAAAUCAGCUAUUGGUCCUCCGGUAAUUGCACCAAUCAUUGCACCGAAUGUCAGUAUGGAUCCAAAGACUGAAUACUGUUGAAAGACACAUAAAGAGUAACUGCAAAUCAGCUUGAGUUCAGUGAGAUUAAGAACUUCAGUUACCAUCUAGCUAACGAUGCUAUAAGUCACCGAAUGUCCGAGAAUCUCAGUGGAAAGCUAUUCUGAACAAACCUAUUACUUCGAUCAGAAACCUGAAUGAUAUGCAGUCGCAAUUUUCAGCUGACGAUACCCAAUCUAAAUCUCUUCAUUUUUUGGUUUUGUUGUCCUGAGGUGUCCAACAAUGGAACUCGAUGUGAAAAUUCGGUAUGCAUUUCACUCGUUACAAUGCAGAAAGAAUAAGAUGUCUAGAGAAAGAAGUAUCUCUACCUCAAAGCCAACAUCCUUAUUUUUGAGAGAGUCUUGUUUACAAAGUUUUUGAUCAUAUAACUCGUCCAUAUUAUGGAGCCAUAAUAUGAGCAGAUCGUUACUUUGAUUUCUUGUAUAUGGGCGCCUUCAGUGACAAGUCCGAUAGAAGCAACGGACAAAGACAACAUGACAUGUGCUUCUCAACACUCGCAGGUAAAUUCGACAUACCUCAGCUGUAGAGAGACUAAGUUCCUCCACUAUAGCAUCCUGAGUAGGUGAUGAAUAACCUGCCUGAAGAUCCAAUGGAACAAUUUCUCAUAAGAUUCAAUUAAUCACAUCCUUUUCAUUUUCACCAUUACUAUUGGACCUGGACUUUUCAAAAAAAAAUUGCAUUUCCUACUUACGCAGGUCCCGAAUUCAUAUGAACCGCAAACUGCAACAAAUGUGGUGAAAUAGACCAUCCACGGACGACCCUUAUCAAUUCCUUCAUCUUUGCCAGCUCGGUCCUUCUCUUGCGGCACGAGGAGCCGCUCUCUUAUUCCUUCUCUGUCCCCGGUUUCUUGAUUUUCAAUGUCCUCGUUAAUCGCCAUGCUUGCUCGCCUUCCAAAAAUGCUCCUUCGUUCCCUAUCUGACUAUGUACAAGGAACUAGCAAAUCUAUAAGCUCCAGAGAAGAUAAGUUCUCUUUCCACCGUGGCCAGUCUGCUUGCUUUAUAUGGAUGACUCGAAAUGAGAAACCCCAAGUGCUAAUAUGGAAACCCCAUCUCAGAUCGGUUUAUACUAGUGGUUUCUAGGAAUUCCUCGCUGACCUCAGUCUUGCAAACUGGCAAGCAACUCCUUGCUUUUCUGACUCGCCCCCGUUAAUGGUAUUGGAAUCACUAAUGGAACAGAGUCUCCGAAUACAGCAGGAUCACAGAUGUAAAGGGCUGCAUCGCUCUUUAUGGGCAAGGAGUAAGUGAAAACAUGGAACUGGACUUUCUCAAUGAUACGGCUCUGGAUAAAGACAAAGUAAAAACCACGGACAAAGUUCUAUCUUUUUCAGCCAACCACCGGCUAGGAAAACCAGAGUGUUUUUCUAACCUGGAAAGUAAUUAAGUUCUGUCCAUUUUUCCAUGGAGGCAUUGUUAUCUUCAACUUUAACCCACGUUUAUCGUGUAAGAAAGAUAAGAUCUCAAUUAAUAGUUUCUUAUCUCUUUGGUGCAAUAAGAAACUAUCAAGAAAAAGAACUGUUCUGCUAGAAUAUUACUUUUCUUUUGGGAAUUUUCUUAACCAAAACCCUUUUUUUUUCCCGAUUGGACGAUGAGCAGAAGAUAAUUUCUGCCGGACCUUCUUCUGGGGACACAUUAUCUUCCUUUUCUAUUAUUUAAAAGAAUCACUACAUAUGCGAACAAAAAGCAUGCAUAUAGCCUCCUUUGUGGUCAGUGACGCUUUUGAUGUCUGCUCAAAUGGUAAAGACUAGAUAGCAGGAAUUUCAAAAAGAGAUGUUUUUCAUCUUUCCUUAGUGGCCAAUUUUGCGGAAAAUGGCAAUUUAUAGAGGCAAGAGGUGGACAGAAUUACUUUCUACUAAGGACGUCAUGUACUGCCGAGGCCCACGAAUCUAAAGAAUUUAGCCACCAUGAAGCCAGCCGACGGGAAAGAAUUCGCAGGCACAACGCAAUGGACCAUAAAGUUGCAGAGGACAUUAGCCAAAAAUGUCCAACCACCAUUCUCCAACUACUUUAUUGGUCCACAUUUGCUGCAUCUCCCUCUUCUCUCACUUCACGAUUCGGAAUAGGCCAACAAAAUCCAGCAAGAAUAUAUGGCUGUGGCCUGCUUGAGAAAGGGAAAAUAUCAAAAUAUAUCUUACUCUUGAUCUAAUAGCCACUCACAUAUUUUCGUUUUGAUAAAUAUCAUUCAUAUACUUCCAAGAAAAUCCCCACAUUGAGAACAUUAAUUUGCCCCUCCAUGUAAACUCAUUUUAGCAUAUUCCUUACGGUUUAAGUAGACUGAAAAAGUGAAUUUUGAAUGGUAGAAUUCGUGUAGAUAUUUGUUAUUUUCAAAAGAAGAGGUAAAUGGUCAUGGGAUGAGAAAUAAUGUGUAUUUCGUUAUAUUUUUCUCAAAAAACUUAGACAAAACAAAUAUGCUAAUCUUAUAAGCACAUAGUGAGAUUUGUAUUUCAAGUGUAUUAGAAGAAAAAAGACCCUGCAAAUGUCAUAACUUUUGUAUAACGACCACUUAAAUACCAUAACUUUUUUUUCAAUCACUUAAAUGUCAUAAUGAAUCACUUAAGCAUUGUAAUUUUUCAUUAAUAAGGAAAUCCGAUGUGACAUGGCACUUAUGGUAAACAUUCUUUAAAAAUUACAACACUCAAAUGAUCAAUUAAAAGUUAUGGCACUCAAGUAAAGAUUUUUUUUUUUUUUAAAGUCAUGAUACUCAAGUAAUAAAAAAAAUAAAAUGUUAUGGCACUUAGGCGAGCACUGCACGAAAAUUAUGAUACUUGUGGUGUCAUUAUCUCAAUAUCUUAAUAUCCUUCUUCCAUUCAUGACACCAAAUCCCAUAAAAUAUAAUAAAAAGCACACAGAAACAAAAUUAUUUUAGCUAAUGUAAGCAUCUAAUUAAGUAGAGAUUAAUCAAGCUGAUUUAGGUUUUAGAGGUUGCCAGUCAUUUUUGCUCAACCCCUACUAAACAAAGCUACGAACAACAAGCGAUUGUUUUAAGCUAGUGGCUCCGUUUAAGCAUCCAAUUAAAAUCAGCAAGAUUAUUUAGCACAACCCUUUCAAUAUAAGAAGUUUUAGGAACCCUUAUCAUCACCUUGAAGAAGGGCAGCUGCGCAAUUGUGAUUAAAACACCUAGGACAAAGACAAAGCAGCCUUCCCUAAUUUAAAGGGAAAAUAGGUGGACGCCAUACAACUUGCCUCACCUCAUAUAUAUAACCCCAAGGCAUGGACUAAAAUUAGUCAUUUGUGGGUCCCUCUUUUGAAAGGUCAACCCACUUGUUGGAAUGGAAUGAAUUUGAUUGAUAGAGAAGGUCUGGAUUACUUGAGGGAGCGGAUAUAUCCUAAUUGCAUAAAUAAUAUAUUAAAUGUAAUAGAGCAUAUGCCACUUUCAUUUUGCAUGAUUGCAUCUAAUCUUAGAGAUUUGGACUCCUUCCUUCCUUCCUUCCUUCCUUUCUUUCUUUCUUUCUUUCUUUCUUUCUUUCUUAUUUUCCCUCCAAUCUUCCAAUUUGUGUAGAAAAAUAUGAUCCUUUUAGCAUGAGGAACUUGAAAAAUCGUUCUGCUGGGCUCGCACUGAUGAAACAAAAAUAAUAAAGCUGAGAGGUUAGGUGAGGUGAGCUGUGAAAGAAAUUUAUGUAUGAGUUAGAUUGUAAAAUAACCUUGGUCUAAAUUCUCAAUAUUUCUUUUGCUAUACGUUCUGAAAUGAAAAAUCUCUAUUUGGACAAGAAAUAUUUCUUUUCUUGAUGACUGUGGAUUAUAAUUAUACAAUUAUGCAUUACUAUAAGUUUUCACCAACCUGUUCAAUGAACAUGGCUUCAUCCAUAAGGAUACAUCCACGGAUGCACAAGAAUCGGAUUUCGACCAAGUCCAGAGAACUAAACAAGGCCUGGUUUUCCUCUCUUUAGGUAGACAUCCUGAUCGUGUUGACAAUCUUAUCCACCAAGACAUGUAAAUUCCCUAUUUUUAAGAGUACAAUGCCUAAGGAAACGAACAUUCGGUACUCUUCUUUCAUCCCGCUCUUAUAUUUUACUAGACAAGACAGAUUGCCAUACGUAUAAAGAUGUAUAAUUAGAGAAGAUCCAAGAGAAUAUAAUAUUAAAGGAUCGACUUAUUAAGACAUGACAAAUGCAACUUGAGUUCAUUAUUUGACCUACACCUUUUAAAUAAAAAUACAAAUAUAUUUUCGUUACUUAUAAAUUCCUAUGUAGGCUUGAUAUGAAAAAAAAAAAAAUUGUCCUAACCAUUACUAUUUUAAUACGAAACUAGAAAAAAGAAAGUCACCCAACACUUUUUAUGCCCAACAAAAGAAACAAAGAAAAGAUUUGCAUAUAUUUUGAGAAAGAAAAUCUAAAGAUUUCGACUUUGCCUGUAUGGAUGAAACAAUAUUUUUUAUUAAAUUUUAGAGAUUUUUGUUCUUAUCUUAUUAACCAACAUCUUUGCUAGUGAAUACAACAUAUUAUUACAACUUUCUUUUUUCUUGGACAUAAAAAAGAGUUUGGGCUCCAAACUAAAGAUAGUAUUACUUUUUAUGUAAUAUAGAUUAUAAAUUCUUUAUUUUAAGGAAGGGCAGGGGUGAAUCACCUAUAAUUAAUUUUUUUCCCCUAGAUAUCAACAUAGAGUACAUAAAACAACUACUUGCCCCCUCUAGACUUUUCUAGUUCUGCACAGCGUAUAUAAAUUCAAUUUGUUUAUGGCAACAUGGAAUAUUCUCUGAGCAACGAACUGUUGCUUUGAACUCACUUCCUCCUUCCUCCUCCCUUCCCUCGCUUGGACGUUAGCUCCAGGACAAAACAGAGAGCGGGUCGCUGGCCGAAGGACGCAAGGACGCGAGGCUGCGCCCGACGUUCGCCCGCGAAUGUCGUGCGGUACGAAGCCAGCUGGUCUCGUCCUUGAAGAAAGGGACAUAAACGAGAUAAAUGGGAGAGAAAGGCGGCAAAGGGAAGGGGAAGUCUCUCCCGUCUUUUUGGGUUUGUUCGGCCGAGGUAGAGCAACCGAGAGAGAGAGAGAGAGAGAGAGAGAGAGCUAGAGCUCGUGAGGGUGAGAAGGUGAGCUCGAGAGAGAGAGAAGGAGCGAGCCAGAGAAGAGAGGGAGCUCGAGGGUGGCUGCUUCUGGAAGGGUGCGGCUGAAAACCAAGGAGACGCUAGAGCCGCUCGAGAGGGGAGACCGAGAAGGUGGAGAGCGAGGGAGAGCGGGAGAGAGAGGCGACUGUGUUCUCGAGUUCUUCGGGGGAGGCUGGAGACAGCGAGAGCAACAGAGAGAGUGAGAUCCGAGAGAGUGAGCAAAGGGUGAAGCGGAGAGAGAACCGAGAGUGAGCGGAGGGAUGGACCGAGAGAAAGCAGAGACCCAGGAGCCGAACUUCGUUCUCGGACAAGCGUUACGCAGCCAUCCCCAACAUAAACCAGCGAUCUCCAGCCAACACCCUCGAGCACGUGGUGAGUUUUCUUUGGGUUCGAUCCACUUUUAUCUCGAUGAUCCUGGCUCGGUGCAACGUCGAGGCGGCCGACCAUAGCUCGUUUCGCUUCAGGCUCACCUACUGGCCGUCGCCGCCGAGCCGGGUAGGGAGUGGUCAAACACUUCUCUCUGGAAACUUCAUUGCUUGGUUUCAUUCAAGACGGAACCAAAACGAUAGCUGGGUCUCGUUUUCCCUAGUCCACCAGCAUGCUCGAUUUGAACGAGCCGUCCCUUUUGUCGAGUUUGAGUCGUCACUUGCUGCUUUCUUUUGAGUAAAUGACUUGGAGUGCUGCCAUUUUCAUUCUCUGUUGAUGGCUGCUUGAAUAUGCUCAAGACUCCUCCCUUUCGUUUCAGGAACACACCCUUUAAAUUCCCCCCUGGAGUUUCUGCAUGAAAAUUGAUUAUUCACUGGUUUAAUAGCAUGCGAGUAAUGACUGGACUUUAUCUAUUUAGAUAUGGUGGCGACUUUUGACUAGUUAUGCACUGUUCAGAAUGCCAGAUUCAUUUGUAGAGGUUUCUAGAGGAAGGAUUUUGUUUACCAUUUUUCUAAAUUAUACAGCAGGUAUUUAUAAUUUGCAUUUCUAAAAUGUAAUUUCCUUUCAAUUUCCAGAGAGAAGGAUCACAUUGUUUCUUGGUGCAACUGGGCAGAAGUUUCUAUCUAUGCUCGUGUGGCACGUAUAUUGAUUUUUUGACAGUCCUCCUAACGGUUUACUUGGUGACACCCAAUCACAUAUCGUUUGGCUACAUUUUGCUCCUCCUAUGUUGGAUCAUAGGAAGACAACUCUUUGAAAGGAAGAGAAGACACCGUUGGUUUCCAUUGAAAGUAUAUGCAAUCACUGUGUUUAUCUUAAUAUACAGCUUGAGCAAUUUCUCCGCCUUUGAGAUGUGGUUGUCAGGAUUGAUUGAUCUUCAUUUUUACUUGGCCUACAACUCAGAAGCUUUGCUAUUUGCAGAAUAUUUGGCAGUCUAAUGCAAUAUGGAUUGUGAUGCAGCUUUACAGCUACGAGAGGAGACAGAGCAAGUAUAUCCAGUCUGAUGACUCCAAACUUAUGGAAUUUGGAGUACUUGGAUUUAUGGAGAGCUUCCUCAUUUGGCACAGCGACAAGAUAGUGUGUGUAGCAAAGUUCUAUGCAUCAUUGUCACCAAUUAGUCUCUGCUCGGUCUUGUCAUUUGUUCCCUUUCACCUAAAGCAUCUUGAAUCCCAUCAAAGUUAUUCCUUCUUCAUACAGGAAUUCUGGUGAUGACAGAAUAUCUCUUUCAGAUGUGGGGUGCCCAGGCAGGAAUGUUUCCUGGACAAAAUGACUUUAGUUUAGCAAAGUUCUUGGGUUUUGAGUUAUUUCAGUCAGGCUUUUGGGGUCUAGAAUUGGGUUUAAGGGGGAAAAGUGUUGGUGAUAUCUGCUUGUAUCCUUCAAUACAAUGUCUUCCGUUUGGUUGCAAAAAUUACCAACUCACAUUUUGAGCAAAUAUUACACCAAAGAACCUUGCCCUCUGUUUGUAUCAGCAGCAGAAGUGUUUAGGGAUUUUUCUAAUUCAAACGGGGAAAGCAAACCACCUGCAGAUUCUCUUGCAAUUCCUUGUGAAGCAGAGGCCGUGAGAAACAAUUUGUCUUCCUCAGCCUCUGGUUUUUGUCAAGCAUCAAAUAAUGUACCCAAAGCUGGAGGCUCUGGGGGUGGUAGUGCUAGAAAUAUUCCUUUGGAUAUAUUUGGGGAAGCACCAACAAAAGCCAGAAAUGGAACAAGAAAAGGAUUAUCACCAUGAGAAGGGAGAGAUUUGAAACGCAGAAGACAAUCUUCAUAGUCUAUAUAAAUUUUUGGAUGGAGAAAACAUGUUUAAUCUCUUUGGCCUCAAAAUAAACACGGUGGCCUUGCUCCUUGCCUCCUUUGCUUUGUUAAAUGCCAUUCCAAUGCUAUAUAUUGCACUUCUUGCUGCCUGCAUACUUCUAAAUCGCAAUGUCAUUCGGAAAUUAUGGCCAGCACUUGUCUUUUUGCUUGCUUCCAUUCUCGUCCUACAAUACUUUGUCAUUUGGAAGAGCACACCAUCUGCCAAUACACAAACAUCAAGCAAGGCUGAGUCUGUAUUUCCUUUCGAAUUUUAUGAUUCUCCUGCCAGUAUGAAUGCUGAAAGUCUUCAUGUGAUGAAUUCAGCUGAUCAUUCAUUUGAGUUUUCCCAUUGCGAGAUCACUGAGGCUGAGAAGGAUGGUGGAGGUUCUUUAUAUGAUUCAGAUAAGAAAGAGAAGGUAAGCAUGUGAUAUCUAUGACUUUGCCUUUGACUGUCUACUCAUGCUAUUUUCAGUUCUCUGUGACAUCUAAAUUCUAUUGACCCUUCUUUGCAACAGGUUAUAUUUGUUGAUGCAGAGCAGGUGGUGCGAGCAGACAUGGGAGAACUUUAUGACAUGGAUCUGAAAGGAAGACCGCUUGCAUAUACUCCUUUUUGUGACAACAACAAGGAGAUGGAUGGAUAUUGCUUUUGGAGACAAGUACAUAUUGAAUCAAUUUAUUCUUGUGUUCUAUUUCAAGCAAUAGAAUGCCUUUGCCUUUUCCAAUCAAUCUAUUCGUGUUUUAUUACAAGCAAUAGAAGGCUCUUGCCCUUUCAGAUCAUUGCUGUCUACAUCCCUAAGUAAGCUCUUUUAUUUUCUCACAAAAACAGGGUUUCUGGAAGGAGCACUUACGCGGAAGACCAUAUCAUAUGAGGUAGAUUUUUUAGACGGUUCCAUUCUGUUUUGGCGCCAUUGGUAUCAUAUAUGGGUUUUAAUUAUGAUAUCGUUCUGCAGUGCACUGUACGUUGUUGAUUUGGAGAAAUUUCGAGAGACUGGGCAGGAGAUAACCUGAGAGUGUUCUAUGAAUCUCUCAGCAAGGAUCCAAACAGUCUGUCCAAUCUUGAUUAGGUCAGUUCUUGGAUAAUAAACUGCAAAUUCUUCAGCAUGAGAUAUUCUUUGCAAGCUUAUAGCUGUGACUUUCUAAAAAGAUUCUCGCAAGGUGUUAAUUUGUAAAAGCACUGCUUAAAUAUCCGUGAGCAUAAACAUAGCAGUUGUUUGUCUAAGUGCCCUCUCUCAUGCUUCAGGACCUCCCGAAUUAUGCUCAGCACACCGUGCCUAUCUUCUCAUUACCCCAAGAAUGGUUGUGGUGUGAGUCGUGGUGUGGUACAGCCACUAAAUCCAAGGCAAAGACUAUUGAUCUUUGCAACAAUCCUAUGACGAAGGAAACCAAGCUUCAGGUAAGUUCAUUAGGUUGGGUUCUUUUCCUACUGCCAAAAUGAUUCGUAUAGUUGUGAUGUAAUUUUGUUUUUGUUGUCCUCUCAGGGUGCGAAGAGAAUAGUUUCUGAAUGGCCUGAUCUUCACUUAGAGGCAAGAACGUUUACUGCGAAAAUUCUCAGAGAUGAAUCUGAGCUUCAAGAAGCAGUGGCUUCAGAUAAGUCGCAGGAUUCACAGGGUGAUGAGUCAUCGGUAGAGGAGCUUGGCCUUGAAUCCAAGUCAGAGCUGUAAGGCACGGUUUCAUUCAGCCAUGACAUGAUUGAUCCCAAAGUGUAAUCCUGAUCGAGGAUGGAAGGGUAACUAUCAGCAAAGAACGUUUUGGAGUUGCAUCAACUAAGCAAAAACAAGUGGUUAUGGUGUACGUAUGCUGUCGAGAUUGGGGAUGGAGAUGCACACCAUCAAGAAAAUGAGGUCAUGGGGAGGCUGUGAGAAAGGCAAGGUAGCGCCGGUAGAGAUUUAAAAUUUUCUCGAGAAUUUUAGAGAGAAGCGAGCUAUUCAUUUUGCUUAGUUUUUGUUAAUCAGCCGGGUAAUCUUAUUUUAAUUGGGCUAUUUGCAAAUGCGUGAAAUAACGCGCUUGAUUGUGGAAUUUCUUCCUCGAUGAUAAAAUCACAGGUGAAAGGUCAACGUUUCGAUUUUGUUAGAAUGCCCUAGUACACACACUUGGUUAUGUAGUCAAAUAGGGAAAACUUGUAAAAUUUUUUGAUGGAUGAACUUUUUAUCGUGAUGCUUUCGGAGACUACCGAAAGUUACGUACUAGCCAUAAGUGCUAUGUUCGAUUAUUUUAAUGGAGGCAUGGAGUGGGCCUGUGUGUUUUGCUUAAACCUGAUCUCGGGUCUCGGCCCGGCCUAGUUUAAUGACCUCAACCGGUCAUUGCCCCUCGUGCCUUAAGAUGUCCACACCUUGCAGCGCUGGACGUUUGGGCCUUCCUCUACCCACUUCUUAGGCGUUUGUCGUAUGGCCCGGCCCAUUAUUUGGCCUAAUACUUAUUGGUCCGGCCCAUUAUUGGGCUUAACUUGGGUCCUCUUAGCCUUUGCUGCCGAUGUCACCACCUUCGGAUCUCUACCCUCGGAGCCGAAUUGAUAUCUCUGAAAACUCGGCGCGAAUCUGAGCCUCGUGCCACAAGUUCCUCGAUCAGCAGCUGCUCCGUCUUCUAGGGUUCGAGAGGGUCCGGAGGAGGUAGAGAUCGAGAGAGAACGAAAUCGAUCCCCCCUCGUGAUUCCCAACCGCUGGCGCUCAAUCUCCAAUCUCCCGCCAAUGGAGGAAAACCCUGUUGGGAAUAACGGAUCCCCGAAAAACGGAUUCGACACUAAAUCGAACCCCUAAAUCAAUGCGGAAGACGAAGCCAGGGAAAACACGCAUCACCGAUUGUAAAGUACACCACGGAUUCGAGCGUACCUUGUUAGCAACAGAUUAAACACCAAUGCUGAAGAUUGAGGAAGAAAUUCUGAUUCAAUGAUGUCAAUUUGCCUUGAAAAGGGAAACGACGUUGCCUUGAGCGUUUUGGAAGAAAAGAGAGCGUUUUUCUUUUCUUUUUCUUGGAGGGAGAGAGGGAGAGGAACGUACGUACGUUCUGAUUUCCCAAGAGUUGUCUUCUCUCUCUCUCUCCUCCCUUUUAUACCUUCCCCCAUUCACGGGCCCUAUUCCCGUGGACCGGGCCUUUUUGGGCCCAACUUGAGCGGAUGGGCCUUAAGCCCAUCUCAUAAAUCCAUCAUCUCCCACUCGCACAUGGUGGUCCAAAACCAACAUGGGCGGAUAGGCCCUACUCAACCCCAUCAGAGAAAAAUCCAUCAUAGACUCUCACUUAACAUGGUGGGCCGAACAGAAUCCUCUUUUCCUCUCUUCAACAUUCAUACCGGUGAAUAAUCCGUGUGACCAGCAUACUUUGAGAGCUCGUUGCCAUACAUCUGUUAGGAAUGUAUAGCAGCUCAUAAUGGGCAUCACACUUCGAGUACAUUUAGUAUGCAGUACCCUAGAUCGAUCGAUCACAUUUAUAUCUCUCUUGAUCUCUUUCAAACAAUGAUAUAUAUAUUGUAUUCACAAUUAUGAUUAUCACAGACAAUCAUAAUUGGUUAACCGGUGAAUACAAAACUACAAUGUGAUUCUCCAAAAUCGAUCUUCCUCUUUCCUUCAAACUCUCAAUUUCAGUCCAGCUUGCUUUUCUAGAAAUGCCCCAUUAGAUCGAAUUACUCAUGACCAUUGGCAACAUCCUAAGAUAGCAAACACUAAAUAGAAAUCUUGAGAAUAAGUAAGAGUCAUGAGGAGACUAAGAAAUUGAGGAACUCUCUUCCUCAAGAGUCUCACACGACAUAAAAGUUGAGAUCAAACUUUUGCCACUCUUAUCGGUCGUCUCAUGCAUACGUAGUAUGAAAUACGUAUUAUGGUAUUAAUUCAUUUCCCAUGGAGCGUAUGUCUAUACAUUUCAAUACCGUACAAAUGAUAGUUCAGACAUACCCAAUGUCUAACUUGAGUUCACGUAUCUACUCAUUCACAAAAUUCAUCAGAACUCACAUUUGGCAUCUUAGACAGAUAAAGUAAAAUAUGUGGGGUAUUUUACUUUCGGACAUAGUAAGUAUUAUAUCCUCAUCUUAACACUUAGUUAAGGCGACAUACAUGUUUUAAGCUUGAGCUCUCGAUUAUCACCCAGAUAAUAAACUUUAAAACAGUCUCAUCUCUAUUUAUCACACAGUAAAUAGAGGCGAUUACCCGUGUGAGUGGGCUAAUCUUAUAUCUGUCCGACAUACUUUUCAACUUAAAGUAAUGCACUAAGCAUUAAGAUGCAUAAAGAUCAAACAAAGAUUCAUAGGCAUUAAUGAUGAAAACACAAAUUCAUCAAAUGUGAACAUUUAUGGAAAAUACAAUAUUUAGUACAUCAGCCUCUACGCAAUUCUAGAGAUUUCAUAUGGCCACAAAACACAUCUCUAGGUAUUGGCUUUAUCAUAGGAUCUGCUACCAUUCUAUGCGUAGUAUGUACUCUAAGUUCACAUCUUUUCGUGCAACCAUAUCCUUGACAAGAUUAUACUUGGUAUCUAUAUGUUUAGUCUUGCUAUGAUAUUUUGGAUCUUUGGUAUAGCUUUUUGCUGCUUGGCUAUUACAGUUAACCAACAACAAAUCUGCAGCACUUCCAAUAACACCUAAAUGAUCCAAAAAAUCUCUUAAGCCAAACACUUUCUUACACUGCUGCUGAUAAUGCAACGAACUCAACUUACAUCGUGGACAAGGCUAUACACUUUUGUUUCUUACUGCUCCAACAUAUGGUGCCAUUAUUCGGUAAGAAAACAAACCUAGAGAUAGAUUUUCUUUUAUCUAAAUCUCCUCCCCAAUCAAUAUCACAAUAGCCUUUGAGUUGCAGAUUCUUUCCUUAAUAACUCAACGUAUAAUCAGCAGUCCCCUUUAGAUACCUUAGUAUUCUCUUAACGGCUUAAUGUGCUUGACCUGGAUUGGAUUGGUAUCUGCUCACCAUUCCAACUGCAAAGCAUAUGUCGGGUGUUGUACACAUCAUAGCAUACAUCAAACUCCCAACAGCACUAGCAUAAGGAACAUGUUUCAUUUGUUCCUUCUCUUGUGGAGUCCCUAGACACAAUUUAUGGCUCAAUCAUUCACCUUUUGCAAUAGGAGUGUCUAUGGGUUUACAAUCCCAUAUCAUUCAACUCAAAGUUAGAAGACAACCAUCUCUUGACAGUAUUAACCAACUCCAUAUUGCUUCCAGCAAUUAGUAUAUCAUCAACAUAUAAUGAUAUGAUCACAAAUUGAUCCUUGGAUCUUUUGAUAUAUACACAAUGAUCCCCAUCUAUCAUUGUAAACUCAUAUGCCAUUAUGGCACUAUGAAAAACGUAUAUACCAUUAUCUCGAUGACUGCUUAUGGCCAUAUAUCGACCUCAAAAAUCGAUACAACUUUUCUUCUUGGCCUUUCAUUAUGAAACCAGCAAGUUAUUCCAUAUAUUUCUUCCUCUAAUUCUCCAUUGAGGAAAGCAGUCUUUACAUCCAUUUGAUGUAACUCAAGAUCCAUACUUGCCAUUAUUGCCAGAAUAAUGCGAAUCAAGGUAAAUCUCACUACAGGAGAAAAUGUAUCUUGAUAAUCAAUUCCUUCCUGUUGAUUAUACCUCUUCGCCACAAGGCGAGCCUUAUGCCUUUCUAUUGAGCCAUCAGUCUUUCGCUUUAUUUUGAGAACCUACUUGUUCCCAAUAGCUUUGUGUCCUUUUGGAAGAUUAACCAGUUCCCAGACUUGGUUUAAUUUCAUUGACUCCAUUUCCUCUUUCAUUACAUGAAAUCAUUUUUCCUUAUUAGGGCAAUUCAGAGCCUCAUUAAUAUUUCUUGGCUCAUCCUCAUCUUGUGGAGCAACCAUAAAAGUUUCCCUUUCAAUGUCAAAACAUCGACGAGGAAUACUUUGGCGACUUGUUCACCGUAUGGGAGAUUGUACACUUAGCACAUCAUUCCCCAUCAUGCUCCCACUUGGAUUAGGUAAUGAUGAUGUCGUUACAUCAGGUGGUUGCAAUUGAGAAUGAGUUGAAUUCAAUUCAUCACAUCUCAUAUUACUCCCACUUGGACGAACUCCACUGACAUCAUUAUCUUGAUCCAAGGUUUCAAAUAGGGAGUAAUUUUCCCUUAUUUCGCCCCUUUUAGAAAAUUCAUCCACUAAGGAUGUGACAUCCCGUGAUUCAAAUUCAGUUAUACUCCCACUUUCCUGCUCACUUAUGAACACAUACCCUUUUGAGUGUUCGCAGUAUCUCAUGAAAAUACUCUUAUUUUCUUUCGGGACCCAAUUUUCCAAACUUGUGAGAGGACUCAUGAGCAUAGGCAGCACAACCCCAUGACUUAAGAAAACUUAAGUCCGAUUUUCUAACUGUCCAUAACUCAUAUGAAGUGGAAAUAACUGAUUUGGAAGGCACCCGGUUAAGUAUAUAGGCAGCAGUUAAUAACACAUCACUCCAAAAAGUGAUAGGUAAGUUAGCAUGCGCCAUCAUGGACCUAACCAUUUCAGUAGGGUUCUGUUUCUUCUCUCCGCAACACCAUUUUGUUGAGGAGUAUAUGGAGUAGAUAGCUAUCUUUCUAUUUCUUUUUCAUCACAUAAUUUUCUGAACUUAUCAGAUAAAUAUUCUCAACCUCGAUCGGAUCUUAAUACCUUUAUUUUCUUGUCUAAUUGAUUUUCUGCCAGGUUCAUAAACCUUCUGAAACAAUUUAUGCUUCAAAUUCAUGAGAAAUCAAAUAGACAUAUCCGACUCGAGUAUAAUCAUCUAUAAAAAGUGAUGAAAUAAACAGCCCAUUGCCUUCCUCUCACAUUCAUUGAACCACAGACGCCCAAAUGGAUUAAAUGCAGAGAAAAUUCAGCUCUUUUACCUUUUCCAAAUGGUUUCCUUGUCAUUUUCCCUAUUAGGCAAUGCUCACAUAUGGACAAAUCGACUUUUUCAAUAUUGCCCAACAAGCCCUUUUUGGCUAGUCUUUUUAUAUGUUGUUGGCCUAUAUGACCAAGUCUAGCAUGCCACCAUAUUCACAUCAUUAUCAUAUAAGGUAGAAGACGUAAAACAAGGGAAUAACAUAUUGACAUCAUCACAGUCAACAUUUAGUACAAUAAAACCAUUCAGUAAGUGACCACAACUAUAGUAGUUUGUAUCUAAACACAAAUCUACACCUUUAUUAUGGAAGUUCAUACCAAAACCAAGCUUAACCAACACUAAGACAGACACUAAAUUUCGACGAAUCUCCAGAGCAUAUAGAACAUCAAGAUGCGUCCACCUUGCAUGUUCAAUUGGCAGGUGCCAAUCCCUUUAACUUCAGCUCUAGAGUUAUUUCCAAUAUAGAUCCACUUAGUUCCAGUUGGUAUCGUCGGAAUUCCACGAAGGAUCCUCUAUCCUUCGCUACAUGGUCUAUCGCUCCUGAAUCUACAGUCUACAAAGGAUUAUACUCAGUCAAGAAUACAGAACUCGACACAAAAGUAAAGUUCUGAAAAGUACAAGGGGUGUUUACUUUAUUUGGCUCACGACAGUUGCGAGCAUAGUGACCCUUCUUGUCACAAUUAUAACAUUUCACCCAUGACAUUUUCUUCACUUGAGGAUGUUUUCCUCUCUUGUGUUGGUUAACUCUUGAUUUCUUGCAAUAAGGACUUGAUCCUUUGCAUUCCCACAUAUUGAACGAAUCAAUACGUUUGCGCUUAGAGCACAAAGCCCUUUCUGAGCUAGAACCAGCAUUGAAAAUAUCUAUUUUCGGCUCAAAUACCGUUAGGCGGUCCUCUACUAGCUCAAGGUGGCGCAUGGCAUCCUUAAGAUCUUCCAUAACAUGGUUAAGAGCUUCUAGUGCUUCUUGCUUUUCCAGCACAUAUUGAAUCUUCUUAUUUAAUAUUUCACAAUUGUUACCGUUCAUAUCAGCAAUCACGUUCUUAGUUACUGAAACCAUCGAUCUGAACACAUCAGACAUAUAUGCACGAAUAAUUAAUGCCUAUCAUUUAUGCAUCCCUACUUGCAUAGACCCAUCAUAUUAAUGAAUAAUUUCAAGUAAGGCUUUAGAAUCAAAAGGUCACUAUGUUUCCAAUCAUCCUCCAAAAAUCCUAACUCAAAAUUACUAUUAAUAUAAUUGUCUUAUGCAAAUAAAUUCUAUGAAGUUACAUUAAACUUCUAUUACUACCCACAGUUAAUUACCCACAGCAACCAGCAAUAGCAGAAAGCAUAUAAAAUCUUAACAUCCAAUAAAAUAACAAUACUUUCACAUGAUACAACUAACAUAUCGGUUGCUAUAUCAACAACAAUCAGGUAGUAAACAUUACAUAAUUAAUCAAAGAAAUAAAUAGGGAAUGUCCCUUCUAAUCUAUCAGCCAUAAUAUCUGAGAAAUUUGAAGGCACAUUAGCUAACCAUGGAAAAAAUUUUGGAGAGCAUUCAUGUCGCCUCCAAGGCGCAUUCACUCGGCGCCAUGUGGCGCUCAAUCUAAGGGUUGAAGUUUUGGCCAACUCAAUCCUAUAGUGCUUUCUUACAAAAGCUUCCACCAGCCUCCUAUAACCAGGGACCACGUUGACCUCCCAUAGCCGAUCCAACACUGCUUGCCAUUCAGGUGGAAGAGUGUUCAUCAAAGCCCGAACCUUCUCAAAAUCCGGCAUAAGAUAAUCAUUCCAGAUGAUUUCCUGUAUCAUCUGGUUGACCUUGACCACAUGUGAUACUAAAUCACCAUCAUGCCACUGAUAAUUAGCUAAUUCUGACAUCAGCCUUUUAAGUCUUGCAUUUCCCUCGCUCGUUCUCGGGAUUGCAGGUAUCCUUGCAUAACGCAUCAUAGUUCCUGCAACAAAUGCAGAAUUAAAAAUGGAUCACUUAUUAUCCAUAAUUAAUAUAAGGGAAAAUACAUAAUUUUCCAAAAUUCAUGCAACAAAUGCAGAAUUAAAAAUGGAUUACUUAUAAUCCACAUAGGCAUGACUGAAAAAGAAAACAAAUUCCUUUUUUUUUUGGGUCAACGGUCAACGCUCGGUCAACGGUCAACUGGUCAACGGACGGUCAACAGUCAACGGUCUUCGGUCAACGGUCAACGGGUCGGGUCAACGGGAGUGCGGGUCGGACCGCUCGCGCGGACCGACCGCACGUGCCUCGCGCGUGCGGGGAAUGACGUCACGCAUAUGUCAUCCGGCACGUGCCGGGCGCGUGCCUGCGUCCGCGAGUCGGGUUGGGUCGCCGGUCGGGUCGGGUCGCCGGUCGGUGACCGCCCGGCGAAACGUCGUCGGCGAUGACGUCAUCGGUGACGUCAUCCGAGCGGUUACCGACGUUGGAUGACGUCAUCGUGUGACGUUAGCACGCGUCGGUCCGCGGACCGACGCGUGCCGGUUCGCCCGCCGGCGGCGUGCACGUGUCGGUUCGCCGACCGGCGCGUGUGCCGCACACGCUGGGCGAGCUGACUCUUUCGGGCGCGUCGCGCCCACGCGCAGCUCCUUCCGGUCGCGCGUGUGGGCGCGUGCGGCGUCGCCCGACGGCGUUCGACCUAUCCCCGGACUCGUCUCGACGUCGCCUUUCACCCAGUGCCUUCAAAAUUUGAUUUUGACUUACGAAAACUUAGAAAAAUGGCCGAACGACGCUCGGGUGUCGGGAUUUCUCGCCCCGAUCCGUACGGCCGAAAGUUUUUUCGCGAAAAAUCAAUCAAAAAACAUCAAAUUGAUCGGGAAAACGUGAACUAGGGCUCUGAUAUCAAUGUUGGGAAUAACGGAUCCCCGAAAAACGGAUUCGACACUAAAUCGAACCCCUAAAUCAAUGCGGAAGACGAAGCCCGGGAAAACACGUAUCAUCGAUCGUAAAGCACACCACGGAUUGGAGCGUACCUUGUUAGCCACAGAUUAAACACCAAUGCCGAAGAUUGAGGAAGAAAUUCUGAUUCGAUGAUGUCAAUUUGCCUUGAAAAGGGAAACGGCGUUGCCUUGAGCGUUUUGGAAGAAAAGAGAGCGUUUUUCUUUUCUUUUUCUUGGAGGGAGAGAGGGAGAGGAACGUACGUACGUUCUGAAUUCCCAAGAGUUGUCUUCUCUCUCUCUCUCCUCCCUUUUAUACCUUCCCCCAUUCACGGGCCCUAUUCCCGUGGGCCGAGCCUUUUUGGGCCCAACUUGAGUGGAUGAGCCUUAAGCCCAUCUCAUAAAUCCAUCAAACCCUUGCGGCGAGAUCAGCUCCGGCGAUGAUAGCGUCGCCGAUCAAAAACCGCGCUUCGUCAUGGAUGAAUUCGCUCCGGUAGGACGCCAGAUCGAAGCUCCGGGUCCCCAUCAACCUGCCGGACAAUGAAAUCUCCCUCCUCCGCAGCCGGCGGAACCUGAGCUUCAGCGAAUCGUCCGCCACCGAAUUCCCGACUUCUCCUUCUCCAUCUCCCCACUCCUCGUCCUUGGCCUCAGCGUCAAUCGGUCGAAUCUGCAAAGGGAAGGCUCCGGCGACGGCGAGGGUGAGCCUCGAGAACAGCGCUAGCGGUGGCGACCCCCGUGGCGGCCGGCAGGCGUACAAGAGCAUGAGGACGGUGGUGGAGGUGCUGCGGGAGCUGGACGUGGACAUAGUGGCGCUGCAGGACGUGAAGGCGGAGGAGGAGAGGGAGAUGAAGCCGCUGUCGGAGCUGGCGGCGGCGUUGGGGAUGAGCUACGUGUUCGCCGAGAGCUGGGCGCUGGAGUACGGCAACGCCGUCCUCUCCCGGUGGCCGAUCAAGCACUUGAAGGUCCAGAAGAUAUUCGACGUCACCGAUUUCAAGUCCGUCAUUUCGUUUUAUUUUAUUUUAUUUAUUAAUUUAAUAAUUUCCACAUAUUUUUUACCUGUUAUUCUUGCUAUCAUUUUCGUAAUUAUGGUGACGAUGAUAUGCUCUCUUUUUCAUUGAGCAAGUGGUCUUCCUAGGCGAUUUCGGAAUUUAAAAGAUAUUUUCAUUUAUUUAUUGAGGCGUCCACUGUUGAAAGCAAAGUUUGAUAAUAUAUCAUAAAUUAAUACUCCCACUGGACAUAUUAUAUAAUUUUUUUUUUAUAUUUUCCAAGUGGAAAGAUUAAUUUCGCAGACCAUCUACAACAGUGCAAAUCCACUUCGGACAGUUGAAAAUUCGUUGAAAUUAAGGUAAGGUGGAUGUAAUAAAAAUUCACAAGACCAAAAAAUAAAAGCAAAAACAUAAGCUUUUGCCUAGCCAUCAGAGUUUGUGGAUGAAAAUCUUGCUGUCACUUGGUUUAUAUUUUGUCUUUUUUUUUCCCUCCCCUUUUUAAAACUGUUCUAUUUGGAAUUAUAUGAAUGGAGUUGUCCAGGAACUGAUCUGGGAAGAAUUUGGAAUAUUAUUCACGAGAACCCUACCACCAAAAAUUCAAGAAUUCCCCAAGGCUUUUCUCCCACAGCCUGUUUGCCUUUGUACAACUUACGGAAAGCUAUCUACAACAACUAUGGUGGGCCUUUCCAAGGAUCCCAGCACCAGCUGUGAGCAAUGCCAGUCAGAAGUAAAAUAUAAAUUAAAUUUUUAAAAAAACCCAUUUUUUUCUUUCUAUGAUUUUAGAUAUGGGUUCUCCAGAGAAUUGUCAUUUAUCAAUAAUAAUAAUAAUAAUAAUAAUAAUAAUAAUAAUAAUAAUAAUAAUAACAAUAUCUUCGGUUAUAACUAUUCGAAAUUCGUGCGAGUGUGUGUGAUGAAAGACUGUCUUGGACCUCUUUCAUUCCUCUUUUUUUUUUUUUUUUCAUUUCUGGUUGCAUUUAGUGGGUUGAUAUAGUCAAGAGAAUGCUUAGGAACCUGCUAAAUUACAUAUAUAUUUUUUGCUCUUUAGUAUUUAAAUAAGGAGUUGGGAAGAUAAACGAAGGAUAAGAUCUAUGGCGUACAUUAAAUGAGGGCAGGGUAAGGUGUAUGUAGGUAGGACAGUAACGUGGGGAGGAUUUUGCUUUUGCUUUAUUUUAUGUAUUUGCCAAAUCAGAUGCUUGACCCGAAGACUGUACAAGGACUACUCAUCUGCAAGGAAAACUACAUUUCUCUCAAGUGAGACAGACCAGAUAGAAUCAACUUGUUUGAGACACCACUCAAUUGCUCGUCAUGGAGUCAAUUUCUGAGACUUUUGCGUUCGAUUAAUUGAGCCACGCCUUAGAUAGUGAAGGGAUUAUGUGCUUCGUUGCGCGAAAAUUCAUAAAAAGAAGAAAAUGGUGGAUUGAAAUAUAAUUGAUUGACAUAUUAAAUUGACCAGGAAUGGAAGUGGCUGUGAACUCGAUAUGUUUUAUUACACAGGAAUGUUCUGAAGGCAACAAUAGAAGUGCCCCAUGUUGGGGAAGUGAACUUCCAGUGCACCCACCUGGAUCAUCUCGACGAGAACUGGCGGAUGAAGCAAGUCGGCGCCAUCAUCCAGUCGAGCGACUCUCCCCACAUCUUGGCUGGUGGCCUCAACUCUCUGGACAAAACCGAUUACUCGCAAG
rnacentral:lncRNA from 1 species